CCCCUUGCCCGGCGCGAGGUGCAGGAGGAGGUAGGCGACGACGCCGGCGAGCAGGAGCAGGGAGUAGACGGCGGUGAACACGUCGCGGAACGUGCCGGCGGCGUAGGCGACCAUGAGGCUUAGCAGGUCUAGGACCAUGACGAGCCGGAGUAUGGCGAGCACCGGCGCCAGGCUGAUCCCGCCCCGGUCGUGCAGGAUGGACAGGAUGAGGAUGAGGACGAUGACCACGAGGGAGGAUGCAAAGGCGGUGGCGUUGCCGUAGAAGAAGACCAGGUAGCGUGGGUGGUUAGUCUGCUGGAUGAUGGGGUCGCCGGCGAUGCGGCCCUUGGCGGGGUCGUCGUCUUGCCAGACGCCGCCGGGCGGGUUGAAUGCCGCGCCGUACGUCACGGUGGCCACCAGCGAGGCCAGCAGCAGGAGGUACUUGCGCAGGCUGUACUCCCACGAGUCACCGGCGCCGCCGGGCGUCGCCAUUGCCGGCCGGCCCAGCUCUCUCAGCUCGGUGCGGCGGCACCCUGCAGCUCUUAAUUGUGGUAGUUGGUAACGCUGAACAUACCCAGACUCCAGCCUGGGAGUUUAAUAUUGAUUUUUGAGCGACGACUUGACCCAGCGCGCGUGUCAUGUAGUGAGCUCAGCCCGGAUAGGGAAGGUGCGCCCCCUCUGCCACGAAACUUCUCCCUCCAAUAGGCAAAGACCGUGUCGUUGACGUGGAAUUGCAAGGUCAACGCGAGCAGAUACAAACUCGUCCUGAGGUUCUUACAAUCACGCAUUUGAUAUUUUUUUCCAUCCAAACCCGGUCUGUGGUAAUGACAGGCCACAUCCACUCGUAAAUAUGUCAGCGUUUUAGAAGUUGAUGACAUCCUCCAAAACAAUAAAUUUCAAAAGGCUAAUGCUAAAUCCUCACUCGAGUGAUUUAAAGCAUCCUAUCAUCACUCGAGUGUUUUGGGCAAAUCGAUGAGUGCCAGCACAGUGUCAACUUUGGGAGGUUAGCAUUAGGCCAUUUCAACAUCUCAAUGGCAUGCAGCUUCACGAGCAAUAAAAAUGAGCAGACAUCCGGUGGAAGAUAGCUAGUUGCCGGGGGGGGGGGGGGGGGGGGGGGGGGGGGGNNNNNNNNNNNNNNNNNNNNNNNNNNNNNNNNNNNNNNNNNNNNNNNNNNNNNNNNNNNNNNNNNNNNNNNNNNNNNNNNNNNNNNNNNNNNNNNNNNNNGAGAGCGACGUGCACAUAACGACGACGACCCUCGGCCUCGAUGGGUCUGAUGGGACGAUGAUUUCGUUGCCUUCUCGAAUUUAGCUAAGGGUGUUUGGGAGACUUUAAUUUUUGUCACAUCAAAUAUUUGAACACUAAUUAGGAGUAUUAAAUAUGGGGGUGUUUGGGAGCUCUCCACUCCAUGAAAAAUUGCUCCACUCCACCAACUCCGAAAAUUUCGCAGCCAAACGCGUCUAGCUCCAGCGACUCCGGCUCCAGGAAAAAGGUGGAGCAGGAGGUCAGAUCCACGUUUUUUGUGGAGUACCUCAGGGGGUGCUCCAAAAACUCCCUUUUCAAACCUCCUCGUGGAGUUGGUGGGUAUUUACCCACCACUACCAUCGGUUACACACGUACCGGUUCGCAGUCAGAAAAGAAAACAUCCCGUGACUCCUGCUCCUGGCACUCGCCCCUUCUCUUUCCCCUGGCUGUGGCCGCGCCCGUCCGUGGCUCGCCGCCGGCCGCCCGCCUGCUGGCGACGCCGUGCUCGCCCGUCGAAGCCCUGCCCGCGCCAGCCCCUUGCCUGAACCCCGGCGAGCCGCAUGUUGCCCCAGCCCCAGGCGCCCCUGCCCGAUCUCGCCGCCCGCCCGCCGGCCCGCCGCCCACCCGCUGCCGCUCGCCGCCCCGCCAGAUGCCCGCCGCCCCGCCCGCCGCCCGCCCGCCGGCCGCUCGCCGCCCCGCCCGCUGCGCCGCAUGCCCGCCGCGCGCCCGCCUGCCGAGCUCCCCCGCGGCGGCCAUCCGUGUUCAUUGAGCAGGCGCAGGCCAGGGACGGCUCCCUGAAGCUGGAGAUCCCUCUGGAAACUGAGAAGAGAAGAGGAGAGGAGAGAGAGGAAGAAGAGAGGAGAAAAUAGAAGAGUAAGACAUGUGGGUCCGUUCACAAAGGGUAAAAUAGACCAUUCACAACAAGUGCUCAUAUUUUUGGAGCUGGAGCAGUGCCAUCAGCCAAACACGUGCAGCAGCUCCAUAUUUUUUUAGAGUUGGUGGAGUGGAGCUAGGAAAGUGUGGAGCUAGUGGAGUGGAGCUGGUUUUUCUGGAGUGGAGUGCUCCCAAACAGGCCCAUAGACUAAUUAUAAAACUAAUUGCAGCGAGAUGAAUCUAUUAAGCCUAAUUAGUCCCUGAUUUGACAAUGUGAUCCUACAUUACAGUAACCAUUCGCUAAUGAUGGAUUAAUUAGACGUAAUAGAUUCAUCUUCUGAUUUAGGCUACAGGUUCUGCUAUUAGUUUUGUAAUUAGCUUAUGUUUAGUCCUCCUAAUUAGCAUCGCACAUCCGGUAUGAUAAGUUAAAGUUUAGCUCUGGUAUUGGUAUGUAAACGCCCCAGUAUAUAAUAUACAGCUCGACCACUAUCAACCAGUGGUGUCCAUUUCAGGAUGAUAAGGUGUAGUCGUUGAUUAGUCUGAGAGGAGCACCCCGCCGGUCAGCCAUGGAGCCCGAGAGACAGUUGGUUUUUUCUUUUCCGUUUUUGGAACGGAGGGAGGGCUCCAAUUGCACUAAGUCUAAUUGUCCAGCCUGGUUAAAAAAUACUACAAUAUCUAUAUGUAACUUAGUGCAAUUGGAUAAUUUUGUUUGUCAGUUUUCUAUUAAACGGAGGGGGGAGUACUUGAUAAUUUUGUUUGUCAGUUUUCUAUAUGUAACUAACUAUUGUUUUUUAUUGAGAUAUAUGUAUAUAGUCAAAAUUAUUGUAAGAUUACAUAAGUAUUUUUCAAACAUACUCUGCUCUUAAAUAUAUGAUGUCGUGGACCAAUAAUAUCUAUUUAAUGAAUAAGUUAAAAGUUAUAUGAGUACCAUUAUAUGCAUUGUCAAAAGCACUGCAGAAAAUAAUUGUAGACAAAAUAUAUACAAAUAGUCAAAAGAAUGAAAAAAGUUAAUGGUGUCAUCUAUUUAAGAACAGAGCAAGUAUUUGAUAUUAAAUUAGUAGUAUUGUUUUGCAAAGGUAUUUUAAGUAGUUAUUUGUAGCAACCGUUGCCAUCACGAACCAAACAUGGCCCAAUCUGAAACUCAAUUAUUGCGCCAGAGGACCGAUCUUUGCAAGAUUUCUAGCACAUUAAUUUCUGCCUCUGUUCUCUACUACUUCUAUUUCUUCCUUCGCUCCUACUUUGAGGAAAUGAACAUUUUUUGGACUCUAUAUGCACAGUCAAAUUCCGUGCAGAGAAAAAUUUAUGUACUAGUGGGAGAGUAUACUCCAUAGCCGAUCAUAAAAUAGUUUAUUCUAUAGUCAGGCCAUCUAACCAGCCACCCACCCAUCCACCCAUGCUCCUGACCCGCUGGCCGCGUCUGUUGCAUGUGCCAGCUGAGCAGGUUGGAGCCGAGGUGCUGGAACACACAUUAACUACAGUUAUUAUGGUAAAUAAACACGCAAAGAUCCGGUAGUUAAUUCAGGUUGAUUAGUAGAUGGUUGUUUCAGGAUUUUUGAGUUCACGAUUGUGGCACAAAAUUGCGGUAACUCUGCAUCCUAAAUUUCUAAAUAUCACCUUGUGUUGGGGGAAAUAUUAACGACUCCUCCCAAGUCCACGAAGACGACAAAAUGUAAAGGUCCAGGCCCACCUGAGGUAACAAGGGUAGCGCCGGCCCAACACGGGGAGCAAGAAUCGUGCUCCGCCUCGCCCGACCCGGCGUCCUAGGGUCAGGCGUCCCCGACCCCCGCGAGACCAAGCUCCGCCUCGCCCGACCGCAGGACCGGGGUUGGGAGCAUCCGACCCCCCCGCCGCAGGCCUCCGCUUCGCCCGACCCCAAGCGUAGAAGGUCGGGCUGGCUCAGGCCCACCAGAUGAGUAUCCGCCUCAGGCGCGGAUCUCGUGGGUCCCCCUGUCAAUUCCGCCAUAAAUGCGCCACAAAGCUGUCAGAAGGAAGGAUCUCCGCGCCCUCACGCAACCCGUUGCAAGUACCCAUGCGCGGCCGCACAGUACAUGCUACAGUAGCCGCGACCCUCCCCGAUUGGCCACAGGGCACUCCUGAGCUGCACCGCCCAUGGCAGGAAGAGGCCUCGCCCGCUCUCGUGUCCCGCGCGCCCGACGGCAGAGAUGCGACGUCCGCUCUCCGCAGGCCGUCAGCAAGGCGGCAAGAUCCGCCGCCUCCCCCAAUGGACACGAGGGUCACGACGAAGCGCCAUCAUCACGUCCGGCGGCUACAGUCGCCGAGGAGGCUAUCGACAGGGUGCAGCUGCCGCUACCCUCUUCCGGCGAACGCGCCGGCAGGAGCCGAAGGUCGGCGAGGACGCCGGCGACCUGGGAACUUGCUCCCCCCUCUCCUUAUUCUUUUUACUCAUCCAUGUUUACCUUUUUACUGCUCUCCACACUCAGUCUCACCUGUAACCCCGGUGGCCUCCUCAUGCUAUAAAAGAGGAAUCGGGGGCCGGAGACAGGGAGAGGCUAAACGCACAACACCAUAACGCUCCCUAGACAACAGAACGCACGAGCGCACCCUGCUAGAGCAUCAGGGUACAUCCAAGAGACUUGGGACCAAUUCCCUCUCUCACACUCCUAUAACCCCUACUACAGAACCCUGCGUGGGCAACACGAGCAGCUCCCGAUACUGGACGUAGGACGUUCCCUUGCCCGAACUAGUCUAAACCCCGUGUCUCCGACGCCACCAUCCGAAGCCUUACGCGCAUAAAAGAAAUUUACUAGUCUAAGUCUUGACCCGCUAAUCUUGACAAUGACACUUGGCGCGCCAGGUAGGGGACCUUUGCGCGUGCAUCUCCAAGCUUCAGAUGGCCAGCCACGACGUCCGCUUUGCUCCGGGCUCUCUGAUCCACUUCGGGAGUCUGGACUUCCUCGCCACCGGGGAGGGGAUCGAGCUGAUCCCUCUCCUCAUCUUGCCCGCUCGCCCCACCAUCCCCGGCUCUGCCGCCGGGACAGCGGCGAGCGGCCAGGCACGUGCCGGAGGGCCCUUCCCAGGGGGUCGGCUCUUUGGGCUGUGCAAUUCCGCGGUGACCUACGUUCGCCUCUUGACGCGGUCCAUGACCGUGUCACCCGCGAGCAACAAGCUCGCAGGCGUGGCGAGGAUGAUCUCCGACGCCGGCUCCAACAACGGGAGCCACCACCCCUCGCGUGAGUGCUUCAUGGCCGACGUACACUUCGAGGGGUCCAACGAUGACGACGCCGAAGGGAGACAGAGGACUCCCCCUCUGCGUGCUGCGGCUACGACUGGGGCCCUUGGCAAGGCCCCAGAGCGCCCUCGGCAGCCGGAGGCGUGCGCGGCGUCCCGCCAGGAGGUCGAGCGCCCCCGCCACAAAGGCGGAGCACGACAAUGGGCGCGUGACGUCCAGCAGCGCAUCUGCGCGGACAAAGAACACCCUCAGCUCUUCGCUCGCGCCAGCCAGAACAUCGUUGCCGUGGCAGCCCUACUCUAGCGACUCCCCGAACCAGCGACGCCCGAGGAGCAUCAAGCGCGCCAGAAGGUGUGCAACCUGCUCGAGUGCACCGCCGUCCAGCAAGCGGAAAGCUCCGCGUCCCGGCGACGCGGGCAAAACGCCAGCAGGAUGGCGCCCGACGCACCCCCAGAGAGGCGGAGGGAGUCUGUUCACCAGCCUCCCCCCAGGGCAAACCAAGCCGCGCCCGCUCGGCGGACACCACCGACCAUAGGCGGCGGGGCUCGGUCCGUCCACCGACGCAUCGGCUCUGUCCGUGACGCUCGCGACACCUUGGACGCGUGGAGGCGCUCCCGCGCGGACAGGGAGGAAGGAGUAGAUCGUGGCUACCACGUCCACCGCAGCGGACGCUACGACAGCGGAGAGGACCGCAGCCUGAGCCCCGAUCUGGCGGGGCCCCAGGCCUUCUCCGCGUGCAUCCUGAACAUGUCGUUUUCGCCGCGUUUCAGGCAACCAACAAAUGUGGCCAAAUACUUGGGGGAGACGAACUCCAGGGUAUGGCUCAGCGAUUACCAGCUUGCAUGUCAAGACGGUGGUGCGGAUGAUGACCUGUUCAUCAUCCGCAACCUCCCACUCUUUUUGGCCGAUUCAACGCGAGCCUGGCUGGAACACAUCCUUCAGGUCGGAUCCGCAACUGGAACGACCUGAAAGAAAUAUUCGUGGGAAACUUCCAGGGCACGUACACAUGCCCCGGCAACUCCUGGGACCUCUGAAGCUGCCGCCAGGGAUCAGACGAGUCCCUCCGGGACUACAUCCGACGCUUCUCUAGGAAGCGCACUGAGCUCUCCAACGUCGCGGACGCCGACGUCACAGGAGCCUUCCUGGCAGGAACCUCCUAUCGGCCCCUCGUCCACGAGCUAGGGCGCCGAGGCCCGCGGACCACAGAGGAGCUCCUCAACAUCGCCACCAGCUACACCUCGGGCGAAGAGGCCGUUGGAGCGAUCUUCGACCGCUCCAAGGGUAAGGCAAAGCGACAGGAGGAUGCCGAUGAGGGCACCUCCAACCGCCAGCAGCAGCAGAAGAAGAGCAAGCAGCGACGCGAGGCUCCCCUCGUGGCCGCUGUCGAGCGUAAGCGAGGCCAACUGCCCCCAGAGGGCACGCCUGGUUUCUUUGACAAGCUCCUCGAGGGACCGUGCCCGAACCACGAGUUCCCCGUGAAACACGCCUACAAAGAUUGCAACCUCAUGAAGAGGUAUUUCGUAGGCAACCCAGUGAAAGGCAACCGGAGAUGGAAGCCUGACGAGGAGAAGAAGGACGAGGAGGAGAAGGAAGACGGCUUCCCCAAGGUGGACGGCUGCUUCAUGAUCUUCGGUGGACCAGCGGCGUACGACUCCAAACGCCGUCAGAAGCUAGAGCGCCACGAAGUCUAUGCGGCCGAGCCUGCGACACCGGCCUUCCUCGACUGGUCGGGGUCCGCCAUCACCUUCGACCGGUCCGACCACCCGGGACGCGUCUGACAUCCGGGGCGCUACCCUCUCGUCAUCGACCCUAUCGUCGGCACAACGUGAUGAGGACACCACGAGUACAUCUACACCAUCAGCACCUCAGGCGCCGCCAGUUGCUCCUUCACCUCAGGCGCCUACAGUUGCUCAUCCAGUUGGGCCAAAUCACUCGAGCCCGUGCGAGAGAAUUAAACUUCAUCAUGCUAUUAAGGAACAAAGGCCCAUCGGAAUAAGAAGAUGGCCCAACAGGGCAGCCCAGGUGGGGCGCCUAGGGUUGGGUGCCGUGACCCCUUCGGACUCCAGGGGCUGCGCCCCCUUUAUUUAGUCCGAGUCCUUUUUGUUUACGACUUGAGUUUUGUUUUACAUCUAGCUUUAGCUACUCUUGAACACGCGCAAAUACGCGCUGUCCUUGUUGAUUUAGAACUCCACCUUCGAGUGAUAUUUAGAUUGCUCGCCUCUUUUUCUUGUUCGUUCUUCGAUUGCGGACAGGAAUCGAUCUUCGUGAUCAGGCUGAUCUCGCACCGGCGAGGUUGGUAACCAUCGGGAGUUGGUUCAGCGAUUGCAUUGGCGCUUCGGGUUCGCUCGUCGUAGUCGGAUCGUGAGGGUCUACUUCCACCAAGUCGAAUUUAUCUCCACUCACCGAAAGAUCGGGCACUCCAACUCUAUCAAGUGGUAUCAGCUUUCCAGGUUGAUCGGUGAGUUUUACCGAGUGUUUUUCCCUUCCUACAGUCCACAAAAACCAAAACAAAUUUUUUCAGGUUAGCUCCUUUAUCCCAGCAACCGUUUAGCCUCGCACAUUCUUUCAAUAAGUGUCUUUGUUGAAUUUGUGUGCCUACUCGUUCAAUUGUUGCUGGUUACUUGUGUUUAAUCUCUUGUUUCUUGUUUUUCAUCUAACCCUAGUUUUCGCCGCCGCCGCCGUUCCGCUGCUCGCCAACCCUACCAGCCGUGCCCACCGCACCUCCCCCCGCGACAACCGCGCCGCGCCAUCCCACUACUCCGAUCGCCCCUCCCCUGUCAAAAAAAAAAGAUAGAAAGCAAUCAAAAAAAAAGGGAAAGAAGCAAAAAAAAAAACAAAAGAAGAAGAAUCCAACAGGGAGAAGGAAGGUGAUUCGGAUUUGUUUCGGUGGAAACUCCCUUUGCGCGCGCCGUGACUCCCCCUGGGUCACGACUCUUUGGGGCAAAUUCCCCUCCCCCCCACGCAUUCCGUGCCAGCCUUUCAUAUCCGUAUCUCUCUUUCUUGGUCCUUUUUUAUUCUGAGGUUCGCCUUACUCUAGAGAAUACCCCUGUCCUUUCCGAAAAAAGUGUGUGCCAUAAUUUGCUGUUUGUGAUCCUCUGUGUUCAUAUUAUCAGUUUUGGGGCACCCUCUGUGAAAAAAAAAACAGAAAGAAAAAAAAAAGAGGUGCGCCCUCUCCACCUUUGCCUCUGUUCUUUCGAUUUCCCUUGUUCCAGCAACUCUUGUUACAUGUUUGGCACUAUAAUUCAACUUUGCAUUAUUGUUUGAUUGUGCUAAUCCUUCAUUUGAGUGCAGCCUUCCCAAAAAUCCACAUAGUUCUACGACGAGCAGCUUUUGUUUCUCCAGGCAAUCGCUCCUCCAAUCUUUCACAGGUUCCACCGGUUGGUUGCAGUUCGCCCCUGUGUGCGUGGUAAGAACGGAUAAGAAUUUGAUAACAGCACUAGUGUGAGCGCCUUGUGAGCCGUUACACCCCUGUUUUGUCGUCGCUUUUGUUCUUGUAUUUGCGCUAAUCAUGGCAGAUGAUGUCGACGCGGGGGCUAACCAGCUGCAGGGCAUACGCGCGCAAGUUGAAGGGCUUGUCACCGACAUUCAGACGAUUCAUGAAUGGCUGGACUCGACGAUCUCCUCGACGACCGAGCGGUGUGAUCAGCUCGACCUUGCGCAGACGGCCGCUAAGGCCACACUCGACUCAGUUGUGGCAAGACUCGAUGCAUUGCACACAACAGUCGCAGAGUUGCAGCAAGGUUAUGGUGGUGACUCGGACCAGGACGAUGGCGACCGCCGAGGCCGUGCCCGCCGCGUGCCACGCCGUCCCGGUGGUAAUGAUUCCUUUUCCAAGAUUAAAUUUAAAAUUCCACCUUUUAAUGGCAAAUAUGAUCCUGCUGCAUAUCUUGAUUGGGAAUUAGAAGUUGAACAGAAAUUUUCAUGCCAUGAUAUUCUUGCUAAUUCUCAAGUUAAAGCUGCUAUUAGUGAAUUUACUGAUUUUGCUUUAAUUUGGUGGCGUGAAUAUAAACACAAACAUCCCAAUACCAUUCCAACCACUUGGGAGCAAUUAAAAACUGCUAUGCGCCACAGAUUUGUGCCUUCUUAUUAUGCUCACGAUUUGCUUAAUAAAAUGCAACGUUUUUAGCAAGGUUCCAAAUCUGUUGAGGAAUAUUUCCAGGAAUUACAAAUAGGCAUGAUUCGUUGUGGGUUAUUGGAGGAAAACGACGCUGCUAUGGCACGUUUUCGUGGUGGUUUGAACCGCGAAAUUCAGGAUAUACUUGAUUAUAAGGACUACACAGAUAUGACAACAUUAUUUGAAUAUGCUUGCAAAGCUGAACGUGAAGUGCAGGGACGCCGCUCGAAGACAUAUUCUAACUCUUUUGCAGGAAGAAGCUCGACAUCCAACUCCGCACCCGCUCUCCCUGCGCCACCCACGCCCACCACUACACCGCGCGAGCGAACGGCCAAACCUGCCAACGCUGCCCCUUCCACAGGCGCCGCCCCUCCCACAGGCCGUACACGGGAUAUUCAGUGUCAUCGUUGCAAAGGAUUUGGCCAUGUGAUUCGGGACUUUCCGAACAAGCGCACUUUGCUUCUUCGUGAUGAUGGUGAGUACUCUUCCGCUAGUGAUUCUAAAGAUACUCGACAUGCGAUGCUUGCCACUGACCAUGCAGCUAUGGAGGUACAUGUCAACCCGGGCGACGCCGAUAGGUAUGAAAGUCUUGUUGUGCAGCGUGUUCUUAGUACACAGGUCACCCCGUCCGAGAAGAAUCAGCGACACACUCUUUUCCAUACCAAGGGCGUUGUGCAGGAGCGGUCGAUUCGCAUCAUCAUUGACAGCGGCAGCUGCAACAAUUUGGUGAGUACCACGCUGGUUGAAAAGUUGUCUUUACCCACUCGUAAGCAUCCACAUGCAUAUCACAUUCAAUGGCUUAAUGAUGGUGGGAAAAUUAGAAUUACUCGAUCAGUCCGUGUUCCUUUCUCCAUGGGUGCUUAUUCUGAUUUUGUCGAUUGUGAUGUUAUUCCCAUGGAAGCAUGCUCUCUGUUACUUGGGCGACCUUGGCAAUAUGAUACUGAUAGCUUGCAUCAUGGUCGUUCAAAUCACUAUUCUUUCAUGUUUAAGGGUCAGAAAAUAAUUAUACAUCCAAUGACACCUGAACAAAUUCUUAAAGAUGAUCUUGCUAGAGCUGCUAAAACUGCUAAACAACUUGAACCAUCGACAUCUAUUAAUUCUGAAAUCAAGUUGAAUGCUCCUAUUUUGCUUGCCACACGUGCUGAUUUUGAUGAGUUACGCGAUGCUCCUUUGCCAUGCUAUGCCCUUAUAUGCUCUAGUGUGCUCAUUUCACUUGAUGAUGCACCAUCUUUGGAUAUUCCCCCUGCGGUUGCUAACAUUUUGCAGGAGUACGCUGAUGUCUUUCCAAAAGAUUUACCACCAGGACUCCCACCACUUCGUGGCAUUGAGCACCAGAUCGACCUCAUUCCCGGCGCACAGCUUCCGAACCGCGCACCGUACCGUACAAAUCCGGAUGAGACGAAGGAAAUCCAGCGCCAGGUACAGGCGUUGCUUGACAAGGGUUAUAUUCGUGAGUCUCUUAGCCCUUGCUCCGUUCCCGUGUUACUUGUUCCAAAGAAAGAUGGCUCAUGGCGUAUGUGUGUAGACUGUCGUGCUAUUAAUAACAUUACCAUUCGCUACCGAUACCCUAUACCACGCCUUGAUGAUAUGCUAGAUGAGCUUAGUGGUGCCAUUAUUUUCACUAAGAUUGAUUUGCGUAGUGGCUACCAUCAGAUUCGCAUGAAAUUAGGUGAUGAAUGGAAAAUGGCUUUUAAAAUGAAAUUUGGGUUAUAUGAAUGGUUGGUUAUGCCGUUUGGUUUGACAAAUGCGCCCAGCACAUUUAUGCGUUUGAUGAAUGAAGUUCUGAGGCCCUUCAUAGGAUUGUUUGUAGUUGUCUAUUUUGAUGAUAUCCUCAUUUACAGCAAGUCUAUGGAAGAGCAUUUAGAACAUUUGCGUGCUGUUUUUGAUGCGUUGCGUGCGGCCCAUUUAUUUGCUAACCUCGAAAAAUGCAUGUUUUGCACACAACGUGUCUCGUUUCUUGGCUAUGUUGUUACUCCACAGGGCAUUGAGGUGGAUAGCAGCAAGAUUGAUGCCAUUCGGGAGUGGCCUACACCGACGACGGUCACACAAAUUCGAAGCUUUCUUGGCCUUGCAGGUUUCUACCGCCGGUUUGUUCGUGAUUUUAGCUCCAUUGCAGCGCCUCUACAUGAGCUUACAAAGAAGGAUGUUCCCUUUGCUUGGAGUGAUUCGCAAGAGGUUGCGUUCAGCACCUUGAAAGAUAAGUUAACCAAUGCUCCUCUCUUGCAGUUGCCUGAUUUUACUAAAGUGUUUGAGCUUGAAUGCGAUGCUAGCGGUAUUGGGCUAGGUGCUGUUUUGUUACAAGAAGGAAAACCUGUUUCUUACUUUAGCGAGAAAUUAAGUGGUGCUAGCUUGAAUUAUUCUACUUAUGAUAAGGAGCUGUAUGCUUUAGUGCGCACUUUGCAUACUUGGCAGCACUACCUUUGGCAUCGCGAGUUUAUAAUUCAUUCUGAUCAUGAGGCUUUAAAACAUAUUCGUACCCAAACAAACCUGAACCGUCGUCAUGCUAAAUGGGUAGAAUUCAUUGAGUCUUUCCCUUACAUUAUUAAACACAAGAGCGGGAAGGAAAAUGUCAUUGCUGAUGCUUUGUCUCGUCGCUAUACCAUGCUGUCACAGUUAGAUUUUAAAAUCUUUGGCUUGCAAACUGUGAAGGAUCAAUAUGUGGAUGAUGCUGAUUUUAAAGAUGCUUUCGGCCACUGUAUUCAUGGCAGACCAUGGGGCAAAUUUCACAUACAGGACGGGUUCCUGUUUCGCGCUAACAAGCUGUGUGUUCCAGCUAGCUCGGUUCGUCGUUUGUUGUUACAGGAAGCGCAUGGAGGCGGUCUCAUGGGGCACUUUGGCGUCUACAAGACGCAUGAAGUGCUAGCUGCCCACUUCUUUUGGCCCCGGAUGCGCGCUGAUGUUGAGCGCCUUGUUGCACGUUGCACUACUUGCCAGAAAGCUAAGUCACGAUUGAACAACCAUGGUUUGUACAUGCCUUUGCCUGUUCCUACUUCUCCCUGGCUUGAUAUUUCUAUGGACUUUGUUUUGGGAUUGCCUAGAACUAAGAAGGGGAGGGACAGUAUUUUUGUGGUUGUUGAUCGUUUCUCCAAAAUGGCUCAUUUUAUACCUUGUCAUAAGACUGAUGAUGCUAGCAAUGUUGCUGAAUUGUUCUUUCGCGAGAUUAUUCGUUUGCAUGGUAUUCCAAAUAUAAUAGUCUCUGAUCGUGAUGCUAAGUUUCUCAGUCAUUUUUGGAGAUCACUGUGGAAUAAAAUGGGAACUAAAUUGCUGUUUAGCACCACUUGUCACCCUCAGACUGAUGGACAAACUGAGGUGGUUAAUCGAACCUUGUCCACAAUGCUUAGGGCUGUUUUAGAUAAACACUUGAAACGUUGGGAAGAUUGCUUGCCUCAUGUUGAGUUUGCUUAUAAUCAUGCAACGCAUUCUUCUACAAAGAUGUGUCCUUUUCAAGUUGUUUAUGGUUAUAUUCCUCGGGCGCCUAUUGAUUUGUUUGCACUUGAUGCCGAGGACACCCCACACAUAGAUGCCGCUGCACAUGUUGAUCAAAUGAUUAGCUUGCAUGAGCAAACUCAACAAAACAUUGCUGCUGCUAAUGCUAAAUAUCAGGUUGCGGGUAGUAAAGGGAGAAAACAUGUUACUUUUGCACCGGGUGACCUGGUUUGGUUGCAUUUGAGGAAGGAUCGUUUUCCUACCUUACGUCGUUCUAAAUUGAUGCCACGUGCUGCUGGUCCUUUUAAAGUGCUCACCAAGAUUAAUGAUAAUGCUUAUAUCCUUGACCUGCCUGCGGAGUUUGGUGUUUCCACGAGUUUUAAUGUUGCAGAUUUGAAACCGUAUGUGGGCGAAGAUGAGGAGUUGCCGUCGAGGAAGACUUCAGUUCAAGAAGGGGAGGAUGAUGAGGACACCACGAGUACAUCUACACCAUCAGCACCUCAGGCGCCUCCAGUUGCUCCUCCACCUCAGGCGCCUACAGUUGCUCAUCCAGUUGGGCCAAUCACUCGAGCCCGUGCGAGAGAAUUAAACUUCAUCAUGCUAUUAAGGAACGAAGGCCCAUCGGAAUAAGAAGAUGGCCCAACAGGGCAGCCCAGGUGGGGCGCCUAGGGUUGGGCGCCGUGACCCCUUCGGACUCCAGGGGCUGCGCCCCCUUUAUUUAGUCCGAGUCCUUUUUGUUUACGACUUGAGUUUUGUUUUACAUCUAGCUUUAGCUACUCUUGAACACGCGCAAAUACGCGCUGUCCUUGUUGAUUCAGAACUCCACCUUCGAGUGAUAUUUAGAUUGCUCGCCUCUUUUUCUUGUUCGUUCUUCGAUUGCGGACAGGAAUCGAUCUUCGUGAUCAGGCUGAUCUCGCACCGGCGAGGUUGGUAACCAUCAGGAGUUGGUUCAGCGAUUGCAUUGGCGCUUCGGGUUCGCUCGUCGUAGUCGGAUCGUGAGGGUCUACUUCCACCAAGUCGAAUUUAUCUCCACUCACCGAAAGAUCGGGCACUCCGACUCUAUCACAACGCGCCUCACCAAGGUGCUGAUAGACGGAGGCAGCGGCCUCAACAUCCUCUACGUCGAGACCCUCGACGCCAUGGGGAUUGACCACUCUCGCCUCCGCCCCAGUAAGGCACCAUUCCACGGCGUCGUGCCAGGGAAACAGGCGAUGCCUCUCGGGCAGAUCGACUUGCCCGUCACUUUCGGGACCCCUUCCAACUACAGGAAGGAGGUCCUAACCUUCGAGGUUGUAGGAUUCCGUGGAACCUACCACGCCAUCUUGGGGUGGCCAUGCUACGCCAAGUUCAUGGCCAUCCCCAACUACACCUACCUCAAGCUCAAGCUGCCGGGGCCCAACGGGGUCAUCACCAUCAGCACGUCUUUCCAGAAGGCGUACGAGUGCGACGUAGAAUGCUGUGAGUACGCCGCUGCCAUUACCUUCACAGAAGAGUUGGUGGUCCAGCUCGUAGAGGGCACCGAGGACCAGCCCGACUCCAAGAAGUCGGCCACCUCCUUCGAAGCCACCGAAGGUGUCAGGGAGGUCCUCCUCGACCCCAGCGGCUCUGACGGGCGGACCGUACGGAUUGGCGCUACCCUAUCUCCUAAAUAGGAAAGCGCGCUCGUCAACUUCCUCCGCGCGAACAGCAACGUUUUCGCAUGGAAGCCCUCGGAUAUGCCUGGCAUUCCGAGGGAAGUCGCCGUGCAUUCCUUGAACAUCAAGGCCGGCUCCAAGACAGUGAAGCAAGGCCUGCGCCGCUUCGAUGAGGAGAGACGCAAGGCCAUCGGCGAGGAGCUCCAGAAGCUUCUAGCGGCCGGAUUCAUCAAGGAAGUAUACCAUCCUGAGUGGCUGGCUAAUCCCGUACUUGUGUGAAAAAAGAAUGGGAAAUGGAGGAUGUGUGUUGACUAUACCGGUCUCAACAAGGAUCCGUUCCCUUUCCCACGCAUAGAUCAGAUAGUCAACUCAACCGCCGGGUGCGAAACCUCAGCUUCCUUGACGCGUACUCCGGCUACCAUCAGAUCGCGAUGAAAGAGUCCGACCAGCUGGCUACCUCUUUCAUCACCCCCUUCGGCCCCUACUGCUAUGUCAAGAUGCCAUUCGGCCUCAAAAACUUGGGGGCUACGUUCCAGCGAUGCAUGCUGAAAUGUUUCAGGGACCUCAUCGGGCAAACCGUGGAGGCUUACGUCGACGACAUCGUGGUUAAGUCCAGGAAGGGCGACCAGCUCAUCCCCGACCUCGAACUAGCCUUCAAAAGGCUGAGGAACAAGCAUAUCAAGCUCAAUCCCGAAAAAUGCGUCUUCGGAGUUCCGAGGGGCAUGCUGCUAGGUUUCAUCGUCUCCAUACGCGGCAUCGAGGCCAAUCCGGAGAAGAUAGCGGCUAUUAGCGAUAUGGGGCCGAUCCAAAACAUAAAAGGAGUCCAGCGCGUCACGGGAUGCUUGGCGGCUCUGAGCCGCUUCAUCUCGCGCCUCGACGAACAAGGACUCUCCCUCUACCGACUCCUAAAGAAGACUGACCGCUUCAAAUGGACCGUCGAGGCCCAAGAAGCGCUUGACCAGCUCAAGGACCUUCUGACGAAGGCCCCAAUCCUAGUCCCGCCGACCAACGGCGAGCCCCUCCUGCUCUACAUAGCAGCGACUACCCAGGUAGUUAGCGCAGCCCUCGUGGUGGAGCGAGAAGAGGAGGGACACGCCCUUAAGGUACAACGCCCGGUGUAUUUCAUCAGCGAAGUCUUGUCCGAGUCCAAGGCGUGCUACCCGCAGAUCCAGAAGCUCAUCUACGCCGUCCUCAUCACGAAGAGGAAGCUGCGCCACUACUUCACCUCCCACCCGAUAACAGUCGUCUCGUCGUUCCCACUCGGCGAAGUGAUCCGGAACCAGGAUGCUACGAGACGGAUCGCGAAGUGGGUGCUCGAGCUCAUGGACCAGGGAAUCACCUACGCCUCCCGCACCGCCAUCAAGUCCCAGGUACUCGCCGAUUUUGUAGCAGAGUGGAUGGAGAUCCAAACACCAUCGACGCUGGAGAAGCAGGAGUACUGGACGAUGUAUUUCGACGGAUCGCUGAUGAGAUCCCGUGCCGGAGCAGGCCUCAUCUUCGUCUCUCCUCUAGGCGUCCGCAUCAGGUACAUGAUCCGUCUCCACUUUCCUGCGUCCAAUAAUGUCGCUGAAUACGAGGCCCUCCUCAAUGGGCUUCACAUCGCCAUCGAACUGGGCAUCUGUCGGAUGGACGUCAGGGGCGACUCUCAGCUAGUCAUCGAACAAGUCAUGAAGGAGUGGAGCUGCCACGACCCCAAGAUGACAGCCUACUGCAACGAAGUUUGCAAGCUUGAAGACAAGUUCAAUGAGUUGGAACUCAACCACGUCGCAAGGCGUUUCAACGAGGCAGCCGAUGAGUUGGCGAAAGCAGCAUCCGGCCGAAGGCCCGUACCCGACGGUGUCUUCGUCAGCGACCAGUUCAAGCCCUCAGUCCGGUACUGAGAACCAGAGAGGUUUAGUGACGCGCCACCGACUCCAGACUCGGGUCCCGACCCGGGAGAGAUCGGCAGCGCGCCACCUGUCCCGGGCUCGGGCGCUGGCCCCAACGGGGUCGGCACUGCUUCGCCUGCCUCAGCCCCGGAAGCUGACCCCUCCGACCCCGUGGUCAUGGAAAUCGCAACAGACCCCACGGUGGAGGCCGACCCCCCGCCCGAUUGGAGAGCCCCGUACCUCGACUACCUCGUCCGCGACAUGCUCCCGGCGAACAAAACGGACGCACGAAGGAUUGCGCGUCACGCCAAAUCCUUCGUUAUUAUCAACCAAGAGCUCUACAAGAGAAGCUACACCGGCAUCCUCCAUGUGGGGAUAUGAGGUAGGCUACACUAGCGCAAUUCAAAAUUCUACCGCGUAUAACCAGGAAGAACUGCCGUAUAAGGAUCACGGGAUUACCACUCGACGCACUACUGGUGCGGAAGAUGUAGAUAUGCGUCGAUGCAGUGAAGACGAUCACGUAGUCAUACGUAGUCGAUCAACGUAGUCGUACGUAGUCGAUCACGUCCAGCAGCUCCUCAGCAGCUCGUCCACGUGCAGCAAGAUCGCCUCCGGUGCCGCGGCUCGUCGUCGGCUCGUCGUGGCUCGUCGGUGGCUUGUCGGCGGCUCGUCCAAGUGCUGCAGGCGCAAUACCUCCAAGGUAUCCACACGUGCAGGGAGGAAGCGUCGCAAGCCGGACUGCUAGAUCUGCGAGUUACAACAGGCGAGGGUGUGGGAGGCGCGAUAGGUGUGUUUUCGCCAAAAAGGUGUAAACCCUAGGGCACCCCCACCCCUCUAUUUAUAGAGGUUCCUAAUGGGCCUCUGGAUCUGAGGCCCAUUAGUACUUCUAAACCUAAUCCAACUCGGAUCAGAUCCGAAUUGGGCUUCUAGCCCCUUAAGUGUGUGACCCUAUGGGUUCGGAUACGUAUAGACAUGGCCCGAGUACUCCUACUCGGCCCAAUAGUCGGUAGCGGCCUCUAGCAAGACGUGCCAACUCCUAUACGCACACGAAGAUCAUAUCAGACGAACCAUCACAACAUAAUAUACAUGCUAUUCCCUUUGCCUCACGAUAUUUGGUCUAGCUUCAAGCCGACCGCUCUUUCUCGAUCCUGUGAUUCGGAAUCCCUUUGUAGGUUAACUCUUAACCGUACAUAGCACGGCCAUGCAUUUUCGGAUCCGAUCACUCGAGGGGCCCAGAGAUAUCACUCUCAAUCAGAGAGGGGCAAAUCCCAUCUUGAUUGACCAUGUCUCAUAGCAUGCUUCUUGACAAACCCGAAAGCUAUCUUUAUAACUACCCUGUUACCGCGUAGCGUUUGAUAGCCCCUAAGUAGGUCGAUCCACAUCUAGAACACAUGCGACAAUCUCAGGUCUAAGGACAAAGCGUAUAUGUUGUUUAAAGAGAGAACUACUUCUCGUGUUGGGUCAGUCCUAGCACAUGUCUCCACAUGUGUCCACAUUAUUAGUUCAACAUCUCCAUGUCCAUGACUUGUGAAACAUAGUCAUCAACUAAUACAUGUGCUAGUCUAAUAUUCAUGUGUGUCCUCACAUAAACUCCGACUAGGGACAACUUUAGAAUAACCAUGCAAGUAAAGAGUUUCACAUACAAUUCACAUAAUUUCAAAUCAAUUCAAGUAGCCUUCAAUGGAUAUUCAAUGAACACAACAUACAAAUCAUGGAUACAAAUGGAAUAUCAUCAUCUCUAUGAUUGCCUCUAGGGCAUACCUCCAACAGUCUCCCACUUGCACUAGAGUCAAUCUAGAAGGUACCUAAUACCCAUAGCUCUUACAUGCGCAUCAUGCUUAGCCUGCGGGAGUGGUUUUGUCAACGGAUCAGAAAUGUUCAGAUCCGUGUGUAUUUUGCAUAUCUUGAUCUCACCCCGGUUAACGAAGUCUCGAAUGAGAUGAAAUCACCGCAUUACGUGUUUGUUCUUCUGGUGGUUCCUUGGCUCCUUUGCUUGCGCAAUUGGCCCAUUGUUAUCACAGUAGAGAUUCAAUGGGCUGGAUGUAUUUGGGAACACACCAAGCUCAAUGAGGAAAUUCCUUAUCCAAACACCUUCCUUCGCGGCUUCCGAAGCCGCGAUGUACUCAGCUUCUGUCGUAGAAUCGGCCACCGUCUCCUGCUUGGAACUCUUCCAACUAACAGCACCACCAUUUAGCGUGAACACAAAUCCUGAUUGUGACUUUGAAUCAUCUCUGUCGGUUUGGAAACUAGCAUCGGUGUAACCCGUUACAACGAGCUCCUCCUCACCUCCAUAGACGAGGAACAUAUCUUUAGUCCUUCUCAAGUACUUAAGAAUGUUUUUCACCGCUGUCCAGUGACUCUCACCUGGAUCAGAUUGGUGUCUGCUUGUCAUACUUAGCGUAUAUGAAACAUCUGAGCGAGUACUUAUCAUUGCAUACAUGAUAGAUCCAAUAGCCGAGGCAUAUGGCACUCUACUCAUGCGAUCCCGCUCAUCAGCAGUCGAAGGACACUGAGUCUUGCUGAGAUGUAUGCCAUGUGACAUAGGCAAGAACCCUUACUUUGCCUCUUCCAUGCUGAACCGCUUCAACACUUUGUCAAUGUAAGUAUCCUGGCUUAAACCUAUAAGCCUUCUCGAUCUAUCUCUAUAGAUCUUAAUGCCCAGAAUAUAUGCCGCUUCCCCUAAGUCCUUCAUCGAAAAACUAUUUUUCAGUGAAGUCUUUAUGGACUCAAGCAUAGGAAUGUUAUUUCCAAUCAGUAAUAUGUCAUCCACAUAUAAGAUUAGAAAUACUACAGAGCUCCCACUAACCUUCUUGUAAACACAAGACUCUUCUUCGUUCUUGGUGAAGUCAAACCCUUUGACCACUUCAUCAAAACGAAUGUUCCAACUCCUAGAUGCUUGCUUCAAUCCAUAAAUGGAUCUCUGAAGCUUGCAUACCUUUCCAGCAUUUUUUGGAUCGACAAAACCCUCGGGCUGUAUCAUAUACACAUCCUCAGAUAGGUUUCCAUUCAGGAAAGCUAUCUUGACAUCCAUCUGUCAUAUCUCAUAAUCGAAAUAUGCAGCUAUAGCUAGAAUAAUCCGAAUGGACUUAAGCAUCACUACGGGCGAGAAGGUCUCGUCGUAGUCAACUCCUUGAACUUGUCGAAAACCUUUUGCGACAAGUCGUGCUUUAUAGAUGUGAACAUUUCCAUCCAUGUCCUUUUUCUUCUUAUAGAUCCACUUGCACUCUAUGGCUUUAACACCAUCAGGCGGGUCAACCAAGUUCCAAACUUGAUUGUCUCCCAUGGACUCUAUUUCGGAUUGCAUGGCACUCUGUCAUUUUUCGGAGUCUGGGUCCAUCAUUGCUUCUGCAUAUGUCGCAGGCUCAUCAUUGUCCAACAAUAAUAUUUCCCGCAUUUCGCGGAGCCUUGCCGACCUUCGUGGUUGUGGCGGUGCUUCUCUUGCCAUGGGUAUCUCAACUUGUUCUGCUACGUUAGCAUCACUCAUUGAUUCUUGCCCGAUCGGCUCAUCUUGAACUUCUUCAAGAUGCACUGUCUUUCCACUCUUUUCUCCAUUGAGAAACUCUUUCUCUAGGAAAACCCCGUUCCGAGCGACAAACACUUUGCCUUCUGAUCGGUUGUAGAAAUAAUAUCCCAAAGUUUCCUUUGGAUAUCCCAUGAAAAUGCACUUAUCCGACUUGGGUGUGAUCUUGUCCGACUGAAGUCGCUUGACAAACACUUCACAUCCCCAAAUCUUUAGAAAAGACAAACUAGGAACCUUUCCAAUCCAUAUCUCAUAUGGUGUCUUAACUACGGAUUUAGAUGGUACCCUAUUAAGUGUGAAAGCUGCUAUUUCUAGAGGGUAUCCCCAAAAUGACAACAGUAGGUCCGACUGGCUCAUCAUUUAUCGAACUAUGUCUAACAAAGUUCGAUUACGUCGCUCGGACACACUGUUUCUCUGAGGUGUUCCAGGCGGCGUAAGUUGUGGAACAAUUCCGCAACUCUUUAGAUAAUUGCUAAACUCGUGGCUCAAAUACUCGCCUCCACGAUCAGAUCGUAAGGCCUUAAUUUUCUUGCCACGCUGAUUUUCAACUUCAUUCUGAAAUUCCUUGAACUUUUCAAAGGUUUCAAACUUGUGCCUCAUCAAGUAGACAUAGCCAUAUCUACUAAAAUCAUCAGUGAAAGUUAUGAAGUAUUGGAAUCCUCCUCUAGCCGUCGUAAUCAUUGGUCCGCAUACAUCACUAUGUACGAGUUCCAACAAGUCUACUGCUCUCUCAGGAAAUCCUGUGAAAGGCGUCUUGGUCAUCUUGCCUAGCAAGCAAGCCUCACAUGUCUCGUAUGAUUCAAAAUCAAACGAAGUUAGAAGUCCAUCAGAAUGGAGCUUCUUCAUGCGCUUUUCACUUAUAUGACCCAAACGACAAUGCCACAAGUAGGUAGGACUCAAAUCAUUAGGCAGAGGCCUUUUAGCACUUACAUUACAGACAGGUGAACCAUCAAGAUUUAAAACAAAUAAUCCAUUCACAAUGGGUGCAAAAGCCAUAAACAUAUUAUCCUUAGAGAUCACACAACCAUUGUUUUCACUCGCAAAUGAAUAACCAUCAUUCAUCAAGCAUGAAGGAGACAAAAUGUUUCGACUUAAACUAGUAACAAAAUAACAAUUAUUCAACUCCAUAAUAAAUCCUGACGGGAGGUGGAGUUGCAUCGUCCCGACGGUCAACGCAGCAACUCUUGCAUUAUUGCCCACGCGGAAAUCAACUUCUCCUCUUUCCACGCUUCUACUUCUUAUCAUUCCCUGCAUCGAAUUGCAAAUAUGAGCAACCGAUCCGGUAUCAAAUACCCAAGAAUUAAUAAUUGUAUCAGUGAGAAAUAUGUUGUCUAUAACAUUAACAACAAGCGUACCUGAGGUAGAAGUACUCUUACUUCCGCCAUUCUUCAAGGAAGCUAGGUACUGCUUGCAGUUUCUCUUCCAGUGACCAAGUUCAUGACAGUAAAAGCACUCUUUGUCUGGAGCAGGUCCAGGUCUAGCUUUAACCUUGGGCGCUAGGUUUGGCUUGGACGUUCCAGCCUUGCCCUUCUUCUUCCAAGAAUUGCCCUUCUUCUUAAAGCUGGGCUUGUUUUGUAUAGCCAUCACAUGGCUGGUACUAGCGCUUUUCUUGAUGUCAGCCUCUGCUGUUUUAAGCAUGCCACACAGCUCAUUCAGACCCUUCUCCGUCCCAUGCAUAUGGUAGUUCGAGAUGAAGUUCCCAUAGCUAGGCGGAAGAGACGAAAGAAUGAAAUCAGUGGCCAACUCUUGGCCCAGUGGGAAGCCUAGCUUCUCCAACCGUUGAGUAUAACCAACCAUCUUGAUUACGUGUGGUCCUCUUGCUACGCCUUCUGCUAGCUUGCUCUCAACAAAUGCCUUAGACACAUUGAACCUUUCAGUCCUGGCCUGUGUUUGGAACAUGUCUCUAAGCGCCACGAUCAUAUCGUGCACCUCAUGGUUUGUUUCGAACUGCAUCUGCAGCUCGGGUUCCAUGCAAGCAAGCAUAAGGCAGCUUACUUCGAGGUUAGCAUCACAUGCUUUCUUGUAAGCAUUCUUAGCAGCAACGGGUGCAUCAUCAGCAGGUUCUUCUAGUAGUGGGUUGUCUAGAACAUCUUCCUUUUUCUCAGCCUUGAGAACAAUUCUCAGGUUACGGAUCCAAUCUGAGUAAUUUGUUACAUUCAACUUGUCCUUCUCAAGGACCGAACGCAAAGCAAACGGUGUAGUGCUGCUAGGUGCCAUUUAAUCUACAACAAAAUAAUGCAAAAUACACUAAGACAAACGUAUCCAUGAUUCAGGAUCCAUAACUAACAAGUCCACUAGUGAGCUUUAGCAUCACCGCUAGCAAACAAGGUAGAUUGGUAAGCAACUUUUGCUAAUCAUAUCACAUAUGACUCCUGUUGUUGGGUGACAUCUCUAUGUCUCGGCGCCCAACCUUUAUGCCCCAAGGUCCUUAACCGUUAAGAUAACCUUGUUAAGCAAACCAACCCUUAUGCGUGUAAGUGUCCGACACAAACCCGUCUAGUCAAGGAAAACUAGUGGCACCCUAAUUUCAUAGACCCACCACUAAUUGUACAAGACAUGGGACGGUGCAAGUUUUAGUUGGGAGGGCAUACUAACUUAAACUUUGUGAGGGAUCAUUCUACUUCUAACAUCACAGCAUGCAGAAAGUAAAACAUAAACAUAAUAGCAUUCACACAGUUGUGACACAGUAUGGCCCGUUUUUCUCAUGGUGAUCUCCAUCUCCAUAGAAUCUGUUCACCAUGGUGAUCUCCAUCUCCAUGUUCCAUGUGUGCCAUCCUUCUGGUGAUGAGUCCUCCAAGAACUAGAACAUGCUAUUACGCCUAAUAGCUAGUAAAGAAGCUAGUAAUGAAGAUUACAUAGUUGCUUGGAUCAUCACAGAUUGGUACGCAGACCAUUAAAUACAAUAAAGUGACAACACAUAUGGCUCCUGCCGUGUUGCCGUACGCGCGACACGCAGGUCACGAAUGAGUUACACACAUACAUCACAUACACAAGGGGGCCAUACUGAUCACAAGAUACAUACAUACAUCCUGCAAAACAGAGUUAGGCGCCCUAACGUUCCAAACUUGGGAGGCCCAAAACUCCAUCUUCCAAGCCAAAUUUGGGAAAUCUAAUUUCGCCGAAAACGGAAAAGCAGUUGAAUUUCAUGUGUAACUUUUUCUGUAGAUCAAUUUUCAUAUAAAAUUCGCCCCGAUCCGAGAUCGUACCGAAAAGUUACGACUGAUUUACCGAAGCAUACGCAUACGACAAAAAUCCCGACCCCGGCAGUAGAUCCCAUCUACUAUUGCACAUCUAAUGCGCCUGGCGUAUGACCCUGGAUUUCGAUUCGACCAAUCAUAUUGAUCUUCGCUCACUGCAAAUGGAUUUACGUGUAUCACUUAACUCCGAUGGCGGAAACCGACCGGUAGGAGUAUGUCGUUACACUAAUAUUGCAGCAAGGGUACGAAACCAGGACAUAGAUCAAACGGAAAACUCGCAUAUCUCCAUAUGCACACAUCCCGAAUCCAAAACUAAGUAGCUACGGCUCUGAUACCACUGUGGGGAUACGAGGUAGGCUACACUAGCGCAAUUCAAAAUUCUACCGCGUAUAACCAGGAAGAACUGCCGUAUAAGGAUCACGGGAUUACCACUCGACGCACUACUAGUGCGGAAGAUGUAGAUAUGCGUCCAUGCAGUGAAGACGAUCACCUAGUCGUACGUAGUUGAUCAACGUAGUCGUACGUAGUCGAUCACGUCCAGCAGCUCCUCAGCAGCUCGUCCACGUGCAGCAAGAUCGCCUUCGGUGCCGCGGCUCGUCGUCGGCUCGUCGUGGUUCGUCGGUGGCUCGUCGGCGGCUCGUCCAAGUGCUGCAGGCGCAACACCUCCAAGGUAUCCACACGUGCAGGGAGGAAGCGUCGCAAGCCGGACUGCUAGAUCCGCGAGUUGCAACAGGCGAGGGCGUGGGAGGCGCGGCAGGUGUGUUUUCGCCAAAAAGUUGUAAACCCUAGGGCGCCCCACCCCUCUAUUUAUAGAGGUUCCUGAUGGGCCUCUGGAUCCGAGGCCCAUUAGUACUUCUAAACCUAAUCCAACUCGGAUCAGAUCCGAAUUGGGCUUCCAGCCCCUUAAGUGUGUGACCCUAUGGGUUCGGAUACGUAUAGACAUGGCCCGAGUACUCCUACUCAGCCCAAUAGUCGGUAGCGGCCUCUAGCAAGACGUGCCAACUCCUAUAUGCACACGAAGAUCAUAUCAGAUGAACCAUCACAACAUAAUAUACAUGCUAUUCCCUUUGCCUCACGAUAUUUGGUCUAGCUUCAAGCCGACCGCUCUUUCUGGAUCCUGUGAUUCGGAAUCCCUUUGUAGGUUAACUCUUAACCGUAUGUAGCACGGCCAUGCAUUUUCGGAUCCGAUCACUCGAGGGGCCCAGAGAUAUCACUCUCAAUCAGAGAGGGGCAAAUCCCAUCUUGAUUGACCAUGUCUCAUAGCAUGCUUCUUGACAAACCCGAAAGCUACCUUUAUAACUACCCUGUUACGGCGUAGCGUUUGAUAGCCCCUAAGUAGGUCGAUCCACAUCCAGAACACAUGCAACAAUCUCAGGUCUAAGGACAAAGCGUAUAUGUUGUUUAAAGAGAGAACUACUUCUCGUGUUGGGUCAGUCCUAGCACAUGUCUCCACAUGUGUCCACAUUAUUAGUUCAACAUCUCCAUGUCCAUGACUUGUGAAACAUAGUCAUCAACUAAUACAUGUGCUAGUCUAAUAUUCAUGUGUGUCCUCACAUGAACUCCGACUAGGGACAACUUUAGAAUAACCAUACAAGUAAAGAGUUUCAUAUACAAUUCACAUAAUUGCAAAUCAAUUUAAGUAGCCUUCAAUGGAUAUUCAAUGAACACAACAUACAAAUCAUGGAUACAAAUGGAAUAUCAUCAUCUCUAUGAUUGCCUCUAGGGCAUACCUCCAACACUCCAGCGCUGCAUCCCGAUCGAGCAGGGAAAAGCGCUAAUUCAAGAAAUCCACGCCGGAGCCUGCGGCCACCACGCUUCACCAAGAACAGCGGUCGCCAACGCCACCCACGUGGUCCGCACCUGCGAAGGGUGCCAGUUCUUUGCACGCUAGACCAUCCCCAUCACGUGGCCCUUCGCGGUCUGGGGGCUGGAUCUCGUCGGGCCCUUUAAAAAAGCGCCUGGGGGCUUCACCCACCUACUUGUCGCCGUCGACAAGUUCUCCAAGUGGAUCGAAGCACGACCGAUCGCGCAGAUCAAGUCCGACCAGGCGGUACAAUUCUUCACCGACAUCAUCUACCGCUUCAGGAUCCCCAACUCCACAUCACGGACAACGGCACACAGUUCACCGGAAAGAAGUUCCUCCUGUUCUUCAACGACCACCACAUCCGAGUGGACUAGUCGGCCGUGGCACAUCCCCACAUGAACGGGCAGGUCAAACGAGCCAACGACAUGAUACUCUAGGGUCUCAAGCCACGGAUCUUCGACCGCCUCAAAAAAUUCGGCGGACGGUGGGUCGCAGAGCUCCCAGCAGUCAUUUGGAGUCUAAGGACAACCCCCAGUCGUGCGACUGGCUUCACCCCGUUCUUCAUGGUCUACGGGUCCGAGGCCAUCUUGCCCACCGAUCUGGAGUAUGGGUCGCCAAGGGUCAAGGCGUACGACAAACAAGGGAACCAAACAUCGCUCGAAGACGCACAAGAUCAGCUCAACGAGGCGUGCGACGUGGUCCUGCUGUACUCGGCCAGGUACUAGCAGGCCUUACGACGCUACCACAGCCGCAAGGUACAAGGCCGAGCCUUCAACGUUGGCGACCUGGUGCUCCAUCUCGUCCAGGAUAAUAAGGGUCGGCACAAGCUGACCCCUCCGUGGGAAGGUCCCUUCAUCAUCACGCAGGUACUGCGACCAGGCACCUACAAGCUGGCGACUCCCGACGGACAAGUCUUCAGCAACACUUGGAACAUAGAACAGCUAAGACGCUACUACCCCUAGCCUUCAUUUCCAAGUUUUGUACAUGAACACUUCUGUACAUCUAAAAUUUUUUUACGGAAAAAAGAAUUUUGAGUUGCUCCCGUCCAAGUUUCAGCUCGAACUCAGGGAUAUCCGACCCUGACCCUACCUCAGGGCCGCAUAUCCCUCGGGGGCUAUCAGGGGCUCCGGCCUAGGCCACUGGACACCCUCUCGAAACACUUUUUCUCUCCGAGCUGACCCUCUUUCUGAACUUUCGGGCAUGAAAAAGAAAGAGCGCACGAACGGUGUUCAGGCAAGAUUGAUCGGACUGCGAAAAAACACACACCCCAGCGGCUACGGUGCCCUCGCUCAUCAAAGCUUACUGACACAACCAACGACGCGCUCUAAACUUUCCAAGUCUGAAAAACACGAAAGAGGAUAGAAAAUUUUUUAGAAAAGCCUUUACGGCCAUUACAAAAUGAGUCUGAAAUUGACGUAUUUACAUCUUGGACGCCAAAAGCCUGAUACAGUUAACCCGACCGGGGAUCUUCGGGAGGGACGGCUUCAUCCUCCAGGAACUUCACCAAGGCCUCCGCUGGGUUGAGCACCGACGCGUCGAUCUCGUCCAGCUCAGCCUCGGAGUAGCCGGCGGCGUACCCUCCGCUCAUCCCGGCGAAGUUGAUGCCGGACUAGUGGGAGCCGAAGACCCCGAAGGCUCGCCUCACGCUGGUGUGGAGCGCCUCCAGGGCGAUCUCGCGGGCUUAGUGGUAGGUCCCGAGGACACGAGUCGCCAGCGAACCCGUCCCCUCCUCCUGAACCACGCUGAGGCUGUCGCAGACGACGCGAACAACAUCCCGCAGGUCGCCAUGCUCAGCGCGCUCCGUGUCGAGCACCUCCCUCAGUCGGGUGAGCUCUCUUGCAAGGAUCACCUGGAGGAACUCGCUAAAUCGAAAAUCAUCGCAACAUCACAAAGAUAAAGAAAUGAGUAGAGUCUUACCCUCGGACUGGGCCUUCAGCUGGCGCUCCCGGUCGAGCCCCUAGGCCACGGAGGCCAGAAGCUUCUAUGCCUGCGCUCGGAGCUGACCGACCUCCGCCCCAAGGUCGGCCGCCACCUUCUCAGCCUCCUCCUUCCGGACCCUCUCGGCAUCCCGGUCCUGCCAGGCCUUUUGCCGCUCGCGCCAGAUGCGCUCGACGGUCUUUUGAAGGGCUCCAUGCUCCCCCUUCAGCCGUGGGAGCUCCUCGGCAUCGUGGCGGGCUUUCUCGGCAGCAGCCUAGAACUCCUCGCGGUCACAGCGGGCCCUCUCCGCAACGACCUGGAACUUGGCCUCCGCUCUCCGCGCGUCCUCCUCAGCCGCUUGCUUGCGCCUCUGCAGGUCAUUGAUGACUUGCUGGGUGGUGGCAACUUGCAUCGACAGCUCCCCGGUGUGCUGCCUCUCCAAGUUGAAGCGCUCCCAGAGCCCCCGCUCCAGCCGAAGGAAAUCAGAUUUCCCCCGGCUGCAUUCUUGGAGAGCCUGAAAAACAAUAUGACAUCAGGGGUAGAACAACGGGAAGGAUACGGCCACCAAUGGAGAAGGUACCAUACCUGGCUGCCAGGGAGGACGACGCCGUCCAACUGCCCCAGCGCUGAAGAUAGAUUCGCGCGGGCGUUGGCGAGGCUGCUCUGCAUCACCUACCACUUGCCCCAUUCCGCGGCAUCAUCCAACGUGAAGAGGGGCCUCUGCGGGUCGUCACGGGACGACCAACGCAGGACGGACCCCCUCCAUGCCUUGGGAAUGGAAGUGACUGAACCAGAGGCGGGAGCCGACCUCGACACCCCCGUCACAACGGGCACCACCAUCCCAAAAGCCGCGGAGCCCACCGAUGGUCCCGGUGCACGCGCCUCUGCCCCCGUCGGGGCCGCCGUGGGCCCUCCCGUCGGCUCCACCACCUCCGACAUGGGCGCCGAAGCAAGUGCCUCCGUAGCCACCUCGCCCUCCGUCGCAACCGCAGAAGCAGGCAUCUCCACCCCCGUCGGGGCCUCCAGAGCAGGCACCUCCGCCUCCGCUAGAGGUGCCACCUCCGCCAUGGCCCCCCGGGCGGAAGUCCUCGCCUCCGUCGCCACCGCCUCCUUUGUCACAGCCGCCGGGGCAGGCGUCCCACUCUCCCCUGCUGCCGCUGUCCCCACCGUGGCCGCGGGGGCAGAUUCUCCUUCCUCCAUCGCCACCGCCGUCCCCGUCGCGGCCGCGGGGACAUCUAUCCCCGUCUCCGCCGUCGCCGUUCCCUCCGCCUCGUCGGCAUCGAGGUCGAUCACCUCCCCGGCCGGGGGGCCCCUGGGGGCGAUACCCCGUGCCGCGGGGUCAUCGGAGGAGCCGAAGGCGGAGCGGGGUCUGCACCCUCUCCUGUGCCUGGUGGCGGCACCACUCCACCGGUCGCCGCCGCGGGGGCCACCUCCGCGGUGGAACCUGCAACCUCACCAGGGACCCCACCGCUCGCCGCAGGCGGGGCCGCGGUACGCCCCGCACGGGCGGAUAACACCCGCAGUGCCUUCUUGGGCGCCAGCUGCGGGACGAGGCCUCGAGGGGCGGCACUACAAGACAGUCAACAGACAUCAGUAGAAACAAACACAACGCAUGGAAGGGAAUGAGGUUCGCGAGGAAAUUCAAUGUACGUUCCCCCGGCGCAAGGACGGCGUGCGCGCUUCACCUCCGAGCCGGACGUCGACCCCGGGGCGUCUGGCAGCGGCCGCUUGUCGCCGCUCCUCUGCGCCUGGGCCGCAGGCACAGGGGCGGGAGCGGGCUCCGUUGACCCCUGGGGAGCAGGUUUCACCGACCCCUGGGGGGCGCUCUGCGCCGACCCCUAGGGCGCGGCCCCAGAGCUUUGCGGGACCAGGCCCCGGGCGGACGAUCCGCCCGCUUCGUCCCUUGUGGCCGUUUAGGAGCGCGUCUCUCGAAUGACGAGCGCUCCCGACCGGGGGGACAGGACAAACUCCUCCUCCUCAUCAUCGUCCUCCUCGUCUUCCUCCUCAUCAUCGUCGUCGUCGUCGUCGUCAUCGUCCGACACGACCUGCACUCGCCGCCGCCGUUGGAACUCCUUGGCGGCCUUCUUCUUCUUCUUCGCCGUCUCCUUGUCCUUGCGGCGCUUCUGCUUCUCAGCAAGGAGAUGGUUCUGCAGCCGCCGCUCGGCAUCCUCCGGCACCGACGGGCGUGAGUCCACGACCCGAGUCAAGCUACCCUGCAGACACGAAAAGGCCCCGCGUCAGAGCGGCGAACCAAGAAACACAAAAAAAAAAGGUUUACGCACAAAUUCCUUACCAGGUUGAUGAAGUUCUCGUCCGGGCACAUCGGAGGGUGCCCGGGCAUCGGGUAGUCGGCGCCCUUGUCCUCUAGCGCCUCCCGAAUCCGCCGCCGGAUCUCGGAGGCGGCGAGCGCACCCAUCGCGAGGGCGGUGCCCUCGAUCGGUGCAUCAGGGGUCAUCUCGGCCAGCGAACGGACCCGGAGCAUUAGCGGCGCCACCCACCGGGCGUGGUACGCCACGAUAACUUUGACUCCGGUCAGCCCCCGAUCCCUUCAGGUGCUCGAUGGCCUGCAGCAGGCCAUGGAUCCUCUUCUUCUCCUUGUCAACUGGGUCAUACGCCCACACCUCCGGCGUUGCCUCGAUAACCCGGCCGGUGAACGCCGGCAAGGGGGAGUCGGAGUAGUUCUUCACGUAGAACCACUGCUGGUGCCACCCCUUGUGGGACGCCACAGUCUUCAUCGCCAUGUACUCCUUGGCACGAGUAUGGCGGAGGUGGAUUCCGACGAACCCUAUCGGCACCGGGGGCGUCCGCUGUUGGCUCCCUCUCUUCUUGAUCUUCUGGUACAGGCUGACCGUGAAGUAUUUCCACAGCGAGAAGUUAGGCUCGAUGCCCAGGAACCCCUCGCACAACGCGACGAAUGCCACAAUGUGCUGAGUCCUGUUGGGAUUGAGGUGCUGCAGCUCAAGCCCGUAGUAAUGCAGAAGCCUGCGGAAGAAGAGGCUCGGCGGAGUCGCGAAACCUCUCUCGUGGAAGUGGGCGAAGGAGAUGACAUAGCCGGCGGGCGGCAUCGGCACCUGCUCCAUCCCUGGGAGCUCCCAUUUGCCUGCCUCCGUCCUCUCGCUGAGGAGACCCUUCCUCACCAGGUCCUCUACGCGCGAGGGGCCAAAGUGGGAAAGCACCCAAGAUCCUAUCACUGGAGAGAAAGGGGCUCGAUGGGGGACGAGGAGAAAGGGCGCGGUGCUAGGCGGAGGAAGAUGAAGCGGGCACGAGAGAGCUAAGGGCGCGCGAGGAGGCAAAAAGGCUUGAAAGCAGACGGCGGGCGGAACCGGCGAGAUGAGGCUUCCGUUUUAUAGGAAAAGCAUGGGGGGAGCGGAACAGACGCCCUCGUCACCAUAAAUGCGGUGCUAGGUACGCUCCGCCACGCCCGCCUCUUUUUUGGAAAUCGUGCGCACGGCCGGCAGCAGAAACAUCCCCUCCUCCCUCGAUUCGCGGGUCGUCGCCCUCCACCGCUUCACCUCCCAGGGAUGCGUGCAUGACCGUCCCCCACGACCGGCCCAAGGCGCUGCUCCCUCCGCAUCCGGCCCAAGACGCGGCCUCCAUCCACGUCUGGCCCAAGGCCCACCAAAAGGUAAGAAAGGGAUACGGGGCUGAAAUGCCCCCACGGCCCAUUACGAUCCAGGAGUUCGAAGGUUGGCCCGCCAUGGGUUCGACAACCGCUCCAGGACGCCCCCGAGCGAGGGGUGAGAUGAGACAGGUCCGCAAGCAACCACUACCCAGGCGCGCGAUAGCCUAGGGCGUCUCAAUCUCACAUUCGAGCCCGAACCGGCAUCACAGUUCAUGGUUUUUCCACGAAGAAAGGCAACGAGCCCCCGGAUCCAACCGAAUGGAUUCGGGAACUAUAUGAACUGGCAAAUCGGAACCUGGGGUACGCCACCAGCUUAGCCCAAGUCGGACCCCCCCCCCCGAACGGGGACCGAGGCCCCACUCGAAUUUGCCCGAUAGCAGCUCAAUGAGCACCACGGUUCGUCCGACGAGGAUAGCAUGGCAAGGCUCGCCCCCUCCAUCCUAACGAAUGGACGCUUGAGGGGUAACACACAAAAGUCGACCUCGUCUCCCGACCGGUCCCCUACAACGCGCAGGGGCUCGGGGGCUGGCCUCACAACCUAAGGCCACGCGGGUGGUCUCAAUUUAAGGCUCGCAGGCAGAAGGGGAUGACAAGAAGUCCCCCCACGCCAAGUUGCUCACAGGGUGCGUCGCCUAAUUGACCCCCUCAGUCGAGCCAUCCAAACAACACCUCCUGUCCCGGAUCAACCGUGAGGACCCAUAACUGGCGAUGAAAACAGCCUCUGGAGGAGCGUCCCUGCUCCACCACAGGCUCGGGGGCUACUGUUGGGGGGAAAUAUUAACGACUCCUCCCAAGCCCACGAAGAGGACAAAACAUAAAGGCCCAGGCCCACUUGAGGUAACAAGGCUAGCGUCGGCCCAACACGGGGAGUAAGAAUUGCGCUCCACCUCGCCCGACCCGGCGUCCUAGGGUCAGGCAUCCCUGACCCCCGCGAGACCAAGCUCCGCCUCGCCCGACCACAGGACCGGGGUCGGGAGCAUCCGACCCCCCGCCGCAGGCCUCCGCUUCGCUCGACCCCAAGCGUAGAAGGUCGGGCUGGCUCAGGCCCACCAGAUGAGUAUCCGCCUCGAGCACGGAUCUCGUGGGUCCCCCUAUCAAUUCCACCAUAAAUGCGCCACAAAGCUGUGAGAAGGAAGGAUCUCCGCACCCUCACGCAACCCGUCGCAAGUACCCAUGCACGGUCGCACAGUACAUGCUACAGUAGCCGCGACCCUCCCCGAUUGGCCAUAGGGCACUCAUGAGCUGCACCGCCCAUGGCAGGAAGAGGCCUCGCUCGCUCUCGUGUCCCGCGCGCCCGGCGGCAGAGAUGCGACGUCCGCUCUCCGCAGGCCGUCAGCAGGGUGGCAAGAUCCGCCGCCUCCCCCAACGGACUUGAGGGUCACGACGAAGUGCCAUCAUCACGUCCGGCGGCUACAGUCGCCGAGGAGGCUAUUGACAGGGUGCAGCUGCCGCCACCCUCUUCCGGCGAACGCGCCGGCAGGAGCCGAAGGCCGGCGAGGAUGCCGGCGACCUGGGAACUUGCUCCCCCCUCUCAUUAUUCUUUUUACUCAGCCAUGUUUACCUUUUUACUGCUCUCCACACUCAGUCUCACCUGUAACCCCGGUGGCCUCCUCAUGCUAUAAAAGAGGAAUCGGGGGCCGGAGACAGGGAGAGGCUAAACGCACAACACCAUAACGCUCCCUAGACAACAGAAUGCACGAGCGCACCCUGCUAGAGCGUCAGGUACAUCUAAGAGACUUCGAACCAGUUCCCUCUCUCGCACUCCUGUAACCCCUACUACAGAACCCUGCGUGGGCAACACGAGCAGCUCCCGAUACUAGACGUAAGGAGUUCCCUUGCCCGAACCAGUCUAAACCCCAUGUCUCCCACGCCACCAUCCGAAGCCUUACGCGCAUAAAAGAAAUUUACUAGUCUAAGUCUUGACCCGCUAAUCUUGACAACGACACCUUGUGAUUUCCAAAUUCUCAUGACUAAUUCAUGAUAAAUUCGUUCCGUUAUUAUACUAGUUGGUUCUUGAAAACACACAAGAUUGUAGUAACUCUCAAUCCUAAUUAUGAUCUCGUGGCAUCCUAAUUAUUGUUUCGCGUCAUCCAAAUUCUUUUAAACAUUUCAUGUCCCCUCGUCAUUACAGUAAUUGGUCUGCAUCCUAAAUUCCUAAUUAUCGCCUUGUGACUUCGAAAUUCUCGUAACUAAUUCAUGGUAAAUUCUUUCCGUUAUUAUACUAAUUGGUUCCUUGAAAACACACAAGAUUAUAGUAACUCUCCAUCCUAAUUAUCGACUCGUGGCAUCCGCAUUCUCUUAACCAUUUCAUGGUAAAUUCAACUCAUCAUAAUAGUAACAAUUUCCUAUGUCGUCGCUCUUCUCUGUAUUACCGGAAUCCGACAGUUGUACAUCAUGUCUUUUUUGUAAGCGUCUAAAUAUUUACCAUAUAUUACACGCACUAGUUCUACGUAUAUAUCAGAAUGGUCUCGUUCUCUUAACACAUACGGAUGCCUGAUUAAAAAUAAAAUCACGUACACAUGCAGCACGUGUUCGCAAACCUUGCUUGCUCAUGUAUUAUCGUAACCCAGACCACUAGCUUGCACGCAUGCCACAACCGUGAGCUCAAAAUUCCUGAAACAACCGUCAACUAAUCAACCUGAAUUAACUACCGGACAUUUGCAUGUUUAUUUACCAUAAUCACCGUAUACGUAGUUAAUGUGUGUUCCAGCGCCUCGGCUCCAACCUGCUCAGCUGGCGCAUGCAACAGACGCGGCCAGUGGUCAGGAGCAUGAGCCCUUUCCGGUGGAUGGCUGGUUAGAUGGCCUGGCUAUAGAAUAAGCUAUUCUACAGUCGGUCACGGAGUAUACUCUCCCAUGCUGUGUUGAUUCUCCAAUUUUAUUGUGGUCCUAUCCACAAGAAAUUUUUUGAUAGGAACCAUCUUCCCAAUUCCAAAUAUUUUUAAUAAACGACUUCCAGCUUCCGCGAGUCACAAUUAUAAACACAAGAAAGGCUGGUUCUAUGAACACUACUAAAAAAAGCAGCUCUGGUACCGGGCCAAAACCCCCUCUAGUACCGGUUGCACAAUCGGUACUAGCAAAUCAGUACUAGAGAGGGGUCCUCUGGUACCGAUUGGAAUAACAGGUACUAAAGGGUAUUAAAAAUUUUUAAAAAAAGCAAAUCCCCUCCCCCCGCCCACCACUGGCCUCCCGCCACUGAACCCACCUCUCCUUUCAUCGGCCCCGCCUCGCCCGCCCACCUGCUCCUCCACCUCCGCGCCGCUGCCGCCUCUGCCCCUCCCUGCUGCCCGCCCGCCUCCUCUUGGUGCCGCCGCUCGCCUGCUCCUGCGCCUCCGCCCCCGUCGGCCCCCACCUGCUCCACCACCCCCACCGCCCGCCUGCCCGCCUCUGCCCCCGCCGGCCCCUGCCUGCUCCUCCGCCCUCGCCGCCCGCCUACUCCUGGAGCCACCGCCCACCUGCUCCUCUGUCUUCACCCCCAAUGGCCCCUGCACCCGCCUGCUGCUCCUCCUCCACCCCCCGAUGCCCUCUCGCCUGCUCCUCUACCUCCACCGCCGCUAGCCCCGCCUGCUCCUCCGCCCCUCCGCCUGCUACCAACCUCUACGCCACCACAUCCGCCCUGCCCCUCCGCCCGCCACCGCGCCUCUCUACCCCACCGCUCAGCUUCAGCGCCGCCACUCCACCCCGCCUCGCCACCCACCAUCGCUGUCGCCACCUCACCUCACCCCGUCGGUGAGGGGUGAGCGGAGGGUGGAGGGGAGGGGAGGCAGUAGAGGAGGAGGAGGAGAGGAGGAGAUUGAGUGAGGAGGAGGAGGGGAGGGGGUGCAGAGGAUAUGGGUCGGACAGGCGACGCGUGAAAAAUCUAAGUGUUCGGUGGCAAACUCUCUAGUACCAGGUGUGGCUUCACCCGGUACUAAAUCCUUUAGUACCGGGUGGAGGACAGGCGGCGUGUGAAACAUCUAAUUGUGCAGUGGGAAACCCUCUAGCACCCGGUACUAGAGGGCCUCCAAGGAAUCCCAAAAUUGGAUCCAGUACUAAUGCUAACAUCAGUACCGGGUCUAAAAGUGACCCGUACUAAACCUUGGGACGAGGGGUCAUUUUUCUAGUAGUGGAAAUUGAUGGACGGAAUAAUUAAUAUGGCAUCAUUGUGGAUGGGAUAACAUUGUUUGAGACUUGCAAUCACACAUCCUGCCCUCAUGUAGUCAUGUCAUGUGCGGAUAUGCCUCGUUAUGGGAAAGAUUGUGACGGAUAUCCGGAUUAGGGAUAUCCUAAGCCAUUGAUAAGCCUUUCGAUUACGGAUAUCCUAAGCCAUUGAUAAGCCUAAAAUUAAGAAGGAAACAGGAAGCGAGGCUUGUUGGGCCCGUUGAGAGGCUGCCGUCUUCAUCGCCCGACUGACUGAUAGAGCCUGAGGUCGUGGCCCAGGAAUUGAGGAAGAUGGGCUACUAGACCAGCCCAAGGCACCGUGAGAGGGUCUAGGCGUGAUGAUGGACCAGACCUAUCAUGUAGCUAGACCUGUCCGAUGCGACAACCGCAGCCAAGCCUGCAUGGGCCAAGGCAAGAAAGACACGGGUUGACCAAUCAGGCGCGCUGUUGUCCAUGCCCCGGAGGGUAAGACAACUACCCCAGGACCUACCCCUAGUCGGGAAUGGCACUGUGGCAUCGUGCUAGAUCGUGCCUAGUCAAGUGUGUGCCUGAUCCCCUAUCAUGAUGAUAUCAGGUGAAGUGAUCAGGAGCAGGCGCUGCCCCUAGAUGCGUGUAGGGGCCCGAUUUAACAACCAAGGCGACCAGGCCCAGACGGACAUUCCAAUGGGUGUCUAGAGAAAAGGGCCCCGACUGCCAAACGGGCCCCAUGACUGCCAACCAGGAGGAGAGCGCCCGACUGAAUGGGCUUCCCCUGAUGAUCUACAGUGUAACCCUCAGUCGGGCUUCCCCUGAUGAUCUACAGUGUAACCCUCAGUCGGGCUUCCCCUGAUGAUCUACAGUGUAACCCUCCCCGUGGGCCGUGUAUAUAAGGAUAUGGGGAGGGGAUGAGAAAGAGGAUUCGACCUCCAGUGGAACACACUCAUAUACGCGUGCACUGUCUAUAACCCUCUACUACAAACUUAAGCUCUCGAGCGUGGGAAUAAAGAACUCACAUCUCGAACUAGACGUAGGGCUAGUUCCCUGAACUAGUAUAAUUCUCUUGUGUCUCGCGAACUAACCAAUCCAAGGAUUUACGCGGCAAAUCUUCACUAGUUGACGCUAGUAAAUGUCGACAAACUGAUCUCCAAUCGUCGCUUAUUGCGCUGGAUCGAUGUCUCAAGCGAGCGUCAACCAUGUAGAGCCUCACCUUAUCAAAAAAAAGAAAGAAAGAACGAAAAACUCGUUCUGGAGUAGGCAUGGCAAUGGGCACAUUACCCACGGGUAGAGCCUGAAUAGAUCCAUGCCCACGAGCCAAUUUCUGAACCCAUGCCCACGCUUGCGCAUGCCACCCGUCACGGGUAAGAAACAACACCCAUGCCCGCCAACCGCGAGUACACGGCACCCGCGGGCACACCCGUCAACACUUAAUUUAUUGUAUAGAAUCUGCUAGUACAAGACAAAGAGAGUCACCUUUGGAUCUCAAUUCCUAUAUUACAAUCCAAGAUGCAUAGCUUCAGGUUUCACAAAUUGGUAAUGAAGCUUCGUAGAUCAAUAAAUAAGACAAGCAUUUUAGAAUAAGGUACAUACUUGCUAACUUCAGCAAGCAAAAGGAACCAAUCUCCAAGAUUAAGAAAAAAAGAAACGAAACAGAAUCAAAAGACCACACCAGGCUAAUUGGUUGCUGCCUUCUUUGUCUUCACGAGUGGGGACUCCCAGUUGUUGGAUCGGACAGGUGGUUGGAGAAGGCUCUCCGGCCAGGAGAGAUGCCGCACGGCGGAAGGCUGGUAGCAUUGUGUUGACGCCCAAAUGUGGCACGGCCCGAGAUAUGUGAGGCUAAGAUCAGAAUUGCUUGGCAGUAACUCUUGAUAUUUUGCAAGUUUGGCUUGAAUAUGAAUUGUGCACGAUAAAAGGGCCGUUUUGGAUGCUCUUGAUGUAAUUAUGCUAAAAAGGAUGAAUCAGCACCUGGAACGACACCACAAGUAGCAAAUAUGGCUGAUAUGACAGAGCCAUCAAGUCUGACCGGCCUACUGAUGCAGUUUGACCCGUUAUUGGUCCUGCAGCCAAUCUGGCAAACCAGACCGGUCAACAAACUGGUCAGAUCAGUCUGAACAAAGUGCUCAAAAUGUAUAUUGGACUUCUCCAUUCCAUAGAUCUUGUCGAGACGAAUGAAAUGCAUAUGUGGAUUGCCUAAUUUGGAGUCCGGAUGAGAGAGUUAUGGCUUCGACAAGAUUCAGCCCCGUACUGACCGGUCUGACCGGUUUGGAUGGGCGGCCUGACCGGUUUGGAUGGGCGGUCUGACCGGUUUGACCAGCCAAAUCCGAGUUAGGAGUUGUAUUUUGAGACAGGAUUUAUGUAAUCUUUGACUCCUACUGGGGCAAGAUCUCCCCACCCUAUAAAUAUAAAGGGCCACGGCCGAUUGAGAAAAUCCCAAUCUAAUCAACCUACAAUUUACUUUUAUCUUCUCAACCCUAAUACUUUUCCAACCUCUAUGUUGUUCAUCUACUGUUCUCCAUGACCAUAGAUGGUGUUCUAGGCUUGCUGGUCGACCUAGAGCACACCGACGACAUCUACGCUCUAACGGGGUCCCUCCCAGGCGAGAGCUUCAACGGUCUUUGCUAGUUUGCUCGUAAACUAGUCAUUCUUCGCCACGUAAGUGUGUUAGUUAUCCCUUUGCUGGUUUGCUCAUAAACCUAGCCAUCCUCUACUAUGUAAGUGUGGUCGUUACCCCCUUGAACGACUGAUCCGGGCCAAACGCCAGGAGACCGGUCUGACUAGGUUGUUGGACCGGUGUAACCAGCCUACGCAGCACCUCUGCCAUUUGGUCCGUUCACACGCGAUCUGGCGCACUCGUGUGUUGGCCGAAAAAGGUGCCAACACAUUUUGGCGACUCCGCUGAGGACGAAAGAUCUGGUUGCUCAAACCGUUCUAUCAAACCCUAGCCACAUACCUAAUUGAUCUACUAUUUUGAUUUGCCGCUAUAGUUGCAUCUGAUCCUUUUGGGCCAAUUGCAUCUAUAUUUGUGACUUUGCAUCAAGCUGCUCAAGCCGAUUGCAUUGUGUUUUGCUUGCUGCUGUUGGAGGUAUGCCCUAGAGGCAAUCAUAGAGAUGAUGAUAUUCCAUUUGUAUCCAUGAUUUGUAUGUUGUGUUCAUUGAAUAUCCAUUGAAGGCUACUUGAAUUGAUUUGCAAUUAUGUGAAUUGUAUGUGAAACUCUUUACUUGUAUGGUUAUUCUAAAGUUGUCCCUAGUCGGAGUUCAUGUGAGGACACACAUGAAUAUUAGACUAGCACAUGUAUUAGUUGAUGACUAUGUUUCACAAGUCAUGGACAUGGAGAUGUUGAACUAAUAAUGUGGACACAUGUGGAGACAUGUGCUAGGACUGACCCAACACGAGAAGUAGUUCUCUCUUUAAACAACAUAUACGCUUUGUCCUUAGACCUGAGAUUGUCACAUGUAUUCUAGAUGUGGAUCGACCUACUUAGGGACUAUCAAACGCUACGCCGUAACAGGGUAGUUAUAAAGGUAGUUUUCAGGUUUGUCAAGAAGCAUGCUAUGAGACAUGGUCAAUCAAGAUGGGAUUUGCCCCUCUCUGAUUGAGAGUGAUAUCUCUGGGCCCCUCGAGUGAUCGGAUCCGAAAAUGCAUGGCCAUGCUACGUACGGUUAAGAGUUAACCUACAAAGGGAUUCCGAAUCACAGGAUCGAGAAAGAGCGGUCGGCUUGAAGCUAGACCAAAUAUCGUGAGGCAAAGGGAAUAGCAUGUAUAUUAUGUUGUGAUGGUUCGUCUGAUAUGAUCUUCGUGUGCGUAUAGGAGUUGGCACGUCUUGCUAGAGGCCGCUACCGACUAUUGGGCCGAGUAGGAGUACUCGGGCCAUGUCUAUGCGUAUCCGAACCCAUAGGGUCACACACUUAAGGGGCUGGAAGCCCAAUUCGGAUCUGAUCCGAGUUGGAUUAGGUUUAGAAGUACUAAUGGGCCUCGGAUCCAGAGGCCCGUCAGGAACCUCUAUAAAUAGAGGGGUGGGGGCGCCCUAGGGUUCACACCUUUUGGCGAAACACACCUGCCGCGCCUCCCACGCCCUCACCUGUUGCAACUCGCGGAUCUAGCAGUUCGGCUUGCGACGCUUCCUCCCUGCACAUGUGGAUACCUUGGAGGUGUUGCGCCUGCAGCACUUGGACGAGCCGCCAACGAGCUGCCGACGAGCCAUGACGAGCCAACAACGAGCCGCGGUACUGGAGGCGAUCUUGCUGCACGUGGACGAGCUGCUGAGGAGCUGCUGGACGUGAUCGGCUACGUACGACUACGUUGAUCGACUACGUACGACUACGUGAUCGUCUUCACUGCAUCGACGCAUAUCUACAUCUUCCGCACCAGUAGUGCGUCGAGUGGUAAUCCCGUGAUCCUUAUACGGCAGUUCUUCCUGGUUAUACACGGUAGAAUUUUUGAAUUACGCUAGUGUAGCCUACCUCGUAUCCCAACAACUACUCCAUAUUGAAGACUAGAAGAUAAGCAAAGUAUUGGUCAUUGGUUGCUUUGAUUGUCAACGAUAUCUGAAUUUAUCUACUGUAAGAUCAGAAGCAUCAAGACUUAUCAUGGUGGGCUAUCCUUAUGUUCCACAACAAUAUUACUACAAUGAGCCCAAGGUACAAGUUGCGAAUACAUUACAUAAUAAUUAUUUUGCAAGUACCAUGAAUCCUCAUGUUGGUGUUGCUAGAUAUGAUAUUAGUAGGCAUAUUGCAUCGGCUGGUAUUUGUUCAGAUGGAGUCACUUAUGCAAAUUAUAAUCUUGAAUAUUAUAUGCAAAAGCCGUUGUUAAAUAAUAUGCAUGCUUCGAGUUUUAAUGUUGCUAGCAACAGACAACAUUACCCCACACAUCGGCUGUACAACAAGUUCAAGAGCCGAUGGGAAAUUAUCAAGGCCAAACUAACAUAGUGAGCUCGGCCACCAAUUUGUAUGAGACAUCACAUGCGGGUAAUUUCAAUAAUAUUCAGCAUGGUGUUUCAUCUAUUUGUUCAUCGGGUGCAUAUUCACAAUAUGUGAUCACACCACAAAACAUGCUGGUGAGCGAGAAGAUUGGUCAUGCUAGUUCUAGCUAUCCGGCCAGUUAUUCUCAAACAUCACAUAUUGCUAACAUCUAUAACAUUCAACAAGGUGAAGAUGAAUCGAUCUCUGAUUAUAUAAGAUGAUUUGAAGAAAGUUAGGACUGUUGCUCUAACUUGUCAAUUUCUGAUAAGGAUCUUGCUAAUAUUACUUUCAAGGGUUUAAGAUCAUCUAUUAGAGAUGGAAUGCAGGAUUAUAAUUUUCUUUCGGUUGCUCAAGUGGAAUUGAGAGCUUUAUUACAAGUGUCUAGAAUGGGACUGAAGAGGUUGGACUUACUUUUGAGCAACAAUUUGGUUAUCACAACAACUGAACUAGUUAAUGGAUGUUCUGAAUCUGUUAUACCAAAAGUAUCAAGUUUAGCUGUACAAGAGCAAAUUGAGCAAAAGAAAAUGGCCAUGCUUGAUUUUUCUAGCUUAAGGUGUCGUACAUUUUAAUAGUGAUUAUUGUGCUAUUAAAUGACAAGUUCUGGCUAAAAACAGUUUAGAGCAUCAAACCAUUGAGGAACACAACAAUGGAGGCAGCAAGGAAUCAGUGGCAUCUGAAUGCUCGGUGAUUUCCAGCAAUUCUGGAGGCACCGGUCUGACCGGUUCUGUAGUCCGGUCUGGCCUGUCAAUGCAGAACAAUGUUGUGAUCUGCCGUCAAGAGGAGAAGCAUGAUAUCAUUCACAUAAAGGUUCCUCGCCUCUCCAACAUAUUUGAUAAGGUAUGUGUUACAAGUAAAUCCCAAUUAGAUCCUAUAUCUCUAGCUAAUUCAAGUGAUUCUGUCACAAAUAAUUCCAAGAGUUCGAUUGAGGAUGUUAAUUUACUUGCUAUUAGCAGUAUGCCUUCAGAUAGUGUCAGCCAAUGCAUUGUAAAAAUUAGAAAGGCUGAUCAUAGUAAUACUUUGGCAUUUAAAUUUUCUCCAUCAUCAUUGCCAAAGUUUUUAUCUACAUGGCUUACUCAUGGUUAUUUUGGAGUUAAAAGCAAAAAAUCAAGACCGAGAACUAUUGUGAAAUCUGAUGCUAAUAUAGUUGUAAGCUCUAAAGUAUCUGAUGUGAGAAGCCCAAGGAAAGGUAUAGCUGAAUGGGUUUGUGAGAAAUCUGAACCAUUUGCUUGCUUGGCCUUGAAGCCUUCUCUGCAAAGGCAUCGGUUGGAAAAGAUAAAGUAUACCUUUGAUUUAACUUUGUGUGAUAAUCUAUUUCAUAUGUUGCUAGAGAAUAAGUUUAUUAGACUAUUUGACCACAAAGUUAUUCCAUCACCUCUUGAAUUAGGAGAUCGAAAGUAUUGCAAGUGGCAUAAUUCAUUUGAUCAUAAUACUAGUGAUUGCAAUAUAUUUCGUCAACUUAUACAAUCAGCCAUUAAUACCGGACGAUUGAGAUUUGCUCAAACACAAGAGGAUGAUCAGUUGGCUGCAAUUGGUUGAGAUGGCAAAGGAUCAUUAAAUCGGUUAGAGUUAGCCGAUUCAUCUAAAGAUCCAGGCUUAAUUGCCAAAGAGGAAGAUUUGAAGCUCCCAAGUGAUGCGAAGUACAUAAGGACGAUCAGCCUAUCAAAAUCCCAGAAGUUAAUGGGGGGCAAAUGGAUUUUUCUGCAUCGGAUGAAGGACCUAUUGCUCCUGUUGUGCUGGACGAACAUGUCAGAUUGGUCAAACUGGUUCCGCAAACCGAUCAGAUCGGUUCAAGCAUGUCAGAUCAGUCAAACCGGUUCCGCAAACCGAUCAGAUCGGUUUAGGUCUGAAAGAUUCAAAAAUGUUGAGGCCUGAGCAUCCUGUAGUGAAUGGAGAUAAAGAACGUGUUAAGCACAAUGGUAAAAAGCCGAAGCUCAGUUUCGAUGAACUUGUUGGAGGUAUGCCCUAGAGGCAAUCAUAUAGAUGAUGAUAUUCCAUUUGUAUCCAUGAUUUGUAUGUUGUGUUCAUUGAAUAUCCAUUGAAGGCUACUUGAAUUGAUUUGAAAUUAUGUGAAUUGUAUGUGAAACUCUUUACUUGUAUGGUUAUUCUAAAGUUGUCCCUAGUCGGAGUUCAUGUGAGGACACACAUGAAUAUUAGACUAGCACAUGUAUUAGUUGAUGACUAUGUUUCACAAGUCAUGGACAUGGAGAUGUUGAACUAAUAAUGUGGACACAUGUGGAGACAUGUGCUAGGACUGACCCAACACAAGAAGUAGUUCUCUCUUUAAACAACAUAUACGCUUUGUCCUUAGACCUGAGACUGUCGCAUGUAUUCUAGAUGUGGAUCGACCUACUUAGGGGCUAUCAAACGCUACGCCGUAACAGGGUAGUUAUAAAGGUAGCUUUCGGGUUUGUCAAGAAGCAUGCUAUGAGACAUGGUCAGUCAAGAUGGGAUUUGCCCCUCUCUGAUUGAGAGUGAUAUCUCUGGGCCCCUCGAGUGAUCGGAUCCAAAAUGCAUGGCCAUACUACGUACGGUUAAGAGUUAACCUACAAAGGGAUUCCGAAUCACAGGAUCGAGAAAGAGCGGUUGGCUUGAAGCUAGACCAAAUAUCGUGAGGCAAAGGGAAUAGCAUGUAUAUUAUGUUGUGAUGGUUCGUCUGAUAUGAUCUUCGUGUGCGUAUAGGAGUUGGCACGUCUUGCUAGAGGCCGCUACCGACUAUUGGGCCGAGCAGGAGUACUCGGGCCAUGUCUAUACGUAUCCGAACCCGUAGGGUCACACACUUAAGGGGCUGGAAGCCCAAUUCGGAUCUGAUCCGAGUUGGAUUAGGUUUAGAAGUACUAAUGGGCCUCGGAUCUAGAGGCCCAUCAGGAACCUCUAUAAAUAGAGGGGUGGGGGCGCCCUAGGGUUCACACCUUUUGGCGAAACACACCUGCCGCGCCUCCCACGCCCUCGCCUGUUGCAACUCGCGGAUCUAGCAGUCCGGCUUGCGACGCUUCCUCCCUGCACGUGUGGAUACCUUGGAGGUGUUGCGCCUGCAGCACUUGGACGAGCCAUCGACGAGUUGCCGACGAGCCACGACGAGCCGCGGCACCGGAGGCGAUCUUGCUGCACGUGGACGAUCGGCUGAGGAGCUGCUGGACGUGACGUGAUCGACUACGUACGACUACGUUGAUCGACUACGUACGACUACGUGAUCGUCUUCACUGCAUCGACGCAUAUCUACAUCUUCCGCACCAGUAGUACGUCGAGUGGUAAUCCCAUGAUCCUUAUACGGCAGUUCUUCCUGGUUAUACGCGGUAGAAUUUUUGAAUUGCGCUAGUGUAGCCUAUCUCGUAUCCCAACAGAACUUCUAGCUAAAUAUCAAAAAGAGAAUGAGGCAAAGCGUGCUAAUCGGUCAAAUGAUGUUAAAUCAUCAAGAUUGUCUCCUAAACAUAAUUCUGGGAAUUGGAAUUGGCAAGGAGAAAAGUUUCAUUCAGCAACAUCAUGUCCUCCUUUUGAGGCAACAAUGCCAGUUCCAUAUGCUCCACACCCCACUAGUUUUCAUCCUUACUCAUCAUGAGGGUGGAAUGAUUUAUGGGCACAUACUCCUUCACAUUUUAGACCGUAUUAUGUAGAGUAUGCAGCAUCAAGGGAACCAUCGCGUUCAAUGCAGCCAUAUGUUGAAAAUGACCAUUUUAAGCAAAAGGAUCGGUCUAAUGUCCAAAAGAAUAAAAAGGUUGCCAAGCAAGUUUAUCGAGUGAAAAGAGAUGGUCGCAAAGAUAAGAGCUUAGAUCUGAAUUCAAUUAAUGAAAAGCCGAUUGAUAUGCUAAGUACUUCGGCUAGCAAUGGCAAGGAUGAGGAAAAAUUAGCCAUUGAUCUUCCAAGUUCCAAAUCUGAACAAAAGAAGUCAAAGAAGACAAAAAACAAGAAAAGAGCCCUGUUGCCCGAAAUUGAAGCAAGGCCAAGCUGUCCACUUGAUUUAUCAAAUUGGCAGAAAAAGAAGCUGCAAAAGUUUACUGCUCAAGAACUAAGAAAGAAGGGCAUAGCAUGGGUUCCUAAAAGAAGUAUUCAAACUCAAAGCAAGGACGAUGUUCAAGCAAAGGAUGCAGCACAGUUGAAGGAGAAGAGGAAGUUUGAGAGACAACCUCCAAAACUGAAGUUUACACCAAAUCAUCAAAAUUAUUGGUCAUUACCUCAUCCAUUUGCUUUACAAAUGCCCUCUGUGCCUAUAUCUUGGAAUUUAUCCUUGGAUAUGUUUGGUUAUCCCUCACGCACUUAUUUUGAUCCUUGGGUUCUAUGUGGGUCUUUAUAUUGUGAUGACCCUGGUUGAAAUCAGCCGAGUUAAUCCUAAUCCGAGUCUCUAAUCCCUCUGUCUCGGCUCCCCUUAGCUUAAGCGCUCCACCUCCGGUCCUAGUCCCGACCCCUGAAGAACCCAACCAGAACCACCGGUUCCCUCUAAGUCUCAACAGCAGCGUCCCUUUUCAAUCUUGGAGCUGUGGGACAACAGAGACUGACUGGUGGACCUGCAAAUCUUUUUCCGAAUCUCCCGAGGCAGACGCACUCGAGCAGCAUGCGCCCGCUUCAGAGUUUCCUCGCCGCAUGGCUUAAUCCCUCCGACGCCCGCCGCUUCGCCUAAUCGCCGGCCGCGACAGGAUGGAUUCCCACGCCCUCCUCCCCAAUCGCAGCAGAAGCCCGUCUGCAACCCUUUCUUUAAUGCCUCGUCUCGCUCGCGCCCUCGCCGGCCGUGCCUUGGUGCUCCGUCGCCGCUGUGGCAGAGCUUUGCCGCCUGUUGCGUCAAACCGCCUCGCGGCUCGCGCCCAUCAUCUUGUUGGAUCCCCGGCUGCAAGGCCCGAUGCCUUCCGGCUUUUCCGCCACCUCUCCACAGUCGCGCUGCCCACGAACUCGCUAUGCGAAUAUUCCUCCAUCGCCAACCCCGACUCCAGCAGUGUCAGCUCCCUUCUCUCACCCCACCAGUGCCGUGUGCCGGCAAUGCCAAUGUAUUGUGCUCGAUUGCGACGCCGUUCUUCCUGUCUUUUCGCCUGUUGCAACCUCGCUUGCAGCGCCUUUCUCCCUGUCACACCAAUCACAUCUGCCGCUCGACGAUGCCCGCCCCCGCCAAAAUCUCAACCCCAGCAAAGCCGCGCCUGCGCCGUCUUGUCUCCAGUGCCCAAUGGCCGAAGACGCUAUCUCCGAAGUCCUGUUCCGCCGCCCACCGCUGCUCAAUCGCCGCCAUGGCAGCGCACUCCAUCCUUUUCUUUUGGUCUUCAUGCCGCUCCAACUCUCUUUCUUCCGCGCCGCUAUAAAAGGGAAUGCCAGAGUUCCACCAGAGUUCCUUCGCCCUUGCUAUCUCGCCGCCCCUCCUUUUAGCGCACCUGAGCACUCCUGCUUAAAUCUCGAAAGGUUCCCCUCUCCGCUCAAGUCUGUCCCCCCCAAUCCACCCAGCCGCCUGCUCCUCCGCGCUGUGCUAGAGCUUCCUUGUUACUCACAAGAAGCUCCGCCGCCGCCGGGCAUUGUCGCCGCCCAAGCCUUAGUUCCUAAGACCUUCCUUCCCGUUCUGCUCCUUCCCGACCCCAAAGCUUCACCUUUAAACCGAAGGUAAACUGCUGACCCCUUACCGGUUCGCUUGACCCUAUCUGUUCGCCUGACCCCUUUCCGUCUCGCCCAACCCUGUCUGUCCACCGACCCUUAUCCGCCUCGCCCAAGGACUCGGCUGUAUCCUUUUCCUUGACCCGAGGGUAUCUGUGUGAAAUUUUGGGGACUUCUCUGUGAUAAGUCUGAGGACCCCAAACAUAGUUAUCCUUUAAAGUUUAAGGGUCAGAUCAUAAGUUUCUUCCAAUCCAACCCUUGGUCUUGUUCUCUAUCCACUGAAGCUUGAACCCCCACACUUUUUUCGUAGCUUUGCUACAAGUUUCUAGGCUAAGGCUUGCAAGUGUUGCUGUUGAAAUAACCAUCUAAACACUAACUCCUACUUUGCCUUCGUGUAGAGCUAACUCUCGCUGACGGCGUCUACGAGCUAUACCCGGUGCCAGAAGACGGAGCUGUAGCUGAGCUGCCAGUUCCAGAAGUCGGAGCCGCCCCAGCUGAAGUCCAGCUCCCUUCCUCCUCGCUUGAAGGCAAGCCCCGGAGCAUAACCCCAAAUUUCCAAACUUGCACAUGCCUUCUUGCUUAUGUUUGUGCAUUUACGUAUAGGAGUUGUUUGCAACCUUAGGUGCAUGACAUAGUUCCUUUGAUCUGAACACUAGUUUGUUGGGUCGAGUACUUGCACUGCUUAAAUAGGUAUCGGUAAAAGGCGAGUGAUUUCCUGUCACUCACGAGUUAUAGGAGUUGGUUGUUUUCCCUCCUGUUAAAAUUAUAAGGACGAUGGACGGGGCAGGGUUUUGGUUAACUCUUUUGGUGGUCGGCUGAUCGCCUCGUCUUUCUAUGGAAUCUGUUAAGGCCCGACAGUGUUGGUGUUCGUGAUCAAGUAUUUGAAAGUACUAAUCUCAUACCUAGUAUGGGAUGGGGAAGCCUAGUACCUGAUUGAACUAGGGCAUGGCUUAUACCCCUGCUAUCCCUGGAACGAGGUUCCCAUGGUGCAUCAUGUGGGUGCAAGUGCGGUCACAGUAUGGUAGAGGCUGGGACUGUGGAGCAUUGCAUGCCAAGGGAAGUUUGGACCUGACACAUGCCUGGGAAUUGAUGGGGACGGCCGACACAAGAAGCGACCCUUGUGGUACGAGGAUGUCAUGAGAUUAGGUUCGCCACGCAUGGUUAAGAAACUCGAAUCGAUUCGUCUGCCUCUCACAGUUUGAGACUGCUUGAUCGCUAUGCUACACUGAGUAAUGAAAGAGUCUGAUGAUGACAUGGUCUUGAUGAUGAGCUUAUAUACAUAAAGAUGGAUCUAUGUUGGCUUAGAGUAAGAUGCAAAUGUAGACUGGUUGAUGAACUUAGAAUCUGAGCUAAAAUAUCGAAAGUAAGGACCCACUGUAGUCGCUUUUGGCAACACAAACCCCUCAGCCAAAGAGCCUUGCAUGUCUAGACGUGGUGGAGUAGUUUUUACCAUCGGUCGGGUAAGUCUUGUUAAGCUUAGAAGCUCAGCCUUGUUGUGGCUUCUCUUUUCAGGUGAAGUUGCAGCUUCCAAGCUUGCUAUUGGCUCAUGGCCGCCCCAACUCCCUCUGGGUUGGACGGUCGAGUGGGAUCCCUCCUCGGACGGCGGGGAAUGGGAUCAUUGAUGUCCUGGCUGGCCUCACCAGGGACGUCCGACCUCGACGAGUAGCUUCCGCUUGUUUUACCUUCUGUUUGUUUUCUUCAGAACUUGUUAAACUCUGAUUUACAACCAAGUGUGUAACAACUUGUUAAUCUAAUGGUGGACCUGUUGUAUUCUCUGGAACCACUCACCUUCGUGUGGGUCAUGCUAACUCGAUCCUGUUAAGUGGUUAAAUCGGAUGAAAUCCGAUGGCACCUUGAGUUGACUCGAUUAAGGCAUGAGUGUCGCAUCUUAAGCGACGUAACUGUGCUUUAGUUGGGUUAAUCCGAGGUGGUUCCGCCACAGCUGGUACCAGAGCAAGGUUUAGCAGGACAGAGAACACAAUAGGUCCUAAACACUUUCUUUUUGAAUAAAAUUUUGCAAGAAAAAUGUUGAAAAAUCUCGUACGAUCGUUAAGGAUGACCUUAGUACGAGAGGCCCUAGGGGAUUUUGCGGUUAUUUUUAGGUGGCUAUUACUUAUUGGUUAUCUUGCUAACCCCCAGCACUUCGCCACGUGUAUCAUACGUGUGCCGAGUUCUGCAUCAUGAGUAUGCGAGGGUUGAUAGGGAGUUCUAUUCAAGGGACCCUAUCAUCGCGGUUGUUUUGCCCACGUUUAUCAAAUGUGCGCAGGUUCCGUAUGUUAACUCAUACGAAGGAUGGUAUGGCUUGAUUCCAACAAACCUAUCAUCACGGUUGUUCGCCCACAUCUAUUAUACAUGCGCUGAUUCUGCAUCAUGAGUAUGCGAAGGGUUAUACGGUUCCAUUCAAAGGGGACCUAUUUCUACGGUUGUUGCGCUGUCCAUGCAGCCUUAAAUGCAUGGGUGCCGUUUCUAUAGUGAACGGUAAUGCUUGGGGACACUUUCGUGGGUGCUGGCACGAAAGGUCCAGGUGGUGGUAUUUUUCUGUAGGUACACUAACCGCGUUCGCUUAGGAGACGCUACUAGAACCUGACUAGAUAUUAUAGGGAGAGAUGUACUGGUUGCCUUGCCACCGGCACUGACUGCGUAAGACCAAAGGUUUUUGGCAGUUGUUUUGGUUGAGAGGAUGAGGUAGGUUGUGCAUGCGUCUUAAACUAAAAUCUGUGAAACCACCUCCCUAGAACAACCUUGCCUUGGUCAAAGCUCUUCCUCGGUUUAAGGAUUUCUAGCUUUCCCUUCCAACUUGCGCUCCGGUCGAAAUCCGAGUGCGUUUUCUAACCGACCUGUUCUUCUUCGUUGAGCCUCUAUCUCACAUUGUUUUGGUUCUUGGUUCCAGAUGGCUGCCCCCGGACACGUGCUGUACGGCGCUGACGGUGUUUCUCACUCUACGUGCCUACACUUUGAGGGUUUUCCUGCUAUUCUGUGGGAUACCUUGAGGUGGUUUGCGUACCAAUCCCCGCCUUUGUACAUGGGACGGAUGUACUAGGAGCACGGAGUGCAGAGAUGCUAUGUGCAGGUGGUUGUACCUCCACCCCCUGCGCAGCCCGAGUGGCCCCAGCUCGAAGUCUUGACUUGCGGACAUGCUCUGGAGGACACCGGGGAGUCGGCUGCUCUGCACCUCCUCACCCAGUUCUGUCGGCUACACCCGCUUGAGGUCACCUUAGACCCAAUCGGCUUGUUCCCUGCUAGGGAUCGGCUAGACCUGGCGUGGCUUGAUUGAGGUGUUGGCAACCUCCCAUUCUCUGGUCACCAUCUCUACCACCACCAGAUGCAUGUCAACUUUGUAUCGGCUGAUUGAACUUCAAGGCCGAGCGAUUGAUGUCUUGGCUCGGAUAGCCAUAGACACCCAAGGGCUUUUCAACUCCGCCAAGAGAGACUUGGUGGGACAGUCGUAUCAGCUUAUCCAGAGAGGCAUACAAAUCCAUGACAUGCAAGCCAGAAUCUCCGGGAUCGAGGGAGAAGUGACGGACCUGGUGGAUGGCAUGAUCGAGCUUGCCGAAGAGAAGAUGGAGAUCAAGAUGGAGCUCGCAGUUGCUAAUGCUCAUUUGGACGAGCACCACGCCGAGCUUGAUGCUAUACAUGCCCUUGAGAUGCAGUUGGAUGAACAAGAAGAUCCCGAGGAGGUCAUGGGAGCAUCCAGCAUGGACAUUGAGGAUGGCGACGCCCCUUCUCCGACUCACAGUGUUCCCUCAUAGGUUAAGAGCUGUAGGAAUCUAAUCUUUUGUUGUACUCCUCGGCAACCUAAGUUUUGGAUAGUGAUGUAAUAGGUUAGCCUUGAGUCGAGUAUUCCUCCUGUGUUUUGGGGAACAACAAUGCAAUGAUCUUAGUGAAAUCAGAUCUUGACUCGACUUUGUGACCCUCUUUGCGACACGCCUUGGAUGCCAGGUUGUGUGAGUUUUGUGCGGUGACCACACACAAGUUUUCUGUGGGUCUGACCAAAAGCUUGGCCGACCCCGAGUUGUAAGGUUGGAUGUGCUCGACUCCUCGAGGCAGUUCUUCGCCUCGCCCGACCCCUGGUUGCACUGUUUCGCUUAGCCCAACCCUUUUGGCCUAAGGUCGGAUAUAGUGGAACUCCUGGGAUAUGGUUAUGGUUCGCCUAAAGUUAUGUGCAGAACUAAGAUAGUUGCUAACUAAGAUGGCAAGAGGAAGUUUGUAUCUCUUUAAUAAAGACAUGUUGUUGUGUUGCAGUAUCAGCAAGAGUCGCAAGUGCGGAUUUAACAUAUGCGUUCCCACAUGAUUGGAAUACUUCUGAGGUUAUGGAAUUAAUGGAACGUUGACUCUUGCAGAUGGUGCAUCGCACCCGAUCUGGCUCUGUGCCUAGCGGUAGCGAGCAGAGGCAGGAUCUUCCUCCACCUCUGCCCCCACCCUUGCUGGAAGCCCUCCUAGCAGCUCAAACUGAGCUGCUAAGGCACAUUGUACAAGGACAACAACAGCAGCCCCAUGGAGGGAGAGUUCAUCAACAACCUCAAGUUGCUCGUUAUGAGGACUUCUUGAGCAUGCAACCCCCUUUAUUCUAGAAGACACAAGACCCGCUCGACGGUGACGCCUGGAUUCGUGCCAUCGAAUCCAAGUUCUCCCUCCUCACCGCCCAUUGCCUGGAGGAGAACAAGGCUCGGUUCGCUGCGCAGCAACUGCGUGGUUCUACCCUCCUUUGGUGGGAUCACUACCACGCCAUGCAGCCGGCCGACCACGUCGUCAGCUGGGAGGAGUUUAAGACGGCGUUCAGGGGGCCAUCAUAUCCCUAAAGGUCUCCUAGAGCUUAAGCUCAAUGAGUUCCUGGCCCUUACCCAGGGAAAUCGAGAUGUCCUGCACUAUGCGCAGGCCUUCAAUGAUUUGUGCCGAUACGCUGGAUACCAUGCGGACACAGAUGAGAAGAAGCGGGAUAGGUUCCGCAGAGGACUAAGCCUGGAGCUCAAGGAGAGGUUAAACCUGAUAAGGGUGAAUACAUACAACGAGUUGGUCAGAUUGGCCAUCUCACAAGAGGACUGCGUGAAGGCUCUAGCAGCCGAGAGGAAGAGGAAGGCUCCACUGCCAACGCCCAGCCCACCUACACAACAUUUUAGAAUGGUUUCACCAUAGGCGCCUAGCCGACUCCCGAUGGGUUGCCCGACCCCCACCAAUGGCAGCACUUCGUUUCCCGGGAUUCCAACCUCAGGCACCGCGGCCGACCCUACCGCUGCCACCGCGCCCUGCAAAUGGUAACCGCUGCUUCACCUGUGGUAAUGUGGGGCAUUUCACCAAGGACUGCCCCAGGAAUCAGAAUCAGCGCCCAGGGCAGAGCAAUGCGAUGCUCAAUAAAGGGAAGAGGCCCAAGAUGCAAGUUUGCCAAGGUCGGCUGAACUUCACCAACGCAGCAGAGCUUCAUGAAGGUGCACCGAUAAUGACGGGUACCUUUCUUAUUCACAGUCUUUUAGUUUUGGUUUUGUUUGACUCAGGAGCCUCACAUAGUUUUAUUGGAAGAAAGACUAGUGACAAAUAUGGGUUAAAGGAAUGCCAAACAAGAGGAUCUUUUAGGAUAUCCACCCCGGGUGGGGUAAUCACAUCUGAUAGGAUAAGUGUCAAUGUGCCUAUCCAGCUAGGCCGAACCCUUUUUAAGGAGAAUCUUGUUAUUCUCGAUCUGGAGGGGAUUGAUGUCAUCCUAGGAAUGGAUUGGAUGACUAGGCACUAGGUUGUGCUAGAUAUCCCAGCCCAAGCCAUCCAUGUCAACUCACCCCACCAAGGCCCCUCUGUUGUCCAAUUGCCUCGCCGAGAAGAUGUGAAUUCUUGUGCGUAUCCCGCAAUGGAGACCCGACUGAAGGACAUCCCUAUAGUCUGUGAGUACCCCGAUGUGUUUCCCAAUGUUUUGCCGGGCAUGCCGCCCGAUAGAGAUGUGGAGUUUUCCAUAGAGUUGAUCCCCGGCACCGCCCCUAUCUCCAAAAGACCUUAUCGGAUGCCACCCGCCGAGUUGGCUGAGUUGAAGACCCAACUACAUGAGUUGUUGGAGAAAGGCUUUAUCCGACCCAGCACUUCACCUUGGGGUUGCCCAGCUCUGUUUGUGAAGAAGAAGGAUGAGAGUCUACGCAUGUGUUUGGACUACCGACCCCUCAAUGCGGUGACUGUCAAGAACAAGUAUCCCCUUCCCCGCAUUGAUGAUUUGUUCGAUCAGUUAGCUGGAGCAAAAGUAUUCUCCAAGAUUGAUCUUCAUUCCAGUUAUCACAAAAUCAAGAUCAAACCCUGUGACAUUCUUAAAACUGCCUUCUCCACAAGAUAUGGACUCUACGAGUACCUGGUUAUAUCUUUUGGACUCACCAAUGCACCCGCUUACUUCAUGUAUCUCAUGAAUUCGGUGUUCAUGCCCGAGUUGGACAAGUUUGUGGUGGUGUUCAUUGAUGAUAUCCUAGUGUACUCGAAGAACGAAGAAGAACAUGCCAAUCAUCUUCAUGUGGUUCUUCAACAGUUGAGGGAUCAUCAACUUUAUGCCAAGUUCUCCAAGUGUGGAUUCUGGCUAGAUAGUGUUAAGUUCUUCGGGCACACUAUCUGUCGGAAUGGCAUAGCCGUUGACCCCCGCAAGGUACAGGAAGUCAUGGACAGGAAGUCACCCACUUCAGUUCACUAGAUCCAAAGUUUUCUUAGAUAGCUAAGCCGAUGACUAAGUUGCUGAAGAAAGAGGUCAAAUUUGUGUGGAACGACAAGUGUGAAGAAGCCUUCAACACCCUGAAACACUUGCUGACCUCAGCCCCAGUUUUGGCUCAACCUGACCCUUCUAGGCCGUUUGACGUGUACUGUGAAGCCUCUGGCAUUGGACUUGGGUGUGUUCUUAUGCAAGACCAUCGAGUUAUUGCCUAUGCCUCAUGGGCGUUACGACCUCAUGAGCUGAACUAUCCGACCCAUGAUCUUGAGUUGGCAGCAGUGAUUCAUGCCUUAAAGAUAUGGAGGCACUAUUUGAUGGGCACCCACUGCAACAUCUACACCGAUCACAAGAGCCUCAAAUACAUCUUCACUCAAGCCGACCUCAACAUGCGACAAAGAAGAUGGUUAGAGCUGAUUAAGGAUUACGACUUGGAAGUACAUUAUCACCGCGGCAAGGCCAACGUAGUGGCAGAUGCUCUUAGCCGCAAGACACAUUGCAAUUGCUUGUUGGCAACCAACUGCACAAAGACUCUGUGCCAUGAGGUGGGAAAACUUAAUUUGGAAAUUGUUUCCCAUGGAACCCUCGGUCACAUCUCGCUUGAGUCUGCUUUGGAGGACCAAAUUGGGACGGCACAGUUAGAGGAUGAGGAAGUAAGGCGAAUCAAAAGGAAGAUUUCAUGGAAGGAUGAGGGGUAUAAGAAAUUCCGACAGGAUGAGAAUGAGAGAGUGUACUAUGAGAACCAACUUGUUGUCCCGUCCGACCCCACUCUUAGGAAGCAACUCCUAGAUGAAGCUCAUCUCUCCAAGUUCUCAAUCCAUCCUGGCAGCAAUAAGAUGUAUCAUGAUCUCCGUCAAAUCUUCUAGUGAAGUGGAAUGAAACCAGAGAUUGCAUGGUAUGUGUCAGAAUGCGACACCUGUCAACGUGUCAAAGCCAACCAUUUAAAGGUAGCAGGUACCCUGCAGCCCCUACCUAUUCCCUCUUGGAAAUGGGAAGACAUCAGCAUGGACUUCAUUGUUGGACUACCCCUUACAUCGCAGCGGCAUGACUCCAUUUGGGUGAUUGUGGAUCGUCUUACCAAGACUGCCCACUUUCUUCCGGUUCACACCACCUACACGGCCAAGAAAUAUGCGGAGUUGUAUCUUGACCGCAUUGUUUCCCUGCACGGUGUGCCUAGGACGAUCAUAUCUGAUCGAGGAGCUCAGUUUGUAGCACGUUUUUGGGAACAGCUACAAGCAUCAAUGGGCACCAAGCUCAUUCGUAACUUGACUUACCACCCUCAAACCGAUGGUCAAACUGAAAGGGUAAAUCAGAUCCUUGAAGAUAUGUUGAGAGCUUGUGUAAUCCAUUAUGACAAAAAUUGGGAUAAGUGCUUACCAUUGGCAGAGUUCUCCUAUAACAAUAGCUACCAGACUAGCUUGAAGAUGGCACUGUUUGAAGCCCUAUAUGGUCGGAAAUGUCGGACGCCGUUGAAUUUGUCACAAGUCUGCGAAAGACAAACCUACGGCCCUGACUUAGUAGUAGAAGUCAAAGAACAAGUGAAGAUAAUUCAAGCAAACCUCAAGGCCGCCCAAUCUCAACAGAAGAGUUACUCCGACAGGAGAAGAAGACCCCUGCAGUUUGACAUUGGUGAUCAUGUGUAUCUUCGAGUCUCCCCGACCAAAGGAGUGCAACGGUUUGGAGUAAAAGGAAAGUUAGCUCCCCGAUACAUUUGUCCUUAUGAAGUUGUGGAAAUCUGUGGACCCGUUGCUUACAGGAUCCAACUCCCAGAACAGCUUUUGGCCAUACAUGAUGUUUUCCAUGUCUCCCACUUGAAGAAAUGUGUUCAAGUCCUGUCGUUGUCAAGAUUAGUCGGUCAAGACUUAGACUAGUAAAUUUCUUUUAUGCGCGUAAGGCUUCGGAUGGUGGCAUGGGAGACACAGAGUUUAGACUGGUUUGGGCAAGGGAACGCCCUACGUCCAGUGUCGGGAGCUGCUCGUGUUGCCCACGCAGGGUUCUGUAGUAGGGGUUACAGGAGUGCGAGAGAGGGAACCGGUCCCAAGUCUCUUGGAUGUACCCUGACGCUCUAGCAGGGUGCGCUCGUGCGUUCUGUUGUCUAGGGAGCAUUAUGGUGUUGUGCGUUUAGCCUCCCCCUAUCUCCGGCCCCUGAUUCCUCUUUUAUAGCAUGAGGAGGCCACCAGGGUUACAGGUGAGACUGAGUGUGGAGAGUAGUAAAAAGGUAAACAUGGCUGCGUAAAAAGAAUAAUGAGAGGGGGGAGCAAGUUCCCAGGUCGCCGGCGUCCUCGCCGGCCUUCGGCUCCUGCUGGCGCGUUCGCCAGAAGAGGGUGGCGGCAGCUGCACCCUGUCGAUAGCUUCCUCGGCGACUGUAGCCGCCGGACAUGAUGAUGGCGCUUCAUCAUGACCCUCGUGUCCGUUGGGGGAGGCGGCGGAUCUUGCCGCCCUGCUGACGGCCUGCGGAGAGCGGACGUCGCAUCUCUGCCGCCGGGCGCGCGGGACACGAGAGCGGGCGAGGCCUCUUCCUGCCAUGGGCGGUGCAGCCCAUGAGUGCCCUGUGGCCAAUCGGGAAGGGUCGCGGCUACUGUAGCAUGUACUGUGCGGCCGUGCAUGGGUACUUGCGACAGGUUGUGUGAGGGCGCGGAGAUCCUUCCUUCUGACAGCUUUGUGGCGCAUUUAUGGCGGAAUUGACAGGGAGACCCACGAGAGCCGCGCCCGAGGCGAAUACUCAUCUGGUGGGCCUGAGCCAGCCCGACCUUCUACGCUUGGGGUCGGGCGAAGCGGAGGCCUGCGGCGGGGCAUCGGAUGCUCCCGACCCCCGUUCUGUGGUCGGGCGAGGCGGAGCUUGGUCUCGCGAGGGUCAGGGACGCCUGACCCUAGGACGUCGGGUCGGGCGAGGCGGAGUGCGAUUCUUGCUCCCCAUGUUAGGCCGGCGCUGGCCUUGUUACCUCAGGUGGGCCUGGGCCUUUACGUUUUGUCGUCUUCUUGGGCUUGGGAGGAGUCGUUAAUAUUUCCCCCCAACAGUUGCCCCCGAGCCUGUGGUGGAGCAGGGACGCUCCUCCAGAGGCUGUUGUCAUCGCCAGUUAUGGGUCCUCACGGUUGAUCCGGGACAGGAGGUGUUGUUUGGAUGGCUCGACCGUGGGGGUUAAUUAGGCGACGCACCCUGUGAGCGACUUGGCGCGGGGGGACUUCUUGUAAUCCCCUUCUGCCUGCGAGCCUUAAGUUGAGACCACCCGCGUGACCUUAGGUUGCGAGGCCAGGCCCCGAGCCCCUGCGCGUUGUAGGGGACCGGUCGGGAGACCAGGUCGACUUUUGUGCGUUACCUCUCAAGCGUCCGUUCGUUAGGACGGAGGGGGCGAGCCGUGCCACGCUAUCCUCGUCGGACGAACUGUGGUGCUCAUUGAGCUGCUAUCGGGCAAAUUCGAGUGGGGCCCUAGUCCCCGUUCGGGAGGGGGGGGUCCAGCUUGGGAUAAGCUGGUGGCGUACCCCAGGUUCCCAUUGGCCCGUUCAUAUAGUUCCCAAAUCCGUUCGGUUGGAUCUGGGGGCUCGUUGCCUUUCUUCGGGGAAAAACCAUGAACUGUGAUGCCGGUUCGGGCUCGAACGUGAGAUUGAGACGCCCUGGGCUAUCGCGCGCCUGGGUGGUGGUCACUUGCGGACCCAUCUCCUCUCACCCCUCGCUCGGGGGUGUCCUGGAGCGGUUGUCGAACCCAUGGCGGGCCAACCUUCGAACUCCUGGACCAUAAUGGGCUGUGGGGGCGUUUCAGCCCCAUAUCCCUUUCUUACCUUUUGGUGGGCCUUGGGCUGGACGUGGAUGGAGGCCGCGUCUUGGGCCGGAUGCGGAGGGAGCAGCGCCUUGGGCCGGUCGUGGGGGACGGUCGUGCACGCAUCCCCAGGAGGUGAAGCGAAGGAGGGUGCUGACCCGUGAAUCGAGGGAGGAGGGGAUGUUUUUGUUGCCGGCCGUGCACACGGUUUCCGAAAAAGAGGCGGGUGUGGCAGAGCGUACCUAGUGCCGCAUUUGUGGUGACGAGGGCGUCUGUUCCACUCCCCCCGCGCUUUUCCUAUAAAAUGGAAGCCUCACCUCACCAGUUCCGCCCGCCGUCUGCUUUCAAGCCUUUUUGCCUCCUCGCGCACCCUUAGCUCUCUCGCGCCCGUUUCGUCUUCCUCCGCCCAGCGCCGCGCCCUUUCUCCUCAUCCCCCGUCGAGUCUCUUUCUCUACGGUGAUGGGAUCUUGGGCGCUUUCCCACUUCGGCCCCUCGCGCGCUGAGGACCUGGUAAGGAAGGGUCUCCUCUGCGAGAGGACGGAGGUGGGCAAAUGGGAGCUCCCGGGGAUGGAGCAGGCACCGACACCACCCGCCAGCUAUGUUGUCUCGUUCGCCCACUUCCACGAGAGAGGUUUCGUGACUCAGCCGAGCCUCUUCUUCCGUGGGCUUCUGCAUUACUACGGGCUUGAGCUGCAGCACCUCAAUCCCAAUGGGAUUCAGCACAUCGCGGCGUUCAUCGCGUUGUGCGAGGGGUUCCUAGGCAUCGAGCCCAACUUCUCGCUGUGGAAAUACUUCUUCACGGUCAGCCUGUACCAGAAGACCGAGAAGAGAGGGAGCCAACACCGGAUGCCCCCGGUGCCAAUAGGGUGCGCCGGAAUCCACCUCCGCCAUACUCGCGCCAAGGAGUACAUGGCGAUGAAGACCGCGGCGUCCCACAAGGGGUGGCACCAGCAAAGGUUCUAUGUGAAGAACUACUCCGACUCCCCCUUGCCGGUGUUCACCGGCCGGGUUAUCGAGGCGGCGCUAGAGGUGUGGGCGUAUGGCCCAGCUGACAAGGAGAAGAAGUGGAUCCAUGGCUUGUUGCAGGCCAUCAAGCACCUGAAGGGGCGGGGGCUGACCGGAGCCGGAGUUAUCGGGGCGUACCACGCCGGGCGGGUGGAGCGCUGAUGCUCCGGGUAAGUUCGCUGGCUGAGAUGACCCCUAAUGCACCGAUCGAGGGCACCGCCCUCGCGACGGGUGCGCUUGCCGCCUUCGAGAUCCGGCGGCGGAUUUGGAAGGCGCUAGAGGACAAGGGCACCGACUACCCGGUGCCCGGGCACCCUCCGAUUUGCCCGGACGAGAACUUCGUCGACCUGGUAAGGAAUUUGUGUGCAAACCUUCUUUUUUUUUUGUGUUUCUUGGUUCGCCGCUCUGACGCGGGGCCUUUUCGUGUCUGGAGGGCAGCUUGACCCGGGUCAUGGACUCGCGGCCGCCGGUGCCGGAGGAUGCCGAGCAACAGCUGCAGAACUGUCUCCUUGCUGAGAAGCAGAAGCGCCGCAAGGACAAGGAGACGGCAAAGAAGAAGAAGAAGGCCGCCAAGGAGUUCCAACGGUGGCGGCAAGGGCAGGUCGUGCCGGACGACGACGACGACGAUGAUGAGGAGGUAGAGGAGGAGGACGAUGAGGAGGAGGAGGAGUUUGUCCUGUUCCCCCGGUCGGGAGUGCUCGUCAUUCGGGAGACGCGCUCCCAAACAGCCAUGAGGGACGAAGCGGACGGAUCGUCCGCCCGGGGCCUGGUCCCGCAAAGCUUUGGGGCCACGCCCUAGGGGUCGGCAUAGAGCGCCCCCCAAGGGUCAGCGAAACCCGCUUCCCAGGGGUCGACGGAGGCCACUCCCGCCCCUAUGCCUACGGCCCAGGCGCAGAGGAGCGGCGACAAGCGGCCAUUGCCGGACACCCCAGGGUUGACGUCCGGCUCGGAGGCGAAGCGCGCACGCCAUCCUUGCACCGGGGGAACGUACAUUGAAUUUCCUCACGAACCUCGUUCCCUUCCAUGCGCUGUGUUUGUUUCUGCUGAUGUCUGUUGACUGUUUUGCAGCGCCGCACCUCGAGGCCUCGUCCCGCAGCUGGCGCCCAAGAAGGCGCUGCGGGUGUUGUCCGCCCCUGGGGGGCGUACCGCGGCCCCGCUUGCGGCGAGCGGCAGGGUCCCUGGUGAGGUUGCAGGUUCCACCGCGGAGGUGGCCCCCGCAGCGGCGACCGGUGGAGUAGUGCCGCCACCGGGCACGGGAGAGGGCGCAGACCUCGCUUUUCCUUCGGCUCCUUCGGCUGACCCCGCGGCGCAGGGUAUCGCCCCCGGGGGCCCCCCGGCCGGGGAGGUGAUCGACCUUGACGCCGAUGAGGCGAAGAGAACGGCGGCGGCGGAGAUAGGGACAGAUGUCCCUGCGGCCGCGACAGGGACAACGGCGGCGAUGGAGGAAGGAGAGUCUACCCCCGCAGCCACGGCGGGGACAGCGGCAGCGGGGGAGACCGGGAUGCCUGCCCCGGCGGCUGUGAUAGAGGAGGCGGUGGCGACGGAGGCGGGGACUUCCACCCGGGGGGCCAUGGUGGAGGUGGCACCUGUGCCGGAGGUGGAGGUGCCUGCUCCGGAGGCCCCGACGGGGGCGGAGACGCCUGCUUCAGCGGUCGUGACGGAGGGUGACGUGGCUACGGAGGCACGUGCUUCGGCGCCCACGUCGGAGGCGGUGGCGCCGAUGGGCGGGCCCGUGGCGGCCCCGACGGGGGCAGAGGCGCGUGCGCUGGGACCGUCAGUGGGCCCGGCAGCUUCUGGGAUGGUGGUGCCCGUUGUGACGGGGGUGUCAAGGUCGGCUCCCACCUCUGGUUCGGCCACUUCCGUUCCCAAGGCAUGGAGCGGGUUUGUCCUGCGUUGGUCAUCCCGUGACGACCCGCAGAGGCCCCUCUUCACAUUGGAUGAUGCCGCGAAAUGGGGCAAGUGGCAGGCGAUGCAGAGCGGCCUCGCCAACGCCCGCACGGCUCUGUCUUCGGCGCUGGGGCAGUUCGACGGCGUCGUCCUCCCUGGCAGCCAGGUAUGGUACCAUCUCCGUUGGUGGCCGUAUCCUUCCCGUUGUUCUACCCCUGAUGUCAUAUUGUUUUUCAGGCUCUCCAAGAAUGCAACCGGGGGAAAUCUGAUUUCCUUCGGCUGGAGCGGGGGCUCUGGGAGCGCUUCAACUUGGAGAGGCAGCGCACCGGGGAGAUGUCGAUGCAAGUUGCUGCCGCCCAGCAGGUCAUCAAUGACCUGCAGAGGCGCGAGCAAGCAGCUCAGGAGGACACGCGGAGGGUGGAGGCAAAGUUCCAGGUUGUUGCCGAGAGGGCCCACUACAACCGUGAGGAGUUCCAGGCUGCUGCCAAGAAAGCCCGCCACGACGCCGAGGAGCUCGCACGGCUGAAGGGGGAGCAUGGAGCCCUUCAAAAGACCGUCGAGUGCAUCCGGUGCGAGCGGCAAAAGGCCUGGCAGGACCAGGAUGCCGUGAGGGUCCGGAAGGAGGAGGCCAAUAAGGUGGCGGCCGACCUUGGGGCGGAGGUCGGUCAGCUUCGCGCGUAGGCGUAGGAGCUUCUGGCCUCCGUGGCCUAGAGGCUCGACCGGGAGCGCCAGCUGAACGCCCAGUCCGAGGGUAAGACUCUGCUCAUUUCUUUGUCUUUGUGAUGUUUCGGUGAUUUUCGAUUUAGCAAGUUCCUCCGGGUGAUCCUUUCAGGCGAGCUCACCCGGCUGAGGGAGGUGCUCGACGCGGAGCACGCUGAGCAUGGCGACCUGCGGGAUGCUGGUCGCGUCAUUUGCGACAGCCUCAACGUGGUUCAGGAGGAGGGGACGAGUUCGCUGGCGAUUCGUGUCCUCAGGACCUACCGCCGAGCCUGCGAGAUCGCCCUGGAGGCGCUCCACACCAGCAUGAGGCGAGCCUUCGGGGUCUUCUGCUCCCACUAUUCCGGCAUCAACUUCGCCGGGAUGAGCGGAGGGUAGGCCGCUGGCUACUCCGAGGCUGAGCUGAACGAGAUUGACGCGUCGGUGCUCAACCCGGUGGAGGCCUUGGCGAAGCUCCUGGAGGAGGAAGUCGUCCCUCCCGAAGAUCCCCGGUCGGGUUAACUAUAUCGGGCUUUUGGCGCCCAAGAUGUAAAUACGUCAGUUUCAGACUCGUUUUGUAAUGGCUGUAAAGGCUUUUCUAAAAAAAAUUUUGAUCCUCUUUCAUGUUUUUCAGACUUGGAAGUUUAGAGCGCGUCGUUGGUUGUGUCAGUAAGCUUUGAUGAGCGAGGGCACCGUAGCCGCUGGGACGUGGGUUUUUUCGUAGUCCGAUCCAUCUUGCCUGAACAUCAUUCGUGCGCUCUUUCUUUUUCAUGCCCGAAAGUUCAGAAAGAGGGUUGGCUCGGAGAGAAAAAGUGUUUUGAGAGGGUGUCCAGUGUCCUAGGCCAGAGCCCCUGAUAGCCCCCGAGGGAUAUGCGGCCCUGAGGUAGGGUUAGGGUCGGAUAUCCCUGAGUUCGAGUUGAAACUUGGAUGGGACCAACUCAAAAUUCUUUUUUCCGUAAAAAAUUUUUAGAUGUACAGAAGUGUUCAUGUACAAAACCUGGAAAUGAAGGCUAGGGGUAGAAGCGUCUUAGCUGUUCUAUGUUCCAAGCGUUGCUGAAGACUUGUCCGUCGGGAGUCGCCAGCUUGUAGGUGCCUGUUCGCAGUACCUGCGUGAUGAUGAAGGCACCUUCCCACGGAGGGGUCAGCUUGUGCCGACCCCUGUUAUCCUGGACCAGGCGGAGCACCAGGUCGCCAAUGUUGAAGGCUCGGCCUUGUACCUUGCGGCUGUAGUAGCGUCUUUAAGGCCUACUGGUACUUGGCCGAGUGUAGCGGGGCCACGUCGCGCGCCUCGUCGAGCUGAUCUUGUGCGUCUUCGAGCGAUGUUUGGUUCCCUUGUUCGUCGUACGCCUUGACCCUUGGCGACCCGUACUCCAGGUCGGUGGGUAAGAUGGCCUCGAACCCGUAGACCAUGAAGAACGGGGUGAAGCCAGUCGCACGACUGGGGGUUGUCCUUAGACUCCAAAUGACUGCUGGGAGCUUCGCGACCCACCAUCCGCCGAAUUUUUUGAGGCAGUCAAAGAUCCGUGGCUUGAGACCCUGGAGUAUCAUGCCGUUGGCUCGUUCGACCUGCCCGUUCGUGCAGGGAUGUGCCACGGCCGACCAGUCCACUCGGAUGUGGUGGUCGUCGCAGAACAGAAGGAACUUCUUUCCGAUGAACUGCGUGCCGUUGUCCGUGAUGAUGGAGUUGGGCAUCCCAAAGCGGUAGAUGAUGUCGGUGAAGAAUUGUACCGCCUGGUCGGACUUGAUCUGCGCGAUCGGUCGUGCUUCGAUCCACUUGGAGAACUUGUCGACGGCGACAAGUAGGUGGGUGAAGCCCCCAGGCACUUUUUUAAAGGGCCCGACGAGAUCCAGCCCCCAGACCGCGAAGGGUCACGUGAUGGGGAUGGUCUGGAGUGCCUGCUCGGGCAGAUGGGUUUGGCGUGCGAAGAACUGGCACCCUUCGCAGGUGUGGACCACGUGGGUGGCGUCGGCGACCGUUGUCGGCCAGUAGAAACCUUGCCGGAAGGUGUUGCCCACGAGGGUUCUUGGUGCGACAUGGUGGCCGCAGGCUCCGGCGUGGAUGUCUUGAAUUAGCACCUUUCCCUACUCGAUCGGGAUGCAGCGCUGGAGGAUGCCGUUGCGGCUUCUCUUGUAGAGCUCUUGGUUGAUAAUAACGAAGGAUUUGGCGCGACGCGCAAUCCUUCGUGCCUCCGUUUUGUUCCCCAGGAGCGCGUCGCGGAUGAGGUAGUCAAGGUACGGGGCUCUCCAAUCGGGUGGGGGGUCGGCCUCCACCACGAGGUCUGUCACGAUUUCCAUGACCAUGGGGUCGAAGGGGUCGGCUUCCGGGGCUGAGGCAGGCGAAGUAGUGCCAACUCCGUUGGGGCCAGCGCUCGAGCCCGGGACAGCUGGCGCGCUGCCAACCUCUCCCGAGUCAGGGCCCGAGUCUGGAGUCGGUGGCACGUCGCCGACCCUCUCCGGUUCUUGGUACCGGACUGAGGGCUUGAACUGGUCGCUGACGAAGACACCGUCGGGUACGGGCCUUCGGCCGGAUGCUGCUUUCUCUAGCUCAUCGGCUGCCUCGUUGAAACGCCUUGCGACGUGGUUGAGUUCCAGCCCGUCGAACUUGUCUUCAACCUUGCAAACUUCGUUGCAGUAGGCUACCAUCUUGGUGUCGUGGCAGCUCCACUCCUUCAUGACUUGUUCGAUGACUAGCUGAGAGUUGCCCCGGACAUCCAGCCGACGGAUGCCUCAUCGUCGUUCUUCUCCUCGUCAGGCUUCCGUCUCCGGUCACCUUUCACUGGGUUGCCUACAAAAUACCUCUUCAUGAGGUUGCAGUCUUUGUAGGCGUGCUUCAUGGGGAACUCGUGGUUCGGGCACGGUCCCUCGAGGAGCUUGUCGAAGAAACCGGGCGUGCCCUCUGGCGACGGUUGGCCUCGCUUAUGCUCGACAGCGGCCACGAGGGGAGCCUCGCGUCGCUUCUUGCUCUUCUUCUUCUACUGCUGGCAGUUGGAGGUGCCCUCGUCGACAUCCUCCUCUUGCUUUGCCUUACCCUUGGAGCGGUCGAAGAUUGCUCCAACGACCUCUUCACCCGAGGUGUAGCUGGUGGCGAUGUUGAGGAGCUCCUCUGUAGUCCGCGGGCCUCGACGUCCUAGCUCGUGGACGAGGGGCCGAUAGGAGGUUCCUGCCAGGAAGGCUCCUAUGACGUCGGCGUUUGCGACGUUGGAGAGCUCGGUGCGCUUCCUGGAGAAGCGUCGGAUGUAGUCCCGGAGGGACUCAUCUGAUCCCUGGUGGGAGCUUCGGAGGUCCCAGGAGUUGCUGGGGCAUGUGUACGUGCCCUGGAAGUUUCCCACGAAUAUUUCUUUCAGGUCGUUCCAGCUGCGGAUCCGACCUGAAGGGAUGUGUUCCAUCCAGGCUCGCGCCGAAUCGGCCAAAAAGAGUGGGAGGUUGCGGAUGAUGAACAGGUCAUCGUCCGCGCCACCGGCUUGCCAUGCAAGCCGGUAAUCGCUGAGCCAUACCCCGGGGUUCGUCUCCCCCGAGUAUUUGGCCACAUUUGUUGGUUGCCUGAAAUGCGACGGAAAUGACGCGUUCAGGAUGCACGCGGAGAAGGCCCAGGGCCCCACCGGAUCGGGGCUCGGGCUGCGGUCCUCUCCGCUGUUGUAGCGUCCGCCGUGGUGGACGUGGUAGCCGUGAUCUACUCCUUCCUCCCUGUCCGCGCGGGAGCGCCUCCGCGCGUCCAAGAUGUCGCGAGCGUCGCGGAUAGAGCUGAUGCGUCGGUGGAUGGACCGAGCCCCGCCGCCUACGGGCGGUGGUGUCUGCCGAGCGGGCGCGGCUUGGUUUGCCCUGGGCGGAGGCUGGUGAACAGACUCCCCCAGCCUCUCCGGAGGUGCGUCGGGCGCCAUCCUGCUGGCGUUUUGCCCGCGUCGCCGGGAUGCGGAGCUUUCCGCUUGCUGGAUAGUGGUGCACUCAAGCAGGUUGCGCACCUCCUGGCGCGCCUGAUGCUCCUCCAGCACGUGCCUGGCCACUCGCCGCUGUCCCGGUGGCGGAGCCGGGGAUGGUGGGGCGAGCGGGCAAGACGAGGAGAGGGAUCAGCUCGAUCCCCUCCCCGGUGGCGAGGAAGUCCAGACUCCCGAAGCGGAUCAGGGAGCCCGGAGCGAAGCUGGCGUCGUGGCUGGCCAUCUGAAGCUUGGAGAUGUACACGCAAAGGACCCCUACCUGGCGCGCCAACUGUCGUUGUCAAGAUUAGCAGGUCAAGACUUAGACUAGUAAAUUUCUUUUAUGUGCGUAAGGCUUCGGAUGGUGGCGUGGAAGACACGGGGUUUAGAAUAGUUCGGGCAAGGGAACGCCCUACGUCCAGUAUCGGGAGCUGCUUGUGUUGCCCACGCAGGGUUCUCUAGUAGGGGUUAUAGGACUGCGAGAGAGGGAAUCGGUCCCAAGUCUCUUGGAUGUACCCUGACGCUCUAGCAGGGUGCGCUCGUGCGUUCUGUUGUCUAGGGAGCAUUAUGGUGUUGUGCGUUUAGCCUCCCCCUAUCUCCGGCCCCCGAUUCCUCUUUUAUAGCAUAAGGAGGCCACCGGGGUUACAGGUGAGACUGAGUGUGGAGAGCAGUAAAAAGGUAAAAAUAGCUGAGUAAAAAGAAUAAUGAGAGGGGGGAGCAAGUUCCCAGGUCGCCGGCAUCCUCGCAGGCCUUCGGCUCCUGCCGGUGCGUUCACCGGAAGAGGGUGGCGGUAGCUGCACCCUGUCGACAGCCUCCUCGGUGACUGUAGCCACCGGACGUGAUGAUGGCGCUUCGUCGUGACCCUCAUGUCCGUUGGGGGAGGAAGCCGAUCUUGCCGCCCUGCUGACGGCCUGCGGAGAGCGGACGUCGCAUCUCUGCUGCCGGGCGUGCGAAACACGAGAGCAGGCGAGGCCUCUUCCUGCCAUGGGCGGUGCAGCUCAUGAGUGCCCUAUGGCCAAUCGGGGAGGGUCGCGGCUACUGUAGCAUGUACUGUGCGGCCGCGCAUGGGUACUUGCGACUGGUUACGUGAGGGCGUGGAGAUCCUUCCUUCUGACAGCUUUGUGGUGCAUUUAUGGCGGAAUUGACAGAGGGACCCACGAGAUCCGCGCCCGAGGCGGAUACUCAUCUGGUGGGCCUGAGCUGGCCCGACCUUCUACGCUUGGGGUCGGGCGAAGCGGAGGCCUACGACGGGGGGUCGGAUGCUCCCGACCCCGGUCCUGCGGUCGGGCGAGGCGGAGCUUGGUCUCGCGGGGGUCGGGGACGCCUGACCCUAGGACGCUGGGUCGGGCGAGGCGGAGCACGAUUCUUGCUCCCCGUGUUGGGCCAGCACUGGCCUUGUAACCUCAGGUGGGCCUGGGCCUUUACGUUUUGUCGUCUUCGUGGGCUUGGGAGGAGUCAUUAAUAUUUCCCCCCCAACAAGUCCCAACUGAGAUCUUGGGACAGGAGCAACUUCAAAUCGAGCCCGACCUGACGUAUGCUGAAUACCCGGCCAAGGUCCUCGACCGAAAGGAAAGACAUACCCGAUGGCAAACAGUCAAAAUGUACAAAAUACUAUGGAACAACCACACAGAAGAGGAAGCAACUUGGAAAACAGAAGAGUAUCUGAACCAACAUUUUCGAGGUUUUCUUUCCCACCAAGGAGGUAAGGACUACACACCCCCAUUGGUCGCUCUUACCCUCGAAUCUCGGGAUGAGAUUCUUUUUAAGGGGGGUAGGCUGUGACGACACUAGUUGAAAUCAGCCGAGUUAAUCCUAAUCCAAGUCUCUAAUCCCUCUGUCUCGGCUCCCCUGAGCUUAAGUGCUCCACCUCUGGUCCUAGUCCUGACCCCUGAAGAACCCAACCAGAACCACCGAUUCCCUCUAAGUCUCAACAGCAGCGUCCCUUUUCAAUCUUGGAGCUGUGGGACAACAGAGACUGAUUGGUGGACCCGCAAAUCUUUUUCCGGAUCUCCCGAGGCAGACGCACUCGAGCCGCAUGCGCCCGCUUCAGAGUUUCCUCGCCGCGUGGCAUAAUCCCUCCGACGCCCGCCGCUUCGCCCAGUCGUCGGCCGCGACAGGAUGGAUUCCCGCGCCCUCCUCCCCAAUUGCAGCGGAAGCCCCUCUGCAACCCUUUCUGCAGCGCCUCGUCUCGCUCGCGCCCUUGCCGGCCGCGCCUUGGUGCUCUGUCGCUGCUAUGGCAGAGCUUUGCCGCCUGCUGCGUCAAACCGCCUCACGGCUCGCGCCCAUCAUCUCGCCGGAUCCCCAGCUGCAAGGCCCGAUGCCUUCCGGCUUUUCCGCCGCCUAUCCACAGUCACGCCGCCUAUGAACUCGCUAUGCGACGAUUCCUCCAUCUCCAACCCUAACUCCGGCAGCGUCAGCUCUCUUCUCUCGCCCCACCAGUGCCGUGCGCCAGCAAUGCCGCUGUAUCCUGCUCGAUUGCGACGCCGUUCGCCCUGUCUUUUCGCCUGUUGCAACUUUGCUUGCAGCGUCUUUCUCCCUAUCACACCAAUCACAUCUGCCGCUCGACGGCACCCACCCCCAUCAAAAUCUUAGCCCUGGCAAAACUGCGCCUGCGCUGCCUUGUCUCCAGUGCCCAAUGGCCGAAGACGCUAUCUCCGAAGUCCUGUUCCGCCGCCCAUCGCCGCUCAAUCGCCACCAUGGCAACGCACUCGAUCCUUUUCUUCCGGUCUUCGUGUCGCUCGAACUCUCUCUCUCUUCCGCGCCGCUAUAAGAGGGAAUGCUAGAGUUCCACCGGAGUUCCUUCGCCCUUGCUGUCUCGCCGCCCCUCCUCUUAGUGCACCUUAGCACUGCCGCUGAAAUCUCGAAAGGUUCCCCUCUCUGUUCAAGUCCACCCCCUCAAUCCACCCAGCCGCCUGCUCCUCCGCGCUGUGCUAGAGCUUCCUUGUUACUCACAAGAAGCUCCACCACCACCGGAGCACCGCCGGGCAUCGUCGCCGCCCAAGCCUUAGUGCCUAAGACCUUCCUCCCCGUUCUGCUCCUUCCCAACCCCAAAGCUUCACCUUUAAACCGAAGGUAAACUAUCGACCCCUUACUGGUUCGCUCGACCCUGUCUGUUCGCCCGACCCUUUUCCGUCUCGCCCGACCCUGUCUGUCUGCCGACCCUUAUCCGCCUCGCCCAAGGACUCGGCUGUAUCCUUUUUCUUGACCCGAGGGUAUCUAUGUAAAAUUUUGGGGACUUCUCUGUGAUAAGUCUGAGGACCCCAAACACAGUUAUCCCUUAAAGUUUAAGGGUUAGAUUAUAAGUUUCUUCCAAUCCGACCCUUGGUCUUGUUCUCUAUCCACUGAAGCUUGAACCCCCACACUUUUUCUGUAGCUUUGCUACAAGUUUCUAGGCUAAGGCUUGCAAGUGUUGCUGUUGAAAUAACCGUCUAAACACUAACUCCUGCUUUGCCUUCGUGUAGAGCUAACUCUUGCUGACGGCGUCUACGAGCUACACCCGGUGCCAGAAGACGGAGGUGUAGCUAAGCUGCCAGUUCCAGAAGCUGGAGCCACCCCAGCUGAAGACCAGUUCCCUUCCUCCUCGCUUGAAGGCAAGCCCCAGAGCAUAACCCCAAAUUUCCAAACUUGCACAUGCCUUCCUGCUUAUGUUUGUGCAUUUACGUAUAGGAGUUGUUUGCAACCUUAGGUGCAUGACAUAAUUCCUUUGAUCUGAACACUAGUUUGUUGGGUCGAGUAGUUGCACUGCUUAAAUAGGUAUCGGUAAAAGGCGAGUGAUUUCCUGUCACUCACGAGUUAUAGGAUUUGGUUGUUUUCCCUCCUGUUACAAUUAUAAGGACGAUGGACGGGGCAGGGUUUUGGUUAACUCUUUUGGUGGUCGGCUGAUCGCCCCGUCUGUCUAUGGAAUCUGUUAAGGCCCGACAGUGUUGGUGUUCGUGAUCAAGUGUUUGAAAGUACUAAUCUCAUACCUAGUAUGGGAUGGGGAAGCCUAGUACCUGAUUGAACUAGGGCGUGGCUUAUACCCCUGCUGUCCCUGGAACGAGGUUCCCAUGGUGCAUCAUGUGGGUGCAAGUGCGGUCACAGUACGGUAGAGGCCAGGACUGUGGAGCAUUGCAUGCCAAGGGAAGUUUGGACCUGACACGUGCCUGAGAAUUGAUGGGGACGGCCGACACAGGAAGCAACCCUUGUGGUACGCGGAUGUCGUGAGAUUAGGUUCUCCACGCAUGGUUAAGAAACUCGAAUCGAUUCGUCUGCCUCUCACAGUUUGAGACUGCUUGAUCGCUGUGCUACACUGAGUAAUGAAAGAGUUUGAUGAUGACAUGGUCUUGAUGAUGAGCUUAUAUACAUAAAGAUGGAUCUAUGUUGGCUUAGAGUAAGAUGCAAAUGUAGACUGGUUAAUGAACUUAGAAUCUGAGCUAAAAUAUCGAAAAUAAGUACCCACUGUAGUUGCUUUUGGCAACACAAACCCCUCAGCCAAAGAGCCUUGCAUGUCUAGACGUGGUGGAGUAGUUUUUACCACCGGUCGGGUAAGUCUUGUUGAGCUUAGAAGCUCAGCCUUGUUGUGGCUUCUCUUUUCAGGUGAAGUUGUAGCUUCCGAGCUUGUUGUUGUCUCUUGGCUGCCCCAACUCCCCCCAGGUUGGACGGUCGAGUAGGAUCCCUCCUCAGACGGCGUGGAAUGGGAUCAUUGAUGUCCUGGCUGGCCUCACCAGGGACGUCCGACCCCGACGAGUAGCUUCCGCUUGUUUUACCUUCUGUUUGUUUUCUUCAAAACUUGUUAAACUCUGAUUUACAACCAAGUGUGUAACAACUUGUUAAUCAAAUGGUGGACCUGUUGUAUUCUCUGGAACCACUCACCUUCGUGUGGGUCAUGCUAACUCGGUCCUGUUAAAUGGUUAAAUCGGAUGAAAUCCGACGGCACCUUGAGUUGAGUCGAUUAAGGCAUGAGUGUCGCAUCUUAAGCGAUGUAACUGUGCUUUAGUUGGGUUAAUCCGAGGUGGUUCCGUCACAUAUAUCAUGGAGGGUUAUCACCAAAUUGUUAUGCACAUUGACUUGAUUGCAACAGAUGUUGCCAUUAAUUUUCAGAAGCUGAAAUAUUUGGUUCUUAGAGAUGGUUUUAAUUGCUGAAUUUAUAUAUCUCUAUAUACUUUUAUUUGGGCUGUGCAUAUUCUUAUGGAUGGAUUUAUUAUGGAUGAUAUUGAAUUAUCAUCCUUGGCAAUACACAUGGCCGAUGAAUCUCUUUGAUCAUCAUCCUAAAAUAGUAGCUUCCCGAUGAGAGAUCAUUUAUGAUCUUACUGGCGCCUUAAGUGCUCGGGGGGCAAAAUAUUAGCAAAACGAGCAAUUUACCACCAUGGAGUUUGUAUUUACUAAAUUGGCUUGCAAAGCAUUUUCAAAACAUUGGUAUUGUCUUUAUUUCACCAAAUGGUGUUGCUUUGAGAUCUUUAGCCGGUUGGAGUAUUUAACAUCAGCAAUCAAGCCGAAUAUAAAAUUCCUCUAUUCAUGCUGAAGAUUUUGGGAUCCAUGGUUGGAAAAGCAUGCUAAAGUGUCUAAUGGCUCAUUGCUGAAGGUCUGGCAAAUAUUUAUGCUUAAAUGAGUCAUUAGAUGAUUUUAUUAGUGGAUGUCUAGACGAUCAUUUCAAUUCUAUCAUGUGUCAUGUCUCUAAACAUUAGAAAUCUGGGAUAAUCACUCUGGAACAAUGAACAUCAGGUCACAACAUCCAAAAGGACAUUCUCAUGAGAGAAGACUGAUGUUUAGCAAUGUCAGAGGUGCAUCCUGGGCAACCGGUCUGACCGCCAUAUGGGGCCGGUUUGACCGGUAUGGUUAAAUUACCUCAUGGAGAUGAUAUCUGGCGGAUCGGCUUUCAAAGGGGGUUUCCACACAUUGGUGAUGUCUUUAUUUCAUCACAUGGUGUUGCUUUGAUCUAUAGCUAGUUAAAAGCUUUAACAUUAGGAAUUAAGCUGAAUCUGAAUUUUUCGAUUCGAGCUAGAAGGUUUGCAAUCCAUGAGUGUGAACCAUGUAGAAGCAUUUGAUGAUUCGUUGCUAGUAGUGCAGCAGCUAUCCAUGUGUAAAUGGAUCAUUGAAUGUUUAUAUUAGUAAAUGCCUAGAGGUCAUAUUUGAUAAAUACAAUCCUGUACCUAGGCGUAAGGAUUAGAAAUUAACACUCUGGCAUAACAAACAUCAGGCUAUAACGUCCAUGGGGAUGCUUUUAUAUUUAAAGGCCGAUGUUAGGCAAUGUCAGAGAGCACAUCCUGGGCAGACUGGUCUGACCGCCAUUGAGACCAGUCUAACCGGUAUGUCUACUACUUUGGCCAAUAAAGUUUCGGAACUUGCUAAAGCCAAAGUUGGUAGUUGGGGAAAGUUUGUUAUUUGCAUAAUGUAAGAUGCAUUGAAAGACAAGGCGAGAGUAAACAAGAGGGGUGCAAGAGUAAUCUGGCCAUUGUCGAUUCCAAGGUAAUUGUAUCAUGUUCAUCUUUUGGGCUAAUUACUCACCUUACUUUAUUUAUGGUCAAAAUAACUUGUGGGUGCAAUGUUGAAUCAUUUUAUCUUGCUUCAUGCUCAAUUUGAGAAGUGUUGCAAAGACCAAUUGACAUUAUAGCAAUUUGGCCACUUUAUGCACCCGCAAUGGCUUGCAAGUGUGAGAAUGACUUUGAAUUAGUAUUCCAAGAAUCCAUAGCUGAGGCAGUAAUACUCAGGCUUAUCUCACUUGCACAAGAUGUAUAAAUAUCAGCAACAAGGUGAUUUCUUCAUCUUGGGCAGAAUCAAGUAAUAUGGCCGAUAGACACUAUCGUCCUUAAAAGUGAAACAUUGUUGAUGCGGUGGUGCUCUACAUUGUUCCUGUGCAGUUCAAGUUCUGAUAAAUGUUUCUUGGUACGCAAGUUUUACCAAGAAAUAGGAGGGCAUGUGUUGACACCCAAAAGUCGCACGGCCCGAGAUAUGUGAGGCUAAGAUCAGAAUUGCUUGGCACUAACUCUUGAUAUUUUGCAAGUUUGGCUUGAAUAUGAAUUGUGCAGGACAGAAGGAUCGUUUUGGAUGCUCUGGAUGUAAUUGUGCUAAAAAGGAAGAAUCAGCACUUGGAACGACACCAAAAGUAGCAGAUAUGGCUGAUAUGACAGAGCUAUCCAGUUUGACCGGCCUACUGAAGCAGUCUGACUGGUUAUUGGUCCUGCAGCUGAUCUGGCAAACCAGACUGGUCACCAAACCGGUCAGACCGGUGUCAACAAAGUAAUUAAAAUGCAGAUUGGACUUCGCCAUUGCAUAGAUCUCGUCAAGAUGAUUGAAAUGCAUAUGUGGAUCGUCUAAUUUGGAGUCCGGAUGAGAGAGUUAUGGCUUCGACAAGAUUCAUCCCUAGGCUGACCGGUUUGGAUGGGCGGUUUGACCAACCAAAUUUGAGUUAGGAGUUGUAUUUUGACACCAGACUCAGGAUCGGCGGGUGGCAAGAAAUUGCGGAGGUACACAAAUCUGGCGAGCUGGGACCUAUGGUGGCUUCUGCGCGAGAGGAUGAGGACAGAGACCAGGGGGCAGGUAGCGGCGUCCUGGUGGAGAGGUGGUAUGCGGGGAACUAGGGACUAGGUGGUGGCGGUGUGGGAUGGGAAUGGGAGGAAUAAGAGGGGAACGUAGAAUUAGGGAUGGUUCUCUUAUAGGGUUUUAAAAACUAUCGACCAAGAGCUUCUCCAAAAUAUAGGUAGAGCGGGCACGGGUAUAGCUUUUUCAUGCCCGUGAGAUUUUACUCAUUGGGUUUAACUCCAAAACCUCACCCAUGCUCAUGGGUACAAACUUGCACCCAGAUCCUUACCCUACACGAUUUUUGCUCGCGGGCACACAGGUAAUUUGUGCCUGUUGCCAUCCCUAUUCCGAAGGCAGCUUAGCUCACCCGCCAUGCAGCCGUAAGUCAAGUUCACAUCUUUGGUUUGCAUUUGGCAUGACAAGCUAGUAUAAUUUACUAUCCUCGAGUACAAGGUUGGUCCAAAUAACUUCUAAACAAACAAAAAGUUCACUUAAAUCCUUGGAUCUACUAAACCAGUUCAAACUUCACCUAAUCACCUUUGACCACACGUAAAACCAGAUUCGCUGAUUUGGCGGGUUUGGAAAACCAGUUUUGAUGACUGUAUUGACACAUCAGCCAUCCUACGUGGCAAGUACCUUUUGGUCCACAUCACCCCCUCCCGGCAACGUCUAACCUGUGUGGCUUUGUCCCUCCCUAUUUCUCUGUUUCGACGGUCCCUAGCUCCGCCGCCAUCUGCGGCAUGCCGCGAUGCGCCGCGGACGCGAGCCACCCAAGGUCCCAGUAGCUCGAGCUCCCCACGGCACAUGGCAGUGCCUUGUCGUCACCUCUGAGCAGCGCCUGCUCAAGGUAGCCUGUGCCGUCCCACCGCCUGUUGCCCGGCGCAUUGGCUGCCACGCCUUCGCGCAGCGCACGGCCUACCUCAAGGAGGGGCAUGGACGAGGAGCGCGAACGGGAGCUCCUGAUUUGGUGGGGGUGGUGCCAUGGCCGACUCCUCGGAUGAGGCGACACACAUUCUGCAUAUCAUGCUUGGUAAGUGUUCGAUGAAUUUUCCCUUCAGUAAAAUUGGCUCUGACGGAAUUAUUUGUAAAACUUCAGAUUAGUGGUCGAUUUGGAAGCUGAAUGAACCAAAUCACUUCAACACUUGACAGAUCGAGUAACAUUGCCAAGAAGCAAACAAUAAAAUAAGAUGUGUGCUGCUCUGCGAUAUUGGAUUGAUACACGGAGAACCCUGAACCCUAGGCUUGUCACUGGAAGGUACGAGCAAACCCUUUCUUGUUCACACCCAAAUCUAAAUAAUUAUUAUCUACUUCUUACCCUUCUCAAUCUCACCCAUAUCCAAUGGAUAAUUAACUUUAUGCUAUAUAUAUAUAUAUCCAAUUGAUUAAUUGUACCCUCCUCGUAUCCUACCCUCCUCAUUUCUAAUAGGUAUAUAAUUUUCUACUGGUACCCUCCCUAUUUGAAGUGGGUGUGGAUUUGAGGAGAAGGUAUGGAUACCCAGUAGCAGGCCUACUGGUGCCGCAGGGACAGCGUAAGUGCCGUAGGAUAUCAGCCAAUGCACCAAAACUGAGUAGUGUGUGCUUAUGUAGUUCAGUUCGUAAUGAGCUGAUGCUCUUCGCAAUAAAGUGAAAUGAAUUUCGAGUACUUGUUUUUGCACUGAACCUCAGCAGUGGUGAAAUGAGAAUAUAAAUGCAUCUUUGCCACCUGCUCCACUGAAUUGUGAACUGAACAUGCUGUGUUUGUUUUUGCACUAAAGAAAUUGUGAAGUGAGAAUAUGAAUGCAUUUUUUGCAACUUUCUGUGAGGAAUGGUGAAGCCAACAGUGUACCCAUGAAAAUAAACUGACAUCCAGGAACCAACAUUUCACAAAAUUUUAUACAUCAGGACAUAAGGAAUUGGCUAAUAGAUUUGUUUCUUUUGCUUUGCACCAGCUUGCUUCUUCUUCUUGAUAGCAGUAGAGUUCAACUGUUCAAGAUGAUCUAGGAAGGCAUAUCAGCUGGCUCAUGUUGACUGCUGCUUUGAGUUCCUGGAUUCUUUCAAAUUGGCCUCCAAAGUGAAAUCUCACAGGUAGUACCUCCAUAGGGUCCAUAUCCCCUAAAACAAUUGCAACAAUAGAAAAGUAUGAGUACAUAAAAAAUCUAAACUUUAUAUGUCCGGUUGGAGUUGAAAGCAAUAGUUAAUCUACUCAUAGCUUAAAAUAUUUGUUCAUGUGGUAUAUCACAAUGAGGGACGUGGAUGACACUUUGCUAAUAGUAUAAAUCUUAUUAAUCCUUAGUAGGAUUCCCUUUUAAUGUUGAAUUAAUUCCUACCAGAAACACACCGCUGGCUGUUUAUACUGCAAACAUACAGGGCAUUGGCGGGCUGUACAUAUGGCACCCAAACCCUAGCCACGAUAGUAACAAAGAGAACCAAAUUUGCACUGCGUAAUGGAUAGGGGAAUAAACCUGGAUGUCUUACUUCACACCAAUUAACUUGUCUGUUGCGUGAUCAAUUGGUUAAUUGAUCUGGCUGCCGGCACCGGUGCAGAAACUUGACGACACAACAGGGAGGCAAGGAUGAAACCUAAUGACGAGCGAGAGGAGGGCAACGCACGAGGCGAUGGUCCGUGGAUCUAAAGGUACUUGCCAUGUAGGAUGGCUGAUGUGUCAAUACAGUCAUCAAAACUGGUUUUCCAAACCCGCUAAAUCCGCGAAUAUGGUUUUACAUGUGGUCAAAAGGUGAAGUUUGAACUGGUUUUGUAAAUACAGGAGGUUAAAUAAACCUUUUGUUUCUUUAGGAGGUUAUUUGGACCUAGCUUGUACUUGGGGUAGUAAAUUGGACUUUUUUCUAUACAAAAUGUAAGCAAAAAAUUGCAUCGUAGUCAACUCUAGGCCAGCUGAACACUGAUUAGUUAUUUCUAGUCUAUCAACCGAUACUUCUACACAGGCUAAUAAAUUUGAGAGAUUACACGGGCUAAUAAAUUUGAGAGACUAUUAAUCAAAAUUUAUUAGAAACUUUGUUUAUACUGUACUAAAAUAAGGGCCCGUAGCUAAUGAUCAAAAUUGUUUACCUUAUGCUCUCUCUCUAAAUAUUCUACAUAAUGUUCCUAUUGAUGUGUUCUCCAGUUGUAACAAAUUUUAGUUAGUAAUUACUCUAUAAACUUUUUCAUCCAAAUUCAUUUUUUUUACUUUGCAAACUCACCUCCAUACAUGUUUGAUAUGUGUUUAAGUUUAACGGAACCCUUAGUUUGCGCAAUUUGUUUAAAAUGGAAAUUUGUAUUGUCACGCUUCCUUCAUAGAUGUAUACAUGGUCUCCAUGAUGAUACACAUGAUGCAUAUAUACCUUAAGUUCGUAUUUUUCAUAUUAAUAUUGGUAGAAUAGGUAACUUUGAAACAUAUAUUGAUGUACUUUGAAAUAUUUAUUGUAAUGACAUAUGUGCAUAGAUGUAGAUACAAAUUUAAUGGGCUGUUUUAAGUUAUUUUUUAUAAUGGUUGUUGUUUUUUAAAAGAAACAUGGGUAUGUGUGUUUACUACAAGAAAUUUUCCGAUUUAUUAUGAAAAAUUUAUGACACAUGUCAAAACGUCAUAAAAUUUUGCAUCCGAGCAAAUUAAGUGAUGAAGUUAUGAAACAUCAUUAAAGUUGCAACCGAAGCCAAAUAGAAAUCAUCACUCAUUGUUACCUGGUGGUUUUGUGACUAUAUAAGGUGUACAAAAACGUCAUAAACCGGGCCCCACAUGUAAGCAUGUGUUGAAAACUAAGGUGUUCAAAAAUAUCAUUAACAAGGGGUUCCAUCAUGUAAGAAUGAGCUGAAAAAUAAGAUCUUCCAAUUCAUCAUAAACUCUACCACGCUCCCACAUGUCCGUCUGAGAUGAAAAAAAAAAUGAAGGAAAGUGAAAAGGAAAGAGUGUCUAUUAUAGGGUCGAAUGUGACCUCUUGAAUGUUACAAAUCAGCACUAUCAUUGAGGCAUGAACUAUGUAUGGUUCUUAAAAAAGACACAUUUUAUAUAUUAUAGUUCUGAUAAGUGUGCUCCAGUUGCCAAUUGCAUACUAGAGCAACGAGUGCAUUAUUUAUCAUUUCUCAACACGAUGUUCACUUCAAGGGACUCGUCGGCAUGCUCAUGUUGGUUGUGGUAAAAGCCUAGAGGCGUCAGUGCGCAGAUCUGCAAUGCCCCGCGAUAGGAAUAGUGCAUCUUAGCGGCGAAGGGAGGAGUAGGAUCUAUGGUCAAGUCAAUCCCCCUAUUUUGUGCUGCUACUUUCCCCUAUCAUCCUAGGAAAGGGGAUUUCUGAAAUUGGGGAUUUGGGUUGAAGGCAAUAGAUUCCAAUUUCUUCCUACACUUUGGUUUACAUUUCUACUGGUGAUAGAAGUAGAUAAUCUAUAGUUUAUGAAAUGCAAAAGCAAACAUUGAUUUCAAGUUACAAUUACUUUUUUUAAGCAUCCGAGUAUUGCAUUAUCUUCUUCUAUUGAUAGCUACUGCUUGGAAACAUCUUCCUGUGACACUACUUGUUAGGAUCCUUAGAACAUGUGCGAUCAUGGGUUGAGAGAUGUGGUGAAGUAUUCUUGGACCUUUCUCAGCCCUGGUCGUCGGUUUGCUUGUAGCUAAAAGGUAAAUGGCUACCUGCUUGGUAGAGAUUGAGGGAUAUGGGUACCCCAUGGGUCCCCACCGAUCUUGAUACUGGUCGGUCCUGACAAGUGGGACUGCCUGACCAGGGCGUGCGGGCCAAGGACUUGAAGAGACUUGGAGCACAAGACAAGGAGGCCGGGCGAUUCAAAUCAGCCCGGAUAUUACAGAAUACGUAUUGUAAUCCGACUCAGAUCACCUUCCAUGUAACAACCGAGUAGAUUAGAUUCAAACUGACUUGUAACCCUAGGUCGUCAGCCUAUAUAAGACGGCCAAGGGCGCCUCCCGAGGGCAACCCAAUCCAAUCUGUAAACCACGCACUAGCGCAAAGCAAUACAAACCACCAGAUUACAAGACGUAAGGUAUUACUCUCCGGAGGCCCGAACAUGUCUAAACCCUUGUGUUCUCAUGAUCACCUUCGAGUUCUUGGUCUCGCGAUCCUCUCUGCCUACAAAUCAACCACUUGGGAAACACUUGGUGGACUGCUGGGCUACUAAAUCCGAUAGAGAUUUUGGAUUUGUGGUUUCAUGUUACUGUUGUCAACGGUGACUUGUAAAUGGAUGUUUAAUUUGCAGGAUGAAAAGAAGCAAUGCGGUUACAUUAGUUGGGUUGAUCCAGAAUGUAAUGAUAGGUCCUAUGGUGUUCUAGUGAAGCUCAUUGAAGAAGAAGGUGUUGUCAACGGUGAGUUGAAAAUGGAUGUUUAAUUUGCAGGAUGAAAAGAAGCAAUGUGGUUACAUGAGCUGGGUUGAUCCAGAAUGAAUUGAUAGGGCCUAUGGUGUUCUGUUGAAGCUCAUUGAAGAAGAAGGUGCAAGCUUAAGAGGAUGCAAAAAAGUGGGAUGAAGAAUUGGCAAAAUCUAACAGUGAACUUAGAGAGAUUAGGAAUGAGCUCAAGAUGGUGUUGCAACAACUUCAGAAGGCUACUAACGAGCUAAAGUUCAUUAGGAAUUAUAGGCAUAAUGUCAAACUGGCGCACAUGCUGCUUGCAUUAUUUGUUGUUGUCGCGGAAUUGAUGCUUGGUGUCAUGGUUAAGUAGAUGGUUCAGAGGUGGGAUGAUGCUCUAUAUUUUGGUAGCUAAUGGUACUUUGAAGUACCAUAGGAUUGCCUUAUAUUUCUAAGCAUUGUAUCAAUGAUGUAUUCUAAUGAGUGUCACUUUGGUUAUGUUCUGAAAGUGUCACUUUGUUUAUUUUUUUAUCCUAUCAUUGUAAUAAUUUUAUUUAUCAUAUGGGAAUUUUUCUGAAAGUGUCACUUUGCCAAUCUUAAUGCAUGAUUUCAUUUUGUUGUUUCCAAGAGUGCCACAUCUACAAAAUAAAAAUGAAACCACGGAUGAAACUCUUUCUACAAUACAUGAUUUCAUAUUGAUGUUUCCAACAUAGCCACAUAAGCAAUAAGAAAAUGAAAUGGUGUUUGAAACUAUCCCUCCAAUGCAAUAUUUCAUAGUGCAGUUUCAUAGGCUCCCAAUAGCAUAUAAUUUCAUAGCUCAUAGAGAGAGGUGGUUUCUCUGCCUCACCAAGAAUCUCAACUAUCUCCACCUCUCCGGCAGCCUAACUGCGUCCGUCGACCUGUAGCAGACAUACAACACCUCGUAUAAAUACGGAGCGACAAACCCGCGAGUGAGAGAACUUAUCUCAGUUAUAAAUAAGUACUAAACGAGAGAAGGAAUUAUGAAAUACUCACGUACUUAACUCAGAAGGAAGCCAACAUCCGUAGAGGUACAUAACUGGAGUAGAGUGCUGAGGAACUCCGUACUCCUCCAAGCUACUCCCUCUUUCUCCCUAUUCUAAGCACUAGUCUAAGCAGGGCUUUGCCAUGGAGUGGACCUCUUCUCUUGAUACGAAUGAGAGUGUUUCUCCUAGUGGGGGAUGGAAGGUGGUGUGUUGAAGUGAGACCCCUGCUCUUCUAUUUAUAGGUUCUUAGGGUCCGUUCCCGAGGGGAACAUUCGGGGAAUCUUCCCUAACUGCCAUUGCAACUUUGGUAACUGGUGUCACGUGGCGGCUGGAGGUGAGAGGGGCUACCAUGGGUUCGACCGAACCAAGGGUUCGUCCAACCUAGGGCAACCGCCUUUGGCUGGUUCGCUGCCCUGUGGGUCCGCAUGUGGGUACGGGGUAUUAUGCAGUGAAUCUAGUCGGUUUACUCCCAUUAGUAGGCCCAUGGAUCCACGUGGUUGAUCCUGAUUGGUUGAGAGUGUGUUUUCUUGCUCUUGAGGUGUGUUUCCUCCAUUAAUAGACCUGCAUACAAAUAUUCACCAACACUUGUGGAAUUCAUUAGUAAUAACUCCUACCACUACUGUUGAUGCUCAUAUUUUAUGUGUUUACGCAAAAGUUGACGGUGUAGAUUUGGUACUUAAGAGCUGUCAACAACACCCCACACUUGUCCAUUGCUCAUCCUCAAGUGAAGGAGAAAGGACUAAAGUGAAACGUAACUUCAAAGGUAUGAAGCGAGCAUAAGAGAUAUCCCAAGCCUUACUUGCACUUGUGAACUUUGAAGUGCCUAUCAUGCCAUCUUGGAUAGUUGAGGAAUGGAACGAUCUUGAAUCAAGUCACUUCAACUCCUUAUGUCAAGUAACUUGGGAUUUUUUAAUAAGUUUUCAAAACAAACCUUGCUCAGCUCCUCAUUUGACUCCCUCAGAUCACUCAAUGUGUAUAUGUCUUCACCAUGGCAUUGGACUUCACUUCUAAUAAUGGCUAUAUGUGGGGCUCAAGGUAGGGUAUGAAGGAUAAGGCAUACUUGUAUCACAUAUAUUGCGAAGUCAAAAACCGGAUCCAAGGAGAAAACAAGUCAUACAAUCAGAUCAAGAUGUGCCCGUGUAUGAAUAUAGUGGAUGAAAUAGGGAAACUCCUUUUUGUAUGAUCUUUCUCCCUUUGUAAAUCUUUCUAAGGACGUGGCUAUCUUUCAUUUUGUUUUUCUUGGACUUUCAUGUGUCCAACUUUUUUUUGAAUACUUGGACCUUCAUGUGUCCAUAUUUUUUUUUUGAUAGCCCAUGUCUCUUUUGUAACAAUAAUUGGAGAGAGAGACCAACACAUAUGGUGGAGCAUUUAUUUUGUGGAAUGGUACAAUGCUAACUGUCAUAUGAGCAUAACAAGGGGUCUAUGGUGUGCAUGUGAAUCUUGAUCAUGAAAGCAUGAAAAGGAUUAGAUUUAAAAUUCGUUCAAACUCAUGAAUGAGGGAGAGAACGGAUAAAGAGACACAAACCGACACGGUGGACGAAGAUGGGCCUGAUUGGGCCACCCCUAGGUCAGCCGAGCCCCUGUGGGCCCGGCUCUAGCUCGCCUUUAGCGUGCGUGCUGGUGCAGCGUGGUGUGCUCUGUUUGUGGGUGUUGGUGUAUCAUGUCAGCUUUGGAGAGUCCGUGGCUCUCCCCAACACUUGUUUGUACCUAUGUGCUUUUUCCAAAAGACAAGCAAGUGAGACAAAGGACUCUAUUGGGUUGGAUGACCGGUGAGUCUAAACUUUACUAAAAUCAAAGUGGAGGCACUUACAAUUCUGAUUGGAAAUAAAAUGAAGGAAAAAUAAACCUAACUAAGACCCUAAAGGAAAAGGAUACAAGGGGCAUACCUAUGGAGCGCACUGCAUCGUAUAGAACUUUGUGCCCCAUGGUCUUAUACAAGUGCUUCAUCUUAGUGCAAAGACCACGAUGGAGGGUACGAAAGUCAUCCUUAAGCUCUUCCAUUUCUAACUUCUGCUCCGCUAACUCAUCGCUAAGCCUCCUAUUUUUCUAAUCGUAAAUCUACAAUCAUGGAGGUUAGCUGCUUAACCAUGGGGGCCUUUGGAGACUUCUCAUUACUAUCCUGAAAUUGGCACUCGGCCUUCCUAUUGGCAGUGGUGAGAGGUGCCAUCUAACCUUGUCGCCUUCCGGAGAUGACUCAUGGGAUUUAGCCAGCCCCCUGUCCUUGGGUGAGAGGUAUGGCUUGAGCUCUUCGCCACAGCCAUCCUGGGUUCGCACCCCAAAUAUUUGGAAAUGAGUUUGUGGUGGUGGAUUCCCUGCCCACGAAUCCUCCUCAUAGCAGUGCUAGAACACGUUGUCGUUCUUGCUAAACAAAGAUCUGACGUAGCGUUCGCUAGGCUUCAUGGGUGGCCUUGGGUAUUCAUCAAAUGUCAGCCUUUUUUAGGGAGUUGACAUGCGUGCCUGCUAUUUCAGUGUCUUCCGGGGCGAGGGUGAUGCGCGAUCAAGUGGGAGGUCGAGGCGGCCUUGGCCUAGUUCGAUCGAACCCCUAGCGACGCCUCUCGUGCCCCCGCUUCUCCUCUUGGGUGGUACGAUGACCAGAGGCUUGACAUCGAGUGCCUGGACCUCCUCCAUCAUCGACGAGGACAAUGGCAUUCGCCGAAGCGAUUUCCCCGUCGAGUUCAAAGGUCGAGCUCGGCUUGACAAAGGUGAUGAGGCCUUUGCCAGCCAUAGUGGUGAGCAGGGUCAACUGAUGUGGAUCUAGGUGGCUUUGAUAGAGAUGAGAGUGAAGUGAAUGAGGAGAGGAGGAAGAUGGGUUUUAAAGAAGGAACUCCUCUCCUCUAGCUUUUACACCUAAGGGGACGUGGAGGAAUGAGUCAAGGAAUGUUGGAGGAGCAUCUAUGUGAAGGCUGGAAGGUGGUAGCGCUUAGAGUGGUUCAGCCGAACCCUUCUGGGCUCUGUUGGGCCUCCCGUUGCUCCUGAGCGUGUGAGUAGUAGAGGGGGAAGUAGAGAGAGUGGGCCCAACCACUAUAUGUGCCGGGACUUUGGUAAAAGUUAGGAUAGAGCUAGGGUCAAUGACUUUGACCUUUGCUUAAGUUCACUUUCAUCAAAGCGACGUAUUUUUCUAUGAAGAUUGUAGCGGUGGACUUACCUUAACGACAUACCUUAGCCAUCGUGGGGUAUGAUUGCCCCUUCUGACGAUGAUGCGUUGAUGAUGUGCAUUGUGCUUGUGGUGGUGAUGUCGUCCUCUCGAUGUAUUUUCUCCCUUGCUUCUCUUCAUCCUUGAUGCAGUGUCUCGCAACCUGAAAGGUUAGCAUCCUGACAAUAUCUGAAGGUUAAACUUUCCUUAUAAAGUAUUUCAUUUAAAUCAAAGGAAACUUAUGAUCUUGGGCAUCUCAUGGUGAUCCCUUGCUCAACCACAUGUACAUCCACCUUGCUCCGCCAUUUGGAAUGGAUGAUAAUGUCUUGGCUGCAAGGUUAGUGCACAAAUACAACUAUGAGCCCUACAUAGAUAUUAUGAUAAAGUAGAACCAUAUACAACCAUCCUAAAGGGCAUUUAUGAUGGGAAACCCUAAGAUGAUCAUACAACUCAUAGUGCCUUAGCCCAACGGAUGACAGAUCUCGGAGAUAUCUUGGAUGAGCAUGAUCCUAAGAUGAAUUAGGAUGAAUCUUCAUGCUCAUGGAAAGAGUGGCUUGAUCUGAGUUUGAGUCAUGAGGGAAAUGAGUUUCUUUCAACUCAUCCUCUCCUUAGGUAGAGAUCUUCACGUUUCAUCAAAAUAUGAAUGUGGUGGCAAAAGCAAUCCAACCUAUGCUUUCAAUAGAAGUUCAUUUGAUAUGUAAUGUGAAUAUAACAUCUAUUGGGCAUCAAUGAAAAUCAAGGAAUGAAAUGUGAGUUUUGAAUCACUUGAUUUGAUUUGCAUCGAUCGGUAAUCAAGGAUAAGUAGUGAGUUUGUUUCACUCGAUUCAAUCGGCAUGACCCCUAUGAUCCCUUGAUGAAACAGAAUGAGCCCUACAGACUAUGAUACGAUGGUCAAUGUCACGGCAUAUUACUCAUUGUAUACAAAACACCUUCGAUGUUACCUUAACACGCGAACAUGAUGGGCUUCCUACGGUACCUCUUCCGAGAAGUUGUGGUUGAAACAGAUGAGUCAUUAAGAAUGAUCCUCUUCUUCCAACCACUCCUUCCUCAACCUCCCUCGAGACAUGGUCUCGAGGAAAUUUUAGAAGGAAGCACCGUAAGGGAAUCUGGAGGUAGGAUUCGCACGUGGCUCUCUUUCCCCAAUAUUCAUGCAAUUUAGGAGAGGUAUAUUCAGCAGAAUUUUGGAUAUAGUUGAGAUGAAAGCUCAAAUUCUGCUAACGAUAGUCCUCGGUUGCUCAAUGUGCUCUCCUCCUGAUAGGGCAUCGUUAUGCAGAUCAACCAGGGGAGUAGUUUGUCGGAUACGCUCCAAGAUUUCCUUAACUUCUGUUGGAUCCUUAAGCAAAAAGAGUCUUCGGAGAGGGCAUCAAGUUGAAGGCCAAAGUCCUCCAAUAAUACUAAUAGAAAGUGUUGUAGCAACACGUGGUUGGGUACAGAUAAGACUAGGCAAAUCUCCAUAAGAGCAGAAAAAUGAGCCCAUGCGGUGCCUAGCGAUUCCUCCUCUCACUACUUUAAGCAGAGGACCUUAAAUUGCAAAGAACCGAAGCGGGAUAGAGGAAAGAGGGAGAACCAAAAUUUAGUCCAUAGCUCUUCCCAAUUAUCGAUCACACUCUCCUCUAAGCGAAGGUACCAUUUUCUCACUCUCCCUGAGAGGGAGAAUGGGAAAAGCUUCUUCUUGAGAGCGUAUUGUGUCAAGCUGGAUAUUCUUUGGUAAGAACACAAGUGCUCGAACUCUCGCAGGUGAUGGUAGGGGUUCUCAUAGCUUAACCCCGAGAAGGAAUUUUCCUGAACUAGCUCUAUGAGUAUGGGAUGAAUCUCGUAGCCGGAUGAGAUAUUGGGUUCCAGAAAGGAUGGCUCUAAAGACUCACCCCGAAGUGUCGAAAGGUGUGUACGAGGAUAACCUUCCAUGGGUAGUAGGGGGUAAAUGUAGAAACAAAGAGAAUUAAACAGAUAUGAGGACCACUAUAGGUUCAUAGAUAAAUAGCAACCGUUCCCCAACAACGGCACCAAAAAGUUUGUAGGUAUAAUUAACGACUGCGAAUAAAUCCGCAAGCACAUGGAUACUAUGUAACUUUCACCUCAGAGUAUUCCAAGGGUAUCGAACCUAGGGGAAUGUGUGUGUAUACCUAUGACUCUAGCAUCCAAGGACAACCAACCAAAAGGUAGGCGAAGGGUAGAGAACAUUCCUAUGGAUAGCACUAGAUAAGUUAAAGGUCGAUCUAUCGGGUCAAGAUACUCGCUUCGGGCACCGGCUUACCUUGAAUGAGUUAGGCGCUUCCAGCCAACAGAUUCGUAGCUCCACUUACCACCUUCAGACUAAUGGCCAAACGGAAAGGGUGAACCAAAUUCUAGAAGAUAUGCUAGAUUCUUGUGUCAUACAUUUUGACAAAAAUUGGGACAAAUGCUUGCCAUUAGAAGAAUUCUCUUACAACAAUAGCUACCAUUCUAGCUUCAAAAUGGCACCAUUUGAAACCUUGUAUGGCCGAAGGUGUCGAACACCUUUGAGUUGGUCACAAGCAGGAGAAAGACGGACCUACAGACCUGAUCUAGUGAUUGAAGCUAAAGGACAAGUACAGAUAAUCCAGACACAUCUCAAGGUUGCUCAGUCACGACAGAAAAGUUACUUCAACAAAAGGAGAAGACCCUUACAGUUUGAUAUUGGUGAUCAUGUAUACCUCCGAGUCUCCCCGACUAGAGGUGUACAACGGUUUGGGGUCAAUGGAAAAUUGGCUUCUCGUGACAUUGGCCCCUAUGAAAUUGUGGAGACAUGCGGACCUGUUGCAUACCGGAUCAAACUUUCUGAGAAGCUUUCAGCCACUAACGACAUCUUCCAUGUCUCUCAACUUAAGAAGUGUGUUAGAAUCCCGACAGAAAUUUUGGAGCAAGAGCAUCUCGAAAUCGAGCCCGAUUUAUCCUAUGCAGAGUAUCCUGUCAAGGUCCUCAAUCAUAAGGAAAGAUACGCCCGAAGACAAGUUGUGAGGAUGUAUAAAAUUCAGUGGAGUAACCACACAGAAGAUGAAGCGAUAUGGGAAACGGAGGAAUACCUUAAUAAUCACUUCCGCAGUUUUCUUUUCGACCAGAGAGGUAAGGCACGCGAGCCACACUAGUUCAUCUUUUCACUCGAAUCUUGGGAUGGGAUUCCUUUUAAGGGGGGUAGGAUGUAACAACCUAGCCCAAUUAAACCAUGUUUAAUCUUAAGUAAUGUCAUUUGAGCAUAAAGAAGAACAAUUGGUAGUUGUGAAGACAAGUAAAAAGACACUAUUGCCCUCACAAGAUGAACAACUAUUUAAACCAUAACUCAAUUUUUUGCUUAAGAACUUAAAAAUCUGUCCACCUAAGAGUUGUAGAACUCAACUUUCCUAAAAACUUUUAUUUUUGGUGUUUUGCUUGAAUCUGAGCAGAAGACCUUAAAAACUCGAAGUUCAAAACUGUUUCAAUUUAAGAAAAACCGAUAAAGCCCAACUUUGGAGCUCUUUAUCUAAAAUUUUCCAAAAUAAAUUUAAGUUGAACUCUAAACAAAAGUUUUAGAGAUUUAAGAUCUUAACAACUUUGAUUAAAGGAGUAAGGUGGAAAUCUGCACAGAAGGCUUCCAAAACCCUGGUCAAAGUCAGUUAGUUUGGUCAACCCAGCCCCAAUCAACAAUCUAGGCUAAGUGUGGAAUAAGUUCAACCAUGCAUCUUGGCUUAAGCUUAUCGCACAAAGGUUGAACAGAACGCCAGCAAAACCCUUUCUAAGAGUUUGAGAGGUAAGUUCAUACAACAACUUCCUCAAUUGGACUAUGGUCAAAUUUGCAUCAGAAGCUUUUCAAAAUUGGGGCUCAAUUCAGCCAAAAACCUUGAAAUCAGCCAAACUGGAAAUCCGGCGUUCCUCCAAACUUUGAAGCUUUGUAUCUUCAAAUCUGCUGCGCAUUUGAACUCGGUUCAAUUACAAAAGUUGAACUUGGAUUUGAGGACUACAAGUUUUGCAAAGGGAGUAAAUACUGCAUAGUUCAAGAAUCGGGAGUUAAUGGCGUUUGAAGAUCGGCUCGGCGACACAAUCCUGCAAAUCCCUCAGCCAGAGCGUGCCCGAGCACGCACGCCGCAUGCUUCGGAGCGCCGCCGCCGUGUGGGAUGGCUUCACCGGCGAGAAGCCGUUGCGCUUGGUCUCCGGCCUCGGCAAGAUGCCGCCUCGCGCGCCCUGCCGCUAGUAAGCGCCACCAUCCCCCCUGCUCCCGUCCGCCCCGCCUUGCCCAAGGGCACACCCCACGUCCUGCCGUUGCUCUGCUCGCGCACACUCCCACGGACGCCUGCUCGACACCGCCGCCUCCGCCAACCGCCACCCCGGCCACGACGCCUCGAGCGCCGUCUUGCCAACCUGGUGCCCCGGCAAAGCCGUUUCCCGCGCGCAUGCUCGCUUCACCCCGAGCCUGUCACCUCGCCUCCCGCACCUCGCCGGUUACCACCUCUGUCCACCAAUGGUGCUGCCACCAUUAAUGCCCGCAGCAGCGCCCCGUCUCCCCUCCAACCUUCAGCUGUUAGUCCCAGCCCCACCUCGCUCGCUACUCCGCCCGGCCCUAUAAAUGGAGGCCCAGCCCCACCGGAGCCCCCUUCCCCACUCGCCCUUGCGACCCGCCAAGCUCCCCUGCUCCGCAUCCAAGUGCCGCUGCUUGGUCCUCCCGUGGAGAGCCCACUUCCGCGCAACCUCGCUCUCCGCCACCGCCGCAAAUCACUCCGCCACCAGCUCAUGCAGCUCGAGCCGCUGACUGUUGCCGUCACCAAGCUUCGACGUCGCUGAAACAUUGCCGCCCAGCUCCACCGCAGCCACAGCGCCGCCUUGCACCAUUCCGCCUCAACCGAGCCCUCUCUGCGCCCCAACAGCCGCCAAUCAACUCCUAGUGAGCUCCCGCGCCUUUCCCAUGACUUCUUGCCCUGGAUUGGCUGGCACAUCGCUGGAAUUUGGCCAAACCGCCGCCGUGCGUGCCGCCAAGGGCACACUUGUGUCCUUUCCCUUCUUCCAGGGACUUUAGCGCUAAAGUCAGGGACCUCUGCGCGUUUAACCUAUAGACCUAAAGGCUAGACCGUAAGUUUGCCGCAAUUUUCUUUUAAUUUCGACAGAAAAUGAUCCAAACUUUGAAAAUACACCAUAAAUUGUAUAAAAAUAGGAAAAAUGUCAAACCAAUUUUUCUAGACUCAUUAUAAAGUGUAGUUUCGAAUAAAGAUGUUGUUGACACAUGUCUCUGCUAGAAUUAAUGUUAUAUGUUUUAAUCCUUGUUUAAGCCAUUUAUAUCAUAAUAAAUUGUAGAAAAAUGCUAGAAUGGUAAAUCCAACUCUCAAUGUUUGUUUUAGAGAAUGGAAGCUUAUAAAAAUGAUGUGGAUCCUUGCUCAGAUGCUUGAAUCUCUGUUUUAGUUUUAUCAUCGGAAUCUAAGGUUGCUUUUAUCCUUUUGCAUAACAAUUAAACCAGAGAUGAUAAAAAUAUGUAACAAAUUGGAAUAAGUCAGUGGUGUAGUAUAGUUUGUAGGAAAAAUAUAGAACCUGAUCAGAAGCAAAAGGAAAACCACUUUCUUUUUUGGGGGAAGAAUAAUUAGGGUAAAUGUAUGGAAAAAUAUGCCCUUCACUAAAAAUUCUGAAAAAAUCACCAAAGGCUCUAUUUCACCUUUGGAACCUACUUUUAAAAGUUCAUACCCAGAUUCGUUAUGGUUUUUGUCUCUACCUUAUCAUAAUGAAACAAUUUUAAUUAUUUUUGUGCAACACUAAUAAGCCUCAAAUUUGUGCAGUAGCUUAAUCAUGGCAAGAUUAAGUUGCUGGUAAAGUUUCAACUUCACAGCUUACUGUUGAUAAUAGAAAUAAAAUUUGGAGAUGAACAAAAUUAAAUGGAAAAAAGAACCUUAAGUAAAGGUAAUAGUCUUUUUCGGAAGAGGUAAAAAAAAUAUUCAGAUAUAGGAUAACUUCCUGAUCUAAAGUUUAAUAAAGUUAAGUGUAUAUAUGUACACAAUCACCAUCAAGUCAAUCCCGGGUUUUAUACCAUUACACACCUUACCUUAUGCAGAUAAAGAAGGUGUAGAACCUUGUUUAGGUUAAUGUGGUCAUAAUAUAAUUUAUACUUCAGUGCUAAUUCGUGUUUUGCAUCCUAUGAGAAAGCAUGGAAGUUGAACUUGAUGCAUUUGCAUUUCGUGUAGAGCUGAACCUUGCUGACGGAACGUAUGAGCUUCACCCCGCGACAGAAGGAGCCGUAGUUGAUCUGCAUCAAGUCAGAGCCGAGCCCGUACCGAAGCAAGCCGAGGACCAGUUCGCUAACUCUCCAUGUAAAGGCAAGCCCCGGAGCAUAAAUUUCUAUCUUUUAAUACUUGCAAUACAAUUGAUUGCUUGAUUGUGCAUUUACGUUCCAGGAGUUGAUUGAAACCGUAGAUGCAUGACUUAGUACCCCUUUGAUCUGAAUACUAGUAUGAUAAGUCGAGUAGUUGCAAUACUUAAUAGGACUCGGUAAAAGUCGAGUGAUUGACUGUCACUCGCGAGUUAUAGGAAUUGUGUGCCUUCCUUUCAUUACAACUAUAAGGAUGAUGGAUGGGGCAGGGCUCUGUGAACUAUUUUCAUGGUUGGUGGAUUGCCCCAUCUGUCUACAUGAAUUUGGACUAAGGUCGAGAUGUGAUAGUGUUCGUGAUCAAGUAUUUGAAAGUACUAAUCUCAUACCUAAUAUGGGAUGGGGAAGCCUAGUACCUGAUUGAACUAGAACAUGAAUGGAUCGUUCCACUUUCUCUGGAAUGGAGUUCCCUUGCAACCGCAUGUGGUGACAAGUGCGGCCAUAGAACAACAAAGGCUGGGUCUAUGGAGCCUUGUACCAAGAGAAGUGGGUCCAACAUUGGUCUGGGAAUUGAUGGGGACGGCUGACAAAUGAAGCGACCCUUCAUGGUGCGCGGAUGUCAUGGGAUUAGGUUCGUCAUGCAUGGUUAAGAAAUUUGAAUCGAUUCAUCUGCCUCUCAUAGUUUGGGACUGCUUGAUCGCUAUGCUACACUGAGUAAGAAUGGAACUUGAUGAUGAUCUUAAUAUUGAUGCUUGUCAUAAAUUGCUUGGAAACUAUGCUUGUUUAGUAUAGUUGCUAACUUAGACAGGUAAAUGAACUUAGAACUGCUGGCUAAAACAUCAAAACCAAGGACCUACACUAGUUGCUUUUGGCAAAAACAAACCCCUCAGCCAAAAAACCUUGCAUGUCUAGAAGUUGGUGGAGUAGUACCACCGGUCGCUUAAGUCUUGUUGAGCGUAGUCACUCAGCUUUGUUGUGGCACAUCUUUUCAGGUGAUGUUGAUACCCCUGAGCUCGCUACAAGUUGCACUUGGCCUCCCCAACUUCCUCCUGGUUGGACGGUUGAGUGGGAUUCCUCCUCGGAUGGUGAGGACCGGGAUCAUUGAUGUCAUGAUCGACUUCGUCAUGAUAUCUUGCAACGACGUUUAGCUUCCGCUCAGUUAUUUCUAUUAUUUGAGAACUCUGCAAACCUUGCUUGAAUUUCGAACUUGAGGUUGUAAUAAUUUGAUGCACUUGUUUAAUGGAGAUGGACUAUUGUAAUCUUUGUAACCACUCGCCUUCGUGUGAGUCUUGCUUUCUCGAUCCUGAGAUAAGUGGUUUAUCGGAUGAAAUCCGACAGACGACCAAGUUGAUUUGUUUAAAGUACAUGAUCGCGUGUUAAGUGACUUAAGUGUGCUUUAGCCAAGUUAAUUUGGGUGGUUCCUCCAUAGUACAUGACCGGAGUAGAGUGCUGAGGAACUCAGCACUCCUCCGAGCUACUCCCUCUUCCUCUCUCUCUCUCUCUCUCCCUCCCUCCCUCCCUUUCUAAGCACUAGCCUAAGUAGAGCUUCGCCAUGGAGUGGAGCCCUUCUCUUGAUAGGAAUGAGAGUGUUUCUCCAAGUGUGGAAUGGAAGGUGGUGUGUUGAAAUGAGACCCCUCCUCUUCUAUUUAUAUGCUCUUAGGGUCAGUUCCCGAGGGGAAUAUUAGGGGAAUCUUCCCUAACCUCCAUUACAACACCGAUAACUAGCGACACAUGGCAGCUAGAGGCGAGAGGGGCCACCAUGGGCUCGGCCGACCCAGGGCAACUGCCUCUAGCUAGGUCACUGCCCUAUGGGUCCUCACGAGGGUACGAAGUUUAUGCGGUUUAUCUAGUCAGUUUACUCCCGGUUGUGGGUCCAUGGAUCCGCGUGCUUGAUCUUGAUUGGUUGAGAUUGUAUUUCCUUGCUCUUUAGGUGUGUUUCCUCCUUUAAUGGACCUACAUACAAAUAUUCACCAACACUUGUGGAAAUCAUUAGUAAUAACUCCUACCACUACUAUUGAUGCUCAUCUUUUAUGUGUUUAUGAAGGACCAAAAAGCCAACCAGAGGGGGUGAAUGGGAGCCUCAAAUAUUUCUUUUGAAAUUUUAGGCUUCUGUCCCUAAUUCAAACCCCAAAAUCGAAGCGAGCGGAAGACGAGAGAUCCACGAGCCAACUGGAUGGCUGGGUGUCUAUGGUGAUGACCGAUAACACAACGGGACUCUCAAGAAACAACUAGAAGCAAAAUCCAAAGAUCCAGAAAGCAAACUCCAAAUAUCUGAGUCAAAAUAGGACUCAAAAUGCUCCUGUCGGAAGUUCCGACCCCCUAUCGGAAGUUCUGAUACCCAUCAGAAGUAUCGGGGAUCUCCCGACAGGAGUUCUCUGUUGUUUCAGCAAUUUUCCCUUCGGAACUUCGGAAGUUACGUCGGAACUUCCGACAACACAGAAAUCAGCCUUCGUGAGGAGAGAAUAAAAAUCCAAAACUCGAUCAAAUGACCUCCAAAAAUCACGAAAUUUUAACCAUAGUUUUCCAACAACACAACAAAUAUGUUUCCAAAAGAUCUCCUCAAAAAGAUCAGCCAAUCAAAGGUAAUUAAAUAUCUUGUGAGGUACGCUGGUUUUUCAACCCUAGAGCUUGAAUCAUCCCGAUCUAUCAACUCACAUCCUAGUUCAUUUCCAAAAGACUGGUUUGACUCAAGAUCUCCUAUAAAUCACGAAUCAACCAAAAACGUGAGAGGGUGAAAAAGCGAGAAAACAAGAACGCAAAGAACACAAGAGAAAAUUGCACAAAGCCAUCAUCCCCCAACACACAGAGGACACGAGGAGGUUAGGGACUCCAUUCCCGCAACAAAAACUUAGUUCAAUACAUGGAUUCGGUGCUCAUAACAUCUGAGGACCUCUAGAGAGAUAGAUUAGAGAGAGAGAGACUAGACUAAUGAACUACUAAAACUUUAGAUAGAUGAAGUGCUUGGAGAGGUGUUCCAUACAACCACCCCCCCUAUUUAGAUACUCCCCUAAUGACUAAAUUACCCCUACAACUUAAAAUUAAGAUAAUUACCCACGCAGGGGCAUUUUGGUCUAUCUGUGUAUUUGGUCGAUCGGAUGGCCACGCUUCCUACACUGAAUUGCUUCGUCUCAACGCAACCUCUAUGAUUCCGCCAUGUGCCUCCGUGUUCCUCCUCGGAACCUCCGCCUGGGUUUUGUGGCCCAAAUUCGGAAACCAUCUUCCUGUGGUUUUUUUGGACCAAACCACCAAACCUGCUCCUCGACACGUGUCACCACCGUCCUCGACCACUCGGCUACCAAGUCUUCUAGCGCCCUUGCUUGACAUGCACGUCCACCGUCUUGACUUGGUCAACACAGUCACUCCUCCAUGUACACUUGCACUUGUCGAUGUCCCCAAGUGUCAGCCACCGCAGCUGAUCCUCCGGCGCUCUGGUCUCUCAGUCCAAGCCUCAUGUCCGUCCUUCACCGCUCCCGAUCCAUCAACACGGCCCGUAUCUACUUGAACUUCACCUGGCCAUUGAUCACCGCCUCCGAGCUCCACACCUGCGCAUCACAAACCAAGAGCACAUCAAUCCAACACAACGUUGUCAAUCACUCAUCAUCCAAGGGUGACCAUCCAUUGGUCCUUAGUUUAUGUAGGAGUUGGUGGUGUAGAUUUGGUACUUAAGAGCUGUCAACACUGCUUCACCAUGUUCGAUGCCAACGACUGUGAGGCCCUAGGCAAACCUAGGGAGAUUAUGUAGAUCAUUAUCUUUUAUGAUUAGUACCUUUAGAUUUUGUUGGAACUGUCUUGUUUAGACUGUGUCCCUUAUCAAAGAUUAGUACCUUCAACCUUGUAUAGCAAUCUCUCCAUGUUCAAGUACUAGUUGCAAAAUCCUGCUUAGUUAUUUAUUCCUAUACCAAAAUUUCUUGAGAUUUCAAUGUUAUUCACUUGCAAAAGACAAUUACAUUAUUAGUAAUCGACACGCCUAUUGCCAUUCUCCCCUACUCCCGAAUCCCCAUGUGGACGUUCCGACCUUCCCUUGGCAACUGUGCGCCAUUAUAUACCAAUACCCUACUAAUAUUAUAUACCAAUACCCUACUAGUAAGUGGUAAUAGCCAUCCCCUCUAUUGCCUCCACACUCUCUUUCUCUAGAGAACUAAACCAAUGACCAUGGGUUCUUCUCUGAUUGCUUCUUCUUUACCUUCCAACAACUUCUCCGAGAAGGAGCCCUUAGACGAUGUCUCCUUAUAGGUACAAGAGUCCCCCAUGUACUCCUAUAGUGUGGAGACAGAGUACAAGGAGGAGGAGGAUGACUAUGAUGCCACCGGCAUUGAGUAGGAUAAGGACGAUGAUGAGGAGGGAGAGAAUGAGGAGGAGGAGGAAGUGACGGCGGCGGCAGUGGUGGUGGAGGAGGAGGUGGUGGUGGUGGUGGCAGUGGAGGAGGGGGAAGCGGCAGUGGUUGUGGUGGAGGUGGAUGUGGUUGUGAUGGCGGUGGCCAUGGUGGCUACGGCAUUGGCGAAGGAUGAGGUGGUGGGCAAGGAGAGAGUCAAGAAGCAUACUAGCAAGAAGAGGAGGCGGGUGGCUCUGGCGGCGGGGGGAGGAGGAGGUGGAAUCAAAGUGGCAAAGAAGAGGAGGCCGAUGGACUUCGAUAUCUUCACCAUGCUUGCCGAUGCUAGCAUCGUGGUAGCAUCACCAGGGAACUCCUUGGAGCGAUCGUUGCAUAUUACUCUGAUUUAAGGUUUUCUUUUGCAUGUGCAUAGGUGUUCUUAUGUAAGCACCAUCAACCCCAUGUUUUCUAAUUUUCUUACAAAAGGACCUCUAGCCUAGUGGUUAGAGCACCUGAAUAGCAUCCAAUAGGCUUGGGUUCGACUUCCUAUGGGAGGGAAUUAAACGGUUUGGAAUAAAAAAAUUAUAAAAAAUAGGUAGGGGCUUCCCCUGCUGACUCUGGUAAAAAAUCCUAUGUUUUCUUAAUGUUAUUCUAGUGGGAAAUUUUGGUAAAUAGCAUAUCUUCUUUUGAUUGUAAGGUCAAUGGCCUAUUUUCUUUUGGAUGCAAGAUCAAUCCCUUAUUUCCCUGCUCAAAAAUCCCAUUUUUGGGGUGUAAGAACUAUCUAACCUCAAUAAAGAUUGAUGGGACAUUAGCACAAAUUUCUUCAUGUGCAUUGGUUCUUUGGUUUCCUCGGGCCAUAAUGCUACAUCAUAGCCUACCAUACCAUGUCUUGUCAUGUUAUUUUUUAGUUUUAUCCCACCACACACCAUUGAGGCAAAAUAGUCAAUGCUUUGUGAAUGUUCAUGAACGGAAUCUCUUGUACCGUGUAUUUAGCAACAAUAGAUUAUCCUGAUAUAUCAAUAAUAGACGAUUGUGAUUUGUGAAAUGGAUGUACUCCUAUGUAGUUUCCAUAGUUUCCAUCAUGUAGUUUCUUUAGAUUUUAUGUCAUUUGGAAGCUAAAGUCCAAAUGGGUGUCUUCUUCACUUCUUUGGGAACAAAGCAUAAGUACACCAAAUAAAUCUUAUAUAAACAGACUAUCCUACAUAAACACUUUCUCUCUUUGGUUUUUGUGUCUAACCUUUCAUCUCCCUUAUCCUUUCUCUCUUCCUCGGUUCCUGUGUAGACAUGGUUACUUGCACUAAAAACAAAUUCGUCCUCUUUUCUCAUUUAAUUACCAAUGGGUGGUUCUCCUACUCACAUGCUCUCAAAUUUUUUUGUUUUAUUUAACAUGGUUCUAUUUGGAACAAAGCAUAAAGAGAACCAAUAAAUCUUGUAUAAAUGGAUUAUCAUGCAUAAACUCUUUCCCACUUUGGUUCUCUUGUCUCUCCAUUCCUCUUCCUCACCCCUUUAUCUCUUCCUCAGUUCUCGUGAAAAUAUGGUUACUUGCACUAGAAACCAAUCCCUGCUCUUCCCUCAAUUAAUUCCUAAUGGGUGGAUCUCCUACUCACAUACCCUCAAUUAAUUAUACUAUAAAUAACGUGAUUCUAUUUGCAACAAAGCAUAAGCAGAACCAAUAAAUCUUGUAGAAACUGACUAUCCUGCAUACACCAUCAAGUACUUUCUAUACUUUUCAUGUCAUAUGGAAGCUUGUUUACACCAACUUUUUGCCAGAGUCAACCACUGUGGAUAAGGUUCUGAUAGCCGAUCAAGGAGAGAGAGAAAAGGAUCAUUGGAUAAGUAGUUUUUAGAAAUAGCUGUAAUAGUUCAUAUCAUACCGAACUCAGAUUUUAGCUUGCUCCAGGGUAUAAAUAUAAACUCUUAAGCCUUGUAAUAAGAAUCAAUCAAUCAAUCAAUACAAGCUUUCGGUGCCACGCCGCCAACCCCUUAGGAGUAGGAGUAGAGUAGAUUUGACGAGUUCCUUCUAAUGCGUAGGGCUGCAUCGGCUUUGAUCUCAGGUGAGCUUGUAAGUACCGUCACCCGAUCAUUAUGAUCCCUAUUAGAACUUUCUAAGUUAAAUCUUAUAUUCUGAUAUUCGGUCGUGUGUCUAGUUAUUGAGUUAACUUAGAUUACAAGUAGAACUUUCUAGGCUUUAUCCAAUAUUUUGCUUGUCCAACGUUGCUCAAGUUAUCGAAUGGAUUAGAUCUGGUUAGGCUAUCUUCAUCGGCUUUCUUGCCUUGUUUAAGCAUUCAAAGUUAUCAGAUCAUAUUGGUUGGUAGACUCUGCAUGCUUUUACUGCUUUAUAUAUGCUAGGUCGAUAGAUCUUUACCCUUGCCCCUCGUAUUGCUAGUUGUCAGGCCUCUGACGUCAGUGUGCUACUAUUGAGAGCUAAUGCUUCGGCUGGGUCUUAUCUGUAUCUCAUAGAAGUAUGAUGAUGUCAUUAAGUCAAUACGGGUGCGUAUGGGGCCUUGCUGCCGUGAGCCUGUCUGUUAAGAUUAAUGGGUUGAAGUUAAUGUCCUCUCACCGUGUUACCUUGUCUAAGUUCAAUACAUGGUCAUGACAUUGAUUAGAUUUUUUUACCUUAAUCGGCUUGUAAGCGGUAGGCAAGAGGCCUUUGGUGAUUGUGCUCUAGUCUUUUAUGUUGACAGAUUGAGGUUAAUGCCUUCUUAUUCGUGUUGCUUUGUCUAAAUUCAAUACACUUAUCAAGACAAUAAUUAAGAUUUGUUAAUGUAGCUGGCUUGCGUACAGUCAACAUCAGCUGAUCCUUGUUGCUAUGUUCUAAUCUUUUUUUAAGUUAGUAGAUUGAUGCCAAUGCUCUCUCAUUCAUGUUACCUUGUAUGAGUUCAAUACACUUAUCAAGACAUUGGCUAGAUCUGCUAGCUUAUCUGAUAAGUGCAUGGUUAACAAGGGCUACAUUCAUGGCUAUUGUGUUACAAUACUUUAUCUUAGUCUGUCAGCUGACAUAGCCAAUGGCACAUGCCAUUAAUGUUUUAUUUAUUUACAUCGCAUACUUACAUUAAAUAUUCAUCCGUCAUGGUGUUUAUUCAAAUAAUGCCUACCCAUGAGUUCAAAAGACUUCACCUCCGAUCGGCUGAGGAAUUUAAUGUUUACCUUGUCAAUUUUGUUGGAGGUAUGCCCUAGAGGCAAUCAUAGAGAUGAUGAUAUUCCAUUUGUAUCCAUGAUUUAUAUUGUGUUCCUUGAAUAUCCAUUAAAGGGUCUAAUUUUGUUGGAGGCCAUGUCUAUACGUAUCCGAACCCAUAGGGUCACACACAUAAGGGGCUGGAAGCCCAAUUCGGAUGUGAUCCGAGUUGGAUUAGGUUUAGAAGUACUAAUGGGCCUCGGACCCAGAGGCCCGUUAGGAACCUCUAUAAAUAGAGGGGUGGGGGCGCCCUAGGGUUCACACAUUUUGGGCGAAACAGAUCUGCCGUGCCUCCCAUGCCCUCGCCUGUUGCAAGUCACGGAUCUAGCAGUCUGGCUUGCGAUGCUUCCUCCCUGCACGUGUGGAUACCUUGGAGGUGUUGCGCCUGCAGCACUUGGACGAGCCGCCGACGAGCCACGACGAGCCGACAACGAGCCGCGGCACGAGGGCGAUCUUGCUGCACGUGGACGAGCUGCUGGACGUCGACGUGAUCGACUACGUACGACUACGCUGAUCGACUUCGCUGCAUCGAUGCAAAUCUACAUCUUCCGCACCAGUGCGUCGAGUGGUAAUCCCGUGAUCCUUAUACGGCAGUUUUUCUUGUUUACGCGGUAGAAAUUUUACGCUGAUCGACUUCGCUGCAUCGAUGCGAAUCUACAUCUUCCGCACCAGUGCGUCGAGUGGUAAUCCCGUGAUCCUUAUACGACAGUUUUUCUUGUUUACGCGGUAGAAAUUUUUGAUUUGCGCUAGUGUAGCCUACCUCGUAUCCCUACAAAUUUUUAGGUUAAAUUGACUGGCAGGCCUUGCAUCACUCGUGAACCGAUUUGGAGCCUGCACUGGAGUUAAGCAGAUCUCCCGGGUCCUCCGUGUUGUUCAACGUAGAAGUCUGAGGUCCAGAUUUCGCGUCAACAAAACUAAAGUCCCAACGGGUGAUAUCUUUGGUUCCCUUGUCUCUCAAUACAAUACUCUCUCACCCAGUCUCUCUUCCUUGGUUCUCAUGUAGACAUGGUUACUUUACUUGCACUAGGAACUACUUCUUGCUCUUCCCUCAUUUAAUUCCCAAUGGGUGCUUCCUCUACUCACAUGCCCCAAGAGGCCAAGAUGGAUCAAAUUUUUUGUUUCAUUUAAUGUGAUUCUAGUUGGAACAGUGCAAUGAUUUUUGGAGAAGUAGAAAAUCAAUAUGGGAGAAAUAUUAACAAAUAUUUGUGUCUUAUUUAACGUGAUUCUAUUUGCAACAAUGCAUCAUAAGAAGAACCAACAAAUCUAGUACAAACAGACUAUCCAUUUCGAGGAGAUUGAACGAAUGCAGACUAUCCUCUCACAUGAGAUUGAUGGUGAUAUAAUGCAUAAGUAGAGCAAACAAAUCUUGCAUGCAUGGAUUAGAAGAGGAUUAAGGUAACAGAAAAGUUCACAUAAUAGCUUCAUGAUUAAUAUAGCAUUGAAAGCACUAACAUCAUAGUUUUAAUGCUGCAUUUUCUCUUUCUGGUAUGAUUCCAUUGCAUCAAGGCGACGUUGGUCCUAAGCGCCUCCAAUGCCCUCACGAACAUUGGCAGAUCAUGCGCCCUGAGAGCUUCCCCUGCCACCAAUGCCGUUUCCCUCGUUCGUUUGAGCCUCCAAGAUCUUAAACCAUGCGGAAGCUUAAUGCACCAUUUCCUCCUCGGCCAAGGAGGUGUUCUCCUCCGCCUCCCGUUUCAUUCCAUGAACCUAGGUAGUGGCCUCCAAUGCUGUUUCAGAACAAGCGGGAGAUGGAGAGCUAUUGCCCUCGGGAAGGUAGGUGUGGAGGAUGGAGUCGGCGGUGGGCAUGCUAUUUCUUAAGUAUACAUACAUGAUGCAUCAUUGUUGUGUAGGUCCACACUCCUACAGUGGCAUAGGCAUGCACCCAAACGACAAUGGAACCAUACAUUGUUUUUAAAUACUAAAUUGGUGCAUUAUCACGAGGCACCGACACACUGAAACCACUGACGUGUAGAUGCAAUGCAACGAACAUGGACACGGCAAUGUAGAGAGAACAGACAUGAUCCUAGAGAUGGAUAUGGCAUAAGCUUAUUGUGGUAUACCUACGACAGCAUAGAGUGUAGCAAAACGCUCAUCACAACGACAACAACACCUGAGCGACCUUGAGUCCCCGGUAACAGCAACCGAGCGACCAAUGCAGACGCAUGCCACAAGAUGUCAUGAAUACCCCACCUCUAGUAAGCAAGGUGGCAGAAAGGGCAUACAGAAUGACCAUGGUGAUGCACACGAGUGUGACCGUGGUCCUAUAGCCAAGCGAAUACAGAUUUCUUCAGCUCCUCCAUUUCAUCCUCAUCUGCUUGCUCCAUUUUGUAUUGAUCUUACAAUCAACGAAGAAUGGCUGCUAUGGAGGUGGCAGAGCAUCCAAGUUGCCUGCUCCCUUCACAUGCCCAGCCAUCUUCCUACACUUACCAAUAGAACUGUACAAAUGACAAGAAAUGACCACAAACAAUGAUCAAACAUGCAAAUAGUAUGCUGAAGCUAUGAGCUCACCUCUCAUAGGAAGUGGAACCGAGGCCCAACCGGUCACAAUGUGAAAGAUGAAGAGAUGAGUAAAAGUCUUAUGUGGCCACUCCUAUACAUUGAAGCACCAUGUGUGAUCAACAACACGGUGCACCUUCUCGUAGUCACAGGAUUACAGUAUCCGUGAAAAUACGUGGGAUGCUCGGAAUAUAUAGGCUUACAUUGAUCAGCAAUCCCGCCAUAAGUAUAGGGCAGAAUAUGCAGUCUUUCGUUCACACACCUCUCACGAGUAGGCAUGCAAAUUAUUCAGCGUGGUUAGGAUAAAAAGCAAGAAUAUCCUUACAUGCGCAUGAGUUAAAAAAAUAGACGUUGAGCCAAAGAACUGGACGAUAAGACAAGUCCAUGUCCAAUGAUUCUUAAUAUAUACAUACUAAAAUGAGUUGUGUAUAAUCUAUCAGAAUCGCAUAGAUUUUAAUUGUAUAGCAAUAUUUUUUUCCUCCAGCUAUCAAAUUUUGAAAAAGUUCAUUUAUUAUAGUUGGAGAAAGCAGCAGUUCCCCUUUGAUCUUAGCGACAUGAAAUGCAUCUAGGUUCACUGAUACGUGGGCUCGUCUCCCAUCUUUGUUGUAUGCAAGAUGAAACACACCAAGCUUCGUCGAUAAAUGGACACGAUAAGAGCCUAUAAUCCUAUCAGUAACCCCAAAGCAAGUGUUGAUUAAAAAAUUUUCAUUCCACGCCAAGGAACUUGAAAGUGGGAUGUUAAAUUUUGUAUUCCCUCCCCUCCACCCAAAUCAUAAAACAUGACUACUGUAGUGCUGCUCCAAACUUCCGUCUUGUAUUUCCAAAAUCAGCGCUCUCCUCUAGCUGGCUAUAAAGUCCAACUAGAUCCGAGGCGUACCUCAGUGGCCGCGGCAAGUGCCACGGGCGGUGGGCAUCUAGGUGCGAGAUGAUCCGCGACAUUCCUGGAGAAAUCUCAGCUGCCUUGUGGCGGUUGUGGCCAUGUUGGCGCAGCUGAGAAGUUGAACGAUGAUGCCGUGCAAGCACUGGUUGCAUCGCUCGACCUUGCCGCACUGCAUCUUAUUCGAGUUCGACCAGUGAGAAUCUUAUUUCUUUUCUCUAUAGUCCCCCUCCAAUUUUCUAAACCUUGUUUUGAUCAUCGAAGAACACUUUUCUCAAGUUUAUUUCUGUCUAGAGCGGAGCCUAGUUAUGGCUAAAGGCGGCCACAGUACCAAUGCCACUGGAAUAUUUCUCUAGUGAACAAUAAAUUUCAAGGUGUAUUUAGUUAGAUUUGAGAUAUUUCUCUUAGCUUGGCCACUCUAGAUCUCUCUGCAAGGCCGACAUAUGCAUUUAUGUGGUCAUGGUACAUUUUUGUUUAUAUCUAAGACAAUUGUAGCAACUUGAAUAUUGACCAAAUACUUUUUAUGUAGAGCCUAGUUUCAGGUUCCCAUAUUGUUGAAAUUGAAUCACAUGUUGUGGUAUGUAACUAACCAAGUCAUUACCCAGUCCUAGAUUGUUUACUUUAUUUCAAUCUUUGUUCAAGUUUGAAGUUUUACUUUUGCUGGUUCCAUUUGUAGGCUGAAAUAAUGAAAAUAAUCCUUAGGUUGCAGUACCAAAUUCUAGUCCUCAAGGUUUGGAGUCAAAACCAUUUCUUGAUUAUGUGGUCAUGCAGUCAGCCUCAGCGACAAGCUCAAGCUGUGAAGUUUCUUUUGGAGAAAAUGCAGUAUGAGGAGAUUGAGAGUUUGAAGAAAGCAGUAAGAGAAAGUGAAUACUUCCUUCGUCAACUGCUAAACUUUAUAGGGUGAGCUCAAUGUAUUUCCUUUGAAGGCAUUUGCUCAUGUCCUCCCAGCGGCUUAGGCCAACUUUUUUUUGGUGAGAGAGAUAUCACGUGUAGUGGUUUGUGAUAUGUCAUGGAUAAUAUGCUUGUGCUUGUCCUUUGGACAAGAAUAAUAAUGUGUGAAGUGUGAUAAGAAAUAUUAAUUUGUAUGUUUGGUAUGUACCAAUUAUUUGAGCAAUUGAUUGAUACGUAAUAUUAAGUUAGAUUAUAUUUUAAUUAAGCACUACCUAGGCUUUACCCAAAAAUAACUAGGACCAAAAUGGGUUCCGCUAAACCUAAAUCCAUUUUUUGAAAAAAAAAUAAACCUAAAUCCUACCUGAUUAGGACAAAAAAUAUUAGCAUACAUUGGCUCCGCUCAAUAAUUAUUGGACCUAACAAAGUUAUGAUGAAAGCAAAUAUUCGGCCUAAAUCAAGUUAUGGCACAUCAUAUAUUGGGCAUGAUACAACAAGAAUUGUGCAUAAACUAAAUUAUGACCAUAGUAAAUAUUGGGCUUGGUACAAUAAGAACUGGGUUUAUAUCAAGUUAUGAUGAAACAGUUCAUGACAAUUGUCACGCUACAUCGUGCUGUGGUCCAACGUGGCUUGCAUCGUAGGAGUCAGUUUAUGACAUUUCCAAUAACGUUCUGUAAUGGUCAUUAUCUUAGUGACACACGGAAAUAAGGAGCGUCACAAAUCACGGUUUAUGACGCUCGAUUAGUGAAGGACGGUGUUUGUCACACGAGCGUUAUAAAUCAUAACGCAAAAAAUGUGUUUAUGAUACAUUUUGAUUCGUCACUAAUCAGUAAAUCCUUGUAGUGGUUCACAUGAUUAUUACAAUCCUGGUGGAGACACGCCAUAAAAGUUACUUACACACGAGGAACGUUUGGGUGUUUGACAUGCCUUAGCGUUUGGGAGUUAAUAUAAGACACAUAAUUUAUACUGGUUCAGGGCUGUUAGGCAAGUUUAGGAAUUUCUAAAUCAGAUGGAUCAAAUCAGAUUUCUACACUUUAACCUCCAUAAGGUUAGUUUCAUUACAAUACAUUCAAAAGGGGAAAUGUAAAAAGCUAAUUGAAUUUUGAGUUGUAGUAAAACUAGGCUUUUCAGCUUCCGGUGUAAGAAUUAGAUUAGAUUUGGAACUUUUCAAAGUUUAGAUAUAUAUUUAGAAAAACCACAUAGCGUAACAGAUUCAUACUGCUAUGAUUUUGAAAUUUAGAGCCAUCUGAUACGUUGUUUCCAUAAGCACUUGUGCAAAAAAAAAAUCAUCCUAGUACGAUGCAUCCUGCAUAUUGAUAAACUUGCCACUUGUACACUUGUUUCACCCUAGCUAGUUGACGUGUCUAAUCCCUUUACAACAACACAUUGCCUUCCUAUAGUACGUCACAGUCGAAUGAAGAUGUUUAAAUAUUGAGUUGACCGUGUAAUUAAUUGGAAGUUGCAUUGUGGGGACUCAGACACAAUGGUCACCAGACAGCCACCAGACUUCGAGAAAGGUUGACGGGAGGUUCCGAGCGGUGGAGGAUCACCUUAUGUGCUGAUUCGAAUAGAAAUUGGAUCGUUGCAAGUGUGCGACCGAUGCGCCUGCAGCAUCUCAGCUAGUCAACGAACCUAUAGCGCGACACCUUCGGGUUUGUCCACGACACGGCAACAUGGCUGCGCGCGCGAAAGAGAACUUUCUGUGCCAGGCUGACAGAGAUGAGGCAUCAUCAUUCACAGCAGGGUUGCGUCUAGCUUGGUGAAGAGACCGUAUAAAAAUGCUAUCUCCACGCGAGGUUCGGCCGCCUGAUCCCACGUUCUGCGUUGCACACAUGUUCGGAGAGCUCCAUCGUGGCAGCCGCAUGGACGCCGAGGCCGGCAAUCCGGCGACGCCGCCGUCUGGGUCCGACAGCGGCAGCGGCCGUGGACACUCGUGGGAGUACAGCCUCCGCAAGUACCUCCUGCUGCUGGCCACGCUGGUGGCCACGGUGACCUACACCGCCGGGUUCAACCCUCCAGGCGGCGUCUGGCAGGACGCCGACCCGACCAGCGGCCGCAUCGCCGGGGACCCCAUCAUCCGGGACACCAUGCGCGCACGCUACCUGGUCUUCUUCUACAGCAACGCCACCGCCUUUGCCUCAUCGCUGGUGGUGAUCGUCCUCAUCCUCAUCCUUUCCGUCCUGCACGACAAGCGGAGGAUCCGCCUGCCACCACUGCUCGCCGUCCUCCGGUUCUUCAUGGUGCUAGACCUGCUCAGCCUCAUGGCCGCCUACGCCGCGGGCACGUUCCGAGACGUGCUCACGGCCGUCUACUCCUUGCUCCUGCUGACCGGCGUCGUCGUCUACCUUGUGGUCCACUUGGUGCUCGCCUGGCGGCUUACGAGGAAGGACGGCGUCGCAACCGUCGCAACCGCGCCGGAAGACAGCGCGCUUCUGAGGCUUCGCAAGGUGCUGAUGCUGCUGGCCACGUUCGCGGUGAGCGUCACAUACGUGGCCGGGCUCAGCGCGCCGGGCGACUUCUGGGACAACGAAGAGAAUGGCCAUAAGCCUGGCGACGCGAUUCUCAAGGGAGGACCCCACGACGCGCGCCUCAAAGCCUUCUUCGUAUGCAACACCACGGCGUUCGUCGCGUCCCUGCUCAUCCUCAUCAUGCUACUGCAGAAGAAGCUAUGCUUCAGCAAGAAGGUGCGGUCCUACGAGCUCUACGGCUUCAUCGCCAUCACGCUCCUUGGUCUCGUGGCAGCAUACUCCGCCGGCAGCUGCCGGGAGAUUGACACUACGGUCUAUGUCAACGCCCUUAUCGGUGCUGUUGUUUUGUGCAUUAUUGUUCAAGUGAUUAUUGUGAAAUAUGUCAGCGAGACCUGCUGGUGGGGGCAGUUAAAGGACAUCUAUAGAAGAAUGUCAACAUGGCUGCGAGAAAUAAGAGCAUCUGGUGGUUUGGAGGAACAAACUCAAGGUCCACAACCUAGCCGUGCAAGCGCCAGGUACAGAGCACAGACCAAUCCUAGCUCGUCUUCUUCUGCAAACAUGGCAACACCAUAAUGCAAUUCAAUUCGUUUCAAAAUCUUAAUUUUUUUAAAAAAAUACAAAGCGAUUCAACUGGAUCUGUGUUCACUGUAAUAUGAUAGUGAUCAGCAAGGGAACCUACAAAGUCGUACGCUGGAGAAGGCUCGCUCUCUGGUCCUGUUGCUCGCCACUCUUGCAGCAGCCAUCACCUACCAAGCAGGGCUGGACCCGUCUGGUGGCCUGUGGCAGGACGACGACUCUGAGGCCGGGCACAUAGCCGGUGACCCGAUUCUCUUAACCGCAAAUCCCAGGCGGUACAAAACGUUCUUCUACUGCAACUCAGUCGCCUUCGUGGCCUCCCUGGUGGCCAUCGUCCUCGUCCGGAUGAAGACCCUGCACCAUCACAACGCGCUGGAGGCCGCCAUGGUACUGGACCUGUUUGGCCUCAUCGGAGCGUAUGCCGCUGGAAGCUGCCGGGAUGUGGGCACUUCCAUCUACGCCAUAGCCCUGGCAGGCGUAGUCCUGGUCUACGUGGUGAUCCAUGUCGUCUUCUUAACGUUGGACCACAGUAAUCGUCGGAUUGGGGACGAUGAGGUUGUGGAGAAGAGGCGCAAGCGACUGCUCCUCUUCGCCAUCUUGGCAGCCACUAUCACCUACCAAGCCGGGCUGACUCCACCAAGUGGCUUCCUGCAGAAGGACUACGAGUCUGGGCACCACGCAGGCGACCCAGUCCUGCUCUACAACGACCCACGCCGUUACAAGGCCUUCUUCUACUGCAACUCGGUGAGCUUCAUGCUGUCCAUCGCCCUUAUCAUCCUCCUGGUGAACCCAAACCUGUACAGACCAGCGAUCGGAAGCAAUGCGCUGUCUGUCUGCACGGCGGCAGGCAUGUUUGGUCUCAUAGGUCCCUACGCUGCUGGCAGCACACAGCAUCUGAAGACAUCGAUCUAUAUCUUCGCAUUGGCGCCUUUGGUUCUCUCCUUUGUGAUUGUGCUGGUUGCAGUGUUUGCGAUGAUCUAUAGAAAACAGGAGGACGAAGCUAACAACUGGAACAACGUCAUUACCAACAACAUAGCUGAUGAGUCACCCCAGGAUGGCGUUGCUCACUUCCAAGUUACUGCAGCACAGACCCCUGAGACAAUAGAUGAAGAAAAAUUGUUACACGCCAAGCGCAAGUAUCUGAUGCUCCUAGGGAUCCUGGUGGCGAGCGUCACCUACCAGGCUGGCCUGGAACCACCGGGAGCAGUUUGGCAGGGCGGGCCUGACGCGGGCGACCCAGUGAUGCACGACAACCAGAGGCCCCGGUACCUGGCCUUCUUCUACUGCAACUCCACCUCCUUCGUGGCGUCCAUCGUGGUCAUCAUCCUUCUCCUGCCUGAGUGGCUGCACAAGGAGAAGUGGUGGCUCCGAGUAAUGAACACGACGAUCGUGUUGGACCUGCUCGGCCUCCUGAUCGCCUAUGCUGCCGGCUCCAGCAGGUCGUGGAAGACCACCGGGUAUGUUUCCGCGCUCGUCAUCGCCGUGCUGGCCUAUUCUGCAGUCCAUGUGUUGCUGUCUUGCUUGAGCAGGAGACGUGCAUUUCCAGCAGCCGUCUCUGCAUCUCACUGUAAUGAAGAAGGAAACGGUGCAAGCUGAACCGUUUCCUCCCAAAAAAAAGAAGAAAAAAGUUGCUAUAGUCAACAGUUCCGCGUACGUCCGUUCUUCUAGUUUCUUUCUGUCACACUUUCAUAUUUGCACUGCAAUCGUUUGUGAUGAGUACUGCAAAACUGACAAAUAUAAUGUAUGUUUAAGAUUUGUAUUGCAAAUAGUUUGUGUAUUAUCUAUGAGAUUGGAAGGGCAUCACAUAUUUACAAGGAUUUUUCUGUGGUUUGAUGUUAAAAAAUUAGGCCAUUGCAAUAUUAAAUUCUGAGUUAAAUAAAUCUUGACAAUAGCAAAUCCUACCGUGUAAUUCUUUAACAUAUUAGGCAAUGGAAAAGUCAACCAUGAUUAAAGAUCGGAUCAGAUGGCGCAUGUACCGAGCACUUGCAAACCAGAAAGCCGUGGCUAGUGCAGAUGCUUUUUUCUAACAGGUCGUAGAAGACGACAAUGAAGACGGUGGUACUUCACGAUGGUCGACAUAACGGGAAAACGAGCUAGGGUGAAACGCUUCCAAAAAUCUUAUUUGUCCUUUCCUGGUGCUCAAAGGUGAAUAAUUCUGAAGACAUGCUCUCUUAUUUACUUGUCAUACCGGCGCUUGGUAUUUAAGUACACUAUGGUGGUGAAAAGAUAGAACCCUAACUUGAAUAUAUGUAUUUCUAGCCAACAAAUUGUAUAUAUAUAGGGAAUUCAUACGGUCUCAUGUCACAAUCUAAACCAAUUAGAUUUCCAAAUCUCGUUGACAUGUAGGCUAGAUCUCAAAAAGUAAAGUUGCAAAAGAAAAAUCGUGCCACGCAAGGCGAGGGGUUGAAUUCCUGUGGACCAUUCAUGUAGGACCGUGAGGGGUUGAAUUCCGGUGGACCAUUCAUGUAGGACGUGUGCCUGCACCCUUCCCCACCUUGAUCCGGUGAGCGUGUGUAAGAUCCAGCUAACGUACGGCUGUCCGUAAUUUAGACUGGCCGCACGGCAGCUCCUUUUACGGCAACUAGAAUCGUAAGCUUUUUGUCCGCUUCCUAGUUUUGGAAGAGAAACUAUCACUGCAGCCAGGGGCGGAUCUAGGGCCCAGGCUGCCCGGGCUGCUGCCCGGGGCGAGCCCAUGUAGUCCUUUAACAUAUGUGGUAUUUAGCCUAACAAAAGGAGGUUUAUGAGGCAAGAUUAGACUAUUUUGGCUGUGAUUAGCAACUUAGCCCGGGGUGCAGCCAUGUUUUGGAUCCGCCCCUGACUGCAGCCAUUUCUGCGCAGUGCGCACCCAAAAGAUCAUAUUGCUGCACAGGCGGUGCCCAGCGGACCAACACGAGUUUUAUCGCCAGGCCUCUGUUCAGAAACAAUAAAAGCUCAUGCAAUUUUCUACAUAAUGUACAUAUGAUUCAAAACUAUAAGCAAUUUGAUUUAUAAUAGGCUAUUUACAUAAAUGGAUUUGCCUCCCCCUCCCCUAAAUCUAAUAGUACAACAUCACAGGUUCCUUUUAUAACUCCUCAGUUCCUUUCAUGACCUGCCAUACAAUGAGAAAAAAGAGAAUUAAAUCAGCUAGCAAGUAGCACAUAAUAAAAAUGCAAAACAAUAAAAAAUUAAUUGGAUGAGGUGAAGAUCUUGUGUAUCCUAAUAAUCAAAGGAUCCACUCCAAAAAUAAAAAAGUAAUAGAAAUUGCCUAGGCAAAUGCAUUAUUUUCUUGUUCAUAGCAAAAAACUUCCUAACAAAAAAUAUUGAUUUGCCUAACUAAUAACAGUGAUUUGACUAAGAAUAAUACUUUGACUAAUUGAGAAGAGUAAUUUGCCUAACCAAAAAUAGCACUGUUAACUGAGAACAAACGCAUGAGAAAGCUACUUUCAAUAGUCUGAUAACAUUUUGAUAAUCCAGUGGUUAUGAUAAUAAAUCCAGUGAGUACAGACUUCCCCCUUCUAGUAUUGUAUGGAUGCAAUAUUCAUAAUGUUUCCUUUUGCUAUUCAUAAGGCAUGUUUCUAGACAUUAUUGUAGCAGAGAACUCAUGUACAAUCAACAUUUCUAGAAUUAUAAUCCAAGCUCAUUUUUAGCUACUUGGUCAUCUACAAUAUGAACCUAUGCACUGCUGAAGAAAUAGAGUCACCGACCUUUUUGUGGUACUUGAACACAGUGCAAUGCUGCAAUCAUUUUUGGGAAUGCCUGGUAACAGCAAUAGGAGAAAAAGGUGAAAUGGAUCAGAAAAAUAUAUUUGAUAGGAUCAUAAAAACACAUAAGAGAGAAAGGGGGGGGGGGGGGUGUGAGAGAGACGAAACUAUUGGAUGCAAUAAGGUCUCUGGAGUUAAGAAGCAGUAAGAAAUGAGCAGGGAAAACACAGCAACAGCAAAAAGGAAAUGAAGAAAGAUGAUUAGAUUUAUAGUGCAGCUCUAAUAAUAGAAGAAAAAGGAAGAAAUCCAAACAUCAUUGACAUGAACAAAUCCCAUGCCAUUGCUAUAGAUCCACCUGAAUUUUAAAAUAAAAUGCUUGAUCAUGUACAUAAGAAUUUUUAUUGCCUUAUGAAGUAUACUAUUCUGCCUAUUUCAGAGCCAUAUAAUUGCCUAAUCAUAACCAUAUUAUUGCCUUAUCAGUAAUACUAGUGCAAAGUACAGUCAAUGUGUUUCAGAACCAUGUUAUUGCCUACCUAAGAACCAUAUAUUGCUUAAUUUCUGCCCAUAUAAUUGCCUAAUGGAGUUGGAAUAUGUACUCCUAGGUUGACUGCACAUCGCAUUAACUUCACUACAGGAAACAGAACCUUUGCCGAGUGCCCGGGGCACUCGGCAAAGGCCUUAAAACACUCGGCAAAGGCUUUGCCGAGUGUAACACUCGGCAAAGCGCACACGGCAAACUUUGUGUCGGCAAAGACUAGUUUGCCGAGUGUCAAAACUCGAGCACUCGGCAAACAUUUUGCCGACGGCCUUUUUACACUCGGCGAAAAGAUGUACUCGGCGAAAUGCGGGAUGACGGCGUCGGGGUAACGGCGGGUUUGCCGAGUGCCAGACGGGAGGCACUCGGCAAACACCGGGUCUUUGCCUAGUGGCAACACUCGGCAAAGCCGGACCUUUGCCGAGUGUCAUCNNNNNNNNNNNNNNNNNNNNNNNNNNNNNNNNNNNNNNNNNNNNNNNNNNNNNNNNNNNNNNNNNNNNNNNNNNNNNNNNNNNNNNNNNNNNNNNNNNNNUGAGGUUGUACCACAGGCAUACACUGCAGAUCAACUUUCCCAUCUCGUGCCAUAGGCAGGGCAAUGACAAGAAGCACAUGCUUAUCGAGUGGACCUUGGGCAUGAGUUCCCGGUGCUCCUGUUCCGGUCUAGAACGUACAACGCUAGCCAGCGGCAUUUCCCCUAUAAAACAAUAUAUGUUUUUGUAUGCCAGUACUCUAGUAAUAACAGAACAAUUUGAUGCCUAAACACAGAUGCGUGUUUACAAGAAACCAUGGCAAUAUAUACAGAGUUGCGCGAUAUCCUAUCUAUAUAAAUGUAAAAAUGUGUACAUCCACUAGGCACUCGGCAAACCCGGCCCCCUUUGCCAUGUGCCGGGUCCCAGGCACUCGGCAAAGCCGGCCCCCUUUGCCGUGUGCCGGGUCCCAGGCACUCGGCAAACCCGGCCCCCUUUGCCGUGUGCCGGGCCCCAGGCACUCGGCAAAGCCGGCCCCUUUGCCGAGUGCCUUGACCCUAGCACUCGGCAAAGUUACCUUUCCUGCACCUGGGAACCCCCCCUUUGCCGAGUGUUAAGUCCAAAACACUCAACAAAGGCCCCUCUUUGCCGAGUGUUACACUCGGCAAAGUGACCAGAACCCCCCCUUUUUCGACAUUUUGCCACGUAUAACGGACCCCUCUCAAUUCACAAUACACAUAUCACAGGCAUUUGUAAUAAACAACCACAUGGAUAAUUCACAACCACAGGCAUAAUUCAUAAACACCACAGGCAUAGUUCAACAUAAGCACGAAAUAAUCCAUAAAUCCAAGUUCUUCUCACAAUUUAGUUUCCACAUUGUUCACAACCAAGUCUACUUCCGUGGAGGCCAAGGAGACCACUGUGACAAAUCUUGAUCUUCAUUAUUCGAAGCCGCCGAUUGAUUCUGCACAUAGGAUAGGACAUUCUGAGGUAACAUCUAAAGUUGUCAAAUUUAAACUAUUGAAUCUUAAGCACAAUGUGUCAAGUGACUCACAGGAGUAGUCGUGGGUGGCUGAGGCGGAGGGAACAUCAUCGGCGGUAGCGGAGGCAAAGACUGACCCAUGCUCGAAGCAAAGUUCUGCAUGUACUGGAACAUCUGCUCCAUCCUAAUCCGGUUUUCCUCCUCCAUCCUCCGCCGCAUUUCCUCCAUCUGCACCGCCAUCUCCUCUUGUUUCUUCCUUGAUUCUUCCACCUGGGCCUACAAUAUUUCAUUGCAAUGUUAUAAUGCAAAGCUAAAGUAUAACAACAAACGAACGAUGAAUGGAAGAGAAAGAACCUGUAGAGCCUCCAUCUGGAACUGUGCAGCGGUGGGUCGUGGGCGUACCGCCGGGCUCAAGUCCAUGCUCCUAGCUCGGAUCUGGGAGAGAGUGGGAGUAGAGGCCGUGUCGAUGACGCCGUCGCCAAUCCAAUAUCGGCCAUGCUUCUUGCCUCCUCCCACCCUCAUCACGGUUUCUCCAUCAAUGUCCUCGGGGCAGCGUCGGGCCGGGGCGGCGUCGGGCGGCGCGGGCGGCGUCGGGGCGGGCCGUGCGGGGCGGGGCGGCGCGGGCGGCGCGGGCGGCCGGGGGGGCGUGCGGUGCGGGCGGUCAGCGGGGCGGGCGGCCGGGGCGGCGCGUGCGUGUAUGUGUGGUUGUGUGCGUGAGGACUUAGCGGAUUGGAUGGACAUUCGAAACCUUUGCCAAGUGCCCUUGAUCUAGCACCCGGCACACCCUUUGCCGAGUGCUAGAUCAGGGGCACUCGGCAAAGUGUAUUUUUUCCACAAAUUGCGUACUAACGCUGUCACGUGGACCCGGGGUAAUUUUGCCGAGUGCCCUACGGAUGACACUCGGCAAACAAUGUGUUUGCCGAGUGCCCUGGGGAUGACACUCGGCAAACAAUGUGUUUGCCGAGUGCCCUACUGCGACACUCGGCAAAAACGUACCUAUAUUGCAUGUGCAACAACACUUUUAGUACUUAAAAGUAUGUAAACUUUGUGUAAACCUAGUCAAAUUCACUAAACAUUGCGUAUUCCAUUUUUUAAGUAAUAUUGUUCCAUUAUUUCAUGGAUUUAUAGCUCAUAUUUAAUUUAUAUCUAUUAAAUUCAUAUACGUACAAUUAAUGAAUAAAAAUUACCAAACGGAUCUGAAAAAUUCCCAAAAUUUGACAUGAACCAAUCUAUGUUCUCUAUAGCCUAUAAAAAAAAUUUGGACUCAAUGAGAAUUACAUUUAUCGAUUCAUCUCAAAAUCUUACCGGAUCCUUCCAACUUCUACGAAUCCUCUCCGGAGAUGCUUCGAAUUCUAAACAUCAUAUGUCAAAACUUGUGCGAAACCUUGUCAAUUUUUUACCACAGCCUCUACAUAUGAAAUCAUAGCAUCUUGCAAAAUCUCAUGAUUUUCAAGCCUCGUUUGUAUUUUUGAGAAUUAAACAAUCAUUUCGCCACACGUUCGUAGUCGUGUUUCCUUAGCAAAAUGUUCGAAAUUCCUUUUCAUUUUCUGGGUGAGACCUCAAUUUGGACUCACUAACAUGAAUAUGAUUUUUCCACUCAUAUUAUUCCAUUAUUCCAAUCACCUGCAGUUCAAAUUUGCCUUAAAUCAAAAAAUUACUCUAAAUGAAAUUAAUUGAUUAAAUAUAGCAAACAGGUCAAAAAAUAGUCCACCUUCUACCAUGCAGUGCCAAAUACCAUACAUGUAGAGUGUAAAAAGUUUGGAGGGUGGAGGAGGGAAAAAAAUUAUUUUUGCCGAGUGUGUCAAAAGACACUCGGCAAACCCUAUAGUAUGCCGAGUGUGCCCCCUAGCACUUGGCAUACUAGUGGCUUUGCCGAGUGUCCCAUCACGACACUCGGCAAACUAAUGGCUUUGCCGAGUGCCCCCCGUAGACACUCGGCAAAGCCUAACGUCCGUCACGGAGUCGCGACGGCGGCGGCACGGGGAAGUCACGUGCUCGUCAGUUUGCCGAGUGUCCAACUUUGCCGAGUGCCUUGUGGGUGUUUGCCGAGUGUUUUUUUGGCGGCACUCGGCAAACCGGUCCUUCGCCGAGUGUAUUAUGUUUGCCGAGUGUUUUUGGUAUUGCACUCAGCAAACCGGUUCUUUGCCGAGUGCCUGAAAAAAUACACUCGGCGAAGUAAUUACACUCGGCGACUUUGAGGUUUCCCGUAGUGCUUCCAUGUGGCGCAAACUAAAAAAACAGUUCAGAUCAUCCUGAAGAACUAGCUUCUCUGUCUAAAAUACCAGUGCUAGUAGUUGGAUGUGACCUACUACUAAAGGCAGCCAAUCGAAAUCAUAUAAAAAUGUGAUUACAUAUCUCUAGUUUCUAGCUUCUUAAUAUUGGUAAUUUACCUUAGCAAUUACAAUAAGCAACUUUUAGGGACCUCAUAAGCAAAGUUUUGAAAAACUGUAAGAAAAUUAGAGCAUAGACAAUAGCAUUAUAUUUUUGACCCCAUGAAGAAACCAUUAUCUUUCACGAAAACAAGUCUUAAUAUUGGUAAAUUUGACUAGCACAAUAGAUAAUGGCCCCACUUAAUCGAAAGCAUGUAAAUGUCACAUAUAGAAAUCCGGAUGGCCUGAUCCUAAGCUAAGCACGAAGUGAUCUAAUAUGAUCUGCUGACUGGAAGGCAAGAGAUAAUUAACUUGGAAAGCCUAAAAAGAAAGGGACAAGUCAAUUUAUAGCUAUAGUAUUGCAUGGCUAUAACAUUAUAACAUAAUAAGCAUAUAAGGACCUUUCUUUUGAGGCGUAGAGGGGGGCUUAGAAAAGGCUUCUAGUAUGAAAUACAGCAGGCACACAUUGAUCAAAAAAAUGUGUGGGGACCUCCCUCCGGGAGUCCCGCUGAUCACCUGUAUUAGUUCCUGGAUCAGUCAUCAUCACAGUUCAGUAUUUGAAGCAAUAAAAAGACGUACAAUUUAAUAUGAAAAGGUUUUCACCUUAGUGCAGCGAAGUGGUACCCAUCCACUAACAAAAUGGUCUAAACACUUGGAUACAUGUAUGAUGAAAGCAAGACUGAGUACACUUAUGGUUGGUACCCAUAGAUUAAAUGCAAUAUGGGAGGUGGUAUAUUAAAUGCAAUAUGGGAGGUGGUAUAUUAAAUGCAAUAUGGGAGGUGGUAUAGGAAUAUGGUUGAGAGGCAAAACCUAUACCUAAAACAUCUCACAAAUGCAAAGUGGAUUUAAAAAGGUGAGUUUUAUAAAGACUAAGAUAUUAUUAUUAUAUUAUAUAAUGAAAGUUGUGGUCCUGGAGGGGGAACUGCCUCCCAUCCUAGUCCCCAGAUUUUAAUUCUAGAAUCGGAAACUGCCUCCCAUCCCAGUCCCCAGAUUUUAAUUCUGGAAUCCGGUCCACGACCUUCAUCCGGCAUUAUCAUCACACUAAUUCCCACCCAAAGAUUAAUCAUGGAAGCUUUAACAAAGUGGGCUCGUAACCGUGAGCCUUGGCUAUCAAUAGAUCAAAACUCUGCGCAGAGGUGUAUACAUCCAUACAUUCAAUCAGUCCAUACCUUGUUCUUAGGCGGCACUGACCUACGAGACCCAUGCCCGCUCGCGUCUAUCUCUAGACAGCAUUCUCUAGGUCCAUCCACGGAUAUACUGGGUCUAAACAGGGGUCACUAACCAUCCGCUAUGCGGAUCCAAUCCCUGGAAAUGUGCACAAAUACUGGUAGAAAACUCGACAUUAGUCCUGGUUGGUAGGCCUCAAAUCUCUCUAAAAAAUAUCUAGGAUAAAAUUUUCGAGACAAAAGGGAGGUUCUUUAGUCCCCGGACGUUCAACCGGGAUUAAAGUUCCCUUUAGUCCCGGUUAAAAGGGGCUGCCACGCCAAGCGUGGCACGGGCCCCUUUAGUCCUGAUUGGUUUUUCCAACAGGGACUAAAGGGCAUCCACGCAUGCGCCUGCAUACUCACCUGCAUGGCACAUGCAAGAACCCCUUUAGUUACCCUUUAGUACUUAAGACUUUUUUUUAUAAUGAAAUCAAACUAGUGUUUAUACAAAUCAAACUAGUAUUUAUAAAAUUACUAUAUAUACAAUUCAUAGUAUACUAUACAAUUCUUAGCAUAUUAUACAAAUCAAACUAGUAUACAUAUAAUUGCUAUAUAUACAAAAAUUUGUCCCAAUCAUUCCUAGGAUCCUCGCGUCGAGGUGUUGUGAUAGAGUCGGAGUGCCCGAUCUUUCGGUGAGUGGAGAUAAAUUCGACUUGGUGGAAGUAGACCCUCACGAUCCGACUACGACGAGCGAACCCGAAGCGCCAAUGCAAUCGCUGAACCAACUCCCGAUGGUUACCAACCUCGCCGGUGCGAGAUCAGCCUGAUCACGAAGAUCGAUUCCUGUCCGCAAUCGAAGAACGAACAAGAAAGAGAGGCGAGCAAUCUAAAUAUCACUCGAAGGUGGAGUUCUGAAUCACAAGGACAGCGCGUAUUUGCGCGUGUUCAAGAGUAGCUAAAGCUAGAUGUAAAACAAAACUCAAGUCGUAAACAAAAAGGACUCGGACUAAAUAAAGGGGGCGCAGCCCCUGGAGUCCGAAGGGGUCACGGCGCCCAACCCUAGGCGCCCCACCUGGGCUGCCCUGUUGGGCCAUCUUCUUAUUCCGAUGGGCCUUCGUUCCUUAACAGCAUGAUGAAGUUUAAUUCUCUCGCACGGGCUCGAGUGAUUGGCCCAACUGGAUGAGCAACUGUAGGCGCCUGAGGUGGAGGAGCAACUGGAGGCGCCUGAGGUGCUGCUGGUGUAGAUGUACUCGUGGUGUCCUCAUCAUGUUGCUUGGUGCAUCUAAUGCUUGUCCGUUGUAAUGAAAUUCUCCUUGUGGAUUUAUCACCUCGUCCACCAGGAAUCCUACAAGACCUUCACAUAUUGCCCCUACCCUGUCCUUCUCCAAGAUGCUAUGUGGAAUACUCAACAUCUAUAAUUUUAAAAUAUAAGGAGCUAGAAAAUAAUUAACUAUUAAUAGUUUUAUUUUAGUUACUUUGAUCUCAUGCGGCGGCGUCAUGCCCUUGGGUCCCACAAAACUAUACAGGUGCUCACAGACAUAGUAUCCAUAUAAAUUAUUCGCAGGUUCUUGUCUUAAGCACUUCAGUGGGAAAAAAUAAGUUAUGAAAUAUUCGUGUUAUAGAAUGUACAAAAUGUGCAACCUUCAUACGUACCAGGAAGUCUAUUUUGAAUGUAAGUUUUUCAUUGAAUGAACCUUUGUGUUUCUUGAGGAAUUGUUUCUAUGUGCUGCGGAUUAAAAUAAUGAAUGAUACACUGUUAGGUGAAAAUUUAGAAAACAAACUUUUGCAUAGAGAUAAAGGUCCAGAGAUAUUACAAGUUUAGGAUGUCUUCAAUGUCUUUGUAGUCCAUCGGUGGUUUCCUCAACGAAUCAAACACAGUGAUGUGGUUUCUAUCAGUCUCAAUUAUUAGGAGGAUCCAGUGAAAACCGCGUACGUAAAUGUUCAUAUUAGUGCUAACUAACAUUAAUCAGGUAAGGAAAAAGAAAAUAAAAAUAGACGGUACCCACCCUUACUCAAAGUUGUAUGGCAGUAGUAUGUAAGUCUUGUAAUGUUGUUUGUCCAUGAAAUUGUAUACCGCCUCCAAUGUUUUUUUUAGCUGCUCCCGUAUUUGCUUUUGGUUAACUAGGGAUGGAUCCAUGAAGCCAAUAUGAAAGUACGCUUCUCUAUGGCACGUCUGAAUUAGCAUCCUACAUAAAAUGGAAGAUGAAGUUAGUAGGGCGACAAAAAAAAUGAUAUGAGCCAAAAUUUACAUAUAGAUAAACAGACACUUACGGAACCCAGGCGCUGAUGAGAGAGAUGUCAAGGGCAUCCUGAUGCUACACUUCAUAUAUAUCCUUGAAUUCCAUCCACAGGACUUUCUUGCCCUCAUCGAAAAAAUCUAUCGGUUUUACCUGAAGACCAAACAUUUCCCUCUCAUCGGCAGACUGCUUCAUGUACCAUUCAUGGAAUUUGUACAUCUUCGUGGAUAGCUUCCGUACCAACUCAAGCCUUACUAGAGGCUUGCCUAGCUCAAAGGUCCAAUCUGGUACAACUGGCUCUAGAGCUGGCAUAUCAACAUGCCCUAGACAUUCAGCAAGGGACAUACCUAUUUCCUGCAUGAAUUUCAUGAUAUGUAUUUGCUGAUCCAAGGGCAUUGCUGCUAUAUUUUUAGCAUCAUUUUCUGGUAGAUCCCCGAGGUGGGGGACAAUACCACUUGAAGACGGCUUUACUUUCCUUUUUUUCCUCUCAUGAGCCUUGACUAACGCCCGGUCAUAGUUCGAUAGUUGUGGCAUCGUCUUCUUGGCUCCUUUUGAUAUCUUAAUAAAAAAUUGUAAUUUUCUUGGAUCUACUGGUGGGUAAUUUUCUUCGAUAAUUGUAAUUGAUAUCUUCUUUGACUGCCUCCCAUCUUUUUGCAUUGGUCAUAUCGGUCGCUGGCUUCUUAGUGGGUUAAGCCUUCUUUGCUUUCUUCUUUUGCUAACUUGGAUUGGAAGGCAGUGGUCUUACUCCCGACGACGGUUCCUUACUCGAUGCAGGUCUUAGUCCCGGCGACGAUGAUCGAGGAGGGGUGUUGUUGUCGUCGUCGUUGCUCGCACCACCAGGAUGUGUUGGAGAUGGAGACGGUGAUCGAGCAGGAAGCGACGGUCCCGGUGAUGACGACGGUCCUGGAGUAGGAUGUGCUGGAGAUGACGGUCUUGAGCUUUGAGGAGAUGGUCGCUGAGAGGGAUCUACGGGGAGCAGUGAUGCCUCCGUGCCGGGGAUGAUGAUGUAGGGUUUGCGCCAUAGAAUGAUCCCGUGAAGCGCAUCUCCUAGUGUCCUUUCCCCGUUGUCUCCUGGGAGGUCGAGCUCUAGGCCUUCAUAUUGCCUAUCAAUGAGCUGCUCUAGGCCGACGCUGGCAUAACCAGGUGAAAUCUCCAUGCCAUGUCUUGUCUGUCCUGGCAGGAUUAGUAAGGCACUCCCGUACGCCACCUGUACAUAUAGCAGAAAUAAAGAAGUUAUUAAACUCCCAAGGCGUGGAUCGAUUGAGAAGAUUGUAUAAAAUAUGUAUACGUAUACCUUAAUGGUGAUGUUGCCGAACGGUCUAUGCAGCUCACAUGAGGUGUGUUGCGUGAUGACAUCCACAGGGUAUCGUUGGUCGUCCAUAGGUAAUCUUGGCAUCUGCUCAUCGAGGAUCCCUGUGGAAGCACAGCUGCUCCCGAGGUGUUGAGAAGGACUGCUAGGGCCACUUGACGAUUGGUUUGGAUACACAAGGCAUGAACAAAAGUAUACACAAGGCAUGAACCAUUUUGGAUCAGAUCAGAGGUGAACAAGAGGACCCCCAUGAAAACCAAGGUUAUGCCGGACGAAGCCUCAUCAAGAUCUUCACCAAGGAAAAAUCCUGCAACGGGGAGGAAAGGCGAUGAUGAAGAGAUGCAGAAGAACAUUUUGUUUGUACUUCAUGAGCUCCAUCAUUACUAUGUUGUUUCAACUAUUUGGUUUGUACAGUGGUGUAACCUAAUCCUAACUAUUCUAAUCUCUUACACCUACAAUUUUUUUACCUUAAUUUUAUUGCAAUGACUAAAUAUUAACAACACAUUUACUCUAUUUUUUCUCAUACCUAAUAUUGAUCAAGUUCUUUUAACUAAUACGAAUCAUAUAUAACAAGCUAGUUAUCCAUCAGAUUCUAGCUCAAAAACAUGUAUAAAUAAAAAUCCUCUCCAUUCUCCCUCAUUCUAAAAAACUCAUUUUUCUCCCUCUCUAAAGCAUAAAACAAAGCAUAAUAACAAUAAAUGAAGGGACGAUGAAGUAGCUAACCUUCACAAUACUUUGGAUGAGUGAAAUCUCCACGGAAUUGAGGAAAAAAAAUUCGAGCAACACCUCCCAUAGGGUUGAAGCAUCACCAUGGAGAGGAGGCCGAAUGUCUCCGGUGGAGUGGAGUGGCUCGGGCUAGAGGAGGAAGAAGAGCUCUUUGACUGGUGAUUUUAUAUGGGAGGAGAUUUUGUCCCGGUUGGAAAUUCGAACCGGGAUAAAAUACAACCCCUUUUAUCCCGGUUGGUGGUUUAGUCACGGUUGGAAGCAUUACUUGUGGCCCAAAAAGUUUGUUAUCCAUUCUGAUCAUGAAUCUUUGAAGGAUAUUUGUAGUCAAGGAAAAAUGAAUUGUAGACAUGCCAAGUGCGUUGAAUUUAUUGAAUCUUUUCUUUAUAUUAUUAAGCUGAAGAAAGGGAAAGAGAAUAUUAUUGCUGAUGCUUUGUCUAGGAGGCAUACCUUGCUGAAUCAACUUGAUUACAAAAUCUUUGGAUUACAAAUAAUUAAAGACUAAUAUGUUCAUGAUGCUAAUUUUAAAGAUGUGUUGCUACAUUGUAAAGAUGGGAAAGGAUGGAACAAAUUCAUCAUUAGUGAUGGGUUUGUGUUUAGAGCUAACAAGCUAUGUAUUCCAGCUAGCUCUGUUUAUUUGUUGUUGCUGCAGGAAGCACAUGGAGGUGUCUUAAUGGGGUAUUUGGAGCAAAGAAAACGGAGGACAUACUUGCUGGUCAUUUCUUUUGGCCACAGAUGAGAAGAGAUGUGGAGAGAUUUGUUGCUCAUUGCACGACAUGUCAAAAGGCUAAUUCAAGGUUAAAUCCACAUGAUUUGUAUUUUCCUCUACCAGUUCUUUUUGCUCUUUGGGAAGAUAUUUCUAUGGAUUUUGUGUUGGGAUUGCCAAGGACUAGGAGGGUAAGUGAUAGUGUGUUUAUGGUUGUUGAUAGAGUUUCUAAGAUGGCACAUUUCAUACUAUGUCAUAAAAUUGAUGAUGCUACUCAUAUUGCUGAUUUGUUCUUUCGAGAAAUUAUUCGUUUGCAUGGUGUGCCCAACACAAUUGUUUCUGAUCAUGAUGCCAAAUUUCUUAGUCAUUUUUGGAAGACUUUAUGGGCAAAAUUGGAGACUAAGCUUUUAUUUUCUACUACAUAUCAUCCCCAAACUGAUGGUCAAACUGAAGUUGUGAAUAGAACUUUGUCUACGAUGUUACGGGCUGUUUUAAAGAAGAAGAUUACACUACUAGAUUUUAGGGCUAUUGCCAUGGCUAUCAUCCCAUCAACUCAAAUUUCAUUGCAACACGUAGGGGUUAUUGCAACGAUUUUGAGUUUUCAUUGCAACUGGUAGACGUUAUGCCACCAUUUGAAAAUUCAUUGCAAUAGGUAGGCGAUAUUACCAAGUGUGUGUUUUCGUUGUAAUAUUUAAUUUUUUUUGUUGCAAUAUCGACGGGUUAUUGCCACAAAAUAUGCAAUGUUGCCACAUAACCCAAGGCAACAACGGAAAAUCUAUUGCAAUAGGUCGGUGUUGUCGCAACGAGUUGAAAAUGGUUGCGAGUUGCUGAAGAAAUUGCCACGGUUUUUUUGCGUUGUUAUAAAGUUUUUUUUUGCGUUGCAAUAUGUAAGGGUUAUUGGCACGAAAUACGUAAUGUUGCAAGUAGGAAGCAAUAUUGCAACGAAUUUGUUACGUUGCCACAUAGCCCAUGGCAACAACAAGAAAUUUGUUGCAAUAAUAGGUGUUGUCGCCACGAGUUGAAAAAUGAUUGCGAGUUUUACUUAAUGGAAAAAUUAAAAGAUACGCAAUGAGGGAAUCAAACUAGGAUCUCCAGAGUUUGGACUCGAGCACCUCACCACCACGCUACGCAAUAGUUGGGUGAUAGAUAGGAGCCGAAGUAAAAGAAAUAAAUUCUAUGUUAGUUACAGAAAUAAAUUCUAUAAAUAUUCGUUGCAAUAGGUACGUGUUAUUACCAUCAUUAUGCAAUUUUGUUGCAAAAGAUUGAUUUGUCGCAACCAUUUGUUGCACUGUUGCUUCCGUGGCAACCCUUGGGCAAGGACGCCAUGUCACCCGACAACCGGCCGCGCCAGGUCACCGGCCCCCCAGCAACGCGCCACGUCACCCGGCCACGGCGUGCCAGGUUUUGAACCCUAGUUUUAGAGACCACACUCCAACGCCUUACCACUACACUACACCAACACUUAAGAUGAAGUAUGGUAUUCUAUAUUUUAUACGUUCAUUUUCUCGUGUUUUAUUUCAGAAAAAUUAAAAGAUGCGCAAUGGGGGAAUCGAACCAAGGUCUCCAGAGUUUAGACUCGAGCACCUCACCACCAUGCUACGCAAUAGUUGGGUGAUGGAUAGGAGCCGAAGUAAAAGAAAUAAAUUCUUUGUUAGUUACAGCAAUAUAUCUAUAGUGUAGGUUAAUUACUGAGUUCUUUAGUGCCCACCGUAUUGGAGAGAUCAAACGCAGCAUCAUUGAGGUUGAAGAAAAGGAAAAAAUUACUAUUGAAACAGAUUGAAUAAACAUAAUUUCUACCAGAUAUUAGCAUUUCUGUGUAACUUUCAUGGAUCCUAUGUGCUGCAAUUAUUAUGUGGUAAUUUGGAGAUAGAAGUUUGAAUUUUCCUAACAAGACAAUUGAAUUUUUCAUCUAUCUCUAAGGCAUGGGCUAGAAUCGAACAUACAAGCUUAAAUAUAAUUUUUGUGUAUUUUUUGAAUCUUAUUGGUGGUACACAUAGUUCAAGUUGGAAUUACUUUCGAUAAGCAUGUAGCAAUUCAUUUAAAUGAUAGAAAAUACUAACUUUAUUAAAAAAUUCUUGAAACUCCUACAUUACAACUUAGAUGUUUUCUCUUACAUGCAAAAAUAUAAUUAGGGGUAUAUAAAAUAAUUAUUUUGCAAGUUACUUCACAAGGGUGUAUUAAUUAGUUAGUUAAAAAAUAGAAAAUAACUUUUUUUACAAGAAGUGGCAAUGUAAAUCCACAAAUGUCAACAACAAGGUAAAGGUAAGUUUGUGUCCAAAUUUGAGGUGCAUACGAGUUCAAAUAUAAUACGAGCUAUUCAAAUUUCAAAGUUUGAUUUGAGUUGUGUGAAAUAAUAUGAGAGGUCUAUCCAUUUUCUGAACAACAUAUACUCCAAUCUUUUUGAAAUCUUAUGAAACUUUUAUGUCAAGCUUAUAGACCCAAAAUAUGUUGUCAUGUAAAUUUGUAGAAUUUUCUGAUCAAAUUUAGAUAUUAUUUUAAUCAUUAUGUGUAAUUUGGAGAUAGAAGUUUGAAUUGUCCCUAAAAGAAAAUUGAAUUUUUCAUCUAUCUCCAAGGCAUGGGCUAUAAUUGAACAUACAAGUCUAAAUAUAAUUUUUUUGUACUUUUUUAAUCUUAUUGGAGGUACACAUAGUUUAACUUGGAAUUACUUUCGAUAAGCACGUAGAAAUUCAUUUAAAUGGUAGAAAAUAUUAAAUAUGUUAAAAAUUCUGGAAACUCCUACAUCACAACUUUUAUGUUGUUUAUUACAUUUUAAAAAUAUAUUGAUAUAUAUAAGAUAAUAAGUUUUGUGUGUUACUUCAUAAUGCUGCAAUAAAAUGAAAAAAGAAAAAGAAAAACAUUAAGCACAGAAGAAAUGGAAGAUGGGCUGUUUCGGCCCAAAUAGCCCAACUAUUUCCGACCGUUCAUCGCAGAUUCGACGGCUCUGAUCGCGUUCCCAUCAUAUAUAAUAUGCUGCAUCCCCUACCCAAACCAUAGCUCCUUCACCCGCGCACCAUUGGCACCCAGCCAACUCCAGCCGCACCUCCCUUUCUCCUCCUCUCUGCAGCCACACUCCCCUUUCUCCUCCUCCCCCGAUGCCAUCCUCACCUUUGCUGCCCCACCCCAGCGGGCCUCCCUCCUCCACCUCCGAUAGCGCCCCUCCUCCCUUCUCCCCCCACUCUCCUCUCUUCCUCGCGCUGUCGAGAAGCGUUCCCAGGAGCGCCACCGCGCGCUGCAGCAGCAGCUGGGGUCCAGGGCUGCCGACCUCGACGGCCCGUGGAUUGCUGCAGCCACGGGGUUCACCGCCGACUCCGACAACGAGGAUGACUCAGACGAGGCCACGGCGUCGCGAGAGGAAGGGGAGCCCAAGAAGCCGAAGGUGACCGCGCCUCCCUCCUCCACCUUCGAUCGCACCUCCCUCCCUAGAUCUGGUGGUAGGCCAGGCGGAGGAAUGGGGCCGGUUCAUCAGGUGGGCAUCCUACAUGUUGGUGGAGGAGGCAGCGGCUCUGCUUAGGGUUUGGAGGUGGCCAUCCCUGGUAAGUCCCCUCCCCGCUCCGUUCGGAUCUCCGCCACUGGGAGAACCCUAGGGCCCUGCUUAGGACGGUCGGUCUCCCCCUGCUUCGGAUCUCCCCCCUCUGUUCGGCCCUGCUUAUGGCGGUUGGUGGCUUGAACCCUAGCGGCGAUGGCAGCCCCAGGCUUCGGUCCCCGCCGCUGGGAGAAGCUAGGGACGUUUUCCUUGCUGCGGGCAUCUCCUUCCUACCGCAGCAACUCAAGGUUCGUUCCCAUGGCUGAAACAGUUAGAUGCAGGGUGUGUGUGAUGUCGUCAACAUUGCCGAUGCACAUUUGAGCAGAUGCUUAGCGUGAUGAUUAUGCUUACAUGCUGAUUCUCGUGGUCAGGUACAGAUUGUUAGGGUGCUCUAUGUUUUUAGCUUUCGAUUGGAAUCCUAGCAAUCAGUCUGUCUCAUGUCUUUCACUGGUAAAGAGCUAUGCAGUUCAGAUACACCAUAUGGCGGUAGGACUCAAUUUUAAAGCCAAAUUACUGAGUCUAGGGAAUGUAUGUAAACACACCAAGGAACCAAAUCAAGGUUCCAAAGUUGGAAUCCAAUCUGUGCAUUGCUCUAUUGCCUGCACACUGCAUAUAUGUGAGUUUUUUUACAUUAUUUUCUUAGUUUGGCGUAUCUGUAGUUGUACACACCUUCACUAGAAAGAUUCAAAACUAUUCAUGCCUUAACAUAACUAGUAGCACUAGGUGUGUCUUGCUUCCGGCAUUUUGCUCAUAGAUAAUCCUAAAUAUGCCAUCUCACUAACACUACGGGAAACAGAACCUUUGCCGAGUGCCUGGGGCACUCGGCAAAGGCCUAAAAACACUCGGCAAAGCCUUUGCCGAGUGUAACACUCGGCAAAGAGCACACGGCAAAUGUUGUGUCGGCAAAGCCUAGUUCACCGAGUGUCAAAACUAAUCGGCCUAUAUCGGCCGUCGCCUUGCCCUUUUUGGAGAGGACCCAUGCCUUGAGCUGGGAGCAAGGUCGGCCAUCAUGUGACGCCGACUGCGGCAAAAUACAAAAUCAUUAAAAAUUACGUAGAACUGAACGUUACAAUAAAGAAUUGAAGUUGCGUACCCAUUUUUCUCUAUAUUCAUCAAGGCUUAGGCUGCCUUGAUGGUGUGAUGCAGUUGGCAUCUGCAAACGCCGCUGCCGGCAAGAAAGGUGGGUCUCCAACCACCCGGGCUCCAACCACACGUCGACCAUCCUCUCCCAGCAUGGCAUAUGCGCACGACACCACCACGGAGGCACCUACAUCAUCAAGCGUGUGACGUAUGAAAAAGAAAAUGAGCCUAAUUAAUCAUAAAUAGUAAGCAUCAACGUUCUUUACUUACCCUCAUGAAUUGAUCCUUAGUCAUGUUCAUUGUUCUUCCCUCCUCUUUUCUAACCUUCGUAUGAUUGUAUUGAGCGUUGAACUCUAUGAUGGCCUGGAUGCGCGCCUCGUAAUGCAUGUCCCUCACGAGCUUCUUGGCGGCUACAUCACAGACGGCCUUCGCCUUGGCCUCGAACCCCUCCUGGCAUCUAUAGAAGUCCUGCAUAUACACGCGUAAACAGUUAUUAUUUCAAGAAUGUCGAAAGUAGCUGAUGUAUUGAGCAAUUUAGUACGAGGAGUACUUACCCACAGGUCGGCCUUGACCCACUCCGCUAUGUUGGGGAAUCUUCUCUGUUGACGAUCAGGGACGUCGGGGGCGGCGACGUAGUGAUCCCACGUGUAGGCCGGCUGCAGCUGUCCGGCGUACACCACCAAGCCAGGGAAGUGAACCCUGCACAAAAGGCCAAGGAUCCCGUUGGCCUUACGGUUGUGGUCACCCCCGCUGAGCUUAACCCAACUCCUGCACAAGUAAUUAAUAUUAAUUAUUAGUUUUUGUAACUUACAACAUAAGAACAAUUUUAAGAAUAUUUAAAGUUACUUACUUGGUCCCAACCGGUUUAAUGAGCGGGCGUAAAUGCUCAGGUAUCGGCCGCUUCGGGAGGGAUGAGGGACCUCGCAACCAUAUCUUGGCCUGGGUAUCCCCUGCCUCCCCGUCCCCCUCCUGCUCCUGCUGCUCCUCCUCCUCCGCCUCCUCGUCCCCAGAGGAGUGUGCGGAAGGUACCUCCUCCUCCUCCUCCUCCUCCNNNNNNNNNNNNNNNNNNNNNNNNNNNNNNNNNNNNNNNNNNNNNNNNNNNNNNNNNNNNNNNNNNNNNNNNNNNNNNNNNNNNNNNNNNNNNNNNNNNNUUCCCUCGAGGCCUCUGGACCACCUCUUGCUCCUCCUCCUCCUCCUCCUCCUCAACCAUACGUCGAGGCCUGCCUCGACGCCUCCCCUCGACCACUCCCUGAACGUGACCCUGACCCUGAACCAGUCCCUGCCGCGGCCAGUCUCUCGCAAAUCGACGUGAGCUUCCUGAUACCGCCCACCAUUGCUUAAUGACCUGCAAUUAAAAAGAGUACACGAGUCAGCAUAGGCAAACAAAACAUAAUUACAAAUAUAUGCAAAUUACAAGUAAUUAUAGCUAAAUUAUUACGAAUCAUACAUGUAUUAGAAAUAAUCAUCAUGAUCGGGAUUAGCUGGAUCAUAAGUCUCAUCAUCACUAUCACGCGUGUCGAUAUAGUCAAGCUCGUGCUCCGAAGAAGGAAUGUCGUCAUCACUGUCAUUAUCUAACUGUAAUCGUUGAAGUAAUUCUAAGUCCUUCACAUUCUGAACCUCGUCUCCACCGUCCUCUACAGCAACCCUCUCGUUGUCUACUUCCAUUCCGAUCGCUUCGGUUAAAUCUAUCACAAAACUCCCUUCGAGCCCAUCUUCUUGGAAUAACUCUCCUUCGUACGUGUCGGGGUCUAUAUUGUAAUCUUCAUUGUUUGGUACAGGUAGUUUACCGUGUGGCGAUACCUUGUACACAACAUCCCAACCCUUAAGACGGCUGUCGGUUUGGCACGGGUAUGACAAAUAAGAGGUUUGCACCCAUGAAAAGUGAGUUCGUAUAUUUCUUCAAUUCUUCCGUAGUACUCGACUCCAUCGGAGCCUAGCAUGAAAACUCCGGUAUUUGUGGUUCUUCGAUUGGGCCGACUCUGCUCGUGCCUUGUUGUGUGAAACCUAUAUCCGUUGACGUCAUAACCGGCAAACGACCUGACCCUAUAGUCACAGCCAUCGGCAACCUGUCUCAACUCGACAUUCAUAGACGCAUCGGUUCGGCCCUGCAAGUACGAACAGGGUGGUUCGUUAUAUUAAUCGUAUGCACGAGUAUCUAGAAUGUUCGCGGAAAUGAAAUUUUACCUUCUGUUUGAACCAAGAAAUGAAAUCGGGCAUUCCAUUUCCCGCACCCUCUUUAAGAAGAGUCUCAGCUUCGUGCAGGGCCGGUUGCCUUGAUUUACGCCAGAAUUGACGAUGAAAUUGCCUAUGCCAACGAGAAAGAUACGUUUAGGCAAGAGAUACCAUUAAUACGUCGAAACAAGUUUGUCGAUGACUUACAUCAUGUACGGCUCCACUUCAGAUAGGUUGGUCAACACAUACAGCAUGAUAGAGCGCCACUCUUCAUGAUUAAGGGUCUUGCGGGUCGCACCACUUGCACUUCCGAGUUGCCCUCGGAAAAUGCUAAGGCUUAAUUCAUCUUCGCUAGCAUUGUAACGAGGAGGUGGAUUAUGCACGCUAGGAAGGUUGUCAGCGUAGUAUUUCGAUGUGAAGUUUGACACCUCCUCCAGAAUGUAUGCCUCUGCAAUGGAUGCUUCAAUUUUGCACUUAUUCUUACAUUUAGUUCGAAGAACCUUUUGACAUCUCUCAAUUGAGUAGCACCAACGACCCUGCACAGGCCCCCCCAUUCGUGCUUCAUACGGGAGGUGUAGAAUCAUAUGCUGCAUUGGAUUGAAGAAGCAUGGAGGAAAGAUCUUCUCCAACUUACAGAGCAACACAGGCGCCAUUGUUUCCAUUUCUGCAACCACGGUACGAGAUAACUCCUUCGCGCAAAGCCGGCGGAAGAAAUUGCUCAACUCCGCUAGCACCUGCCACACAUGCUCAGGGACAUAGCCUCGAACCAUCACCGGAAGGAGGCGCUCAAGCCAUAUAUGGUAAUCAUGACUCUUGAGCCCGUUGAUUCGCAUAGUUGCUAAAUUCACUCCCCUCUUCAAGUUCGCUGCAUAGCCAUCAGGGAACAUUAAUGUUUGGAACCAUUCUAGAACCUCCCUCCUUUGGGCCCUCGUCAGAACGAAAUCGGCCUUAGGCUUCCUCCAUGACUUGCCAGCUCUUGGAGGCGCCAUGUUUAGCUGUGGUCUAUUGCACAAUGUCGCUUGAUCCACUCUAGCCUUAACGUUAUCCUUUGUCUUGUCAGGAAUGUCCAUUAUUGUACCAAAAAUUGCCUCGGCAAUAUUUUUUUCCAUGUGCAUUACAUCAAUGUUAUGUGGAACAAGGAGAUCAUCAAAAUAUGGAAGGUUCCACAAGCACGACUUCUGCGUCCAAGCAUGUUGCUCGCCAUAUCCCAAAAAACCACCUUCUUCAUUAUUGAACUCAAGAGCGUCUAACUGAGCACGAAGUGCGGCCCCUGUCAUCAUCGGCGGUGCGGGGGCUGUAACUACAACAUCUUUGGUAAAGUUCUUCAUGUCUCGUCUAAAUGGAUGGUCAGGAGGGAGGAAUUGUCGAUGUUUGUCGAACGAGGAAUAUUUGCCCCCUUUCGACAACCAAAUGAACUUCAAAGAUGCUUUACAUACUGGGCAAGGGAACUUCCCGUGAACACACCAUCCGGAGAAAAUCCCAUAUGCCGGCAAGUCAUGCAGUGAGUACUGGUACCAAAUAUGCAUCUUGAAGUUUGUCUUUGUGGAUCGGUCAUAGGUCCAUACCCCUUCCUCCCAAGCACGGAGCAAAUCAUCAAUCAGAGGCUCCAUAUACACACUCAUAUUAUUCCCCGGAUGCUCUGGAAUUAUCAACGACAAGAAUAUAUUAUGUCGUUGAAAUAGGACGCCGGGUGGGAGAUUCAGUGGGAUAACGAAAAUGGGCCAACAGGUGUACGGGGCGGCCACCAUUCCAUAGGGAUUGAACCCAUCAGUUGCCAACGCAACGCGUACGUUACGGGCCUCUAGAGCUUUUGCAGGAUAAAUCGCAUCAAAGCUUCUCCAGGCUUCAGCAUCGGAUGGGUGUACCAGCUUCUCUGGAUUAUAGCGACGGCCAUUUUUGUGCCAUGUCAUCUGUUUCACGGAUUCUUCAGUCAUGAAAAGUUGUUGGAUCCUCGGUAUGAAAGGAAGAUACCGUAGAACCUUCACAGGAAUUGCGAGCUGCUUUUUCUGACCGUCACCAUAGUCAACCUCCAGAAAUCUAGACGAUUCACACUUCACACAGUAUUUUGCUUCCGCAUACUCUUUCCUAAAUAAGAUGCAUCCCUUCGGGCAAGCAUGUAUAUGCUCGUAUGGCAUCUUAAGUGCACGAAGGAGUUUCUGUGCCUCAUACAUGCUCUUUGGCAAGAUGUGACCAACCGGGAGCAGGCUUCCAAAAACUGUCAACAUAAUAUCAAACGUGUCUCGACUCAAACUAAACUGAGACUUCACAGCCAUUAGGCGUGCAAUGGCAUCUAGCUGAGAAACCUUGGUAUGGCCGUGAAGGGGUUGCUGUGCCGCAGACACCAUUUCGUAAUAAGCCUUAGCGGUAGCCUCUGGCUCCUCCUCCCUACGUGCCUCUUCGAAGUGUGCUUCAUGAAAGUCAUUUAACAUGUCUCCCACCCCGGCAUCAUCAUCAAAUUCCUCGAUUCGUUGUCUCAAGACCUCCUCUCUCCCACGGUCAGAUUCACCAUGGUAGAUCCACCUGGUGUAGUCUGACGUAAAUCCGUUCUUCACCAGAUGUUUGCCCAUCUCCAGCUUGGUUUGCCGACGCAUGUUUCCACAUUUGCUGCACGGACACCAAGUCGAUCGAGCUCCAUUGACACUUGCAAACGCCCGUUCCAAGAAAGCAUCCGUCUUGUCAAGCCAUUCAUUGGUCAACGUAUUCUGACUAGUGCGACCCGUGUACAUCCACUGACGAUCCUCCAUCCUCUACCAUUUAAAUAAGUAAUACAAAAUUCACAUGGCAUAUACACGCUCCUAUAUUGUCUACUAGGUAAAGAUAGGUCCUAAUCCCACCCGAGGAUGUGUAGGUGGGUUUAGUAUCCAUGGUCUAAUCCGACCCGAGAUAAAAUUUCGACCCCAUCACAUUUAAGUUCCCAGUCAUUGCUUAGCCAUUAGCACUUGGUUUCAGAUAUCAUCAGGGAGUAGCUGCCGAAAUUUGUCUCAGGUCGGAGUAGACCAUGGAUACUAAACCCACCUACACAUCCUCGGGCUGUCCAAAAAACGUGGACAAUUCGAAACAGAUACGAUUAUAGAUAUGCAAAGAUCUGCAUAUUUCCAACCGUAUCUCUUUCGAACGGGAGACGCCUAACUAGGUUACGUGAUAUACGAACAUUAUACGGAAAGAGAGGUGUAGCAUGCCUCACCUAUCUAUAUCUUGCAAAGUGACGAGUCGAGGACGGUCCUUGUAAGCCUCUCCUGCAACAAAAGAAACAAAACACUGUUUAAGUCAAAAUUCCGGCAGCAUCUCCCCUGCACGGGGAGGUUUCCAAAACCUGCAACAUAAUAAACGGCACGAUGGCCGACAACCACAAUCUCACCAAAGAGUUGGCACGAUGGCCAACAACCACAACCACACCUCUAUUAUUUUCAACCUUUUGUAAUUUCUACUAUUCCUUCUUCUCGAAUUUUCUAAAUCCAUACCUCUAAUUUAUAAAAUAAAUGCUACCUCUCUAGUAUUUUCAACAUUUAAUUUCUAAUUUCCAAUUUUCAUGCAUACUCUAAUUUACGAUGUGUAGCGGCAACAUAAACUUACCGGAGGGGUGACGGAGGAGCGGGCGCGGGGCAGCGGCGGGGGCGCGGCCGGGCGGCGACGGCGCGGGGCGGCCGAGGGUCGGGGCCGGGGGUCGGGGCCGGCCGGCGGCGGGCGUGUGCGGGCAAGCCGGCAGCGGGACGCCCGGGGCCGGUGUUGGGCGGCCGGGGCUGGCCGCGGGCGGCGCGGGCCGGGGGCGGCCGGGGCGGCGUCAGGCGGCCGGGGCAGGCCGCGAGCGGGGCCGGGGGCGCUUGGAGCAGGCCGCGGGCGGCACGGGCCGGGUGGCGGCGUAAGCGGCCGGAGCAGCGUCAGGCCUGGGCAGCGUCAGGCGGGCGCGCGGGCUGCGGCGUCUGGCGGCGGCGACGGCGUGGGGCGGGCGGCGCUCGCGUGGGGUGGGCGGCGGCGGCGGGCGGCACGGGCGGUCAGCGGGACGGGCGGCCGGGGCGGCGCGUGCGUGUAUGUGUGGUUGUGUGCGUGAGGACUUAGCCGAUUGGGAUUGGGUGGAUAUCCGAAAACUUUGCCGAGUGCCCGUGAUGUAGCACUCGGCACACCCUUUGCCGAGUGCUAGAUCAGGGGCACUCGGCAAAGUGUAUUUUUUUCCCCGAAAUUCGUACUGAGGCUUACACGUGGACCGGGUGUCACCUUUGCCGAGUACCCUUGAUCUAGCACUCGGCAUACCCUUUGCCGAGUGCUAGAUCCGGGGCACUCGGCAAAGUGUAUUUUUUAUCCCCGAAUUUCGUACUGACACUGUGACGUGGACCCGGGGUGACUUUGCCGAGUGCCCUAUUUAUGACACUCGGCAAACCAUCCCUUUGCCGAGUACCCUACGUAGCACUCGGCAAACACCUACCUAUAUUGCAUGUGCAACAACACUUUUAGUAAUUAAAAGUACGUAAACUUUGUGUAAACCUAGUCAAAUUCACUAAACAUUGCGUAUUCCAUUUUUUAAGUAAUAUUGUACCAUUAUUUCAUGGAUUUAUAGCUCAUAUUUAAUUUAUAUCUAUUAAAUUCAUAUACGUGCAAUUAAUGAAUAAAAAUUACCAAACGGAUCUGAAAAUUUCCCAAAAUUUGACAUGAACCUAUCUAUGUUCUCUACAGCCUAUAAAAAAAAAUUUGGACUCAAUGAGAAUUACAUUUAUCGAUUCAUCUCAAAAUCUUACCGGAUCCUUUGAACUUCUCUGAAACCUCUCCGGAGAUGCUUCGAAUUCUAAACAUCAUAUGUCAAAACUUGUGCGAAACCUUAUCAAUUUUUUACCACGGCCUCUGCAUACGAAAUCAUAGCAUCUUGCAAAGUCUCAUGAUUUUCAAACUUCGUUUGUAUUUUUGAGAAUUAAACAAUCAUUUGGCCACACGUUCGUAGUCGUGUUUCCUUAGCAAAAUGUUCGAAAUUUCUUUUCAUUUUCUAGGUGAGACCUCAAUUUAGACUCACUAACAUGAAUAUGAUUUUUUCACUCAUAUUAUUCCAUUAUUCCAACCACCUGCAGUUCAAAUUUGACUUAAAUCAAAAAAUUACUCUAAAUGAAAUUAAUUGAUUAAAUAUAGCAAACAGGUCAAAAAAUAGUCCAUCUUCUACCAUGCAGUGCCAAAUUGCCAUACAUGUGGAGUGUAAAAAGUUUGGAGGGUGGAGGAGGGGAAAAAAAAUUAUGUUUGCCGAGUGUGUGAAAAGACACUCGGCAAACCCUAUAGUUUGCCGAGUGUACCCCCUAGCACUCGGCAAACUAUAGGGUUUGCCGAGUGUCUUUUCACACACUCGGCAAACAUAAUUUUUUUUCCCCUCCUCCACCCUCCAAACUUUUUACACUCCACAUGUAUGGCAAUUUGGCACUGCAUGGUAGAAGAUGGACUAUUUUUUGACCUGUUUGCUAUAUUUAAUCAAUUAAUUUCAUUUAGAGUAAUUUUUUGAUUUAAGUCAAAUUUGAACUGCAGGUGGUUGGAAUAAUGGAAUAAUAUGAGUGAAAAAAUCAUAUUCAUGUUAGUGAGUCUAAAUUGAGGUCUCACCUAGAAAAUGAAAAGAAAUUUCGAACAUUUUGCUAAGGAAGNNNNNNNNNNNNNNNNNNNNNNNNNNNNNNNNNNNNNNNNNNNNNNNNNNNNNNNNNNNNNNNNNNNNNNNNNNNNNNNNNNNNNNNNNNNNNNNNNNNNNNNNNNNNNNNNNNNNNNNNNNNNNNNNNNNNNNNNNNNNNNNNNNNNNNNNNNNNNNNNNNNNNNNNNNNNNNNNNNNNNNNNNNNNNNNNNNNNNNNNNNNNNNNNNNNNNNNNNNNNNNNNNNNNNNNNNNNNNNNNNNNNNNNNNNNNNNNNNNNNNNNNNNNNNNNNNNNNNNNNNNNNNNNNNNNAAAUGAAAUUAAUUGAUUAAAUAUAGCAGACAGGUCAAAAAAUAGUCCAUCUUCUACCAUGCAGUGCCAACUCUCGACACACGUGGAGUGUAAAAAGAGUGGAGGGUGGAGGAGGGGACAAACAAUAAUGUUUGCCGAGUGUGUCAUCAUGACACUCGGCAAACCCGUGCCUUUGUCGAGUGCCCUAUAUUGACACUCGGCAAACAUUAACGGCCGUCACGGAGGGGCGCCGGCGGCGGCACGGGGAAGUCACGUGGGUGUCAGUUUGCCGAGUGUGAAAGUUUGCCGAGUGCCUGUUGGGUGUUUGCCGAGUGUUUUUUGGGUGGCACUCGGCAAACCGGUCAUUCGCCGAGUGUUUUAUUUUUGCCGUGUGUUUUUUAUGUUACACUCGGCAAAACGGUGCUUCGCCGAGUGCCCGAAAAAAUUACACUCGGCGAAGUAAUUACACUCGGCGAAGUAAUUACACUCGGCGACAUUAAGCUUUCCCGUAGUGUAAGUUCACUGUUAAUUGUAUGGUUUGAGCAGCAAUUGCUCACCCCUUUAAUCAUUUGCUCUCAUUUUCUUGAGUUAUACGUUGUCCUUUGUUAAUCUGCAUUUGACUCAAUUAUAGCUAUUCUAGAUCUCCAAUAUCAUGUUGUAUAUGAAAACUUGAUAGGUUACACAUUCUGAAAUGCAAAGAAUUAACAUGUUGUAGUAACCCACUGUUAUCACUUAAAUUUAAAUGGUGUAGUUGUGGAAUAAUAAGCUAUGUUCAGGAUCAUAUAUGCUAUUUUUUUCUAGAUCUUCCUGAUCAAAUUUACAUGGUUCAAUACUGAAUAUUAAGAUAUACCGUUAGCACUGUCCCUUCUAAAGAGAUCCACUGAUAGUUUGCUGAAUAUUAAGAUAUACCGUUAGCUACUGCACUGUACACAUUUCUUUUGCAGGUUGUUCUUCACCUGACAGGUAAAAGGUUUGAAGCAUCCUUUGCAUAUCCGUGUGCUAAUCUUCUUUUCAUACAUUCUUAGGCCAACAUUUAUAGGAUUUUUUUACCUUAUGUUUGUUUAGCAUAGUAUUUAGAAACCGUCAGCAUUACCUGCAUGCAAGACAUGGUGAUAGAUAUUGCCCACACCAAUGUGAUGUUCCUUUAUCUACCGAUUCUUACUCUAUGUCACUGUGAUGCUGCUGACUCGAUCAAUUGAUGAUCAAUUGACUCAAGUCGCAGGCCAGGGCUGCGCUCUUCUUCCGGGGCUCCAAGAUGGACCUGUCCGCAUUGCCGAGCACAGAGGCAGAGUCCAGCGCGGCUGCCGCACCAGUCAAAGGGAGGAAUGCUGCCUUCCACAAAUCUCUUCCAUUUGUGUCUUGCUAGAUGACAUCUGAAAUUUUCCACAAAUUUCUGUGGAGCCCCAUGGCGCAGUUGGAGCCCUUGCAGGUCGUCGUGCUAUAGCACAGGGCAACCCUGAUGAAGUUGCUGCAGCACUGUGUAGAUACGCAGCACCAGAACCUUCUACUUAGUUGCUGACACUAAUCUCAUCAAGAACCAUGUCUAUUUGUAUCUUACAAAUUUCAUUGGAUAGGUUGAUGUGUUGCCAUCAUCAUGUGGGGCCUGUGGAGCAGAAUGUGUCACCCUGAUGAACUAGUUAUGUUGUAUUAAAACAUGUGUUUGAUAGCAGUACAAAACUUUGCGCAGUCUUGAUCACUUGUAUGUAGUUCCCAUACAAGGUAGUUCCCAGUUGUAUGUAGCAGUCUUGAUCACUUUUUAAAUAAACUGCAUGUGAACUUAAAAAAAGGCAAUUUAGUCUAGGAUGUUGUGCACUUAACAUCCUAUGAAGUAUGAUAUGCAUACACAUAACCUGUUUGAUUAAAUGCCUUGAUGCUCAACAACUAGUAUGCCAACUUUCGUACUUGUCAACCUGUUUGAUUAACCUGUUCAUGAUUCAUAUAUAAUAAUGUAAAGCUAACAAGAUAAUUGCUGGUAGAGUGACUUUCUAUUAGAAUGUUGCACAUCUUAGUGUGGGUAUUUUCCAAGAAAACAAAAUGAAUGUUAAACGCAUCGUGUAUCACUUGCAGGAAAGCUCGGGUGAAGAGCAGGGCAGCAGGAAAUGGUGGCAUUUCUGAGAUCAAAGUGUUUGUCAGGUAGAAGCAAGAUGAGUUGGAGGCCAAGCUUGAGCUUGUUCUAGGUCAAAAUCGACCAAGCUAAUUGUUGGUGCUAUUGGUGCAUGAUAACUAUUGGUCCUGUUGGUUUUUGCUAACUGUUCAUGCUAUCUGUUGUUUCUGUAAGCAAAGAAACAUGAAUGUAUUGCUGUUUUUGAAUGAUCUGAAUGUAUUUGCUGAACCUGGACAUGCUAACUGUUUUUAUUUUGGUUGAUAUAAUAUUAUAUGUAUUUUGGGUUGAAAUGAUGAUUGUGAUAUAUGCGCUGAAAUAGUAUUUGGUGGGCUCUUGUUCAGUGGGUUUCAUAUGUGGGCUGAAAAUUAUAGCCAUGACGUUGAGCAUAUAACGACGAUCCAUAUUUCAUUGCGAUACCCUUUAAGCAUGUUGCAACGCCAUAUUUUUUUGGGAUACGGUUGAUGGCUAUAUACGCAUAUAGCCAUGACUAGUAUUUCGUUGAGAUAGCCUGUUAGUAUAUUGCAAUAACAUAGGUCUCGUAUUGUAACAACAUUCUUGUGUUGCAUUAUCGCUUAUUUGCAACAGCACAAUGUCAUUGCAAUAGCCUCUAUAGCAACAAUCCCUACCAUUGCAAUAGCCACUAUUGCAAUGACAACGGUUGCCUGUGUCAUUGUAAUAGCAUAUUGCAACGCCAUUUUACACGAAGACAUGAUUUUUAGCGCCACGACACGAAAUCGUUGCAACAGACCCCUAUUGCAACGAAAUGACCCCUAUUGCAACGGUUUCGUGCCGUUGCGCUAGUGACAAAACCUUGUAGUGCAUAGAAAUAGUCCCCACGUAAUAGUUUCCAUUGCAAAACUAAUUAUUGCCAUCAAAAAUGGUUCCAUUGCAAUAUAGUUUAUUUCCAUGAAAUAAAUUUAGUUGCCAUAGGAUAUGUCACAACGUCAAGUUUCCAUGGCAAUAUAUUAUAUUGCCACCAUGUAAAUCGUUUGUACGUUGCAACUAUGUACUAUAGCAAUGACUGCUUGCGUUGCAAUACAUACUAAUGCAACAAAAUCCUCCAUUGCCAUACUCUAUAAUGCAAUGAAAAAGUGUGUGGCAAUUACCAUAAGUUGCAAUGGCCCACAAAAAAUGUUGCAAAGAGCUAUUGCAACGCCAGUACUUGCGACGUCUGCCAACCAACCAGUCGCUGUUGCAAUUGCUAGAUAUUGUAUCGAUUUUGGGCAUAUUGCAACGUUUUUCCGCCGUUGCAAUAGACCAAAAAUCUAGUAGUGUUAAGAUGUGGGAAGAUUGUUUGCCUUAUAUUGAAUUUGCUUAUAAUCGCUCGCUACUGAGAGACCAAGUUGAGAUGUGCCUUGGUCUAUUUGUGAUGAGUGAUUGACUAGAUGAUUUGAGAAUUCACCGGUUGAGUCCAUACUUCAUAUGUGCAUGAUUAUGCUAAUGGCUAACCGGAUGUGUUGUGUUGUGGUGUUCGUACAAAACAUAUCUUGUGUGUUGUGUCUCUUGGCUUAUGAUGUGCAGGUGUAGGAUGCGACAUGGCGAUCGACGGCAUGAGGUCAGGGUCAAGCGCGAAAGGUCCAUGCCGAUGUACUAGGGCUGUGAAGGGUGGACACGAGUAGGCUUGGACCGAGGGACCUGAGGAGUCCGGGCGGAGUCAUGGGCGAUCCACAUGGUGCAUGGAAGAGUAAGAGUACACUGACGGUGAUGGAGACAACGUCAGUCGAGUCAAGCAGGACGGAGCCGAGUCGAGUAGGUGGCCCGGAGCGGGAGUGAAAGACUUGGAGGCAUCAAAGGCUUGGCGGAGGCCGGACACGCGUCGACAUCGAUGAGUCACGCCUGCAGGGUGUGCAAGAGGGUUUGACCGGUUUGACCUCAAAACUUGGGGUGAGUCACGCCAGGAGGGUUUGCAGAGGGUUUGACUGGUUUGAUCUCAAAACCAUGGGUAAGUCACCCCAGGUGGGUGUGCAGAGGGUUUGGGUGGUUUGGGCCUCAAAACCACCAUGCAAGUGGGUUUGCCAGUUUGGGCCUCAAAACUAGGGGCGAGUUCGGUGCGGCCGGACGGCGUCGAGUUGGAGGACGCGUGGCACCAUCGCAAAGCAUCGAUCGAGGAGAAGCGAGGUAGUGAAGGCGCCGGGUCCAUCCGAUGAUCGAAGAAAAAGUUGGACGGUUUUGCACCUAGGGGGUUUGGAGUUGUAUGCUUAAUGUAAGGGCAUUUUGGAUAUUGGCCAAAUGCCUAUAUAUGGUAUGAGGGCUGUUUGGGGGCAGCAAUCCCCCUUGGGCUAGUAGGUGGUAGUCUACUCAUUUGUUUGUGACAGGCUUUGGGAGAGAGUUGAGGUGAGAGAGAAGAGGAUCUUUGUUUGAUCUUUUCGUCAUCCUAGCUUUAAUUGUGCUAAGGAGUGGCUUGUAACCGGACAUGGUGAAGUAAUCCAAAGAUCUAUUUUAUGCCAUUUUGUUCCAUUCCAUUUGGAUUUGCAAUUUCCGUUUGUGUUCUUCGCGUUCUUGUUUUCUCCCUUUUCUUCCCUCUCACAUUUUUUGUCGAUUCGUGUUUUGUGGGGAGUUUUGAGUCAAUCUGGUUAUUUGGAAAUGAACUAGGACGUCAGUUUAACCUUUACGCUGAAGGGAUUUGAUUGGAACCUCACAAGUUCAUAGAUCGGGUCGAUUCAAGUUCUAGGGUUGAAAAAGCGGUGUUCUUCACAAGAAUUUUAAUUCCCUUUGUUUCGCUAAUCUUUUUGAGGAUAUUUUUUGGGAAUAUGUUUUUUAUGUUGUUGGGAAGCUAUGGUUAAAAUUUCAUGAUUUUUGGAGGUCGUUUGAUUGAGUUUCGGAUUUUUCUUCCAUCUUCACGCAAGCUGAAAUCUGAGAUUCCGGAAUAUUCCGGACCUAAUCCCGGUUCUUCAAUUGGUAUAAGAGCUUGGUUAAGGAUCACACCACCUUAAUCGGCUUUGUGAUCCACGAAGCGACAAGGUAAAGGGCACUUUUGCUUGUGGAUUUGGUUUUCACGAUUUGAACUUGCUUUCGGCUAAUCCUAAGUGGUGCUUUGAGCUAUGGCACCAAGUUGUUCUUUGUGUGCAUCUUUGUCCUUCGAUUUUGAUGGAAGGGUGAUUUUAUCGGAGGAUGAGCACAAGUGGAGAAAGAGGUGUGAAGAGCUAAACAAGGAUGAUGAAGCGAUUGCAUUGAUGCACCUUUUGAUGGAAGAGAUGAAUCAAGAAGAUUAUCUCUGACACAAGCUUCACAAGAUGAGUAGAGGUAAACUCUUCCAAGGUAUAAUUGGCUUGUUCACCCACCUUUGUGCUCAUGGCGAGACAAUUUUUGAACUUAAGAAGAAUUUGCCUUUGCCAUGCAAAUCUUGUGAAAAACUAAAAAGGGAUGUUCUUCUUGGUGACAAGCAACUUGAAUCUUGUAGAAGAUUAAUUGAUAAUCUCUCAAUUGAUAAUGAUGAAUUGAACUCUUCUCUUGGUUGCUUGAAAUCUGAAAAUGACUUGUUGAAAGCUAAUGCCUCUAUUCCAUGCAAUUCAUUUGUUACUUUGAAAAGUGAUCUUGAUAAGGCUAGAGAUGAAAUUUCUUUGUUAAAGUGCAAUGCUUCUUUACCAUGUGUUUCAUGUGAGUCUUUGCUUGCUGAAUUUAAUGAACUAAAAUUGACUCACACCACAUGUGUAGAUGAAUUUGAGCAUGCUAGGGUUCAAAUUUGUGAAAUGAAGUCUACGCCUUGUAGCAUGUGCUCUUAGUGCUUGAUGAUGAUGUUUGCCCUACUUCUUGUCAUAAUCAUGAUGCUUUGCUUGAUGUGAAUGAUGAUGUUUCUUCAUGCGGUCUUAUUUGCACAUCAUGCAUUGAAUUGGAAAAUAAAGUUUUGGCUUUCAAGCAAAUGCGCGAUGAUAUGAGCACCUAGUGGGUUGAGCACAAUGCGAUGAGUGCCAAUCUUGAGAAAGAAAAUGAACUCAUGCGUACCACAUAUGCUAAGUGCAUUGAAAAGGAGAUGGAUAAUUUGAGAAAUUCUCCAUGUGGUACUUGUGAUCGCCUCAAAUUUGAAAAUGAGGUUUUGGCCACAAGAUGCAAGAGUCUUUGUGCUAAGUCUUUUGAUUCUCGCAAUUUUAGUCACUCCAAUGUUGGUGUUUCCAAAAUUGCUUCUUCUCAAUCGGAGUUGGCUUCUUGUGUUGAGCGUAAGUCUUUGGACAAUAUCACUUGUGCUAGUGCUUUGGAUAUCUCUUCUAUAGCUACUCCUAAGCUUGUUGCUUCUUUCGGUAUUGCCCAAGAAAAUCAAGUGGCAAGUGUGCUUCUCACUUUUUUGGAACUCAUACUCCCAAACCGAAGUUCCAUUGCACCUUUUGCAAGAAAGAUUGGCAUACCAUUGAGUUUUCCUUUCGUCGUGUCAAGCAUGAGCGACGUGUUCAUGCAAAAGUUUUUAGGAAGCCAUGUAGCCUUUCCCAUGGCACGUGUGAACCUAAUGUGGGUACCAAGUCAAAUGGUGUUGUUGAUGCUUCUUGCUCUAAGUCCCAAGGGACUUCUCACUUGAAUGAGAAUGGUGAUUCGUCCUCUCGGACCAUGCCUCCAAAUAGGCCUUUGAACCAUUGCUCUUAUUGUGAGAAAGAUGGGCAUCAAGAGAGUUUUUGUUAUCGUCGUGCAAGACAAAUGCACUGAACUUGUGCUUCUAUGCCUUUGUUUGUUCAUAGCCCGUCUCCUGGCAUGAGCACUUGUGAGCCUAGUAAGAAGUCACAUUUCAUUGAUGGGUUUCAUGACUCCUUUUCUAGUGAGUUAGGUCAUGCAUGUGGACAUGCUUCUAGUUCUUCUUAUGUUGGUACAUGAUAUGGUUCUCAUGGUGCUUGUGUUGGUUCUCCUCUUAAGACCUUGGGGGAUCCUUGCCUUUUUGCUAGUGGUAGCACUCGUUCUUCUUCUCGAGUUGCUCCUUUGAGGCAUGUUUCCAACGGUGUUUCAAAGUCCACACAUUUAACCGGCAUUUGCAUCAUGAUAACUCACAUGAUAAAUUGAGUACAUCUUUUACCCGUGUGACAAAGUUUUGGAUUCCCAAAUAUAUGCUUGCUAACCCUUUGGGAUCCAAGACUCAGUCUUGUCUGUCCCCUCAUGUGUAGGUAUGGAGUUGUAGGUGGAGGACAUGAGCGCAAAGGGACUUGAUCUUUUGCAUGAGGUGAUCAAGACUUGAUGGUUCUCCACACCAUUUGGAUGUACACUUGUAUAGGGAGUUUUUCGUUUCGUGUAUACUACUCACUUGUGGACUCUUUUGCAUGUUUUGUACUUGUAACAUGCUGUGAAUAUACCAUGGUAGGCUAGCCACCUUUUCAUGUUAGCAUGUGUGAUCUUCAUGUAUCUCUUGCCAUGCUAGCUUUGUAAUAUAUCUUGGUGGAUGAUCCACAUGAAUAUCAUGCCAUGCUUUAGCUUAGUCUUUGUAUUGGGUAUGGCAUAUUGUUCAUUGGUAUCAUUUUAGCUUAGUAUCUUUGUAUAAUCCUUUGCACCUUGUUGACAUGUUUUCUUGCCCAAUAUUUUAUUCAUAAAUGUAGAAUCAUGUUGCAAUGCUUUAAUUCCUCUCAUUGGUAUCAUCAUUGCAUUGUGUGACAUGAAUUGAGCUUUAUCUUACUUUUGGGCUUGCCUUGUCUUUGGGUUGCAUUUUCUCUUCUUUUUGAUUGGAGUUAGAGCUUUUCUUUCGCCCCUUCUUUUUCUAGCUUUUCUUUGCUAGGUGUCUUUGGUUAAGGGAGAGUUUGGCUUCAUUCGAGGGGGAGUUUGGACCAAGGACUUGCUCUGGUUUUUGAUAUCCACUAUUGAUCUUUUAAUUGGUAUCAUAUUUGAUCUUUCAAUUGGAUUUCAUUUUCUUCAAGUGAUAUCAAUUUUUGAUCCUUCAAUUGGUAUCUUUUCUAUGGUACUCAAUUGGAAUCGUUGGCAGUUCUUCUUUUGCCAUGGAGCUUUUCUUAGAUUGGUUUGACCCCUCAUGAGCUUUCUUGAUUUGAGUCGAACCCCAUCUCUUUUAGCAUCAUAUUGCAUUUGUACCAUAUUGCACCUUGUACACUUUGCACUAGAUGAGCUUCUCCUAUAUAUCCUUAGCAUUUCCUUAUGCUAUUUGUGAGCUAGUGCAUUGGUUGGUGAUUGUGUAGCAAUGUGCAGCAUAUGCUCUUGAUGAUAUUGUCAUAUAACCAUGUUGAGCUAAAUUUUUUUGUGAAUCAAAUGUUAAUCUUGAAUAAUGAAUUCUAAAAUGCUCUUCACCCAUGACUAGCUACCUAUUUAUGCAUUGCUCUUGCUUGAAUGCUAGUUCCAUGUUUAGCUUUUGCUUGGAAUUCAUAUUCUUUUCAAUUGAAUCAAAGAUCUAGGUAUCAUUGCAAAUGUUUAGCCCAUGAUGCAUUCCUUGGGGAAGCAUGGCUUUCUUGUUUCGCAAAGGCACUUCAUGUAUCUUGUUUAAUGUGAAUGAUGAAAAAUGAUGAUAAAAAAAAUCAGUAAUUCACCAUGUUAUUGUUCUUAAUGUUGAUAUCCUUGCUUGCAUAGUUGUUACAUGAUGUCUACCAAAAGAAGUAGGCACAUGGUUUCAACAAGCUUUAAACAUGACUUGUGAUGCAUAUGUGGGUGUUUGCAAUGAUCUCUUAUUGAGAAUGUAUCUUGCUUGUAUGAGCUUUGAUGUCCUAGUUUUCUUCUUGCUUGAGUGAUUCGUGACUAGGUGCUUGCUCAUGUGGUGAUACUUUUAUAAACUGCAAAAUUUGUCAACUUGCUUCGUCUUUUGCUUAUAUCAUAAUAUCCUCUUGAUGGCGAUGCAAUUGCUCUUUAUGAUCUACCUGCUUGUGCAUUAUCUCACUUGCAGCCUUUGCAAGUGCUUUGUGAUAUAUUUGAGAAGCUUGGUAGGUUGUACACCCAUGGCAUGCAUUUUGUGCUCCCAUGCGUAUCUUAUGUUUGCAUUUAAGGAGGAGUCUUGCAUUUAAUGGGGAGUUUUGCAUUUGAGGGGGAGCAUGCAUUCUUUUGCUCUUGUGCACGCAUUUCAUUGUGGCAUGUUUUUAGGGGGAGUGCAUGUGUUUAGGGGGAGCCUAUGAGCUUUGUGUGCUCUUUUCUAUGUUGCUUGUGUUUAGUGGCAGCUUAUGAGCUUUGUGCUAGUUUUGUGCUCUCUUUUGCUCUUUUUGCUGGUUGUGUUGAGCUUUUACCUCUUCUUGAGGAACCAACAUUUUGUUUGAGCUUUUGAUCAUCACAUGAUUGGUGUUGAGCCCUUUCUUCCUCUUAUUGAGGGAUCAUGUGUUAUUUGUCUCGAUUGUGUUGAGUCCUUGCCUAUGUCUUUGAGGACCAAGACUUUUCCAAGUUGAUUUGGCCUUUGUGAUGCUUCUCAUGCCAAGUGACUCCAAUCUUUGCCUUUACAUGGCUUUCAAGCACUUGGUUGAGAUUUUUGCCUAAUUGGUUUCACAACUUGGCUUUUAUGGCUCUUAUCUCGAGUGACUUUGACCUUGGCUUUUACUUGGCUUCUGAUCACUUGGAUGAUAUUUUUAGCUUUUGCCUCUCAAACCAUUUUGUUGUGCUUAAAUGCUAUCAACACACUCAUCAAAGGGGAGAUUGAGAAAAUCAAGUUGAUAUGAACCUUGAUUUUAUAGUGAUGAGCGUUUGACAAAUGUCGAAAUGGCUUUGACAGCAUUUUGGGAUUCAUGAAGCUCUUGUGUCUCUCGCCUGACUUUUUGGUUGUCUUGUGGGAUUCAUCAAGGGGGAGAUUGACAAAUGGCUUUGAUGCAACCUAGAAUUUUUUUUUGGAGCUUGCGUAAUCCCUUCUCAUUUCAAGUGGCCUUGUGUUUGUUUUUACUUGGUUCUUGGGCACUUGAAUGAGUUCUCUUUUGCUUUCAAAUCAUCUUUUGUCAAUGCACUUAUCAAGGGGGAGAUUGAGAGACCAAGUUGAGAUGUGCCUUGGUCUAUUUGUGAUGAAUGAUUGACUAGAUGAUUUGAGGCUUCACCGGUUGAGUCCAUACUUCAUAUGUGCAUGAUUAUGCUAACGGCUAACCGAAUGUGUUGUGUUGCGGUGUUCGUACAAAACAUAUCUUGUGUGUUGUGUCUCUUGGCUUGUGAUGUGCAGGUGUAGGAUGCGUCAUGGCGAUCGACGGCAUCAGGUGAAGGUCAAGCGUGAAAGUUCCAUGCUGAUGUACUAGGGUUGUGAAGGGUGGACACUAGUAGGCUUGGACCGAGGGACUCGAGGAGUUCGGGUGGAGUCAUGGGCGAUCCACAGGGUGCACGUAAUAGCAAGAGUACACUAACGGUGAUGGAGACGACGUCGGUCGAGUCAAGCGGGACGGAGGAGAGUCGAGUAGGCGGCCCGGAGCGGGAGAGAAAGACUUGGAGGUGUCAAAGGCUUGGCGGAGGCCGGACACACGUCGACAUCGGUGAGUCACGCCUGCAGGGUGUGCAAGAGGGUUUGACCGGUUUGACCUCAAAACUAGGGGUGAGUCACGCCAGGUGGGUGUGUAGAGGAUUUGACCGGUUUGACCUCAAAACUGGGGGUGAGUCACACCAGGUGGGUGUGCAAAGGGUUUGGGUGGUUUGGGCCUCAAAACCACCAUGCAGGCAGGUUUGCCAGUUUGGGCCUCAAAACUGAGGGUGAGUUCGGUGCGGUCGGACGGCGUCGAGUCGGAGGACGUGUGGCACCAUCGCGGAGCUUGCAUCGAGGCGAAGCGAGGUCGUGAAGGCGCCAGGUCCAUCCGAUGAACGAAGAAAAAGUUGACAGUUUUGCACCUAGGAGGUUUGGAGUUGUAUGCUUAAUGUAAGGGCAUUUUGGACAUUGGCCAAAUGCCUAUAUAUGUGUAUGAGGGCUGUUUGGGGCAACAAUCCCCCUUGGUCUAGUAGGUGGUAGUCUAGUUAUUUGUUUGUGAGAGGCUUUGGGAGAGAGGUGAGGCGAGAGAGGAGAGGAUCUUUGUUUGAUCUUUUCGCCAUCCUAGCUUUAAUUAUGCUAAGGAGUGGUUUGUAACCGGACAUGGUGAAGUAAUCAGAAGAUCUAUUUCAUUCCAUCUUGUUCCAUUCCAUUUGGAUUUGCAAUUUCCGUUUGUGUUCUUUGCGUUCUUGUUUUCUUCCUUUUCUUCCCUCUCACAUUUUUGGUCGAUUCGUGUUUUGUGGGGAGUUUUGAGUCAAUCCGGUUGUUUGGAAAUGAACUAGGAUGUGAGUUGAACCUUUACCCUGAAGGGAUUUGAUUGGAACCUCACAAGUUCAUAGAUCGGGUCGAUUCAAGUUCUAGGGUUGAAAAAGCGGUGUUGUUUGCAAGAAUUUUAAUUCCCUUUGUUUGGCUAAUCAUUUUGAGGAGAUCUUUUGGGAAUAUGUUUGUUAUGUUGUUGGGAAGCUAUGGUUAAAAUUUCGUGAUUCUUGGAGGUUGUUUGAUCGAGUUUCGCAUUUUUCUUCCAUCUUCACGCAGGCUGAAAUCUGGGAUUCCGGAAUAUUCCGGACCUAAUUCCGGAUAUUUCCGAACCUACGGAAAUCUCCGGAGAUUUCUCCAGAAAAUUCCGCACGUCCAGAAUUUUCCGAAGGUUCCUCCGGAUUUUUCCGCACAGAGGUGUUAGUUUUCAAAGUUACUCUUUCGGAGCUUGUUUGGAGCCUUUCUUGCUUCUGCUAUUCUUAAAUUGGGUUCCUAGCAUCAUUCCGAGGUCCAUUAGCUCGUGUGUAGCUAAGUGGGCUUGAUUUUGCUAGAAGAGAGGCUUGUGGGUUUUUAGCCGAAGUUCUUGGAGAAAAUUUGAAUCGGCUCCCAUUCACCCCCCUGGUCACCUUUCCGGUCCUUCAGCUACAUUCUAGUACAAAGAUGUGCCCAUUUUAUAUUAUUUACGGUUUGUUGCCUUGUGGUCCUAUUGAUUUAAUACCUUUGCCAUCUUCUGAAGAACUAAAUUUUGUUGCUACUAAGCAUGCUGAAUUGAUGUUAAAAUUGCAUGAAACAACUAAAGAAAACAUAGAACGUAUGAAUGCUAAAUAUAAGUUUGCUAGUGAUAAAGGUAGAAAGGAACUAAAGUUUGAACCUAGAGAUUUAGUUUCGCUGGAUUUGAGAAAGGAAAGUUUUCAUGAAUUGGGAAAAUCUAAACUACUGCCUGAGGCUGAUGGACUAUUUAAAGUGCUAGAGAAAAUUAAUGACAAUACAUAUAUACUAGAUCUACCUACAGUCUUUGGGAUUAGUCCUACCUUUAACAUUGCCGAUUUAAAGCUGUAUUUGGGAGAGGAAGCUGAGCUUGAGUUGAGGACGAGUCAAAUGCAAGAAGGGGAGGAUGAUGAGGACAUCAACACCAAUGAUACAUCCACACUGACAGAAGUACCAAUUUCUGGUCCCAUUACUUGUACUCUUGCUCGUCAACUCAACCAUAUUUAUACCAUGGAGACACGUGCACUCUUGUUUUGCUUAAGAAUCAGGGAGAAGACCGAAAGUGAAAUGGAUUCGAGCAGGCUGGAUUUGGACUGCAGAAAAACACCAACUUGUGACGGUCGCAUACGGACUCGAAUUGGAGCAUUCAAGUACUUCAUGGAAUCCUUAUGAAGUCUAUUUUCAUAUGGAUCUAGACUCAUGUCCUUAUCUACUGAGAUCAAAUUACUACCUAGAGGUUUUUCUAUCCAAGGUGCUCCGUCAUCUUAUUUUGGCCCAAUGGGCCAUGUAUCAAGUUGGGUCUAUUAGGGAUGCAUCCUAGGGUUGGAGCAUGACCCCAACACCCUUGUGGUCAUCCUCCCACAUUCUUAUACCCCUUAGCUGCCACCAGGAACACUCGGGUUUUGUUUAGAUUAAGUUUACCUUUUGCUACUUGCUUGUAAGCGCGCGUACUGGAUCAGCCGCCCGUCUUCUUGUCUUCGGAACCAUAUCGGAGAUUGAGUUUGAAACCUUCAUAUACAUCUAGUAAUUCAGUACUUUUUCUACUUAUUCUUUCUAGUUUUUCAAUUGCUUCCAGGACGAGUGCCCUAGUGGUUGGGGUAUUGCACUCCACAAGAUCGUGCAGCCAUUGGAGGUGGUGUAUCAAUUGCUGAGGCACAGUGUCCUUGGAAGGCUAUAGUCGAGUUGUGAACGUCGUCUCCAUCCACCAAUUGGGUUAUCCCCUUCCCUCUCAUCGAAUGAUCGAGACUCAACCCAACGGGCUCACAUCAAGUGAAGGUCUUAGGGAUUUUUUGGUUUGUUAGCAACUUCUACUCCCGAUAGUCACCUCGGGGGUAGUAUGUGCAAUUGAAUUAUUUUGCAGGCAUGCUGGAGCACUUUCAUAAAAGGAAAAGAGAAGAAAUCAAAGGACAAUAAAGGUGACAAAAGUGAAAAAGCAUAAAUACGAGCUUCGGACGUGGAGCACAAUGGUUUCAACGAUCAUAAAAUGCUUCAUCUUCUUCUUCCAUGCCUAACACAAUGCUAAAUAUGGGGGAGGACUUGGCGGACGAAGAUAAAAAUGCUAUAUGCAAUGCAAGGACCACGGUCACAAGAAGAUGCUCAUUUUUCUUCAUCCAUGCUAAGCACAAUGCUCAAGUAUGGGGGAGGCAGUGCUACACUUCAUUACAAGCAUCAAAAGGACAGUAAGCUUUUCCUCAACCAUCUCUUUCUAAAUGCCUGUGUAUAUCAGCCUUCAACCAUAGACUCGAUGCAAUCUUUGUAUAUCUCUCUCUAUAAUAACAUGCCUACUAGGAGUACAACCUAGUUUUUGUUUUCAAUAGAUGAUGAUCACCAUCACCUUGUGCUCACCAAAUGAUGAAGGUUGCCGCUUUGUUUUACAUGUAUAUGACUUGACUGUUUGCUCUCUUUUCAAUGAACCUAAAUUGAUUAAAUACCGGCUCUUCUAAUUGUGGAGGUUAAAUGACUAAAUUCUAGACCCACAAGCUCUAUGUUGCUCUUUUAUUCAAGUUUACAAAUGACCUAAUAAAUUGAUUUGUUUUUAUUUAAAUUUAGUUCAUAUGCUAUCUACAUUUGUGAAUCUCUUGCAAAGUUCUACCUACCAGAGCCUAUAUACAUGCAUGAUCUUACAUGAUAAAACCUUUAGAUGGCAAACUUAUAUUUUGAUGAGUUGGAUUAAAAUUGAUUUAUGUGGUAUGAGACUUCGUGGCCCAGCACUGUGGACUAGAGGUUACUGUCGUAGAACCAGCUCCGUGUACUUUGUACUUUGAUGGAUCUUCAUGUGGGGCUGGAUCAGGAAUCGACAUCAUCCUCAUAUCCCCUUGGGGGGCAAGUUAUGAUUUCUCUCUGCCGAUUGAGGCAUCCACCACUAAUAAUCAAGCAGAGUAUCGGGCCAUCUUAAAAGGGAUCCAGCUAUUAAGAGAAGUCAAGGCUAACGUAGUGGAAAUAUUUGGAGAUUCCAUGCUUAUUGUGGACCAGUUGUCUGGGAGAUUUGAAUGCAAAGAUGAUAUCCUAAGGAUCUGUUAUGAAGAGUGCCUCCAGAACAUAUUCCCAGGGAUUACAAUGAAGAGGCUAAUAGGCUUGCCCAGCAUGCCUUCGAGUAUCAGCCGAUUCAAGGUGACAUGGUCCUAGAGCUUGCGGCUGAUGACUGGAGGAAGGAGAUCGUCGAUUAUCUAAAGGAUCCAUCCAAGAAAGUCGACCGACGAGUACGCUUUCAGGCUACGAAAUAUGUGCUGCUUGAAGGUGAUUUGUUUUACCAAUGAUGGAUGGGGUGUUACUCAAAUGCCUUGGGGUGGAAGAAGCAAAGACUCUGAUGGGGGAAAUUCAUGAAGGUGUAUGUGGGGCCCAUCAAUCGGUCUUCAAGAUGAAAUGGAUGAUUAGGAAUAACAGAUAUUACUGGCCGAUGACACUCGAGGAUUGUUUUAAAUAUUAUAAGGGGUGCCAAGAUUGUCAGAAAUUUGGUAAUGUGCAACGAGCACUAGCUUCGGCUAUGAACCCAAUGGUAAAGCCGUGGCCAUUUAGAGGAUGGGGGAUCAACCUCAUCGGUCAGAUUUAUCCGCCAUCAAGUAAAGGACAUAAGUUUAUUUUGGUGGCUACUGAUUAUUUCACCAAGUGAGUGGAGACAGUUCCUCUGAAAACCAUGACGUCAGCCAACAUGAUCGAAUUUGUGAAGGAACACAUUAUCUAUCGGUUUGGUAUUCCUCAUACUAUUACAACUGACCAGGAAACGAUGUUUACUUCGGGAGAGUUUGAAGAAUUCACUGCCGACAUGGGAAUCAAGUAGCUAAAUUCUUCCCCGUAUUAUGCUCAGGCCAAUGGCCAGGUUGAAUCGUCCAACAAGGGGGUAAUCAAGUUAAUUAAAAGGAAGAUAGAGGAACAACCAAGGCGGUGGCAUACAACUUUGAGUGGGUCCUUGUGGGCCUACAGGAUGGCUUGCCAUGGCACUACCAAAGUGUCUCCUUACCAAUUAGUGUAUGGACACGAAGCGGUGCUACCUUGGGAGUUGAAAACUGGGUCUAAGCGUACGUCACUUCAAGAUUAGUUGACGGCUGAUGCCUAGUUUAUCCUCAUGAAAGGGGAAUUGGAGGAUUUGGCGGGUCAGCGAUUGAGGGCCUUGAUCAGUAUUGAGGAGAAUAAGAAAAGGGUCGCCAGAUGGUAUGACAAGAAGGUCAAGGUUAAAUAGUUCUCCCAAGGAGACUUGGUUUAGAAGUUGGUCUUGCCAAUAGGAUCUAAAGAUCCCAAAUAUGGAAAAUGGUCGCCUACUUGGGAAGGGCCGUAUAAGAUUAGUCGGUGUGCACCGGGAAAUGCAUACAUAUUAGAGACCAUCGAGGGAGAAGAAUUUACAAGGGCACUAAAUGGAAGGUAUUUAAAAAAUAUGGCAUAUCGGUUUCCUAUGGCCGAUUCCUAUUGACUCGGGUUUAUAUAGCCGAUGUGAGGAGCAUCGCCCUAAGGACAAAAGGCAAGAAGCAUCUGUUCAAAUAAGCCAAUUAUUAUUCGGUACAAUAAUUGGGUACAUGGCUGACGUGGUACAAGUCAUCCUUACAAUAAAAAGUACCGAUACAUUCAUUGAAUUACAAUAUGUUAACAGCGUUUUAACUAAGCUUUGCUCGUGUUGAUCUCUCUUUGAAUCUGGCCUAGUUUGAUCAAAAGGCGGGUGCUCUUUUCCUCCACAUCCGCCAUGGCGUCUUCAAGAGCGACUUGGCGGGGCAAUUGAUGACUCCUUUCAAUCAGCGGCUGGGGUGGCUUCUUGGAGGAGUUGGCCUCGUUGUGGUCCACAAUCUUCUGGGUGUGGGUGGGGAGAUGAUCUUUAAGUUCUUCACGAUGGGCUUCAAUCAGAUCUUUGUCCGCCUGCAUCAGUGGUUCGUCGGAAUGCAUGAUCUCGAUAGCUCGCUCAAGACCAGGGCUGAGCUGGGUUGGCUGAAAAAUAGUGGGCAGUCAGUCGAUGGUAAAGAUCGGUCAAGGAGCCCAAAUUUGAUGUUGUACCUGAUUGACGCAAGAAGAAGAAGCCAUCCGGAUGCCUGGUUGGAGAUCUAAAAGCGUUUAGCAGAGGGCAAAUGUGUGGACGUGGUGUGAGUGCCUCUGGAAGAGACACUGAGAUUUCGUAUUUAUAGAAGGAAAGGUUGAGGAGCAAUGGUUAGUAAAAGCAUUCAUUCAAAGCGGACGACCUUUGGGUUCGUAUUCACGCAGCAACAUUAAAAGUGUUAAUGUUUUACACAACAUCCAAAAGGCAUUCAAUGUUCAGUACAUUCAUCCAAGGAGGAUAUUAAUGGCCGCAAUCGCCCGCUAGCAGAUCUGAUCUGCUGAAUCUAAUACUCGCUGGUCGUCUUCGGCCGAUCCAGGAACUUCUGGCACAUUGCGGUGAAGUCGAAUGGCCUCAUGGGUGAGAUUUUGCCUUUCCUGUUUCAAAUCGGCAAUGGUGGCCGGGAGGUCUAGGAGGUUCUUUUCUUCAACAGCGAUGGCUUUCACAACCUGCUCCAUCUCCUUGGCAAGUUCUACCCUGCGCCGCUUGAGUCGGUCGAUGGCGCUGACAAUGCUUGGGCGCGAACUCUCGAGGGUGCCAAUUCGGUGAUGCAAUUCUUGAGCUCGGUGCUUAUAUGAUUCCUCCUCUUCGCGUGCUUUUGCCAGCCUAGCACGAUCGGCCAUAUGCCGCAGAGCUCUAAACACCGGGAUUUGCAUUGAUUCAAUAUAUGGCGUAGGUGCAAGAGCUUCCUAUGCGUCUUCUAGGACUCAACCUUUGAUUUAAUUAAAGAUUUUCUGAAUCGAAGAGGUAUCUUCCACCAAUCGGCCGAUAUCAUCCUCGAGGAGGGUUCGUAUACUCUGGAGCUUGGCACGGAUUUCUUCGGGUAUUGAGCCUAGAGCCACUUGACGUGAAGUAACUUCCUCAUCAUCAGAGACAGCAACCGCGAAGGAAAAGAGGCUAUUGUUGGGCGUGUCAUGUUCCUGAGAAGAAGGUGAAGAGGGAAAAGUGUUUUAGCCAACAGGAGUAGGAACUCGGCUGGUAAAGUAAUAAUGGUUCUUACCUCCUUGAAGUGGAUUUCUUCUACUUGCGUUGGUGGGAGUGCUACCCUCGUUUAAGGAAUCAGCGCGAUUGGCUCGUCAGAAGAGGAAGAAAUGAUUGGCAUGGUGCUUGGACCAGCUUCCUAGAGAAUGACAGGGAAAAAAAUCUCUAUGAGCAUAAAAGGAUAAUUGGAUCUGAGAUUGAGUGUCAGUUAUCUUACUUUUGAAAAUCGCGCGGUUGAUGGCUGCCUAAAGGGGACAAUCAAUGUACCUGGGAUGGCCUGUGCCAAAAAUUGGUUAGUUUUGGUUAAGGGUUGAGAAAGACAAAUGAAAGGUACAUUCUUUACCUCGACUAGAAGGAUUGCUGGUGGUUCGGUCUUUGCCUGGAGGUCAGCUGAUGGACGAAUGGUUUGCUCCGGGAGGAUUCACAUGACCUAAUAAGGGGUGGAAUUUAAUGGUGACAUCAUACUUAGAGGAUGUGCAGCAUAUGGGAUUACCUGUACAGCUUCUCCCAGCAAGGAUGCAGCUGCCGAUCCGGCUUCUGAAACUGCUUGGGGGUCAACCUCUUGAAUGACUAGCAGUACUUCUGAUUGAGUCAGCACAGCUAAGGGCUUGGCUAGCAGCGUCGCCGAUUGAUCAGCCAAUUCUGUGCGAGCGCGCACCCAACGGCCUGUUUUUUUCAAAGAAGACAUCUUCAGUUUCUGCUUCAAUCGGCUAGUGGCUAUGUCCUCCAACAACGGGGUAUAAAAGCCGAUAAUCAGGAAUGAUGUAUAUGGAUGGCGAUUCUCUAUCGGCCUACCGCUUCGGCUGCGUGUUGGAGGAGGUUGGCUUUCGGACUAUGCAAAAAGGGGAAAUCAGUAACAAUCUGUAGCAUAAAGAAGACAGUGAGAAAUCGGCCGGGAAGAUUGUUACCUCUGCGUUUGGGUCAAUUUGAGCAGGGUCCAAGCUUGUUACAAUAUAUUGCAAGAGACGCGUAGAAAAGGUGUUGUUUCCACUCACCCCACCAUAAUUUGAAUUGCUGAACAGAGAAGGGUGCUACUAACCAAUUGGUCAAGUUGAUGGUGCUCGAAUCUUGUGUCAAGCUGCACAACCGAUUGUAUUCGAGCCCUCUUGAAAGCCACUCCUGGAACUUCACAUGGCCGACAAAGUAAAUUCCAAUCGGCAUCUAUCCUAGGCCAAAUUGCCGAGCUGCCACCGAUGGAUUGUAGAAUUCAUAAGUUGGGGAGUCCUUUCCAGAAAAGAAGUUUGUUGGCAGGAUCUCGGGCUUGAUCAAAAUAUCCACGAGCCCAUCUUCAAAGAAGCUGGUACUCGAGUCAAAGAAAUCAGGAUUUUCAAAGAGUGGCUCGUCUCUCUGGUAUGGAUACCAGCUUGUGGUUUCUUCACUAAAGCCAACAUAGAAACAUCUGAAAUAUUCGGCUGUUCUUGUGGGGGUAAAUCUACUGCAGGAAAAGAUGACAUGGCCUCACCAAAAGAGGUGCAACGCCGUCGUAAUGAUGGAUCAUCCUCUGAUUCAAUAUUGGGGAAAGUUUUGGACUCGACUUGUUCUCUAGAGAUCUUGCUCAUGUACAAGUUAAGCCAAAGGGUGAUAAAUGACCAGGGACUGCCAGGGUUCCCGAUAGGCUCUCCAGAUGAUAAUUUUACGGCGAUCUGAUGAAUCAUAUAAUAGGCCAAUCCCAACAAAUGUUUCCCCAGAGGAAUAGUGGAGCCUCUUGCUAAUGCUUCAGCCAAAGCUUGUGUGUUGGAGGAAGGGCUGAUUGCUCUACCACAGAAAAAGUGUUUCUCUAGCCACAUCAUUAAAAAGGCCAUAUACUCUCUGUCGCCGAUAGGCCCGGUCUUCAUGUUUUUCUCGAUGAAGCCCUUCCACCUGCCGAUUCCUUUUGUUUCCAGAUGGUGAGUGGGCUUGAUUAAGAAGUCAAAAGGCGAAUCAGGAGAAGAGACGUCAAGACUGGUCAACAUCAAGACAUCGACCAAAGUGGGGAUCAUGGGCCAUGGCCAAAAAGGAACGCAUUAAGGGCGUCAGACCAGAAGUAAGAUGCCAAUGACCAAGGAAUCAUUUCUCUCCAUUUGGGACAGAGACAAGUUUAUAUAGUGGCCGAUUUUUAUUUCAUCCCAAAGAACUCUCUUGGAGUUGGACAUCCUCAAGAACCAUUCCCUCCAGCCAUGGGUCUCAUUCGACCAGGAUCUAAAUGUGCCUGACCAGUUGCUCAGAUCCAUACUUGAUUGCUUGAAGAUGAUUCUGUGAGUUUCCAAGUUGAUUAACUCGGUUGGAUCUGGAUUCCCCAUGGGGCCAAGAAUGAUAAGACCCGGUGCAUUGGAUAUAUGAAUAGUGAUUCUUUGCCUAAGCUGCUGAGAAGAUAUGAGGGAAAAACUAAGAACAGAUCUAAAGAUGCGCAAAAAUGGUGAAAAGUGGAAAGGGAAAAAAUUCCAGAGUAUUUACCUCUGGGAUGAAAGCCAUGGUUGCCGAUGGAAUCGCCAUUGGAGAGACUGGUGUGGAAUGAUCAAAAGAUGAAAGAGGAGUCACCGGAGAAAUGUAGCUGGAAGCUGAAUGGGCACCAGAAUGCAUUGGAAGAUGACCCGCUGGAAGAUAAAAGCUUUUGAGCUCCGGAAGAAGGAGCGGCGGGGGAGGCGAGCACUUAAAGGACGGUUCAAGAGAAGGGUAAAGGCAGGAUUUUUACUGCACCGUCCAAGCGAAUUUUGGAAAGAGCGGUUGCCUGUAGGCGCUUCAUUCAAAAAAAUCGCAAUGAUUAGAAAGAAGACUCUGGAGCAAAAGGAGUUUUGCCGCGUUUAUUGUUGCGUUUUCUUUGGGAGAAGAGCUUGAGUUGAGAAAAUUUCAGAGCAAAAGAUUUGUUUCACUCCGAAAUUGGGAGGCAUGUGUUGACAUCGGAAUUUGACACGUGUUUAGAUUGGCGUCAAAGAAGAAAUGGCGGCCGAUGCAGCAAAAAAGAAGCUACAGUUGGGAAUCAGCCAAUUGGAGCUACAAUGUUUCAGUUGAUUGGCUGAAGGAGUCAAUAAAGGUUGAUUGGGAGUCAGAACGGCUUGGCCGAUUUGGGCCGAAAGUGGGCUAGGGUGACGAUUAGCCAGAAGAUGAAAGAUUGGCCUAUGAGGAAAUAAUAACCAACUCCGAUGCAGGUUGCGUUCGUUUGUAAAUAUUUGUCAUCUUAAAAUUAGAGAUAGAACCUAGUCGGUUAGGAAGUCAGUUGUAAUAGGGUAUAAAUAGCUGCCUCGUAAGGCUUGUAAAAACAAGACAUCAAUCAAUACAACAAAAUCUACUUUUUCCUUGCAAUUUACUUUCAAGUCGGCGACUUUGCCAAAACCUUUUCUUUUCACGAGUUCAUACGGGUUGGCAGGGCUACGUCGACAUGACCUCCGGCCAAUUUGUAAGUUCCAUUUAUCGAGUAAUAUCUAAGCUUUAACUUCGAGCGCAUCGUUGUCAUUUUGUUUAGAUUUAUUCACCAGUUAUCGAUAUUUGCUAGCAUUAUAGCUUUACCUAUUAUUGUAGCUUUUAUCACCAGUUAUCCAGCUUCAGAUAUGAACUAUCAUCUUUUAUUACUUUCAUCUUUUAUCAUCACAUAGCCGAUUAGAUCUAUUCUAAGUGUUGCUUUUGUAGUGUUGUUUGGGUUGCUCUAGUAGUUUUCCUUACAAUUGCUACGUGGUUGUCGCAUGUUUUAUAGCCAGUCACUUCUACAGUAAAUCGGCCGAUUCGCUGAUACACUUCCCAAGACAGAUCGGAAACAUAGCCAAUCAAAACCCCUAGAAUUUAACGCUUGUCUUUCCUUGUCAAUCAACAGGUCAGAUUGACUAGCACACCGCGCGAACCGCAUCAGGGUGAUCAACCGAACAGGAGUUAAGCAGAUUCUCCCGGGUCGUGUGUCUGACGUCGAGAGGCAUCCAUCAAUUUUUAGCGUCAACAUUUGCCAACAUCGUUGAAGAAACUGAAACCAAAGGACUCGGAGGAGGGCAAGAAAUGCGCAUAGAGCAGAAUGACAUCUUCAACUAGCCGCCCAGCUCUCAAGUAUGAACCUCGAUAAAGCAUUUGAAGCAGUGCAAACACGGCAACACAAGACGCCACUUGCCACUAUUGCCUCCAUCGACCUCAUUACUCGUGCUAUGCCUCAAGAUAAGUAUAGUACGUUGAUAGCGCAGUUGGCAGAACACGCCUAUGAACUACUCGACAGAGCGACUCCAAUUCCAUCGGUAUCUCACACCCCGUCGGGGUGUAGUCAGCAUGGCAGCAGCAGAGACCACGCAAGACCUUCAGCUCAACCACGUGAAGACGCCAGACAACACGGGGGCACAAUUGGGGCUUCGAGGCAAAAUAGAGAUGUACUCGAAAACUCAAGACAACACAGAAGUGCGCUUGAGGGCAGUAGAAUAGCUUCUAGGGGAGGCGCACGCCACCAUAGAGCUAACCCCGAACCCUCACUCAUCGAUGGUGAUCUCAUGAAUAAAAUCAACAGCAACCGUGAUGCACGCAACAUCAUCAACAACCGACGUCGGGAGCAUGAACUUGAAGAAGACUACAGGGGUGAUGAUAAUCAUUACUUUCCCGCCUUUACAAGACGGGUUAGGAGCACAAUCUUACCAGAGAAUUUCAAACCUUUGGGUAUCUCCAAGUACGGUGGCAAGCAAGAUCCAGUUCAGUGGCUCCGCUACUACUCGUUGGUGGUCCAGGCUGCAAGGGGGACUGAUGACACAAAGGUCAUCUUUUUUCCUAUAUGCAUGGAAACUGCGCCACUAACCUGGCAAGACUUGAAACUAGCUUUCACUUGCAACUACGUAGGGGCAAUGCAACACACCGGUAACAGGAUCGACUUGGCACAAGUCAAGCAGCUACAAGAUGAAACACUACGUAGCUAUCUACGUCGUUUCUUUGACAAAAAUGCCACAAUUGUGGACAUCUUAGAACUAGACGUAAUAGAAUGCUUCCAGAAUGGCCUCUAUGAUUGCCGCAUGUUCCAAGACUUCAGUAGACAUCACCCCACGGAUGUCAAGGCACUCAAGAUCAUGGCCCAGUCAUGGGCAAACGAGGAGGAUAAAGAAUGUGAGAGGUUUGACUCAAAUCACUAUCGCGGCCGUGACAACAACAAUAAUCACGAUAACAACCAAGAGCAAAAUAGAAACCGCAACGGCGACCACCGAAAUAACUACUCGGGCAACCAAAACCGUAAGCGCAAGCUUGACAAUACCAUUGCAGCAAUGACAAAUUCAAAUAAAAAGGAUCUAAUAGACAUGAAGAUAGUGUUGGGAUACGAGGUAGGCUACACUAGCGCAAAUCACAAUUUCUACCGCGUAAAACCAGGAAGAACUGCCGUAUAAGGAUCACGGGAUUACCACUCGAUGCACUACUGGUGCAGAAGAUGUAGAUUUGCGUCGAUGCAGCGAAGACGAUCAACGUAGUCGUACGUAGUCGAUCAACGUAGUCGUACGUAGUCGAUCACGUCAACAUCCAGCAGCUCCUCAGCAGCUCGUCCACGUGCAGCAAGAUCGCCCUCGUGGUCGCGGCUCGUCGUCGCUCGUCGACGGCUCGUCCAAGUGCUGCAGGCGCAACACCUCCAAGGUAUCCACACGUGAAGGGAGGAAGCAUCGCAAGCCGGACUGCUAGAUCCGUGACUUGCAACAGGCGAGGGCGUGGGAGGCAAGGCAGAUCUGUUUCACCCAAAAGGUGUGAACCCUAGGGCGCCCCCACCCCUCUAUUUAUAGAGGUUCCUAACGGGCCUCUGGGUCCGAGGCCCAUUAGUACUUCUAAACCUAAUCCAACUCGGAUCACAUCCGAAUUGGGCUUCCAGCCCCUUAAGUGUGUGACCCUAUGGGUUCGGAUACGUAUAGACAUGGUCCGAGUACUCCCACUCAGCCCAAUAGUCGGUAGCGGCCUCUAGGAAGACGUGCUAACUCCUAUAUGCACACGAAGAUCAUAUCAGAGGAACCAUCACAACAUUAUAUACAUGCUAUUCCCUUUGCCUCACAAUAUUUGGUCUAGCGUCAAGCCGACCGCUCUUUCUCGAUCAUGUGAUUCGGAAUCCCUUUGUAGGUUAAUUCUUAACCGUACGUAGCAUGGCCAUGCAUUUUCGGAUCCGAUCACUCGAGGGGCCCAGAGAUAUCACUCUCAAUCAGAGAGGGGCAAAUCCCAUCUUGAUUGACCAUGUCUCAUAGCAUGCUUCUUGACAAACCCGAAAGCUACCUUUAUAACUACCCUGUUACGGCGUAGCGUUUGAUAGCCCCUAAGUAGGUCGAUCCACAUCUUGAAUACAUGCGACAAUCUCAGGUCUAAGGACAAAGCGUAUAUGUUGUUUAAAGAGAGAACUACUUCUCGUGUUGGGUCAGUCCUAGCACAUGUCUCCACAUGUGUCCACAUAAUUAUUUCAACAUCUCCAUGUCCAUGACUUGUGAAACAUAGUCAUCAACUAAUACAUGUGCUAGUCUAAUAUUCAUGUGUGUCCUCACAUGAACUCCGACCAGGGACAACUUUAGAAUAACCAUACAAGUAAAGAGUUUCACAUACAAUUCACAUAAUUGCAAAUCAAUUCAAGUAGCCUUUAAUGGAUAUUCAAUGAACACAAUAUACAAAUCAUGGAUACAAAUGGAAUAUCAUCAUCUCUAUGAUUGCCUCUAGGGCGUACCUCCAACAGUCUCCCACUUGCACUAGAGUCAAUCUAGAAGGUACCUAAUACCCAUAGCUCUUACAUGCGCAUCAUGCUUAGCCUGCGGGAGUGGUUUUGUCAACGGAUCAGAAAUGUUCAGAUCCGUGUGUAUUUUGCAUGUCUUGAUCUCACCCCGGUUAACGAAGUCUCGAAUGAGAUGAAAUCGCCGCAUUACGUGUUUGUUCUUCUUGUGGUUCCUUGGCUCCUUUGCUUGCACAAUUGCCUCAUUGUUAUCACAGUAGAGAUUCAAUGGGCUGGAUGCAUUCAGGAACACACCAAGCUCAAUGAGGAAAUUCCUUAUCCAAACACCCUCCUUUGCAGCUUCCGAGGCCACGAUGUACUCGGCUUCUGUCGUAGAAUCGGCCACCGUCUCCUGCUUGGAAUUCUUCCAACUAAAAGCACCACCAUUUAGCGUGAACACAAAUCCUGAUUGUGACUUUGAAUCAUCUCUGUCGGUUUGGAAACUAGCAUCGGUGUAACCUGUUACAACGAGCUCCUCCUCACCUCCAUAGAUGAGGAACAUAUCUUUAGUCCUUCUCAAGUACUUAAGAAUGUUUUUCACCGCUAUCCAGUGACUCUCACCUGGAUCAGAUUGGUGUCUGCUUGUCAUACUUAGCACAUAUGAAACAUCUGGGCGAGUACUUAUCAUUGCAUACAUGAUAGAUCCAAUAGCCGAGGCAUAUGGCACUCUACUCAUGCGAUCCCGCUCAUCAGCAGUCGAAGGACACUGAGUCUUGCUGAGAUGUAUGCCAUGUGACAUAGGCAAGAACCCUUUCUUUGCCUCUUCCAUGCUGAACUGCUUCAACACUUUGUCAAUGUAAGUAUCUUGGCUUAAACCUAUAAGCCUUCUCGAUCUAUCUCUAUAGAUCUUAAUGCCCAGAAUAUAUGCCGCUUCCCCUAAGUCCUUCAUCGAAAAACUAUUUUUCAGUGAAGCCUUACGGACUCAAGCAUAGGAAUGUUAUUUCCAAUCAGUAAUAUGUCAUCCACAUAUAAGAUUAGAAAUACUACAGAGCUCCCACUAACCUUCUUGUAAACACAAGACUCUUCCUCGUUCUUGGUGAAGUCAAACCCUUUGACCACUUCAUCAAAAUGAAUGUUCCAACUCCUAGAUGCUUGCUUCAAUCCAUAAAUGGAUCUCUGAAGCUUGCAUACCUUUCCAGCAAUUUUCGGAUCGACAAAACCCUCGGGCUGCAUCAUAUACACGUCCUCAGCUAGGUUUCCAUUCAGGAAAGCUGUCUUGACAUCCAUCUGCCAUAUCUCCUAAUCGAAAUAUGCAGCUAUAGCUAGAAUAAUCCAAAUGGACUUAAGCAUCACUACGGGUGAGAAGGUCUCGUCAUAGUCAACUCCUUGAACUUGUCGAAAACCUUUUGCAACAAGUCGUGCUUUAUAGAUGUGAAUAUUUCCAUCCAUGUCCUUUUUUUUCUUAUAGAUCCACUUGCACUCUAUGGCUUUAACACCAUUAGGCGGGUCAACCAAGUUCCAAACUUGAUUGUCUCCCAUGGACUCUAUUUUGGAUUGCAUGGCACUCUGCCAUUUUUCGGAGUCUGCGUCCAUCAUUGCUUCUGCAUAUGUCGCAGUCUCAUCAUUGUCCAACAAUAAUAUCUCCCGCAUUUCGCGGAGCCUUGCCGACCUUCGUGGUUGUGGCGGUGCUUCUCUUGCCAUGGGUAUCUCAACUUGUUCUGCUACGUUAGCAUCACACAUUGAUUCUUGCCCGAUCGGCUCAUCUCGAACUUCUUCAAGAUGCACUGUCUUUCCACUCUUUUCUCCUUUGAGAAACUCUUUCUCUAGGAAAACCCCGUUCUGAGUGACAAACACUUUGCCUUCUGACCGGUUGUAGAAAUAAUAUCCCAAAGUUUCCUUUGGAUAUCCCACGAAAAUGCACUUAUCCGACUUGGGUGUGAUCUUGUCUGACUGAAGUCGCUUGACAAACACUUCACAUCCCCAAAUCUUUAGAAAAGACAAACUAGGAAUCUUUCCAGUCCAUAUCUCAUAUGGUGUCUUAACUACGGAUUUAAAUGGUACCCUAUUAAGUGUGAAAGCUGCUGUUUCUAGAGCGUAUCCCCAAAAUGACAACGGUAGGUCCGACUGGCUCAUCAUUGAUCGAACCAUGUCUAGCAAAGUUCGAUUACGUCGCUCAGAUACACCAUUUCUCUGAGGUUUUCCAGGCGGCGUAAGUUGUGGAACAAUUCCACAACUCUUUAGAUGAUUGCUGAACAAUUCCACAACUCUUUAGAUGAUUGCUAAACUCGUGGCUCAAAUAUUUGCCACCACGAUCAGAUCGUAAGGCCUUAAUUUUCUUGCCACGCUGAGUUUCAACUUCAUUCUGAAAUUCCUUGAACUUUUCAAAGGUUUCAGACUUGUGCCUCAUCAAGUAGACAUAGCCAUAUCUACUAAAAUCAUCAGUGAAAGUUAUGAAGUAUUGGAAUCCUCCUCUAGCCGUCAUGCUCAUUGGUCCACAUACAUCGCUAUGUACGAGUUCCAACAAGUCUACUGCUCUCUCAGGAAAUCAUGUGAAAGGCAUCUUGGUCAUCUUGCCUAGCAAGCAAGCCUCACAUGUCUCGUAUGAUUCAAAAUCAAACGAAGUUAGAAGUCCAUCAGAAUGGAGCUUCUUCAUGCGCUUUUCACUUAUAUGACCCAAACGACAAUGCCACAAGUAGGUAGGACUCAAAUCAUUAGGUCGAGGCCUCUUAGCACUUACGUUACAGACAGGUGAACCAUCAAGAUUUAAAACAAAUAAUCCAUUCACAAUGGGUGCAAAAGCCAUAAACAUAUCAUUCUUAGAGAUCACACAACCAUUGUUUUCACUCGCAAAUGAAUAACCAUCCUUCAUCAAGCAUGAAGGAGACAAAAUGUUUCGACAUAAAUCAGGAACAAAAUAACAAUUAUUCAACUCCAUAAUAAAUCCUGACGGGAGGUGGAGUUGCAUCGUCCCGACGGUCAACGUAGCAACUCUUGCAUUAUUGCCCACACGGAAAUCAACUUCUCCUCUUUCCAUGCUUCUACUUCUUAUCAUUCCCUGCAUCGAAUUGCAAAUAUGAGCAACCGAUCCGGUAUCAAAUACCCAAGAAUUAAUAAUUGUAUCAGCGAGAAAUAUGUUGUCUAUAACAUUAAUAACAAGCGUACCUGAGGUGGAAGUACUCUUACUUCCGCCAUUCUUCAACGAAGCUAGGUACUGCUUGCAAUUUCUCUUCCAAUGACCAAGUUCAUGACCAUAAAAGUACUCUUUGUCUGGAGCAGGUCCAGGUCCAGCUUUAACCUUGGGCGCUGGGUUUGGCUUGGACGUUCCAGCCUUGCCCUUCUUCUUCCAAGAACUGCCCUUCUUCUUAAAGCUAGGCUUGUUCUGUAUAGCCAUCACAUGGCUGCUACUAGCGCUUUUCUUGAUGUCAGCCUCUGCUGUUUUAAGCGUGCCACACAGCUCAUUCAGACCCUUCUCCGUCCCAUGCAUAUGGUAGUUCGAGAUGAAGCUCCCAUAGCUAGGUGGAAGAGACGAAAGAAUGAAAUCAGUGACCAACUCUUGGCCCAAUGGAAAGCCCAGCUUCUCCAACCGUUGAGUGUAACCAUCCAUCUUGAUUACGUGUGGUCCUACUACUGCACCUUCUGCUAGCUUGCUCUCCACAAAGGCCUUAGACACAUUGAACCUUUCAGUCCUGGCCAGUGUUUGGAACAUGUCUCUAAGCACCACGAUCAUAUUGUGCACCUCAUGGUUUGUUUCAAACUGCAUCUGCAGCUCGGGUUCCAUGCAAGCAAGCAUAAGGCAGCUUACUUCGAGGUUAGCAUCACAUGCUUUCUUGUAAGCAUUCUUAGCAGCAGUGGGUGCAUCAUCAGCAGGUUCUUCUGGUAGUGGGUUGUCUAGAACAUCUUCCUUUUUCUCAGCCCUAAGAACAAUUCUCAGGUUACGGAUCCAAUCCGAGUAAUUUGUUCCAUUCAACUUGUCCUUCUCAAGGACCGAACGCAAAACAAACGGUGUAGUGCUGCUAGGUGCCAUUUAAUCUACAACAAAAGUAAUGCAAAAUACACUAAGACAAACGUAUCCAUGAUAGAGCAAAUCACAUUAAACUAUUUUAACAGAAUCUACUCCCACUAAAAUCAAUAUCCCUUUAUUGAAACUUAGUGAUUCAGGAUCCACAACUAACAAGUCUACUAGUGAGCUUUAGCAUCACCGCUAGCAAACAAGGUAGAUCGGUAAGCAACUUUUGCUAAUCAUAUCACAUAUGACUCCUGCUGUUGGGUGACAUCUCUAUAUCUUUGUGCCCAACCAUUAUGCCCCAAGGUCCUUAACCGUUAAGAUAACCUUGUUAAGCAAACCAACCCUUAUGCGUGUAAGUGUCCGACACAAACCCGUCUAGUCAAGGAAAACUAGUGGUACCCUAAUUUCAUAGACCCACCACUAAUUGUACAAGACAUGGGACGGUGCAAGUUUUUGUUGGGAGGGCAUACUAACUUAAACUUUGUGAGGGAUCAUUCUACUUCUAACAUCACAGCAUGCAGAAAGUAAAACAUAAAUAGAAUAGCAUUCACACAGUUGUGACACAGUAUGGCCCAUUUUCUUAUGGUGAUCUACAUCUCCAUAGAACCUGUUCACCAUGGUGAUCUCCAUCUCCAUGUUCCAUGUGCGCCAUCCUCCUGAUGAUGAGUCCUCCAAGAACUAGAACAUGCUAUUACGCCUAAUAGCUAGUAAAGAAGCUAGUAAUGAAGAUUACAUAGUUGCUUGGAUCAUCACAGAUUGGUACGCAGACCAUUAAAUACAUUAAAGUGACAACACAUAUGGCUCCAGCCGUGUUGCCGUACGCGUGACAUGCAGGUCAUGAAUGAGUUACACACAUGCAUCAUGUACACAAGGGGCCAUACUGAUCACAAGAUAUAUACAUCUUGCAAAACAAAGUUAGGCGUUCUAACGAUCCAAACUUCGAAGGUCCGAAACUCCAUCUUCCAAGCCGAAUUUGGGAAAUCUAAUUUUGCCGAAAAUGGCAACACCAUCGAAUUUCAUGUGUAACUUUUUCUGUAGAUCAAUUUUCAUAUAAAAUUCGCCCCGAUCCGAGAUCAUACCAAAAAGUUACGGCUGGUUUACCGAAGCACACGCACACGGCAAAAUCCCGACCCCGGUAGUUGAUCCAAUCUACUAUUGCAUAUCUCAUGCGCCUGGCGUAUGAACCUAGAUUUCAAUUCGACCAAUCACAUUGAUCUUCGCUCACUGCAACUGGAAUUACGUGUAUCACUUAACUCCGAUGGUGGAAACCCGACCGGUAGGAGUAUGUCGUUACACUACCAUUGCAGCAAGAACACGAAACCAGGACAUAGAUCAAACUGAAAACUCGCAUAUCUCCAUAUGCACACAUCUCGAAUCCAAAACAAAGUUGCUACGGCUCUGAUACCACUGUUGGGAUAUGAGGUAGGCUACACUAGCGCAAAUCAAAAUUUCUACCACGUAAAACCAGGAAGAACUGCCGUAUAAGGAUCACGGGAUUACCACUCGACGCACUACUAGUGUGGAAGAUGUAGAUUUGCGUCGAUGCAGUGAAGACGAUCAACGUAGUUGUAUGUAAUCGAUCAACGUAGUCGUACGUAGUCGAUCACGUCAAUGUCCAACAGCUCCUCAGCAGCUCGUCCACGUGCAGCAAGAUCGCCCUCGUACCGCGGCUCGUCGUCGGCUUGUCGUGGCUCGUCGGCGGCUCGUCGUGGCUCAUCGGCGGCUUGUCGUGGCUCGUCGGCGGCUCGUCCAAGUAGGUCGAUUCACAUCUUGAAUACAUGCGACAAUCUCAGGUCUAAGGACAAAGCGUAUAUGUUGUUUAAAGAGAGAACUACUUCUCGUGUUGGGUCAGUCCUAGCACAUGUCUCCACAUGUGUCCACAUUAUUAGUUCAACAUCUCCAUGUCUAUGACUUGUGAAACAUAGUCAUCAACUAAUACAUGUGCUAGUCUAAUAUUCAUGUGUGUCCUCACAUGAACUCCGACUAGGGACAACUUUAGAAUAACCAUACAAGUAAAGAGUUUCACAUACAAUUCACAUAAUUGCAAAUCAAUUCAAGUAGCCUUUAAUGGAUAUUCAAUGAACACAAUAUACAAAUCAUGGAUACAAAUGGAAUAUCAUCAUCUCUAUGAUUGCCUCUAGGGUAUACCUCCAACAGAUAGGCUCGCAUUCAGCGAGCUACUGAAGAAGCAGUGCCUGUGGCACCCGCACAGCAAGCACGCCGUGAUAGAUUGCUACAGCCUACACAGGGUAAUGAAAGAUUUGCCAGAACCCCAAACAAUAACAAUGACAAGAGAAAGGUAAGGCAGACGAAGGCGAAGACGGCAAAAAGAAGUUUCAAAUCCCAUCCACAAUCGUCAAUGUCAUCUUUGGCGGGAUCCCAGGCACUUCCUCUAAGCAGUCCUAGAAAUUUGUACUCAAAGAGAUCGUGUCCAUUGAGCCCAAUACUCUCACACCCCUCAAGUGGUCCGAGGUACAGAUUACCUUCUCCAGGAAAGACCAAUGGACAAGUUUCUUAGAACCAGGACAGUUCCCCCUUGUCCUGGACCUAGUUGUCGCUGGCUCAAGACUCACCAAAGUACUCUUUGAUGUCAUUUUUGCCACAACUCUAAAGAAGAUGGGCCUUGACAUUACUAACAUGCUCAUCCCAAUGAACUCCCCGUUCUAUUGGAUCGUCCCAGGCAACGCAGCUAUACCGCUUGGACAAGUAGUCCUACCAGUUACCUUCGGAACCAAAGAACACUACUAGGUAGAAUACAUCCGGUUCGAGAUGCUGGACUUUGAGACUUCUUAUCACGUUAUCCUCGGAAGACCAGUACUGGCCAAAUUCAUGGCAAUCCCACAGAAUGUUUACCUGCUCCUGAAGAUGCCAGGACCCAAGGGAGUACUCUCCCUCCGUGGAGACUUGUGAAGGUCAUACAAAUGUGACACAGAAGUUGUUGAGUUGGCGGCGACUACUCAAGUACCCAACCCGAUGCAACAAGUCUUCACCGCUUCAAAAAAGCUCUAUCCGGCAUAACUCAAAAUCCCAGAGAACAAGUCGGGAGCUACUAAAGUCAAGCUGGCAAGUGAUAUGGACUUCAAUGCCAUUGACCUUGAGAUGACGACUCCUCCAAGACAGCCCUGAUUGGCACAGGGUUGGAUGCCAAAUAGGAAAGCACACUCGUCAGUUUCCUUCAGGCAAACCGAGACAUUUUUGCAUGGAAACCAACACAUAUGCUAGGUGUGCCCAAGUAGUUGAUCGAGCACUCACUCAAUAUAGAUCCUAAAGCUACUCCAAAGAGACAACGACAACACAGAUUCUCCCAGGACAUAAGAGAAGCCAUCAAGAAAGAGCUAGCAAAACUACUCGUGGUAGGCUUCAUAAAAGAAGUCUUCCAUCCUGAGUGGCUCGCUAACCCAGUCCUGGUCUCCAAGAAGAACAAUAAUGAAUGGAAGAUGUGUGUGGACUACACAUACCUCAACAAGCCCUGUCCUAAGGAUCCCUUUGGGCUCCCAAGAAUUGAUCAAGUCGAUGAUUCUACAGCUGGAUGCGAAUUAGUCUACUUCCUGGAUUGCUACUCAGGAUAUCAACAGAUAGCCCUCAAGAAAGAAGACCAAGUCAAAACUGCGUUUAUCACCCCUUUUGGAGCUUUCUACUACAAAACAAUGUCUUUCAGGUUUAAGAACGCAGGAGCAACGUAUCAACGCUCCAUCCAGGUGUGCUUUGAGAAUUAACUCCACCACAACGUACAAGUAUACGUGGACGACGUAGUAGUCAAGACCAGAAAUCCAGAUGAUCUCAUUGAAGACUUGGAAGAAACCUUCACCAGCCUGUGAGCAUUCCGGUAAAAACUCAACCCUACAAAGUACGUCUUUGGUGUACCGUUAGGGAAACUACUCAGGUUCAUCAUCAGCCACAGAGGCAUUGAAGCAAACCCCGAGAAAAUCACCGCCAUCACCAAUAUGCAAGCUCCGUUCAGCAUUAAGGACAUCAAGAAACUAACAGGAUGCAUGGUGGCCCUCAACAGAUUCAUUUCGAGGCUUGGAGAAGAGGGCCUCCCCUUCUUCAAACUACUCAAGUGGCAAGAUAAGUUUUAAUGGACCGAGGAGGCGGAUAAAGCUUUGUUACAGUUGAAGGAUCUCACAGCGCCAACCCCAAUCGAAGACUUGCUGUUAUAUAUUGCUGCAACUACUCAUGUCAUAAGCACGGCAAUAGUAGUUAAAAGGUCUGAACCAGGUCACUUAUACAAGGUCCAGAGACUAGUCUAAAAGCUCGGUACCCACCGGUCCAAAAGCUGCUUUACGCCAUACUACUCACCUCGCGGAAACUGCGACACUACUAUUGGAGGUAUGCCCUAGAGGCAAUCAUAGAGAUGAUGAUAUUCUAUUUGUAUCCAUGUUUUAUAUUGUGUUCCUUGAAUAUCCAUUAAAGGCUACUUAAAUUGAUUUGCAAUUAUGUGAAUUGUAUGUGAUACUCUUUACUUGUAUGAUUAUUCUAAAGUUGUCCCUAGUCGGAGUUCAUGUGAGGACACACAUGAAUAUUAGACUAGUACAUGUAUUAGUUGAUGACUAUGUUUCACAAGUCAUGGACAUGGAGAUUUCAAACUAAUCAUGUAGGCACAUGUAGAGAUAUGUGCUAGGAAUGACCCAACACGAGAAGUAGUUCUCUUUUUACACAACAAGUACGCUUUGUCCUUAAACCUGAGAUUGUCGCAUGUACUCAAGAUGUGGAUUGACUUACUUACGGGUUAUCAAACAGGGUAGUUAAAAAGGUAGCUUUCGGGUUUGUCAAGAAGCAUGCUAAGAGGCAUGGUACAAUCAAGAUGGGAUUUGCCUCUCUCUAAUUGAGAGUGAUAUCUCUAGGCCCCUCGAGUGAUUGGAUCCGAAAAUGCAUGGCCAUGCUACAAAUGGUUAAGAGUUAACCUACAAAAGGAUUCCGAAUCACAGGAUCGAGAAAGAGCGGUCGGCUUGGAGCUAGACCAAAUAUCGUGAGGCAAAGGGAAUAACAUGUACGUGAUAUUGUGACGGUUCGUCUAAUAUGAUCUUCGUGUGCGUAUAGGAGUUGGCACGUCUUGCUAGAGGCCGCUACCGACUAUUGGGCCGAGUAGGAGUACUCGGGCCAUGUCUAUAUGUAUUCGAACUCAUAGGGUCACACACUUAAGGGGCUGGAAGCCCAAUUCGGAUAUGAUCCGAGUUGGAUCAGGUUUAGGAGUACUAAUGGGCCUCGGACCCAGAGGCCCGUCAGGAACCUCUAUAAAUAGAGGGGUGGGGGUGCCCUAGGGUUUACACCUUUUGGCGAAACACAUCUGCCCCGCCUCCCACGCCCUCGGCUGUUGCAACUCGCGGAUCUAGCAGUCCGGCUUGCGAUGCUUCCUCCCUGCACGUGUGGAUACCUUGUAGGGUUGCGCCUGCAGCACUUGGACGAGCCACCGACGAGCCACGACGAGCCGCCAACGAGCCACGACGAGACAACGACGAGCCGCGGCACGAGGGCGAUCUUGCUGCACGUGGACGAGCUGCUGAGGAGCUGCUGGAUGUUGACGUGAUCGACUACGUACGACUACGUUGAUUGUCUUCGCUGCAUAGACGCAAAUCUACAUCUUCCGCACCAGUAGUGUGUCGAGUGGUAAUCCCGUGAUCCUUAUAUGGCAGUUCUUCCUGGUUUUACGCGGUAGAAAUUGUGAUUUGCGCUAGUGUAGCCUACCUCGUAUCCUGACAGUGGUAUCAGAGCCGUAGCUGUUUAGUUUUGGAUUCAGGAUGUGUGCAUAUGGAGAUAUGCGAGUUUUCAGUUUGAUCUAUGUCCUGGUUUCGUGCUCUUCGCUGCAAUGGUAGUGUAACGGCAUACUCCUACCGGUCGGUUUCCGCCAUCGGAGUUAAGUGAUACACGUAAUUCCAGUUGCAGUGAGCGAAGAUCAAUAUGAUUGGUCGAAUCAAAAUCUAGGGUCAUACGCCAGGCGCAUUAGAUGUGCAAAAGUAGAUUGGAUCUACUACCAGGGUUGGGAUUUUUGCCGUAUGCGUAUGCUUCGGUAAAUCAGCCGUAACUUUUCGGUACGAUCUCGGAUCGGUGCGAAUUUUAUAUGAAAAUUGAUCUACAGAAAAAGUUACACAUGAAAUUCAACGCUUUUCCGUUUUCGGCGAAAUUAGAUUUCCCAAAUUCGGCUUGGAAGAUGGAGUUUCUGGCAUCCGAAGUUUGGAACGUUAGGACGCUUAACUCUAUUUUGCAGGAUGUAUGUAUCUUGUGAUCAGUAUGGCCCUUUGUGUAUGUGAUGCAUGUGUGUAACUCAUUCGUGACCUGCCUGUCGCACGUACGGCAACACAGCAGGAGCCAUAUGUGUUGUCACUUUAUUGUAUUUAAUGGUCUGCGUACCAAUGUGUGAUGAUCCAAGCAACUAUGUAAUCUUCAUUACUAGCUUCUUUACUAGCUAUUAGGCGUAAUAGCAUGUUCUAGUUCUUGGAGGACUCAUCACCAGGAGGAUGGCGCACAUGGAACAUGGAGAUGGAGAUCACCAUGGUGAACAGGUUCUAUGGAGAUGGAGAUCACCAUAUGAAAACGGGCCAUACUGUGUCACAACUGUGUGAAUGCUAUUUUGUUUAUGUUUUACUUUCUACAUGCUGUGAUGUUAGAAGUAGAACGAUCCCUCACAAAGUUUAAGUUGCUAUGCCCUCCCAACUAAAACUUGCACCGUCCCAUGUCUUGUACAAUUAGUGGUGGGUCUAUGAAAUUAGGAUGUCACUAGUUUUCCUUGACUAGACGGGUUUGUGUCGGACACUUACACGCAUAAGGGUUGGUUUGCUUAACAAGGUUAUCUUAACGGUUAAGGACCUUGGGGCAUAAAGGUUGGGCGCCGAGACAUGGAGAUGUCACCCAACAACAGGAGUCAUAUGUGAUAUGAUUAGCAAAAGUUGCUUACCGAUCUACCUUGUUUGCUAGCGGUGAUGCUAAAGCUCACUAGUAGACUCGUUAGUUGUGGAUCCUGAAUCACUAAGUAUCAAUAGAGGGAUAUUAAUUUUAGUGGGAGUAGAUUUUGUUAAAAUAGUUUAAUGUGAUUUUCUCUAUCAUGGAUACGUUUGUCUUAGUGUAUUUUGCAUUACUUUUGUUGUAGAUUAAAUGGCACCUAGCAACACCACCACAUCGUUUACUUUGCGUUCGAUCCUUGAGAAGGACAAGUUGAAUGGAACAAACUACUCGGAUUGGAUCCGUAACCUGAGAAUUGUUCUCAGGGCCGAUAAAAAGGAAGAUGUUCUAGACACCCCACUACCACCAGUACCUGCUGAUGAUGCAUCUGCUGCCGUUAAGGCUGCUUACAAGAAGGCAUUUGAUGCUAAUCUUGAGGUAAGCUGCCUUAUGCUUGCUUGCAUGAAACUCGAGCUGCAGAUGCAGUUCGAAACAAAUCAUGAGGCACACGAUAUGAUCGUGGCGCUCAAGGACAUGUUCCAGACACAGGCUAGGACUAAAAGGUUCAAUGUGUCCAAAGCCUUUCUGGAGUGCAAGCUAGCAGAAGGCGCAGCAGUAGGACCACAUGUAAUCAAGAUGGUUGGUUACACUCAGCGAUUGGAGAAGCUGGGCUUCCCGAUGGGCAAAGAGUUGGCCACUGACUUCAUUCUUUCAUCUCUUCCGCCUAGCUAUGGGAACUUCAUGUCGAACUACCAUAUGCUUGGGAUGGAGAAGGGUCUGAAUGAACUAUGUGGUAUGCUCAAGACAGCAGAGGUAGACAUCAAGAAAAGCGCUAGUACCAGCCAUGUGAUGGCUAUACAGAACAAGUCUAGCUUUAAGAAGAAGGGCAAUUCUUGGAAGAAGAAGGGCAAGGCUGGAAUGUCCAAGCCAAACCCAGCGCCCAAGGUUAAAGCUGGACCUGGACCUGCUCCAGACAAAGAGUGCUUUUACUGUCAUGAAAUUGGUCACUGGAAGAGAAACUGCAAGCAGUACCUAGCUUCGUUGAAGAAUGGCGGAAGUAAGAGUACUUCUACCUCAGGUACGCUUGUUGUUAAUGUUAUAGACAACAUUUUUCUCGUUGAUACAAUUAUUAAUUCUUGGGUAUUUGAUACCGGAUCGGUUGCUCAUAUUUGUAAUUCGAUGCAGGGAAUGAUAAGAAGUAGAAGUGUGGAAAGAGGAGAAGUUGAUUUCCGCGUGGGCAAUAAUGCAAGAGUUUCUACGUUGAUCGUCGGGACGAUGCAACUCCACCUCCCGUCAGGAUUUAUUAUGGAGUUGAAUAAUUGUUAUUUCGUUCCUAGUUUAAGUCGAAACAUUUUGUCUCCUUGAUGCUUGAUGAAGGAUGGUUAUUCAUUUGCGAGUGAAAACAAUGGUUGUGUGAUCUCUAAGAAUGAUAUGUUUAUGGCUUUUGCACCCAUUGUGAAUGGAUUGUUUGUUUUAAAUCUUGAUGGUUCACCUGUCUGUAACGUAAGUGCUAAAAGGCCUCGGCCUAAUGAUUUGAGUCCUACCUACUUGUGGCAUUGUCGUUUGGGUCAUAUAAGUGAAAAGCGCAUGAAGAAGCUCCAUUCUGAUGGACUUCUAACUUCGUUUGAUUUUGAAUCAUACGAGACAUGUGAGGCUUGCUUGCUAGGCAAGAUGACCAAGACGCCUUUCAGAGGAUUUCCUGAGAGAGCAGUAGACUUGUUGGAACUCGUACAUAGUGAUGUAUGCGGACCAAUGAGCACGACGGCUAGAGGAGGAUUCCAAUACUUCAUAACUUUCACUGAUGAUUUUAGUAGAUAUGGCUAUGUCUACUUGAUGAGGCACAAGUCUGAAACCUUUGAAAAGUUUAAGGAAUUUCAGAAUUAAGUUGAAAAUCAACGUGGCAACAAAUUAAGGCCUUACAAUCUGAUCGUGGAGGCGAGUAUUUGAGCCACGAGUUUAGCAAUCAUCUAAAGAGUUGCGGAAUUGUUCCACAACUUACGCCGCCUGGAACACCUCAGAGAAGCGGUGUGUCUGAGCGACGUAAUCGAACUUUGUUAGACAUGGUUCGAUCAAUGAUGAGCCAGUCGGACCUACCGUUAUCAUUUUGGGGAUACGCUCUAGAAACACCAGCUUUCACACUUAAUAGGGUACCAUCUAAAUCCGUAGUUAAGACACCAUAUGAGAUAUGGACUGGAAAGGUUCCUAGUUUGUCUUUUCUAAAGAUUUGGGGAUGUGAAGUGUUUGUCAAGCGACUUCAGUCGGACAAGAUCACACCCAAGUCAGAUAAGUGCAAUUUCGUGGGAUAUUCAAAGGAAACUUUGGGAUAUUAUUUCUACAACCGAUCAGAAGGCAAAGUGUUUGUCGCUCGGAACGGGGUUUUCCUAGAGAAAGAGUUUCUCAAAGGAGAAAAGAGUAGAAAGACAGUGCAUCUUGAAGAAGUUCAAGAUGAGCCAAUUGGGCAAGAAUCAAUGAGUGAUGCUAACGUAGCAGAACAAGUUGAGAUACCCAUGGCAAGAGAAGCACCGCCACAACCAUGAAGGUCGGCAAGGCUCCGCGAAAUGCGGGAAAUAUUAUUGUUGGACAAUCAUGAGCCUGCGACAUAUGUAGAAGCAAUGAUGGACCCAGACUCCGAAAAAUGGCAAAGUGCCAUGCAAUCCGAAAUAGAGUCCAUGGGAGACAAUCAAGUUUGGAACUUGGUUGACCCGCCUGAUGGUGUUAAAGCCAUAGAGUGCAAGUGUAUCUAUAAGAAGAAAAAGGACAUGGAUGGAAAUGUUCACAUCUAUAAAGCACAACUUGUCGCAAAAGGUUUUCGACAAGUUCAAGGAGUUGAAUACGAUGAGACCUUAUCGCUCGUAGUGAUGCUUAAGUCCAUUCGGAUUAUUCUAGCUAUAGCUGCAUAUUUCGAUUAUGAGAUAUGGCAGAUGGAUGUCAAGACAGCUUUCCUGAAUGGAAACCUAGCUGAGGACGUGUAUAUGAUGCAGCCCGAGGGUUUUGUCGAUCUGAAAAAUGCUGGAAAGGUAUGCAAGCUUCAGAGAUCCAUUUAUGGAUUGAAGCAAGCAUCUAGGAGUUGGAACAUUCGUUUUGAUGAAGUGGUCAAAGGGUUUGACUUCACCAAGAACGAGGAAGAGUCUUGUGUUUACAAGAAGGUUAGUGGGAGCUCUGUAGUAUUUCUAAUCUUAUAUGUGGAUGACAUAUUACUGAUUGGAAAUAACAUUCCUAUGCUUGAGUCCGUAAGGCUUCACUGAAAAAUAGUUUUUCGAUGAAGGACUUAGGGGAAGCGGCAUAUAUUCUGGGUAUUAAGAUCUAUAGAGAUAGAUCGAGAAGGCUUAUAGGUUUAAGCCAAGAUACUUACAUUGACAAAGUGUUGAAGCAGUUCAGCAUGGAAGAGGCAAAGAAAGGGUUCUUGCCUAUGUCACAUGGCAUACAUCUCAGCAAGACUCAGUGUCCUUCGACUGCUGAUGAGCGGGAUCGCAUGAGUAGAGUGCCAUAUGCCUCGGCUAUUGGAUCUAUCAUGUAUGCAAUGAUAAGUACUCACCCAUAUGUUUCAUAUGCGCUAAGUAUGACAAGCAGACAUCAAUCUGAUCCAGGUGAGAGUCACUGGACAGCGGUGAAAAACAUUCUUAAGUACUUGAGAAGGACUAAAGAUAUGUUCCUCGUCUAUGGAGGUGAGGAGGAGCUCGUUGUAACAGGUUACACCGAUGCUAGUUUCCAAACCGACAGAGAUGAUUCAAAGUCACAAUCAAGAUUUGUGUUCAUGCUAAAUGGUGGUGCUUUUAGUUGGAAGAAUUCCAAGCAGGAGACGGUGGCCGAUUCUACGACAGAAGCCGAGUACAUCGUGGCUUCGGAAGCUGCGAAGGAGGGUGUUUGGAUAAGGAAUUUCCUCAUUGAGCUUGGUGUGUUCCCGAAUGCGUCCAGCCCAUUGAAUCUCUACUGUGAUAACAAUGGGGCAAUUGUGCAAGCAAAGGAGCCAAGGAACCACCAGAAGAACAAACACGUAAUGCGGCGAUUUCAUCUCAUUUGAGACUUCGUUAACCGGGGUGAGAUCAAGAUAUGCAAAAUACACACGGAUCUGAACAUUUUUGAUCCGUUGACAAAACCACUCCCGCAGGCUAAGCAUGAUGCGCAUGUAAGAGCUAUGGGUAUUAGGUACCUUCUAGAUUGACUCUAGUGCAAGUGGGAGACUGUUGGAGGUAUGCCCUAGAGGCAAUCAUAGAGAUGAUGAUAUUCCAUUUGUAUCCAUGAUUUGUAUAUUGUGUUCAUUGAAUAUCCAUUGAAGGACUCCGCCGUUAUCAUGAUCACAAUGUGAACAUCAAAGUACUCGUUGUAAUAGAGUAGGACUUCUCUAGUCGCAUCCGACUAGUAUUCUUGUAACCAACCGACCUGUAACCCUACUCCCGUAUAUAUAACGCGAGGUAGGGACCCCCUCCAAAGAAAUUCAAUACAACGAACACACAAGACGUAGGGUAUUACGCUAUUCAGCAGUCCAAACCUGUCUAAAUUGUGUAUCUGCGUUUACCUUCGAGUUCCUGAUCUCGACAAGCCCCACGAAUCAAAACACUACCUCGGGCACCCCCUUAGUAGGUUGCUGAGUCUAAACACUGACACCUUAUUGUGGCACCAGAUGGAGAGUCUGUGUUAUUUGGACUAGCUUCUUAUUGAACUUGUAAUGCCACUUCAAAAAAUAACUAGCUGGGUUUGAUGAAUUGGCACAAACUUGAUGUAUGGAGUUGUAAUAUCACUGGUGGAAAACGUAGCAUUAGUCCAAGUUGGAUAAGGCCAUAGAUCCCGAAAAUCUAACCGGGACUAAAGUUUCGAGACUGGGGGGGGGAGGGGUUAUUCUUUAGUCUCAGGUCAUUCACCCGGGACUAAAGGCCCCCUUUAGUCCUAGUUGAUUUUAUUAGUCUCAGUUGGUAAAACCAACCAGGACUAAAGGGGUGGCAACGCCAGGCGCAGCACGGGUCCCUUUAGUCAUGGUUGGUUUUACCAACCAGGAUUAAAGGGGGUACAUGCAUGUGCCUGCAUGGCGCAGGCACGUACCCCUUUAGUACAUAAGACUUUUUCUUUAAAUUCUUUUCCAUAUCGAUAUUGUAUGCAAGUCAUAUUAAUAUUGUAUGCAAGUCGCAUAUAGAUUUCAUGGCAGUAAUAUAUAUAUAUAUAUAUAUAUUUAUAAUUCUUAGUAUAUUAUACAAAUCAAACUAUUAUUUAUACAAUUACUAUAUAUACAAUAAUUUGUCCACUUUAUUCCUAGGAUCGUCCUGUCGUGGUGUUGCUCGUGCGGCUAUUGAACGUCCAUCGUAAUAAAAUUCUCCCACGGGAUUUAUCACCUCGUCCACCAGGAAUCCUAUGAGACCUUCACAUAUUGCAAAAAUUCUCUGCUUCUCCAAGAGUCUUUCUUGAAUCUUCCACAUCUGUAAUUUGAAAAUAUGUGAAUGUUACACGAACAAUUAAAUAUAAGGAGCUAGAAAAGAAUUAAUUAUUAAUAGUUUUAUUUUAUGUACAUCUAGAUCAUGCAACGAUAGCAACUUGCCAUGCACAAAACUGUUCAUGUUCUCACAAACAUAGUAACCACAUAGAUUAUUGCCUUGUUCCUCUCCCAACCACUUUAGUAGGAAAAAAAACAAGUUAUGAAAUAUUCGUGUUAUAGAAUGUACAAAAUGUGCAAACAUCAUACGUACCAGGAACUUUGUAUUGAGAGUAAGUUUUUCUUUGAAGUCACCAUAGUGAGUCUGAAGGAAUCGUUUCCAUGCGCUGCGGAUGAAAAUAAUGAAUGAUCUAGUGUUAGGUGAAAAUUUAGGAAAUAAACUUUUUCAUAGAUACAAAGGUCCAGAAUUAUUACGAGUUUAGCAUGUAUUGAAUGUCUUGGUACUCCGCUGGUGGUUCCCUCGAUGAAUUGAACACAACGACGUGGCUUCUAUCAAUCAUAAUUAUUAGGAGGAUCCAGUGGAAACUGCAUACAUAAAUAUUUAUAUUAGAGCUAACUAACAUUAAUUAGGUAAGGAAAGAGAAAACCAAAAUAGAUGGUACCCACACUUACUUAAAGUUGUAUGGUAGUAGUAUGUAUUCCUUGUAAUUUUGUUUGUCCAAGAAAUUGUAUACUGCCUUCAAUGUUUUCUUUGGCUGAUCCCGUAUUUGAGCUUGGUUAACGAGCGAUGGAUCCAUGAAGCCAACAUUAAAGUACGAUUCUCUAUGGCACCUCUGAAUUAGCAUCCUACAUAAAAUGGAAGUAGAAGUUACUAGGAUGACGCACACACAAAAAAAAUGAUAUGAGCCAAAUUUGCAUAUUGAAAAAUAGACACUUACAUAACCCAGGCACUGAUGAGAGAGAUGUCAAGGGCAUCAUGAUGGUACACUUCAUAUAUAUCCUUGAAUUCCAUCCAUAGGAGUUUCUCACCUUCACUGAAAAAAUCAAUCGGCUUAACCUGAAGAGCGAACAUGAGCCUCUCGUUGGCAGACUGCUCCAUGUACCAUUCAUGGAAUUCGUACAUCUUCGUGGAGAGCUUUUGUACCAAUUCAGGCCUUACUAGAGGCUUGCCUACCUCAAGGAGCCAUUAAGGUACAAUUCGCUCUGGAGCUAGCGGUUCAACUUGCCCUAGAACUUCAGCAAGAGACAUACUUGUAUCUUGCAUAAAUCCAAUGACUUUGAUUUGUUGUUCUAAGGGCACUGCUUGUAUAGUUUGAGCGUCUUUAUCCGGUAGAUCCCCAAGCUGGGGGACAGUACGACUUGAAGACGACGCUCCUCGCCAUUUUUUCUUCUCAUCAGACUUAACUAACGAAUGCUCGUAGUUUGAUACUAUAGUCCUCUUUGCUUCUUUUGACAUGCCAAUAAAAAAUUUUAAUUUUGUUGGAUCUAGUGGCUUUGGCUCCAUUUCCUUUGCUUUUCUUUGUUCAGCGCAUUUUUUGAAGAACUCCUUCACCGUUGCUUAGGAUAUUUCCCGCAAUUCCUCAGUAGUCAUAUCGGCCGGUAGCUUCUGAAUGGGUUUAGACUUCUUUGUUUUCUUUGGCUGCCUUAGCUUGGAAGGCGGUGGUCGUGGCUUCUUCAGAGGUGCUGCAAGUUCCUUGCUCACUGCGGGUCUUACUCCCGGCAAUGGUGAUCAGGGAGGGGUGUUGUGGUCAUCAUCACUCACACCACCAGGAUUUGAUGGAGAUGUAGACGGUGAUCGAGCUGGAUGCGACGGUCCUGGUGGUGACGACGGUCCUGGAGGUGGAUGUGCUAGAGAUGACGGUCUUGAGUUUUGAGGAGAUGGUUGCUACGGGGGAUCUACAGGGAGCAAUGAUGCCUCCAUGCCAGGGAUGAUGAUGUCGUUUGAGCCAUAGAAUGAUCGCAUGAAGUACAUCUCCUAGUGUCCUUUCCCCAUCACCUCCCGGGAGGUCGAGCUCUAAGCCUUCAUAUUGACUAUCAACAAUCCGCUCUCGGCCAAUGCUGGAGUAGCCAGGUGGAAUCUCCAUGCCAGGGCUUAUCUACCCUUGCAGGAUUGGUAAAGCACUCCCAUACGCCACCUGUACAUAUAGGAGAAAUAAAGAAGUUAUUAAACUCCCAAGGCGUGGAUGGCUUGAGAAGAUUGCAUAAAUUAUAUAUAUGUAUACCUUAAUAGUGAUGUUACCGAAUGGUCUAUGCAGCUCACCUGAGGUACGCUGAGUGAUGUCAUCCACAGGGUACCGUUGGUUGUCCACGGGUAAUCUUGUCAUGUGCUCAUCGGGGACCAUUGUGGAAGCAUAGCUGCUUCGGCGGUGAGAAGGGUUGACGAUGUUAGGAUCCUGCAGCUUUAAAUAUGUGCCGCCCGCUCUCCUCUUGCUGUUCCUUUCUUCACUUGUAGCUUCUGUAUGAGUCGAUGUCCCUACGGAAAGUGAACUUCCACGGAACGACCCCGUAGCCUUGGCAAUGUUCUGGGUGUUCGGGAUUCCCGAGCGCCAAUGUGAGCUCAUUGUUCUCUCUAUCCCCCUUCAACUUCGCAACUUUAGCAUCUUCAAUGUUUUUGAUAAGCCUUUCGGCCUUCUGACGUAUUGUUUCAUUGAACAUAAGUGUCUCAUCCUCUUGGCUCAGGUUGCCUCCAUGAGCGUAAUACUAAUUUUUUGAUCUAUCGGGCCAGUCAAUAGUUGCUAGUACGAUACCUCGAUCGAAUAGGUCUUGUUCCAUCUUGCACCAUUUGGGGAUUGUAGUGAUGUAACCAUGUCGCCCUAAACGAUGAUGGCACUCCUUGCUAGCAUUGGGAACAUUGACGCGAACCUUAUUCGCACUACCUUCGCUCAUCUUGUAUUCGACAAAUGAGUUCUAGUGGUCCCUUAACUUUGACCACUCAUUGAAAUCCAGAUUCUUCUUGAAGGUCUGGAAUUGGGUUUCCAUCUUCUUCAGCGUCCUUUCUUUCACAUCUUUUUCUUCGACACCUUCAGCAAGUGUGAAGUGUUUCUUCACAUCUGCCCACAACAUAUCUUUUUAUGUCCACGGGAGCACGUAUGGAUCAUCUUGUCUACCCUUCCAUUGUUUAAUGUUGAUGGGCACGUUGUCCCUUACAAUAGCCCUGAUCUCACUCAUGAACUUUCUAGCCACAUGUUUGGGAGCAAUUGGCUUGCCCUCUUCUUUCACUUCCGUGAUGUGAAGCCUUCCCUCCAUUAUCUUUGUACGACCUCGGGGCUUAUUUCGCUUUGUCGAUCCAGAGGGUUAAUAGUUCAAGAUUCUUUAAUUUGUACAUAGUAAUAAUGAAUAUGAAAUUAUAGAUGGGGUACAAAAACUGAAAAUGAUAUAUACCUCGCCGAAACCUUCCGUCAUGUCAAGGUUUUGUUCCGAGUUGUCAUCAACGCGGUGCUCGGGCUCAUCAUUGCCAUCACCAGACAUGUUGAGGAACAUGUCCGCUUGGAUACCCUCAUCCUCGGUGUACAUUAUUGGAAUGUUGGAGCCACUACCACCAGCAAUAAUCUGCUCUAUUAAAUACCUUGCAUCCUCUUCGUCUCCCAUCUCAACUAAUUUAAACACAAAUGAAAUCAUAGAUACAUUAAAUUAAAAAUUGUAUCAAGUAGUAUAAUUAAUGUUUAAACAUGAAAUCAUAGAACAACCAUGAAAUAAAAGAAACUGAUUGAAAUAUAAACAUGAAACCAUACAUUAAAUUAUAAAUAUAUAUAUAUGAAAUCAUAUAUAUAAUAAAACUUGUACAAUUUAUUACAUGAAAUUAAAUAUUACAAAAUCUCUACUUGUAUAUUGUCAUAAAAAAUGUCAUUAAAUUAUAUGUACAACACCUCUACUAAUUUAUAUAUUUGUAUAUAUACAUUAGUAUAUAUACAUUAGUAUAUAUACAAAUUUUCUAAGCAUUUCUACAAAUUUAUACUAAUUUUCUAAUCUUUUUAUACUAAAUUAUACAAAUGUACACUAAAUUGUACAAAAUGUAUACUAAAUUAUACUAAAGGUGAUGAUGCGGACAAUCUCCAACAUGUCAAAGAACCUACUUGCAAGGAUGCACCCCGACAAGAAUGAGUUUAGCAUCUUUGACUUCAUUUGGAAGGAGAUUAUUAUUUGCUCUUACUCACCCAAGAAAGUGACAAAGUUGGAGAUUUUGACAGACAAGGGUCAUCCCGUCUACAAGCCAAAGAAGGGUCAUCUUAAGAGGCUUUGCAAAAUUGGGUCCCAUGGUAUUCGUCCUCCACCUCCACAAGGACCUUCUCAUGGGCCUUCAUCUUCUCAAGGACCAUCCAUUGGAGCUUCAUCUUCUCAUGGGCCAUCAUCGUCUCGUAGGCCCUCUAGCUCUAGAGGUCCUCCACCCUCCCGUGCUCCUAAGAAGAAAGGGAUCUUCAACUUCCUAUCCCAAGGUCUCUUUGCUUGCUUCAAUGUGGGCCGCCACAAUGCGGAAGAAAUGUAUGCUCACAAGAAGCAUAUGGAUGAGCAACUCUUAGAGAUAGAAAAGGGGCAAAAGGAUCUCGUGGCUAAGAAUGAUAUCCCACACUCUCCCUUCCAUGCUCCUAUGGAUUUUUCUUCUCCACCGGUUUUCUACAACCCUUGGGAGGAAAUUGGGUAGCCCUCCAUGUUCUUUGGAGCACCCCAAGAAGAAGAUGAGGACUUGGGUGGGCAAGAGGAGUUUGAGGAAGAAGAUGAAGAUAUCCCCCUAUUCAUACUCCAGAAGAUGAGGGUGAUGAUGAUGAGGAUGAGGAUGAGGAUGAUGAUGAUGAGUGAUGGCUAUGAAAGGGCCUCCCCUUUUUGGAGCUUGAUGCCAAAGGGGAAGUGAGCUCACCAUGGACAAUAUGGUGGUGGUUGCUAUCUUUUUAUGAGUUUUUAGUUUGUGGGCUUGUGGACAUGUAAGAAUUUUUAUGUGGUUUGAUGCAUGGUGUGCCAAGUGAACUUUUAAGUUUAUAAGACUUAUUCCUGAUUUUCUAUGUUAGUGUGGAUCUAUAACUUUAUUCAUAUGUGAUGAUCAUGGCUUGGUGUAUUGUAUAUUUUUCACUUUGUUAAAGUGUUAUAUCUUGUCAUAUGCAUCACGAUGAUAUUUAUGUCACACCUUUGCACCCCACGAAUGCAAAUAUAUAGGGGGAGCCCACUUAGCAUGUGCAAAUGGUGUUUGAGGCCAUCUUGUCUCUAUCUUGAAAGAUGCAAAUGUUAAGGGGAAGCUCACCUAUAUGAUUGGAUUCAAAUGAUUAUAUAUGUCUCAUGUGAGCCUUAAUUGUGUUGUCAUCAAUCACCAAACGGGGGAGAUUGAAAGUGCAUUUGGCCCCCUGAGUGGAUUUUGGUGUUGAUGGCAUGCAUAAUUAAGGGACUAAUGAUUUUAUCAAGUAAUUGACAAGUUUAAAUCCUAAGAAAUGCAAAGGUGUAAGAAAAGAACCCCAAAUUUAAUUGAAGAACGGUGUUGGAGCAUAAAAGAAGACCUAUUUAUACUUUCUAUUUUUGAAAUUGAGUAUAGGAACACCGUAUUAUAAAGGGGGACGUGGAUGGAUAGCUUGAAGAUGUCAAGUGCUUGUUUGAUAUGCUAACAACCCAUGAGAGACACCACUUACACACUUGCAUAUUUAAUUUCUCAUAGUUUCAGUGAAUGUUGGAAGUUCCAACACCUGCUGGAAGUUUUAAAAAACUUCCAAAAGGGGGUGCUCAUUGGAUUUAAUUGAACAAUGUUGGAAGUUCUGAUAAUAGGCACAAGAAGUUUCCAGUAACUUCCAGCAAGGGGUUUCCAGCCGUUUUAUUUGAACUAUGUCAGAAGUUCCGACACUGUGUCGAAAGUUCUGACAAGCACAUAACAGAACUGUAACGGCUAGUUUUUCGGGCUCGGAUAUUUAUACCCCCUUAGCCUCCCUUUAUUUGCUGCUGACCUAACCCAAGACAAAGACCCCAUAGAGCAUCCAAUACUCCUCCCCACUCCCUUCUUAAGCUAAAUCUUUAAGAGUUUUGAUUUAGGGUUGGGUGAGAGAAAGAUUAGAGGUGUGAGACUUGGGGCUUUGAGUGUGAGGUUCAACAAGUUCAUCUCAAGAGCACUUGAAGCAUCUUCGGCCUUCGAUUUGUGUUUGUUACUCUUGAAACUUGCUUCUAGACGGUUUAGCGUCGCCCGUUUGAGCACCCUUUUUGUGUGGUGCAUCCGGGAAGUUUGUAUCACCCAUCCUCUUUGUAAGGAUUCAUAGUAAGUGACUCAAUCCUCCUUUGUGGUUGAUUGAGAGAGGUAAAGGGUUAGUGAGGACCCAGCUCUUUGUAAGCACCUCAACGGAGACGUAGCUUCCUUCGUGGGAGUGAACUUCGGUAAACAAAUCCUUUGUCUCGUGUGCUUGUUGUGUUCCUCUAGUUCUUGUUGACCUAGAAGCUUAUUUUGUGCCGAUCUAUAUAUUUGUGAAGUUCCUCUUACAUAUAUCACCUGUAGUAGUCUCUGUUCCUCACUUCUAAUCUUUUAAUUCAAAAGAAUUAGCAGUUUCAAGUUUUAUGUUGAAUUUCGUUCAGCUCAUUUCCUACCAUCGGAAGUUCUGCCUCUGUACCGGAAGUUCUGACGUAUCUAAUAUCUCUGCGAAAUGUUUCAGGAAAUUUUUAAAGAAAGCCUAUUAACCCCCCCCUCGAGGCAUCACAAGAUCCUUUCAGGAGCGGCGAACAGGAGACGUGCGGGCGCGGGGGCGGCGGAUCUUGAGAAGUGUGGGAUACGAGGUAGGGGAGAAGAGGGGGCGUGUAUUAACCUCCCCCCCUUUAGUCCCAGGUUGACUUUGCAACCAGGACUAAAGGGCUUUUAGUCCCGGUUGCAAAAUCCACCCGGGACUAAAGGCCCCUUUAGUCCCGGUUGCAAUUUGCAACCGCGACUAAAGGGUGCUUUUCGCGUAGGAGUUCAAAAUGCACGCUUUAGUCCUGGUUGCAAUUUGCAACCGGGAGGGGCUUUAUUCCCGGGUUGACUUUUCAAUCAGGACUAAAGGGCUUUUUUUUAUUUUCCAUCUCCCACCUGUUUUGCAAUUGCAAUUUAUAUAUGUUUUCCACCGGUUUUAUUAAAGAAAAAAUAAAAACUUGAUCAAUGUUAGGUAGGGGAAAAUAGAGUUAAUGUGAUUAUAAAAUUGAGUCCUUGCAAAAACAUUACAUAAAUAAAUUAUUACGUGAGAAAUGGACAUAGGUCUUCGUAUUAGAUAGAUAACUUGAUCAAUAUUCAUAGUUUCCACCAAUCAACCUUCAUAAAGAUAAAAAUAAUUCAUAUAAAAAUUACACCAUUCAACAUUCAUAACAUUCGCUAAAGAUGCAUAUAAAGCUUACACUCAUAAUAAGACAAUAAAGAUACAUAUACACUUUAGAUUACACACGCUCCAUAGUGGAGUUUACAUAGUCAAUUAUUCUAAAAUAAUAGUACAACAUAGCAAAAUGUUCGCCCUCCAAACCAUCUCUGCACAUAACUCAAUCUUCUACGAAGUCUAUCGAAGUCACCUCCACAUAUCGAGUACCAUAAAAUAAUGGUACAACAGAAGAUCUUCGAGUCCACAUACUCGGGCUGAAUAUCAUAUAGGAAUCUUGAAAUAAUUGUCCAAACAUCUUUUGGAGCAAGUGCCACAGUCUCGUAAUAGAAGUAUGGUGGCACACACAUAAUAGCCCAUCUAGGCAAAAGAUUCGUUCACAGAACAUGGCCCAUGGUGGCAAGCCAAAACCAACCAAAAGCCGCUAGCUCAAGGUUAGUGAACAGAUCUUUGCCUAAAGAGGAUAUUGGCCAGCUAACUUCUAUUAUAAGAAUUAGGCUCCAAAAGGCGUUUGGAACACUAUUUCAAGAUUCUUUUAUGAUAUUCGAUGUGAGUUUGUUGACUCGAAACUCUUCUGUUCUACCAUUAUUUUCUGAUAUUGGAGGAGCGGAGGUGACUCUCCAUAGACUUCAUAGAAGAUUAAGUUAUGUGUAGAGAAUAGUGUAAGCACAUUUAUGCCAUGUGCAUACACUGUUCUCUGGGAUUGGAGAAACGGAGGUCGUACAUCCAUUGCCGGUCCACCUGCAUCGUAUUACGUGGAAAAUGAACAUAGGGCUUCGUAUUACAUUAAGAACUUGAUCAAUAUUAGGUAGAGGAAAAAAUAGAGUCACUACCGGUUAAAAUAUUAUUAUGCUGUUAAAAUAGUGCUACAAUUGAAUAUUUUUUAAUCUCGAAAUUCAUAUCACUACCGGUUCAAACCGUUGAUGAUAAACCGAUUUUCACCGGUGGUUUGCACACCGGUGGUGAAAAUUGGAUUAUCGUGCGGUUCUCCAUACAAACUGGUGGUGAUGAUCCCAUUUUCACCAAAUGGUUUGUGGGGAAACCCGGCAGUGAUAAUUCCAUUUUCACCACGGUUUGUGGGGAGAACGAAGUGAUAAUCCCGUUUUUCACAACCGGUGUGCAAAUCGCCAGUUAAAAUUGGGUUAUCACUUCCGAACUUUCUGUAGCGUCAAGUCAAAACUGCGGGUGAUGGGGUUUUUGGACCCAGCAGUGAUAGGCAUGUUGUAGUAGUGGAAGGAUACACGCAUGUACUAUUCACCGUGUUUUCUCUGCUUGUAAGCCUGUUAUUUCGUGGUAUAGAACUGUUCUUUGAAUCAUUGGGUGUGAUGUAUGACUACACGUUCAUACAAAUUAUUGUAAUGAUUGUUUAGUAGGGCCCAAGAAUUUCUUUAGGGGGCACAAAGCUGAAAGUUUGACGGUUAGAAGAUUUGCAAAUGAUGGAAGCGACCGGUGUAACUACACAAAGUGAACGCACUAAAUCUACUUGAUUCUUCUUUGCUUCGUAGAAACUUGAGCGCAUUUAGUCUAAUUAGCUAGUGCAUCUAUGUCCUUCUAUAAAAAUUAAAUAAAGGGUAGCACGAAUGCUAAAGAAAAGAUGCCUUCAUGCAUCAGAUGCUCCUUGUCCAAGAACUUAUGUCACCAAACUAUUUUAAUUCGUAGAACCAAUAUCUUUGCAACCUGCGUCACUACACGGCACAUGGCAUAUCAUUUCAAAUAAUAGUAGCAUGCUUCGUCACAAAUGGUAGGUCGUUUUAACAUUUCUAUAUUAUAACUUUAUAAAUUAUAUGGUUUUAACAUUUCUAUAUUAUAACUUUAUAAAUUAUGUCUAGAUGCAUAGUAAAAACUAGAAAUCUAGAAAUGUUAAAAUGACAUACAAUUUGGCAUGGAGGGAGUAUAACAUUUUGAAGAAAAAACUAACUUAUGUUUUAGAUACUUGUGGCGUUGUCAAACUUGAAAAGACACUUAUUCGUCACUAUAUGGGACAGUAGCCUCUCAAAGUUUGAGAAAUAAAGAUAGAUUUAAUGCAUUAGACCCCGGUACUAAUGGGUGAUAGACUCGUAUUAAUACCGGAUCAAAAACCAAUCGAUACUAAGUCUCGGGACGAAUGCUGAGUUUUCUAGUAGUGAUUGCUCUCCUUUCCAGUUGACAAAAUCUGCAUGGCACUAAUUCGUAAUUACAGUAAUGUAGGUCAUUUGAGUAAGACUCCAUCUUAAGCAAAGUGCUGCCGAUCUAGCUCUCUGGCAUGAAUCCCGGAAUGGCUUGUUGCGAAAGUGAUAGUGCUGUACUGCUGUGUGUUGUUUGCGUCUCGUUCAGUUUGAAAGGAGCAGAAAAAGCUGAUUCACGUUCUGCUGCAUACCAUUACAAUGGUCCCUACCGCAACGAAAAUGCUUUCCCCGAAAGGAAUGGCACCUUGUCCACUUGCUCUCAUUCUCUUGCGACGUGCAGCAUGCUCUUCAUAUUUACCAAUAAUAGGUCAAGUGAGGUAGGAGCAGAAGGAUCAUAAGAAACAAUGUCACCAUAAUCAGUCAAAUGAUUGAAUUUGGAAUGAACAAACAAGCUGUGACCCUUCAUCUUAUUACACCAACUUUUACACAAGAACGAGAUGCACAGUUGCAAAUUAGUAGAGAUACAUGUGGAACCCAACAAGUCGCCGGAAAAGUACCAUCAGAAGCGCAAAUUGCUCACUUCACUUAGCUCUUUUUCUGAGCAAGCCUGGACUUGAUCUUCUCCACCUCCUUGCUACCGACCUGGAACGCCUUGGUGAGGACAUAGUUAGGCACCUCCGGCGUCGCCGCGAACAGUGUCAUGGGGAGGGACUGCGUGCCGGGUAGCUGGCUGUUGAAGGCCGAUAUAACGGCGGCGGGCACGUCCUCGUUGUUCUUCUGGAAGUGUACCAGGCCGCGGGGGAAGACGAAGACGUCGCCGGCAGUGAUAGUCUUCGCAAUCAGCUUGUUCCCGGUGGUUAUGAAGCCCACAUCCAGGGUGCCCUGCAGGACGAAGACAAUCUCGGUGGCGCGAGGGUGGGUGUGCGGCGGGUUCAGGCCACCGGGGGCGUAAUCUAUGCGUGACAGCGACACGCCGAGGGUGUUGAGGCCCGGCACCUUCUCGACGUUGGCGCCGGUGACGACGGAGCCGUAGGUGUUGUUGGUGUUACCGGGGUUGGCGAGGCCUUUGAAGUAGAAGUCGUCCUCUGUCACGGUGGCCUUGCAGGGAAAUCCGUUCACCUUCAUGGCUGAACAUACACAGGUUAGAAUUGCAUUCCAUUUUACCAAAGACUAUUUUUACAAAACAAAUAAUAAAGCACUCACUGGACGUGAUAUCCGCGACGCAGAUGUCCUGGAGCAACUCGGGGUCGCCGGCAAGGGACGGGGAGGGAAGGAGGAGCACGGCGACGACGAUGGCAAAGGAAAGCAACGGAGAUGGAAUGGCCAUUGUGAACUUGUUCCUCUGCUCGUGCUUGUAUUAUGGCCAGGGGCCACCCUUUCUUUACUCCCUUGUGCUCACUCCUUUUACUGUCGCUGGUUGCUCUGAAUGGGAUGAUGAAUGGACGGAAGAUAUGGAUCGUAUUUAUAACUGGUGGGGACGAGAAAGAGAGUGAUGUGAGUGCGAAGGUAUGUGUGGCAAGAUUGUCCUUUCACCCCAAGAAAUGUGCUGGCCGUGCGCGUGAGGUGGUAGGAGAGGGGAUUGCUGAAAGAGUACACAAUGAACAACGUGAUUGGCUGGUUAUUUUAUUACACUUCUAGUGAUUUUGAACGGGGAGCAGAUUUGUCUAGUAUUAUCGGAGAGGUAGGGAAUUGCGCUAUCUACUGGGGAACUAAACAAUAUACUAAUGAUGCUUUUUCUAUUUUGCGAGUUAGAAGUUGCCGCUACAUCUAACAAAGCCCCAGUGACCCUAACAGAGGGGUAAGCUACUGAGAACAUAUCUGACGACGACGAAGGAUCUUCUUUUACAGAUUUAUGUUUGAUUCCUGCGUCGCCAGCUUGCACGGGUAAAAAGCACAGUAAAUGUGACAAUUUGAACCCACUAGAUAUCAGAGAAGGAUUAACCUUACAGGGUUUGUUGGCUUAAUAUUUUCACAACAUGUUUUUCUUUAAUUUCUAGUACUGCAUAUAUCUAAUUUAGGGGCCAGGUAAAAGUAAAGUAGUGAAUAAAACUAUUCUACCAAUAAACUUAUUUCUAAACCUUGGACCUGAAAUUUGACUUGUUGCAUCUUUUUCCCUCACCUCAAUAUAUAGAUUCCCUAGAUGAACCUUACAUCAAAUCCUUUGAAUACUCACACCCACCUUGAUCCUUCAUCUUGCCCAGUUGCUGUCACAUGGAUGUUGUUGAUGUUUUGUAAAGAGUAAAUUUCACUAGCAGGCCUUAAACUUGUCUUGAGUUCUCAUCCCAGUCCCAGUACUUCGGUACUCUCAAAAUGCAUAUGACGGUCCAUAAACUUGUCCCGAGCUAUCAUCCUAGUCCUUAAACUUGUCUCGACCCCACUAUUCUCGAAAUGCAUAUCAAGGUCCAUAAACUUGUCCCGAACUCUCAUCAACUAAAUUUAUGUUUGAGAUUUGAACUUGGUUUCAAAUCUUUGUGAAUUUUUUUAUCAAUUUUAAAUGAGACUCAGACUUGGUUUUAAAUCCUCAUGAACUAUGGAUCAAUUAUGAGUGGUACUCAAACUUGGUUUCAAAUCCUAAAAGUUCGUUUCUCACUUAAAAACCAAUCAAAAGUUCAAGAGGAUUUGAAACCAACUCCGAAUCCCAUUCAAAAUUGAUAAAAAAUCCAUAAAAAAAUUGAAACCAAGUUGAAAACCCACUGAAAUGUUUAGUGAAUGAGAGCUCAAGAAAAGUUGACGAUCCUGGAUGAAAGCCGAGGACAAGUUUAGGGAUCGGUAUGUGCAUUUCAAGAGUACCAGGACCGGGAUGAGAGUUCGGGACAAGUUUAAGUACCGUUAUGUCCAUUUUGAGAGUAUGGGACCGGUACGAGAACUCGGCACAAGUAUAGUAGUACUAGAUUGAUUGUAAACCAAUACUAUAGUAGUACUAGAUUGAUUGUACGGAUACAUGCAUGUAUAUCAACAAGAGGCAGAGCUAGGAUUGUUGAGGCGGGUAUAUCCAUCUCUUAACCAAAAACUUUCUAGUUCAAUAGUAAAAAAGUUCACUUUGGUAGAACUGCCCAAAUUAAAUCGGCUUAAGGGCGCUAACCAUCCUUUUAAUGAUUAAUCCGAUCAAUACGCACUUAAAAUGGCAUAAUCUGACAGUCUGUCGGGUAAAUCGCAAUUAAGCCACUGAAUGUCUCAAUUGAAACAAUACACCAUGAGUCUCAUGCGAACGCGAGCAGAGAUAAUACAAACAUCACAGAGUUUACAUAAAUUAAGGUACAACACUUAGCCUUUAUAAAUUGAGUUUAAAUUCAAGAAAAAACAGAGCAUUAGGAUAGCACAACAGAAACAAAAUUAGAACUAGAGUAAAAUAUGAUACACAGGAAGAUAGAAAUGGUGCGAGCAAAGGAGAACACAUUGAGCCCACCGAUGUUCCAUCAACAAGAAGCAACACCACCUGAAAUAAGGUCACAACAAUAACCCUGAGUAUACUAAUACUCAGCUAGGCUUACCCAACUAUGGUAUAUACUUAGCCGACUAGUAGCAUGCAUGGCUUUUUGACUGUUAGGUUUGUUUUGCCAAAGAGCAACUAAUAGUGUGUCCUUACUUUCAGUAUUUUAGCCAAGUUUGAACUGAGAUAAUCUAUUCUCUAGAUUUGCAUAAACAUAAUAUUCAAUGUAGCAAAACAAUUGAUCAAAUAAACAAUAGUAACAACCAUCAUCGUAUUUUCACAUCUUCAUUCACAUGUUCCACUUCUUACUACAAUGUGAUGUAGUGGUCAAGGUUCUCUUAUCCAAGAGGUACUACAAAAUCGAUUCGAUUUUAUCCUUUGCAAGGUAAACCUAAUCACACAACGUACGCUGCCCUGUCAGGCCGCAUAUGGCAACGGUUCUCUGCGCAAACGCCAGCAUUUGAACUUCCCAUCGUAGCUCCUCAAGUACUAGUCCCCACCGAUACCUCCCAGGGUCAAAAAUGAAUUUCAAUAAUCCACCGGUACCACCCAGCCGAUCAAAGGUAUGUUGGCGCUCAUUAUUGCCACCCUUUUUUGCCAUUUAAGUGGUGUUUUUGGACUUAUUCUUAUACUAACCCACAACUUGCCACCUGAAAUAACCCCAUAUUCACAUAUGUGUUGUGUUUUGGACCAUAUUGCAAAAUCACAGGAAAUAUGGUAUGAAUGAAGUGUUUUUCUACAAGUUGGAUUUGGGCCUGGACUUUGGAUAUUGGAAGGUCCAAACAUGAACAUUGAAUUGCAGACCAGCAGGAGGAGCUGAACUUGCACGGGCCAUAUCUUCCUCAUCCAAACUUGGUGUCAAAAUUGCAUGGUUUGAAAAGAUCUACAACUUUCGUCUGAACCGCUCGGGCAUUUGAUGCUUACAAGGGGCAGGCCGAUCGCCCUGCCCUGAUCGAGGCCCCUUUUCACUAGGAGGAAGCCCUCGAUGAUCCUAAGGUUUCUAUAACGAUCGACCCCUAAACCUCCCGAGUUAAUCUUAAUCGGAGCCCUUUUACCUUAGUCAUCUGUCUUGCUUGACCGCGCCUAAGUGCUCAGCUAUCCGCCCGGUCCCGACCCCUGAGAUCCGACCCCUUCCCGCUUCGCUCCUCUCCCGACCCCGACGAGCGCAGCCCACCGUCGGAUCCUGCUAAUCUUCCUCAAACCACCGUUCUCUCCACCGGUGGACCCGCAAGAUCUUUUUCCCAGAUCCUCCGCGAUAGGCGCACUCGAGUUGCAUGCCCGCUUCAGAGUCUCCCUGCUGCGUGGCUCGUCUUCUCCGAUGCCCGCCGCUCAGUUUUGUCUCUGGCAAGCGACCAAGUGGGUUCUCGCGCCCCUUUCCCCAAUGGCAGCGGAAGCCCCUCUGCACCCCUUUCUGCAGAGCCUCGCCUCCCGCGCCCAUCAUCACGCCACCAGAUCCCGGCCCCAGAGCCCGAUGUCGCCCGUCUUUUCCGUCCCUUCAGCCACAGUUGCGCCGCCCGGUCUCUGCCACCCGACGAUUCCUCCACCGCCAACCCCGACCGCGGCCGUGACAGCUCCUUUCCCCCGCCUUGUCAGAAGCCGCCCAACAAUCUGUUGUUUCGCGCUCGCCCGCGCGCCCGCAGCUGCCGGUCUUCUCACCUGUGCGCCCUCGAUUCUAGCGCCGUUAAACCGGUCGCUUCUAUCAAAUCUUCCGCACAGCGACGCCCGCUUUCCGCCAAAUCUCAACCACCAGUCUACCCGCUCCUACGACGCCCUGACGGCAGAACGCAAUGAUCGCUGGCGUCACCCCCGGAGUUCUGCACCACCGCCCUCUUCGCUCAAUCGCCGCCCCGGCAGAGCACUCCAUUGUUUCUCCCCGGCCUUCGCGCCGCUCCCCUUCUCUCUCUCCCACGCCACUUCCUUUCUCCGUUCCAACAGCUAUAAAAGGAAUGGCCCUAUCGCCGGAGUUCCCUCCGCCAUUGUUGCCUUCAGCCAUUCUCUCGCUCUCUGCUCAAGCUCCUAGCGCCACCCACCAAGUUGUUGAGGAGUUCUUCUCUCAGAUUCUCUCUCAGUUUUCUCCAAGUCACCCUGCAGCUUGCUCCUCCGUGCUGCGUAAAAGCUCUCUUGUGAUCUGCAAGAAGCGCCACCUCCGCCGUAUCAUUCCCAAUCUUAGCCCUUGUUUGAAGCUUUAGUCCAUCCGCCCAAGUCUGCUUCUUCCCGACCCCAAGCUUUCCUUUCAGGAAGAAGGUGAGUUGCCGACCCCAGUCCGCCUCGCCCGACCCCUCCUAUCCGCCCGACCCCGGUUCCGUCUCGCCCGACCCUAUCUAUUCCGCCGACCCUUAUCCACCUCGCCCGAGGGCUUGGCUGUGAUCUUUUUCUUCAACCCGAGGGUGUAUAUGUAAAACUUGGGAACCCUUCAGCGCUUGCGUCUAAGGACCCCUAGUAUACCACAUCCUCUAGUUCAAGGAUCAGAUCAUGAGUUCCUUUCCUACCCUUACCUCUUGAUCAUCAUCAGCUCUCUUGAACCACCAUAACCUCCUGCUCUUUGUCGCAAGUUUCUGGGCGCAGGCGAACCAGUGUUGCUGUUGAAAUAACUGUCUAUGCUAACCCUUGCAUUGCAUUCGUGUAGAGCUGCACCUCGCCGACGGCUUCUACGAGCUUCAUCCGGUGCCAGAAGAAGAAGCUGUAGCUGAGUUCCUGCCCGCUGAAGCCGAAGUCGCCCCCGAAGUCGAGCAGUUUCCGCCCCCUUUGCUUGAAGGCAAGCCCCGGUUGCAUGAAAGUCCUAUGUGUUUUACCAGACUUGCGCAUGCCUUCGGUAACAUGCUUGUGCAUUUACAUAUAGGAGUUGUGUGAAACCCUAGAUGCAUGACUUAGUUGUCCCCAUGAUCUGAACACUAGCUGUUGGACCGUGUAGUCACCUUGCUUAACUAGGAGACGGUAAAAGUCGAGUGAUCUCCUUUCACUCGCGAGUUGUAGGAGUUGGAUGUCUAUCUUUCUGUUACAACUAUAAGGACGAUGGAUGGGGCAGGGUUUGGGUAACUCUUUGGUGGACGGAUGGUCGCCCCUUUUUUUUUAUGAAAACUUGCUAAGGCCCGACAGUGGUGGUGUUCGUGAUCAAGUGUUUGAAAGUACUAGCCUCAUACUUAGUAUGGGAUGAGGAAGCCUAGUACCGGAUUGAACCUAGACGUGAGCGGUCGUCCCAUUGUUCUUGGAACGGAGUUUCCCCUGCUGGUUGUCGCACGUGGUGGCAAGCGUGGUCACAGGACGACAGAGGUCGGGUCUGUGGAACCUUGCACCAAAGGAAAUGGGCCCGACACGGGUUAGGGGAUUGAUGGGGAAGGCCGACACAGGAAGCGACCUCCGGGUGCGCGGAUGUCGUGAGGCUAGGUUCACCAUGCAUGGUUAAAGAACUCGAAUCGAUUCGUCUGCCUCUCACAGCUUCAGAUUGCUUGAUCGCUAUGUCACCCUGAGUAAAUGAGGAAUCUGAUGAUGGCAAUGUUUGUUGUUAUAUCUACACAUCUUGUUUGGCUCUAUGGAUGCUUAGAAUAGGUUGCACAACCUAGACUGGUAAAUGAACCUAGAACCGGAGCUAAAACUUGAAAAUAAGGUUACUUAGUGCUUUUGGAUAACAAACCCCUCAGCCAAAAAGCCCGGCAUGUCUAGAAGGAGAAGUAGUUUUACUCCCAUCGGUUAAGUCUUGUUGAGCUUAGUAGCUCAGCCUUGUUGUGGCUCCUGUUUUUCAGGUGGAGUUGCUGCUCCCGACCCCUCUCUGGUUGGUGCUUGGCCGCCCCAGCUUCCACCAGGCUGGACGGUCGAGUGGGAUCCCUCCUCGGACGGCGAGGAGAGGACUCAGUGAUGUUCCGGUGGGCCUCACCAGGACAUCCGACCCCGACGAAGUCUUCCACUAGUGUUUACCUUCUGUUGUUUUUCCUUUGAACCGUGUACAAACUCUGAUGUUGGAUUUUAUGGCCGAACUAAAUGGGUAAACUUGUUUAACUCAGUGGACUCGUUGUAUUCUUUGGAACCACUCACCUUCGUGUGAGUUGCUAAACUCGAUCCUGUUCAAGUGGUUAAAUCGGAUGAAAUCCGAUGGCACUUCGUGUUAACUCGGCUUAGGCAGGAGUGUCGCAUGUUCGGCGGCUUAACCCUAUCUAAAUCAAGCUAAUCCGAAGUGGAUCCGCCACAGCUGGUAUCAGAGCCGUGUUUGGCAUUUUAGAGAACACAACAAGCCCUAAACACUUUCUUGAAAAGAUAAAAGUUGCAAGAAACUUUUGAAAAUCUCGUACGACCGUUAAGGAUGACUUUAGUGCGAGAGGCCCUAGGGGAUUUUUGGGGUUUGUUUUAGGUGACUAAUAACUAUUUGGUUAUUUUGCUAACCCUUCCAGCACUUCGCCACGUCUGUCAUACGUGUGCCGAGUUCCGCAUCGCGAGCAUGCGAGGGUUGAUAGGGAGUUCCAUUCAAAGGACCCUAUCGUCGCGGUUGUUUUCGCCCACGUCUAUCACACGUGUGCAGGUUCCGUAUGUGAUCCAUACGAAGGUUGGUACGGUUCGAUUCCAACAAACCCAUCAGCACGGUUGGUUCACCACGUUUAUCAUACGUGUGCUGAUUCCGCAUCACGAGUAUGCGAAGGGUUAUAUGGUUCCAUUCAAAGGGAACCUAUUUCCACGGUUGAGUGCUGUCCAUGCAGCCUUAAACGCAUGGGUGCCGUUCCUAUAGUGAGCGGUAAUGUUUGGGAACGCUUUCGUGGGUGCUGGCACGAAAGGUUCGUGUGUGGUGUUUUUCUGCAGGUACGCUAACCGCAUUCGUUUAGGAGACGUUGUAGAACCGACUAGUUAUUAUAGGGAGAGACGUAAUGGUUGCCUUGUCACCGGCACUGACCGCGUAAGACCCGAGUUUUGGGCAGUUGUUUUUGGUUAAGUGUAAGGUAGGCCGUGCAUGCGUCAUAACUAAAAAUCUGUAAUGUUCCCUCUCAACAGCAACCUUGUUCGGAAGAGUUCUUUUGGAUCUAAGGAUUUCUAGUUUCUUUUAGUUUCUCUCGGUUAAAACCGAAUGCUUCUCUAUCCGACCCCUGACCCUUGGAAUCUAUCUCACGUGGUUUUGGUUCUUGGUUCCAGAUGGCUGUUCCCGGACAUGUUCUUUUUGGAGCGGACGGUACCUUCCAAUCAACGUGCCUACAUUUCGAGGGUUUCCCUGCGAUUUUGUGGGAUACGCUGAAGUGGUUUGGGUACCAGUCCCCGCCCUUGUAUGCCGGGCGGUUAUAUCUGGAGCAGGGCAUCCAGACGUGCCAAGUGCAGGCCUUGGUACCUCCUCCCCCUGCACGGCCCGACAGGCCUUCGUUUUCCAGGCUUCCAACCGCAAGUGCCCCGGCCGACCCUGCCAACACCACCUCGCCUGGCAGCCAAUAACCGUUGUUUUACCUGCGGCAAUGAAGGACAUUUUGCAAAGGAUUGCCCCAGGAACAAGAAUCAACCGCAAGGUCGGAACCCCAUGGCAGCCAGAGGAAGAAGGCCCAAGGUGUAAGUCCGACAAGGCCGACUCAACUACACCAUCUUGACCAAACUCCCCGAAGGUGCGCCAGUAAUGACGGGUACCUUCCUUGUUUUAAAUCAAGCUGUUGUUGUGUUGUUUGAUUUGGGAGCCUCUCAUAGCUUUAUCGGGAGUAAGGCUAGGGAAAGAUGUGGGCUAAGUGUCGGUCACACUAAGGAACCUUAUGUGAUCGCCACACCUGGAGGAAGGAUAACAUUGGAUCAGAUUGUUAUUCUUGUACCUCUCCAGCUAGGCCCCACCCUCUUCAAGGAAAACCUUAUAAUCCUUGACCUAGAAGGCCUAGAUGUCAUCCUUGGUCAUGUACUCCAUACGAAGGUUGGUACGGUUCCAAGUGCAGGCCUUGGUACCUCCUCCCCCUGUAAGACCCAAAGUUUCGGGCAGUUAUUUUUGGUUAAGUGUCAGGUAGGCCGUGCAUGCGUCAUAACUAAAAAGCUGUAAGGUUUCCUUGUCAAUAGCAACCUUGUUUGGAAGAGUUCUUUUUGGAUCUAAGGAUUUCUAGUUCUUCUGUUGCUCUCGGUUAAAGCCGAAUGCAUCUCUGCCCGACCCCUGACCCUUGGAGUCUAUCUCACGUGGUUUUGGUUUCUUGGUUCCAGAUGGCUGUUCCCGGGCAUGUUCUAUUUGGAGCGGACGGUACUUUCCAGUCGACAUGUCUGCAUUUCGAGGGUUUCCCCGCGAUUUUGUGGGACACGUUGAAGUGGUUUGGGUACCAGUCCCCACCCUUGUACGCCGGACGGCUAUAUCUGGAGCAGGGUAUCCAGACGUGCCAAGUGCAGGCGGUGGUACCUCCUCCCCCUGUGCGGCCCGACUGGCCUGUUGGGAUACGAGGUAGGCUACACUAGCGCAAAAUAAAAUUUCUACCACGUAUAACCAGGAAGAACUGCCGUAUAAGGAUCACGGGAUUACCACUCGACGCACUACUGGUGCGGAAGAUGUAGAUAUGCGUCGAUGCAGUGAAGACGAUCACGUAGUCGUACGUAGUCGAUCACGUCCAGCAGCUCCUCAGCAGCUCGUCCACGUGCACAGUAAGAUCGCCUCCGGUACCGCGGCUCAUCGUCGGCUCGUCGUGGCUCGUCGGCGGCUCGUCGAUGGCUCGUCCAAGUGCUGCAGGCGCAACACCUCCAAGGUAUCCACACGUGCAGGGAGGAAGUGUCGCAAGCCGGACUGCUAGAUCCGUGAGUUGCAACAGGCGAGGGCGUGGGAGGCGCGGCAGGUGUGUUUCGCCAAAAAGGUGUAAACCCUAGGGCGCCCCCACCCCUCUAUUUAUAGAGGUUCCUGAUGGGCCUCUGGAUCCGAGGCCCAUUAGUACUCCUAAACCUAAUCCAACUCGGAUCAGAUCCGAAUUGGGCUUCCAGCCCCUUAAGUGUGUGACCCUAUGGGUUCGGAUACGUAUAGACAUGGCCCGAGUACUCCUACUCGGCCCAAUAGUCGGUAGCGGCCUCUAGCAAGACGUGCCAACUCCUAUACGCAUACGAAGAUCAUAUCAGACGAACCAUCACAACAUAUAUACAUGCUAUUCCCUUUGCCUCACGAUAUUUGGUCUAGCUUCAAGCCGACCGCUCUUUCUCGAUCCUGUGAUUCGGAAUCCCUUUGUAGGUUAACUCUUAACCGUACGUAGCAUGGCCAUGCAUUUUCGGAUCCGAUCACUCGAGGGGCCCAGAGAUAUCACUCUCAAUCAGAGAGGGGCAAAUCCCAUCUUGAUUGACCAUGUCUCAUAGCAUGCUUCUUGACAAACCCGAAAGCUACCUUUAUAACUACCCUGUUACGGCGUAGCGUUUGAUAGCCCCUAAGUAGGUCGAUCCACAUCUAGAAUACAUGCGACAAUCUCAGGUCUAAGGACAAAGCGUAUAUGUUGUUUAAAGAGAGAACUACUUCUCGUGUUGGAUCAGUCCUAACACAUGUCUCCACAUGUGUCCACAUUAUUAGUUCAACAUCUCCAUGUCCAUGACUUGUGAAACAUAGUCAUCAACUAAUACAUGUGCUAGUCUAAUAUUCAUGUGUGUCCUCACAUGAACUCCGACUAGGGACAACUUUAGAAUAACCAUACAAGUAAAGAGUUUCACAUACAAUUCACAUAAUUGCAAAUCAAUUCAAGUAGCCUUUAAUGGAUAUUCAAUGAACACAAUAUACAAAUCAUGGAUACAAAUGGAAUAUCAUCAUCUCUAUGAUUGCCUCUAGGGCAUACCUCCAACAGUCUCCCACUUGCACUAGAGUCAAUCUAGAAGGUACCUAAUACCCAUAGCUCUUACAUGCGCAUCAUGCUUAGCUUGCGGGAGUGGUUUUGUCAACGGAUCAGAAAUGUUCAGAUCCGUGUGUAUUUUGCAUAUCUUGAUCUCACCCCGGUUAACGAAGUCUCGAAUGAGAUGAAAUCGCCGCAUUACGUGUUUGUUCUUCUGGUGGUUCCUUGGCUCCUUUGCUUGCGCAAUUGCCCCAUUGUUAUCACAGUAGAGAUUCAAUGGGCUGGACGCAUUCGGGAACACACCAAGCUCAAUGAGGAAAUUCCUUAUCCAAACACCUUCCUUCGCGGCUUCCGAAGCCGCGAUGUACUCGGCUUCUGUCGUAGAAUCGGCCACCGUCUCCUGCCUGGAAGUCUUCCAACUAACAGCACCACCAUUUAGCGUGAACACAAAUCCUGAUUGUGACUUUGAAUCAUCUCUGUCGGUUUGGAAACUAGCAUCGGUGUAACCUGUUACAACGAGCUCCUCCUGACCUCCAUAGACGAGGAACAUAUCUUUAGUCCUUCUCAAGUACUUAAGAAUGUUUUUCACCGCUGUCCAGUGACUCUCACCUGGAUCAGAUUGGUGUCUGCUUGUCAUACUUAGCGCAUAUGAAACGUCUGGGCGAGUACUUAUCAUUGCAUACAUGAUAGAUCCAAUAGCCAAGGCAUAUGGCACUCUACUCAUGCGAUCCCGCUCAUCAGCAGUCGAAGGACACUGAGUCUUGCUGAGAUGUAUGCCAUGUGACAUAGGCAAGAACCCUUUCUUUGCCUCUUCCAUGCUGAACCGCUUCAACACUUUGUCAAUAUAAGUAUCUUGGCUCAAACCUAUAAGCCUUCUCGAUCUAUCUCUAUAGAUCUUAAUGCCCAGAAUAUAUGCCGCUUCCCCUAAGUCCUUCAUCGAAAAACUAUUUUUCAGUGAAGUCUUUACGGACUCAAGCAUAGGAAUGUUAUUUCCAAUCAGUAAUAUGUCAUCCACAUAUAAGAUUAGAAAUACUACAGAGCUCCCACUAACCUUCUUGUAAACACAAGACUCUUCUUCGUUCUUGGUGAAGUCAAACCCUUUGACCACUUCAUCAAAACGAAUGUUCCAACUCCUAGAUGCUUGCUUCAAUCCAUAAAUGGAUCUCUGAAGCUUGCAUACCUUUCCAGCAUUUUUCGGAUCAACAAAACCUUCGGGCUGUAUCAUAUACACGUCCUCAGCUAAGUUUCCAUUCAGGAAAGCUGUCUUGACAUCCAUCUGCCAUAUCUCAUAAUCGAAAUAUGCAGCUAUAGCUAGAAUGGACUUAAGCAUCACUACGGGCGAGAAGGUCUCGUCGUAGUCAACACCUUGAACUUGUCGGAAACCUUUUGCGACAAGUCGUGCUUUAUAGAUGUGAACAUUUCCAUCCAUGUCCUUUUUCUUCUUAUAGAUCCACUUGCACUCUAUGGCUUUAACACCAUCAGGCGGGUCAACCAAGUUCCAAACUUGAUUGUCUCCCAUGGACUCUAUUUCGGAUUGCAUGGCACUCUGCCAUUUUUCGGAGUCUGGGUCCAUCAUUGCUUCUGCAUAUGUCGCAGGCUCAUCAUUGUCCAACAAUAAUAUUUCUCGCAUUUCGCGGAGCCUUGCUGACCUUCGUGGUUGUGGCGGUGCUUCUCUUGCCAUGGGUAUCUCAACUUGUUCUGCUACGUUAGCAUCACUCAUUGAUUCUUCCCCGAUUGGCUCAUCUUGAACUUCUUCAAGAUGCACUGUCUUUCCACUCUUUUCUCCUUUGAGAAACUCUUUCUCUAGGAAAACCCCGUUCCGAGCGACAAACACUUUGCCUUCUGAUCGGUUGUAGAAAUAAUAUCCCAAAGUUUCCUUUGGAUAUCCCACGAAAAUGCACUUAUCCGACUUGGGUGUGAUCUUGUCCGACUGAAGUCGCUUGACAAACACUUCACAUCCCCAAAUCUUUAGAAAAGACAAACUAGGAACCUUUCCAGUCCAUAUCUCAUAUGGUGUCUUAACUACGGAUUUAGAUGGUACCCUAUUUAGUGUGAAAGCUGCUGUUUCUAGAGCGUAUCCCCAAAAUGACAACGGUAGGUCCGACUGGCUCAUCAUUGAUCGAACCAUGUCUAACAAAGUUCGAUUACGUCGCUCGGACACACCGUUUCUCUGAGGUGUUCCAGACGGCGUAAGUUGUGGAACAAUUCCGCAACUCUUUAGAUGAUUUCUAAACUCGUGGCUCAAAUACUCGCCUCCACAAUCAGAUCGUAAGACCUUAAUUUUCUUGCCACGCUGAUUUUCAACUUCAUUCUGAAAUUCCUUGAACUUUUCAAAGGUUUCAGACUUGUGCCUCAUCAAGUAGUCAUAGCCAUAUCUACUAAAAUCAUCAGUGAAAGUUAUGAAGUAUUGGAAUCCUCCUCUAGCCGUCGUGCUCAUUGGUCCGCAUACAUCACUAUGUACGAGUUCCAACAAGUCUACUGCUCUCUCAGGAAAUCCUGUGAAAGACGUCUUGGUCAUCUUGCCUAGCAAGCAAGCCUCACAUGUCUCGUAUGAUUCAAAAUCAAACGAAGUUAGAAGUCCAUCAGAAUGGAUCUUCUUCAUGCGCUUAUCACUUAUGUGACCCAAACGACAAUGCCACAAGUAGGUAGGACUCAAAUCAUUAGGCCGAGGCCUUUUAGCACUUACAUUACAGAGAGGUGAACCAUCAAGAUUUAAAACAAAUAAUCCAUUCACAAUGGGUGCAAAAGCCAUAAACAUAUUAUUCUUAGAGAUCACACAACCAUUGUUUUCACUCGCAAAUGAAUAACCAUCCUUCAUCAAGCAUGAAGGAGACAAAAUGUUUCGACUUAAACAAGGAACAAAAUAACAAUUAUUCAACUCCAUAAUAAAUCCUGACGGGAGGUGGAGUUGCAUCGUCCCGACGGUCAAAGCAGCAACUCUUGCAUUAUUGCCCACGCGGAAAUCAACUUCUCCUCUUUCCACACUUCUACUUCUUAUCAUUCCCUGCAUCGAAUUGCAAAUAUGAGCAACCGAUCCGGUAUCAAAUACCCAAGAAUUAAUAACUGUAUCAGCGAGAAAUAUGUUGUCUAUAACAUUAACAACAAGCGUACCUGAGGUAGAAGUACUCUUACUUCCGCCGUUCUUCAACGAAGCUAGGUACUGCUUGCAGUUUCUCUUCCAGUGACCAAGUUCAUGACAGUAAAAGCACUCUUUGUCUGGAGCAGGUCCAGGUCCAGCUUUAACCUUGGGCGGUGGGUUUGGCUUGGACGUUCCAGCCUUGCCCUUCUUCUUCCAAGAAUUGCCCUUCUUCUUAAAGCUGGGCUUGUUCUGUAUCGCCAUCACAUGGCUUGUACUAGCGCUUUUCUUGAUGUCAGCCUCUGCUGUCUUGAGCAUACCACACAGCUCAUUCAGACCCUUCUCCGUCCCAUGCAUAUGGUAGUUCGAGAUGAAGUUCCCAUAGCUAGGCGGAAGAGACGAAAGAAUGAAAUCAGUGGCCAACUCUUGGCCCAGUGGGAAGCCUAGCUUCUCCAACCGUUGAGUGUAACCAACCAUCUUGAUUACGUGUGGUCCUACUGCUGCGCCUUCUGCUAGCUUGCUCUCAACAAAGGCCUUAGACACAUUGAACCUUUCAGUCCUGGCCUGUGUUUGGAACAUGUCUCUAAGCGCCACGAUCAUAUCGUGCACCUCAUGGUUUGUUUCGAACUGCAUCUGCAGCUUGGGUUCCAUGCAAGCAAGCAUAAGGCAGCUUACUUCGAGGUUAGCAUCACAUGCUUUCUUGUAAGCAUUCUUAGCAGCAGCGGGUGCAUCCUCAGCAGGUUCUUCUGGUAGUGGGUUGUCUAGAACAUCUUCCUUUUUCUCAGCCCUGAGAACAAUUCUCAGGUUGCGGAUCCAAUCCGAGUAGUUUGUUCCAUUCAACUUGUCCUUCUCAAGGACCGAACGCAAAGCAAACGAUGUGGUGGUGUUGCUAGGUGCCAUUUAAUCUACAACAAAAGUAAUGCAAAAUACACUAAGACAAACGUAUCCAUGAUAGAGCAAAUUACAUUAAACUAUUUUAACAGAAUCUACUCCCACUAAAAUCAAUAUCCCUCUAUUGAAACUUAGUGAUUCAGGAUCCACAACUAACAAGUCUACUAGUGAGCUUUAGCAUCACCGCUAGCAAACGAGGUAGAUCGGUAAGCAACUUUUGCUAAUCAUAUCACAUAUGACUCCUGUUGUUGGGUGACAUCUCUAUUCUCGGCGCCCAACCUUUAUGCCCCAAGGUCCUUAACCGUUAAGAUAACCUUGUUAAGCAAACCAACCCUUAUGCGUGUAAGUGUCUGACACAAACCCGUCUAGUCAAGGAAAACUAGUGGCACCCUAAUUUCAUAGACCUACCACUAAUUGUACAAGACAUGGGACGGUGCAAGUUUUAGUUGGGAGGGCAUACUAACUUAAACUUUGUGAGGGAUCGUUCUACUUCUAACAUCACAACAUGCAGAAAGUAAAACAUAAACAGAAUAGCAUUCACACAGCUUGUGACACAGUAUGGCCCGUUUUCAUAUGGUAAUCUCCAUCUCCAUAUAACCUGUUCACCAUGGUGAUCUCCAUCUCCAUGUUCCAUGUGCGCCAUCCUCCUGGUGAUGAGUCCUCCAAGAACUAGAGCAUGCUAUUACGCCUAAUAUCUAGUAAAGAAUCUAGUAAUGAAGAUUACAUAGUUGCUUGGAUCAUCACAGAUUGGUACGCAAACCAUUAAAUACAAUAAAGUGACAACACAUAUGGCUCCUGCCGUGUUGCCGUACGCACGACACGCAGGUCACGAAUGAGUUACACACAUGCAUCACAUACACAAGGGGGCCAUACUGAUCACAAGAUACAUGCAUACAUCCUGCAAAACAGAGUUAGGCGUCCUAACGUUCCAAACUUCGGAGGCCCGAAACUCCAUCUUCCAAGCCGAAUUUGGGAAAUCUAAUUUCGCCGAAAACGGCGAAGCGGUUGAAUUUCAUGUGUAACUUUUUCUGUAGAUCAAUUUUCGUAUAGAAAUCACCUCGAUCCGAGAUCGUACCGAAAAGUUACGGCUGAUUUACCGAAGCAUACGCAUACGGCAAAAUCCCGACCCCGGCAGUAGAUCCCAUUUACCAUUGCACAUCUAAUGCGCCUGGCGUAUGACCCUGGAUCUCGAUUCGACCAAUCAUAUUCAUCUUCGCUCACUGCAACUGGAUUUACGUGUAUCACUUAACUCCGAUGGCGGAAACCGACCGGUAGGAGUAUGUCGUUACACUACCAUUGCAGCAAGGGCACGAAAUCAGGACAUAGAUCAAACAGAGAACUCGCAUAUCUCCAUAUGCACACAUCCCGAAUCCAAAACUAAGCAGCUACGGCUCUGAUACCACUAUUGGGAUACGAGGUAGGCUACACAAGCGCAAAACAAAAUUUCUACCGCGUAUAACCAGGAAGAACUGCCGUAUAAGGAUCACGGGAUUACCACUCGACGCACUACUGGUGCGGAAGAUGUAGAUAUGCGUCGAUGCAGUGAAGACGAUCACGUAGUCGUACGUAGUCGAUCACGUCCAGCAGCUCCUCAGCAGCUCGUCCACGUGCACAGCAAGAUCGCCUCCGGUACCGUGGCUCGUCGUCGGCUCGUCGGCGGCUCGUCGAUGGCUCGUCCAAGUGCUGCAGGCGCAACACCUCCAAGGUAUCCACACGUGCAGGGAGGAAGCGUCGCAAGCCGGAGUGCUAGAUCCGCGAGUUGCAACAGGCGAGGGCGUGGGAGGCGCGGCAGGUGUGUUUCGCCAAAAAGGUGUAAACCCUAGGGCGCCCCCACCCCUCUAUUUAUAGAGGUUCCUGAUGGGCCUCUGGAUCCGAGGCCCAUUAGUACUCCUAAACCUAAUCCAACUCGGAUCAGAUCCGAAUUGGGCUUCCAGCCCCUUAAGUGUGUGACCCUAUGGGUUCGGAUACGUAUAGACAUGGCCCGAGUACUCCUACUCGGCCCAAUAGUCGGUAGCGGCCUCUAGCAAGACGUGCCAACUCCUAUACGCAUACGAAGAUCAUAUCAGACGAACCAUCACAACAUAUAUACAUGCUAUUCCCUUUGCCUCACGAUAUUUGGUCUAGCUUCAAGCCGACCGCUCUUUCUCGAUCCUGUGAUUCGGAAUCCCUUUGUAGGUUAACUCUUAACCGUACGUAGCAUGGCCAUGCAUUUUCGGAUCCGAUCACUCGAGGGGUCCAGAGAUAUCACUCUCAAUCAGAGAGGGGCAAAUCCCAUCUUGAUUGACGAUGUCUCAUAGCAUGCUUCUUGACAAACCCGAAAGCUACCUUUAUAACUACCCUGUUACGGCGUAGCGUUUGAUAGCCCCUAAGUAGGUCGAUCCACAUCUAGAAUACAUGCGACAAUCUCAGGUCUAAGGACAAAGCGUAUAUGUUGUUUAAAGAGAGAACUACUUCUCGUGUUGGGUCAGUCCUAACACAUGUCUCCACAUGUGUCCACAUUAUUAGUUCAACAUCUCCAUGUCCAUGACUUGUGAAACAUAGUCAUCAACUAAUACAUGUGCUAGUCUAAUAUUCAUGUGUGUCCUCACAUGAACUCCGACUAGGGACAACUUUAGAAUAACCAUACAAGUAAAGAGUUUCACAUACAAUUCACAUAAUUGCAAAUCAAUUCAAGUAGCCUUUAAUGGAUAUUCAAUGAACACAAUAUACAAAUCAUGGAUACAAAUGGAAUAUCAUCAUCUCUAUGAUUGCCUCUAGGGCAUACCUCCAACAUGGCCCUCUUUCGGCAUAAUAGCCUAUGGCCUAUGUGUGGGUCCCUCUUGUCAGCGUCACCUUCCUCCUCUUCCUCCGCUUCUUUCUCCUCUCCCUUCUUCCUCUUUCUUCACCCGAUCGGCCUUUUCCCCGUCAGGAACCGGCUGGACCCGGCAUGGCUCGACCGCAUUGGGAAUAUUGAGGUGCUAGCCACCACAUGUGCCAUGGUCACCAUCUCCACCAAUAUCAGGUGCAUGGCAGCUCUUUACCGGCUGAUAGUGCUUCAAGGGAGAGCCAUGACCCUCUUCGCCCGGACAGCAGCGGAUGCUCACGGGUACCUCCAAUCGGCACGGAGAGAUAUGGUAGGCCAAACCUACCAGCUUAUUCAACGGGGUAUCCAGAUCCACGACAUGCAAGACCGGAUCUCUGAGCUUGAGGGAGAAGUCGCCGACCUAGUGGACGGCAUGAUAGAGCUAUCGGAGGAGAAGAUGGAGAUGGAAAUGGAGUUGGCAGUUGCCAAUGCCCAUUUGGAGGAGCAUCAAGCUGAGCUCGAUGAUAUGCAUGCCCUCAACAUGCAGCUCGAAGCUCAAGAGGACCCUGAGGAAGACGAAGGAGCGUCCAACAUGGAUAUCGAGGAAGAUGGCACCCCUUCUCCUACUCAUAGUGUCCAUUGGUAGAUUGAGGGUUCUCAGGGGAUCAUUCUUUUGCUGUACUCCUCGGCAGCCUAAAUUUUGGAAAGGUUGUAAUAGGUUAGCCUAGAGUCGAGUACUUCCUGUGAUUGGAACACCGUUGUAUAUAAAGUUAAUUCUGGUGUCUGGCCUUAGUCCUUGCACGGUGUGGAUGCUAGGCUAAGUGAGUUGCACCAUGACCAUAUGCUGUGUUCUGGGAGCCUGUUCCGUUGGCCGACCCCAGUUUGUGAGACCGAGUGCGCCGACCCUUGAGGCAGUUUCCGCCUCGUCCGACCCUUUUUAAGUAUGGAUCGUUGCCCGACCCCUUGGCUUGAGUUGGAUCAUAGGGGUCUGUAUAUGACAUGUUUCACCUGAAGUUGAGUACCAGGUCAAGAUAAAUGUUAUCUACACUGAGAAUGAGAAAAGUGUGUUUUCCCUAUGAGGACGUGUGUUGCACCAUUGGCAAGAGUUGCACUGGAGAAAUUAAAUUAUGCGAUCCAUUUGUUGGAUUACAUCUAAGGUUAUGAAAUUAAUGGAGCGUUAACUCUUGCAGAUGGCGCAUCGCACCAGGUCUGGUUCUGUGCCCAGCAGUAGUGAACAGCGACAGGAUCUUCCCCCGCCCCCGCCCUCAUCGCCACUGGAGGCAAUCCUGGCAACUCAAACUAAGCUGCUAAGACAUCUGGUACAAGGGCAACAGCAACAGUCACAUGGUGGAAGAGCUCAGCAGCAGCCGCAUAUCGCUCGGUAUGAGGACUUUCUGGGGACACAGCCCCCUUUGUUCCAAAAGACACAAGAACCGCUCGAUGCUAACGCCUGGGUUCGUACGAUCGAAUCCAAGUUUGAGCUUCUCACCGCCCCAUGCCCCGACAACAACAAGGCUCGAUUUGCAGCUCAACAGCUGCGUGGCUUCGCACGGCUUUGGUGGGAUCACUACCAUGCCAUGUUGCCGGCUGGCCAUGUGAUCAGUUGGAAUGAGUUCAAGACGGCGUUCAAGGCGCAUCACAUUCCAGAAGGUCUCUUGGAGCGCAAGCUCAACGAGUUUCUGGCCCUUACCCAAGGAACCCAAGAUGUGCUGCACUACGCUCAAGCUUUCAACGACCUGUGCCGCUAUGCCGGCUACCAUGCGGACACAGACGAGAAGAAGCGGGACAGACCGCCGAGGACUGAGCUUGGAGCUCAGGGAAAGGUUGAACCCCAUCAAGGUGGACACCUACAAUGAGUUGGUCAAUCUGGCCAUCUCUCAAGAGGAUUGCAUGCAAGCUCUCAAGGCCGACCAGAAGAGGAAAGCCUCUGUGGCAUUUCCGAGUCUGCCAACUCGAAGGUUCCGGAUGGUUCCUCCACAAGCCCAUGGCCGACCCCAGCAGUCAGGAAGGUGGAUUGCCCGACCCCCGCCAGUAACAGCGCCUCGUUUUCUAGGCUUCCAACCGCAGGUGCCCCGGCCGACCCUACCAACGCCACCCCACCCGGCAGCUAGUAGCCGUUGUUUUACCUGCGGCAACGAAGGGCACUUUGCAAAGGACUGCCCCAGGAACAAGAAUCAACAGCAAGGUCUGAACCCCAUGGCAGCCAGAGGAAGAAGGCCCAAGGUGCAAGUCUGACAAGGCCGACUCAACUACACCAGCUUGACCGAGCUCCCCGAAGGUGCGCCAGUAAUGACGGGUACUUUCCUUGUUUUAAAUCAAGCUGUUGUUGUGUUGUUUGAUUCGGGAGCCUCUCAUAGCUUUAUCGGGAGUAAGGCUAGGGAAAGAUGUGAGCUGGAUAUCGGUCACACUAAGGAACCUUAUGUGAUCGCCACUCGUGGAGGAAGGAUAACAUCGGAUCAGAUUGUUACUCUUGUACCCCUCCAGCUAGGCCCCACCCUCUUCAAGGAAAACCUUAUCAUCCUUGACCUAGAGGGCAUAGAUGUCAUCCUUGGUAUGGAUUGGAUGGCCCGACAUCAUGUGGUUCUAGAUACAGUAGCCCGAUCCCUCUACCUCAGCUCACCCUUCCAUGGCAGUUCUACCAUAUCCUUGACCCAUCCUGAGUCUGCACUUCCUUGUGCCUACCCCCUCUCGGGAGCCCGUCUAGAAGGCCUCUCUGUUAUCUGUGAGUACCCUGACGUGUUUCCGGAAGACUUGCCGGGUAUGCCACCUGAUAGAGAAGUGGAGUUUUCCAUAGAGUUGAUCCCUGGCACAGCCCCAAUAUCUAAGAGACCCUAUCGGAUGCCACCCGCUAAGUUAGCCGAGUUGAAGACCCAGUUGCAUGAUCUGUUGGAAAAAGGCUUCAUCCGACCCAGUACAUCAUCUUGGGGUUGCCCUGCCCUGUUUGUGAACAAGAAGGAUGGUAGUCUACGUAUGUGUGUGGAUUACCGAUCCCUCAAUACUGUGACCGUCAAGAACAAGUACCCACUGCCAUGCAUUGAUGUCUUGUUUGAUCAGUUAGCCAGAGCAAAAGUGUUCUCCAAGAUCGAUCUUCGUUCUGGUUAUCACCAAAUCAAGAUCCGACCCUGCGACAUACCCAAGACAGCUUUCUCUACCAGAUAUGGACUGUAUGAGUACCUAGUCAUGUCCUUUGGACUCACCAAUGCACCCGCCUAUUUCAUGUACCUCAUGAACUCGGUAUUCAUGCCCGAGCUGGACAAGUUUGUAGUGGUGUUCAUUGAUGAUAUCCUAGUGUACUCGAAGAACGAAGAGGAACAUGCCGACCAUCUUCAUGUAGUUCUCCGACGGCUAAGAGAUCACCAACUCUAUGCCAAGUUCUCCAAGUGUGAGUUCUGGUUAGAUAGUGUCAAGUUUUUGGGACACACUAUCUCCAAGGAUGGUAUCGCCGUUGACCCCAGUAAGGUGCAGGAAGUCAUGGAAUGGAAGCCUCCUGCCUUAGUGCACUAGAUCAGAAGUUUCCUUGGACUGGCCGGCUACUAUCGGCGCUUCAUACCGGAUUUCUCUAAGAUAGCUAAGCCGAUGACCGAGUUGUUGAAGAAAGAGGUCAAAUUUGUGCCGUUGACCCCAGUUCUGGCUCAGCCCAACCCCUCUAGGCCGUAUGACGUAUACUGUGACGCCUCUGGCACUGGACUUGGGUGUGUUCUUAUGCAAGACAAUCGAGUCAUUGCCUAUGCCUCACGGGCGUUACAACCUCAUGAGCUGAGCUACCCAACCCAUGACCUCGAGUUGGCAGCAGUGAUUCAUGCCUUAAAAAUAUGGAGACACUAUCUGAUGGGCACUCACUGCAACAUCUACACCGACCACAAGAGCCUCAAGUACAUCUUCACUCAAGCCGACCUCAACAUGCGCCAGAGAAGAUGGUUGGAGUUGAUAAAGGACUAUGAUUUGGAAGUUCACUAUCAUCCCGGCAAAGCCAAUGUGGUAGACGAUGCCCUUAGUCGCAAACACCGUUGCAACUGCUUGUUGUCAACAGCCUUCACCAAGACUCUGUGUCACGAGAUGGGAAAACUCGGUUUGGAGAUUAUUUCUCAGGGAACCCUUGGUCACAUCAUCCUUGACUCAGUUUUGGAAGACCAAAUCCGGUAAGCACAAGUAAGAGAUAAGGAAAUACAACGGAUCAUCAGGAAGAUCUCAGUAAAGGAUGAGGGAUAUAAGCAAUUCUGGCAGGACAAAACGAGAGGUGUACAUUAUGGAAACCGACUAGUUGUACCCGCCAACCCCAACCUUAGGAAGCAAAUCCUAGAUGAAGCUCAUCUCUCCAAGUUCUCAAUCCAUCCUGGCAGCACAAAGAUGUACCAUGAUCUCCGUCAAGCCUUUUGGUGGAGUGGAAUGAAGCCGGAAAUUGCCCGGUAUGUUUCAGAAUGUGACACCUGUCAACGCGUCAAGGCCAGUCAUUUAAAGGUAGCAGGUACCCUGCAACCGCUACCUAUUCCCUCUUGGAAAUGGGAAGACAUCAGCAUGGAUUUCAUAGUUGGAUUGCCCCUUACAUCGCAAUGAUAUGAUUCCAUCUGGGUUGUAGUGGACCGUUUGACCAAGACCGCACACUUCCUUCUUGUUCGCACCACCUACACAGUCAAGCAGUAUGCAGAAUUGUACCUCGACCGCAUAGUUUCCCUACACGGUGUACCCAAGACCAUCGUCUCUGAUCGAGGAGUUCAGUUUGUGGCACGUUUUUGGGAGCAACUACAAGCAUCCAUGGGCACCAAGCUCAUCCGAAGCUCAACAUAUCAUCCUCAAACCGAUGGCCAAACCGAGAGAAUCAAUCAGAUCCUCGAAGACAUGUUAAGAGCUUGUGUUAUCCACUAUGACAAGAAUUGGGACAAGUGUCUACCCUUAGCAGAAUUCUCCUACAAUAACAGCUACCAAGCCAGUUUGAAGAUGGCACCGUUCGAAGCCCUGUAUGGCCGGAGAUGCCGGACACCCUUGAACUGGUCCCAACCAGGAGAAAGACAGGUCUAUGGCCCUGACUUGGUGGCAGAAGCCGAAGAGCAAGUAAAGGUAAUUCAAGCUAAUCUCAAGGCUGCCCAAUCUCGACAGAAGAGUUACUCCGACCGGCGGAGAAGACCCCUGCAGUUCGACCUUGGUGAUCAUGUGUACCUUCGAGUCUCCCCGACCAAAGGAGUACAACGGUUUGGAGUAAAAGGCAAGUUAGCUCCCCGUUAUAUUGGCCCUUAUGAGAUUGUGGAGAUAUGUGGACCCGUUGCUUACCGGAUCCAACUCCCAGAACAGCUAUCAGCCAUACACGAUGUCUUCCAUGUGUCUCAACUGAAGAAAUGUGUCCGAGUUCCAGCAGAAAUCUUAGAGCAAGAACAGCUUCAGGUAGAGCCCGACCUGACCUACGCCGAGUACCCAGAUCGAGUUCUUAACCAGAAGGAAAGGCACACCCGACGCCAAGUGGUAAAGAUGUACAAGAUCCUCUGGAGAAACCACACCGAAGAUGAAGCAACAUGGGAAACGGACAAAUAUCUGAACAAGAGCUUUCCAGGUUUUCUAUCUCGUCAAGGAGGUAAAAACGGCACCCCGCUUUUGAUGCCUGAAUCUCAGGACAAGAUUCUUUUUAAGAGGGGUAGGCUGUGACGACCGACCCCUAAUCUCCCGAGUUAAUCUUAAUCGGAGCCCUUGAUCAUAGUCAUCUGUCUUGUUUUACCGCGCCUGAGUGCUCAGCCUUCCGCCCGGUUCCAACCCCGGAGACCCGACCCCUCCCCGCUUCGCUCCGAUCCCGACCCCGGCAAGCUCAGCCCACCGUCGGAUCCUUCUAAAUCUUCCUCAAACGUCCGUCCUAUCCGCCCGGUGGACCCGCGAGAUCUCUUCCCCAGAUCCUCCGCGACAGGUGCACUCGAGUUGCAUGCCCACUUCAGAGUCUCCCUGCCGCGUGGCUCGUCUUCUCCGACGCCGCCGCUCAGUUUUGUCUCUGUCUAGCGACCGAGUGGUUUCUCGCGCCUCCUUCCCCAAUGGCAGCGGAAGCCCCUCUGCAUCCUUUCUGCAGAGCCUCGCCUCCCGCACCCAUCAUCACGCCGCCAGAUCCCGGCCUCAGAGCCCGAUGUCGCCCAUCUUUUCCAUCACUUCGAGCACAGUCGCGCCGCCUGGUCUCCGCUACACGACGAUUCCUCCAUCGCCAACCCCGACCGUGGCAGCGACAGCUCCUUUCCCCGCCCUGUCAGAAGCCGCCCGACAAUCUGUUGCUCCGCGCUCGCCCGCGCGCCCGCGGCUGCCUGUCUUCUCACCUGUGCGCCCUCGAUUCUAGCACCGUUAAACCGGUCGCUUCUAUCAAAUCUUCCGCAUGGCGACGCCUGCCUCCGCCAAAUUUCAACCACCGGCAUACCCGCUCCUGCGCCGCCCUGACGCCAGAACCCAAUGACCGCUGGCGUCACCCCCAGAGUCCUGCACCACCGCCCUCUUCACUCAAUCACCGCCCCGGCAGAGCACUCCAUUGCUUCUCCCCGGCCUUCGCGCCGCUCCCCUUCUCUCUCUCCCGCACCGCUUCCUUCGUCCAUUCCAGCAGCUAUAAAAGGAAUGCACCAGCCGCCGAAGUUCCCUCCGCCAUUGUUGCCUUUAGCCAUUCUCUCGCUCCCUGCUCAAGCUCCUAGCGCCACACACCAAGUUCUUGAGGAACUCUGCUCUCAGAUUCUCCCUUAGUUUUCUCCAAGUCACCCAGCCGCUUGCUCCUCCGUGCUGCGUAAAAGCUCUCUUGUGAUCUGCAAGAAGCACCGCCGCCACCGUAGCAUUUCCGGUCUUAGCCGUUGUUCAAAGCUUUAGUCCCUCCGCCCAAGUCUGCUUUUUCCCGACCCUAAGCCUUCCUUUUAGGAAGAAGGUAAGCUGCCGACCUCAGACCGCUUCGCCCGACCCCUCCUAUCCGCCCGACCCCAGUUCCGUCUCGCCCGACCCUAUCUGUUCCGCCGACCCGUAUCCGCCUCGCCCGAAGGUCCGACUGUGAUCUUUUCUUCAACCCGAGGGUGUAUGUGUAAAAUUUAGGAACCCUUCAGCGCUUGCGUCUGAGGAUCCCUAGUAUACCACAUCCUCUAGUUCAAGGACCAGAUCAUAAGUUCCUUUCCGACCCUUGCCUCUUGAUCAUCACCAGCUCUCUUGAACCUCCCUUCCCUCCUGCUCCUUGUCGCGAGUUUCUGGGCUCAGGCGAGCCAGUGUUGCUGUUGAAAUAACCGCCUAUGCUAACUUUUGCAUUGCAUUCGUGUAGAGCUGCACCUCACCGACGGCUUCUACGAGCUACACCCGGCGCCAGAAGAUGAAGCUGUAGCUGAGCUCCUGCCCGCUGAAGCCGAAGUCGCCCCCGAAGUCGAGCAGUUUCCUUCCUCUUUGCUCGAAGGCAAGCCUCGGUUGCAUGAAAACCCUGUGUGUUUUACCAGACUUGCGCAUGCCUUCUGUAACAUGAUUGUGCAUUUACGUAUAGGAGUUGUUUGAAACCCUAGAUGCAUGACUUAGUUAUCCCCAUGAUCUGAGCACUAGCUGUUGGACCGAGUAGCCGCUUGCUUAACUAGGAGACGGUAAAAGCCGAGUGAUUCACUGUCACUCGUGAGUUGUAGGAGUUGGAUGUCUACCUUUCUGUUACAACUAUAAGGACGAUGGACGGGGCAGGGUUUUGGUAACUUUUUGGUGGACGAAUGGUCGCCCCGUCUGUCUAUGAAAAUCUUGCUAAGGCCCGACAGUGGUGGUGUUCGUGAUCAAGUGUUUGAAAGUACUAGCCUCAUACUUAGUAUGGGAUGAGGAAGCCUAGUACCGGAUUGAACCUAGACAUGAGCGGUUGCCCCAUUGUUCUUGGAAUGGAGUUCCCCUGCUGGUUGUCGCACGUGGUGGUAAGCGUGGUCACAGGACGGCAGAGGCCGGGUCUGUGGAACCUUGCACCAAAGGAAAUGGGCCCGACACGGGUUAGGGGAUUGAUGGGGAAGGCCGACACAGGAAGCGACCUCUGGGUGCGCGGAUGUCGUGAGGCUAGGUUCACCGUGCAUGGUUAAAGAACUCGAAUCGAUUCGUCUGCCUCUCACAGUUUGAGAUUGCUUGAUCGCUAUGUCACCCUGAGUAAAUGAGGAAUCUGAUGAUGACAUGGUGUUUGUUGUUAUAUCUGCACAUCUUGUUUGGCUCUAUGAUUGCUUAGAAUAGGUUGCAAAACCUAGACCGGCUAAUGAACUUAGAACUGGAUCUAAAACUUGAAAAUAGGGUUUUACUUAGUGCUUUUGGCAAACAAACCCCUCAGCCAAAAAGCCCUGCAUGUCUAGGAGGAGGAGUAGUUUACUCCUUUCGGUUAAGUCUUGUUGAGCUUAGUAGCUCAGCCUUGUUGUGGCUCCUAUUUUUCAGGUGAAGUUGCUGCUCCCGACCCCUCUUUUGCUAGCGCUUGGCCGCCCCAGCUUCCGCCGGGCUGGACGGUCGAGUGGGAUCCUUCCUUGGACGGCGAGGAGAGGAAUCAGUGAUGUCCCGGUUGGCCUCACCAGGGACGUUCGACCCCGACGAUGGCUUUCGCUAGCGGUUUUACCUUUUGUUGUUUUCCUUUGAACCUUGUAAAAACUCUGAUGUUGGUUUUUGUGGCCGAACUAAAGGGUUAAAUCGUUUAACUCAGUGGACUCGUUGUAUUCUCUGGAACCACUCACCUUCGUGUGAGUUUGCUAAACUCGAUCCUGUUCAAGUGGUUAGUCGGAUGAGAUCCGACGGCCUUCGUGUUAACUUGGCUUGAGCAUGGGUGUCGCAUGUUAGGCGGCUUAACCCUGUCUAAUCAAGCUAAUCCGAAGUGGAUCCGCCAUAGUUAGUUUGUGCAAAGGGAUUCGAGUGGUGUAGAGGUGAGUUAGUGUAUGAUUAUGCUAAGUGAGGAUUUUUAGACAAGUUCAGGCCAUUCGAAAGCGUAAUAUCCUACGUCCUGUGUGUUGUCUUGCUUAGAAUUGCUUGCCUUUGUUGGUACAGCAGCUGGCCUUUCAUAGGCUAGGCCCAUGGGAGGGCUGAUCGGGGCGAGCCUUGCGCCACAAUCCUUCCUCCCUCUUUUGUGCGAAUGCGGUGACCCAAUGGCCUCCCACCUAGCUACAGUCUCCUAACGCACUGUCCACUUGACCUGACACCCCUCGCCUUGGUGUGCACGGCUUCAAGGUACCUUGACCAGAUCCUUUGUACAUCAAUCUCAUCUUUUACAAUCUUACUCUGGUAAUCCUUCACUCUUCUCAGUCCAGACCCACCGUCCUAGGGCAUAGGGUGAUGAAUCUAGUUGACAGGAUCCUUCCCGGGAGACCUUUGCCACUUCCCGAGUCCAUAGUGUGGGCCUACCUCUCUCAUAGAGGACGGUGGCAAGCCAGGUGGGCGCUCUUGACAUGAGGGUGGCGCCCGCCGCCUGUUGGAUAGGUCGGGUGAGGCCGUCAGUCCCCGGGGCGCCAAGCCAUGUCCCAUCAAGUGUAAUGAUGGUGUUUUUACAGGAUGGGGCACCUGCUGAUAGCCUACCUCGACUAUCAUGCCCUUCUUAUUCCAGGAUAUGCCAUCGCUCGCUUUGCCUUGAACCGAGCCUUUCCGGGAGGCUUCCCAGGAAGUCUCCUUGGCUAUGUCCCGUUCGCACCGUGUGGGCCCUUAGUAGGUCCUAUUAUGUGGAGGCGAUAUUUUCCUUGUCCUUCCUAGGCUUCGGAUUUGUAGGUCCAUCUCCUUAAUUAUUUGGGCUUCAUGAGGGGGAGCCCCUUUCAACAAGCGGGCCCCAUUUGUAAGUGCCUUCUUGAGGGACCCUCGUUCCCUUGGUGCUGACAACUAGUUAUUGGCUCUUAGCCCCCGAUCUUGGAAGCUAGCUGAGCCAUUGGAGGUACGUUGCACGGCCUGGAGAAUCGUUGCCGAAGCUUGACCUACAAAAGAAUAUGCAUACAUUAUGUAGCACUUAUUGUAGAAUUUUGGAACUACUGAAAUUUAUUCAGUGAUGAAAGUAAAUGUUUUGUGCCGUGAUCUUGUUUCAGUCAUAUUUCUGCCAAGCAGUUACCCUGUUGUGUUUAGGCUCCCAGUCCCUGUUUUAGCCAUUGCCACUGCGUGUAAGAUCUUUGUCUUGUGUACGCGUACUGGCACUGCCGCUGCACAUCUAAGAUCUUUGUCUCGUGUACGCGUGCUAGUGUUUAGGCAUGACAAAAGAUCCAAGGCUGUUGCAGAUUAUGGCGUGCUCUGCUCGAGUAGAUUAACAACCGCUUAGAGGAGAUAGCAAAAAUAAGUAGUUGACAUUGCAAUAAAAAGUUUGCGUGAUUGCGCGUAAAGUAGUCGUUGAGACUUUUUUGCCUUUUGGUGAGUAGAGCGCAUGUUGCCAUGCACAGGAUCUGUGCCUCCAUUGGGUGUAGCCGCUGGGAGCCUCCAGGACUCAGUGCACCAGACUAGUGGCUAUAGACUCCAUAUUUCGGUGUACUAAGCCCAUGGCUAUCAGUCAACAUACCCUAGGAGUAGUCAGCGAAGUGUAGCUCUAUUGGGUAAUUGCCGAAAAGAGUCAUACACAAAUAAGUACUCUGGGCAUUACCCAUCAUGUGAAAAACAAGCUAGAAAAAUUAUAUGAAAUACUUAGAAAAGUGACUUAGCUUGAUUCGUGUAUGAUUGUCGACGAAGCCAUAUCGGUCGUUGAUGAAGCUGACUAGUCGGAGUCGAUUCUGACUAGUUGUUGAUGAUGUGAAGUCUGUCCCGACUAGUUUCUAUUCGAGAUGAGUAGUCGAGGUUGUCGUUGGUGAGUUGACAAAGCCAUGCGCGAUGAAGUCGUAGUGCCCCUGUACGUCUUCAGUGUACAUUAAGCGAAGAUCUUGUCGCUUCCUGGUAUACUUCUAGGUGCACAUAGUUGAAUUCCACCAAAUUUGCUUUCCCGGAGAAGAAUGAGCCACAUGAGACAGCUAUCUCUGCCUCGAUCCACGCAUGGCUGUAACAGAUGCUAUUCAUCUUAAAAUUAUGGUGUGGGUCACUAGGUCUCUACUAAUCCAAUAGUAGUGCGUCGGUACUUGUUGUAAUCGCGCACAUUGAUGGGAAACUUGUAUCUUCAACUCGAAUCAGACUGCCUCUACCUUUUUCUUCUCCUCAUGCACCUAGUACAGCAGCUGUGGAUGGGAUCGUUGGCGUUCAUGGCUUUGGGCUUGAUUAUUUUGACUGACUUGUCCUCUGCCUCGAACCGUGAACAACAACAGCCAAUUUUGUUUCCCCGCAGCAGGAACAGCAGUCCCGAUCCACAUGAAGCGUUGAGGAUGGCUUCGACUAGGAAUUGAUUUCCGUGGGUCCACAAGAGAUUAACAGGCGACAAUUUCAACUCAGUGACUUGCACCAAUGUUGAGAUGUCAAUUGAUAGGUCACGGAACUCGGCGACUUGCUUCUCGUUGAGUAGAUCUAUUUUGAAGAUGAGGUCCUUCAAGCUCACCCAAUGAUCUUGACGAUCACCCCUACCUAGCAUGUCAGAUGUUGAUGUUUUAAACCCAGCAACCUACCGAGGGAUAUCCUGAGGUAGUAGAUUUUUUGGUGGGGUAUUGCCGGACCUAGAGCUUGAUGGUAAAAGUAAGGGACACAAGACACAGAUUUAUACAAGUUCAGGUCACCAGAGUAGCAUAAUAUCCUACGUCCUGUUUGGGGUGUUGUAUAUUGCGUCCUGCGCUUGGGUGAUGUUUGGUGUUAUUGGUUCAGGUUGGUUCUGCCGAUCUAGGUAGCCCUACCCUCCUUUAUAUACUCCAUGGGAUGGGAUUACAAGUUAGUUACAAGGUAUGAGUCCUAGUAGGAUUAUAGGGGAAUCCUAGUAGGACUCUGUCUUCUUCCUUCCUUGUGGGUACUGAGGAUCUAUCCUUAACACCACAUUUAUUCAGUUGCUCUCUUAUUUAAGUUUGCUGAUUACCUGAUAACUUGUCUUGAUUUUUAUUAAACUUACUUCUUUAUACUAUAUACAUUCGUGAAUCUCUUGCAAAGUUCUACCCUACCAAAGCCUAUAUACUUACUUGUCCUUUCAUGAUGAAACCCUUAAUUUGCAAACUUAUAUUCUGAUGAGUUGGAUUAGGAUUGAUUUUUGUGGUUUGAGACUUAGAAGCUGGCCAUUUCUUUGUGUUACAUUUGUUUUGCUAGCCUUUACUAUCCAUGCAUUGUGAUUUUCUUUACUAGAAAAUUUGCAAACCUCGCUAGAUAUCCACCUAAACCUUCCUUCUCCACAACCUAUUAAGAUGAGUAUGAUUAAAUUUUUCGAAUGUCAUUUCUAUGCCCACCUGCAACAAAUUUUUACUCACUUUUCAUGCUCGGGGACGAGCAUCGUUCAAGCAUGGAGGAGAGUCAGUGCACUACCUAACCACAACAAGGAAUCUUCUGUUCUAUGACAAACCCAAAAGUGUCAUAAACGCAUUUUUUGCAUCACAAACCGUGAUUUGUGAUGCUUGAGUGACAAAAACUCUUCGUCAUUAAUCGAGUGUCAUAAACCACGAUUAGUGAUGUUCCUUAUUUUGGUGCGUCACUAAGAUAAUGAUGAAUGAAAAUUGAUCCCACAAGUCGUUAUAAACUGCCUCCUUCAUAGCAUGCUACGUUGGACCAUAGUCCAAUGUGGCAUGACAUUUGUGAUGAACUGUUUCGUCAUAGAUUGAAUUAGGCCUAUUUCUUGUUGGAUCGAGCCUAAUAAAUGUUGUCGUCAUAGAUUGAUUUAGGCCUAAUUCAUUUGGGUCGAGGCCAAUAACUACUAUCGUCAUAGAUUGAUUUAGGCCCAAUUCUUCUUGGACCAAGCCCAAUAAUCGCUAUCAUCGUAACUUAGUUUGGACCUAAUUCUUGUUGGAUCAACCGCAACAUAUGCUAACAUCAGAACUUUGUUUAUGCCCAAUUCUUAAUGGAUUUAGCCGAACAUUUGCUGGCAUCAUAACUUUGUUUAGGCUCAUGAAAUAAUGGGUCGAGGGGGCGAGCCCACAAAAUUUUGGGCCCAAUUAUUUUAGUGUGUAGCCUAGGUAUAAUUGACAGUACAAAUAAUUUGUACAUACCACAGAUACAAAUAAAUGUUUCUUAUCACACUUCACACAUUAUUAUUCAUGUCCAAAGAACAAGCAUAACCAUGUUGUCCAUAAGAGAUCACAAACCACUACAUAGGAUAUCUCCCUGACCAAGAAAAAAGCUAGCCUAGAUCACAAAUUAGUACAAGCAGCUGGGAGGACAUGAGCAGAUGCCUAAGAAAUACAUUGACCUUACCCUAUGAAGUUUAGUAGUUGAUGAAGGAGGUACUCAGUUUGUCUCACUACUUUCUUCAAACUCUCAACCUCCUCAGACUGCAUUUUCAUUACUGCAUGUGAAUUUUGUGCCUUCAUCUUCAACUCACUCAACAUUUGCUCUUAUUCAACAACUUGUUGUCUUAGUUCUGCAGCUUCUUGCAGCUCUCCAAAAGAAACUUUAGAUCUUGAGCUUGUAGGUGACGCUAGCUGCACGGCCACAUAAUCAAGGAAGGUACUUGACUGCAAAUCUUGCGGACCAAAAUUUGGUACUUCAACCCUAAGGAUUUUUUUCAAUAUUUCAGCCUACAAAUGAAAGGAGCACAAGUCAAACUUCAAUUUUAAACAAAGCAACUGAAUAAAGUAAAGAAUACAAGAGUAGGAUAAUCACUUGUUUAGUUACACACCGCGACAUGUGACUGAAUUUCAGAAAUGUAGGAACGUGGAACUAGGUCGUGCAUAAUAAGUAUUUGGUCAGUUGUCUUAUAUAUAAGGAAUAGAAUGUACCAUGACUAUAGUAAUGCAUAUGCCAGCCUUGCAGAGAGAUCUAGAGCGGCCAAGGUAAGAUAAGGAGCUCAAAUCUAACACAAUACACCGUGAAAUUUACUAUUCGCUAAAAAAAUACUCCAGCGGCAUCGGACCAUGGCCACCUCUAUCCGUAACUUGGCUCCGCUCUAGAUGGAAAUAAACUUGAGCAAAGUGCUCUUCGGUGAAGCACAUGUAGAUUCAGCAAAAUUGGAGGGGGGCUACAGAGAAAAGAAAUGAGAUUCUCACUGGUGGAGCUCGAAGAUGCAGUGGUGCAUGGUUGGAUGGGGUAGCCGGUGCUUGCGCGGCAUCCUCUCUCAACUGCUCAGCUGCGCUAGCAUGGGCGCCAGCAGCGGACCUAGGAUUUUACCACAGGAUAUGCUGAAAAAAAUCUUAUGCAAUUUGAUAAAACCAUUUACAAUUUGGUAAAACCAUAUUCUAAUUCGGUAAACCACAUGCACUAAAUAACAUGAUAAGUCUUAAAUUUAAAGAUUCAGCUAGAAAUAAUAACAAAUCACAAUAUAAAUAGUUCAAAUAAAAUACAAAUAGUUUGAAAUAUGUUUUAAAAGAAACUUACAAUAUUACUUGUCUACUUUGUUUACCCGCCGCUUUUUGAAUGACAUGAAUGUGUUGGUUAUAUCAUCUUCAUUCACUUGGAAGAAAAUAUCCCGCUCAAUGAAUGUGACUAGACAAUCAUCCAAAACACUAUCACUUUAACCAAUGCAGAAAAUACCCUUCCAACACUCACUAUUGCCACUAGUAAAAGCAAUACCAAUUUGAGAAGCAAGUAAACCAUAUCAUAAACUUUGUGCCUCCAUGUUUGAACAAGCUUAACAGAGAGAUCAACGAUGUUGUCUAGACCCUUGAGGCUAUCAUCUCAUUGCAUGUCAUCAAUAUAAUUAUCAAGUUGCAAUUCAAGUUUGAGCAAAUCAUUGUUGGAGAAGUCCUUAUGAUAAAAUUCAGCCCCUGAAUAGGUGAUCUCGCUGGUGCCUCAACAUGAUCCCGCUGGGGUAGUGAUUCAUCGCUGCAGGGUUAGUGAUUCACAUUGCCAUUGCCGAAGAUCAUUGCAUCAUCAUAGAACUUUCCAUCAUCCAAGAAGUAGAUGCCUCCCUGGAGGUACUCAUCCGCCUUGUAGGAUCUGGAGCAGCCAUGCCCGACGAAUAGCAUUUGGUCACCCAGCGUGUCUAGCUCGCUCCAUUUGAAGGGGUACAGAUUGAUAGGGAAGUUGGCAUCGACGUCAGCAAUGUUCCGUUUGAUCCCCCGAAACACCUUGAACUUGGACGUUGGCUGGUUAGAAUGAGGCGUGAACUUCAUGAUGGAUGUCAGUUGUCACUUGAGCACGCAUGGCUGCAAUGCUGAUGGUGCCGACGGGAUCACGUUGAGGUGUGUGCUGGGCCCCAGGGUAUGCCGUGGCUCACCCAGCAUACCUUGUGGGUCCACCCCUGAUGGGCGCAACCGCUGCAAGGAUGCUAAGAUGUUCCUCCGAGACUGCCACUAACCAUCUCGCACAUUGAUGCUUGCCGCCACUACUAAGGUACCCCGCGACCGCUGAGGUCAGCUGCUACCGCAGAUUUAGUUGGACAUUAAAGCCAGCAGAGAAGAGAGUGCUGAUUUUGGAAAUACAAGGCGGGAGUUUGGAGUGGCAGAGUGGUAGCUAUGUUUUUAUUAUUUGGGGAGAGGCAAGGGAACACAAAUUUAAAGAUCUCGCUUUCAAGUUCCUAGGCGCAAAAUGAAAAUUUGGGAAGCUGCACUUGCUGCAAGGUCACUGACAAGAUUCUGCACUCUUAUAGCACCCAUUUGUCAGCGAAGCAGGGUGCGUUUCAUCUUGCAUACAACCUAGGCGGGAGACUAAUAUCUAGAAGAGGCCCACGCUUCAGUGAACCUAGGUGCGUAUUCAGUUGUUCACCACAAAAGGAAACAACUGCUUUCGCCAACUAUAAUGCCUACACGUUUGUUUUUUGAACUUAUUUGGAUGUAAGGAUUUUCCUUCUUUUUAUCCUGACCAAAGUGCACUCGUGUACCAGCCAAAUAUUUCGCAUGCUUACCCAUGAACGAAAGCAUGCAUAUUAUGUCCUAUACUUGGGGCAGGAUUCUUGAUUAGUAUAGGCCUGCAUACCUGCAUAUUCCGAGUAUCCCACAUACUUUCAUGGCUACUGUAAUCCCAUGAGGUGUGAACUGCGAGAAGGUGCAUUGCGUUGUUGAUCGGUCAUGGUGCUUCAAUAUAUAGGCGUGCCCCCAAGGCCUUUGCUCACCGGCUCUUCAUCUUUCACAUUGUUACUGGUUGUGGUAGGCGACCUACUUGGUUCUGCACCCUGUGAGAGGUGAGCUCAUAGCUUCCACAUAUUGUUUAUAGGUUAUCAUCAUUGCUUGUGGUCAAUGCUUGUCAUUUAUAUAGUUUUGUUGGUAAGUGUAUGUAGGAGGAUGGCGGGUCAGGCAAACAGAACAUGCAACUUCAAUGUUGUGCCACCUCCGCAGCAGGCUUCAUUGAUCCGUAUGAUCUGUAUGACAUGGAAGAAGCGGACAAGGAUGAAAUAGAGGAGUUGAAGCAAACAAGCAAGAUUUGUAUGAUCUUAUGCAUUAUAUUAGCAUCAAUCUGAUGUAUGAUCCAUUGUCAUAAAAGCGAAUAGGCCAGACUAAAAUUUUCGAUCCUUUGUUGUGAAAAUGGUUUGAAUUUUGUCAAGGUGAACAAGGAUUUCCUUGCUUUUGAUAGAGAGGAAAAUAGGUCACAUUAUUUGUUAAUGUUUGUCACAAAUUGAUUUUCAGCCUCUCCAAAAACUGAUGCACUAUUCCAACCACAAUCACAUUAAAUGUAACAUAAAAUUUGAUCGAUCUUGGCCUCUCAAGGUAUGUGAGUAGGAGAAGCACCCCUUGUGAAAUAAAUGAGGGAAGCCCAGAAAUUUGUUUAAGUGCAAGUAACCAUGUCUACACGGGAACCAAGGAAGAGAGAAAGCGUGAGGGAGAGGAAAUAGAGCAAACAGAGCAGUAAAAUAGGGGAUUGAUAUUCCAUGCAAAAGGAAUUCAUUAUAUUCUUGAUGAAGCUAGAUGGAAAUUAUGUUGUUGGAAAAGUCAAUAGGCCGGACAAAAAUUUUUUAUCCUUUGUUGUGAAAAUGGUUUGAAUGUACGAAAUGAGUGUGGAGUUAGUCAAAAACAUUUGGGUGGUGCAGUGGUGGAUAGCAACUGUCUCACAGCCCUUGGCCCGUGUACCAAACCCUGCCAUUGCAAAAUUUUUGCUCGCUUAUUAUCUGCGGGCUCCACCAUUACACAUGGCAAUGAAAUGUUUUUGCUUUCCCCAACUAGCAAGGAUUGCCUUGCCAAGUCUUGGCAAGCUCGGCACUCUUGCAAACAAAAUGAAAUCACGCAAUGAGAUUGGCAAAGUGACAAUACAUCAUCGGCACAAUGUUCAAAAACAUAAGGCAACAUAACCAAAGUGACACUUGCGAUUCUUGGCGCGGUACAAACAUAUGAUCUAUUGUCAAAGAAGUAAAUAGGACAGAGUAAAUACACAAUACAAGAUAGUCAUGAACAUUCAACGGUGAGGGAUAAGGAUACCCAUGGGUCCCCACCGAAUAGGAUACUAGUUGGCCCUGAUAGGUGUGUUGGAGGUAUGCCCUAGAGGCAAUCAUAGAGAUGAUGAUAUUCCAUUUGUAUCCACGAUUUGUAUAUUGUGUUCAUUGAAUAUCCAUUAAAGGCUACUUGAAUUGAUUUGCAAUUAUGUGAAUUGUAUGUGAAACUCUUUACUUGUAUGGUUAUUCUAAAGUUGUCUCUAGUCGGAGUUCAUGUGAGGACACACAUGAAUAUUAGACUAGCACAUGUAUUAGUUGAUGACUAUGUUUCACAAGUCAUGGAUAUGGAGAUGUUAAACUAAUAAUGUGGGCACAUGUGGAGAAGUAGUUCUCUCUUUACACAACAUGUACACUUUGUCCUUAGACCUGAGAUUGUCGUAUGUACUCAAGAUGUGGAUUGACUUACUUAGGGGGUUAUCAAACGCUACACCGUGACAGGGUAGUUAAAAAGGUAGCUUUCAGGUUUGUCAAGAAGCAUGCUGUGAGACAUGGUCAAUCAAGAUAGGAUUUGCCCCUCUCUGAUUGAAAGUGAUUUCUCUGGGCCCCUCGAGUGAUCGGAUUCGAAACUGCAUGGCCAUGCUACGUACGGUUAAGAGUUAACCUACAAAGGAAUUUUGAAUCACAGGAUCGAGAAAGAGCGGUCGGCUUGAAGCUAGACCAAAUAUCGUGAGGCAAAGGGAAUAGCAUGUACAUAAUGUUGUGAUGGUUCGUCUGAUAUGAUCUUCGUGUGCGUAUAGGAGUUGGCACGUCUUGCUAGAGUCCACUACUGACUAUUGGGCCGACUAGGAGUACUCGGGCCAUGUCUAUACAUAUCCGAACCCAUAGGGUCACACACUUAAGGGGCUGGAAGCCCAAUUCGGAUGUGAUCCGAGUUGGAUUAGGUUUAGAAGUACUAAUGGGCCUCGGACCCAGAGGCCCGUUAGGAACCUCUAUAAAUAGAAGGGUGGGGCGCCCUAGGGUUUACACCUUUUGGCGAAACACAUCUGCUGCGCCUCCCACGCCCUCGCCUGUUGCAACUCGCGAACCUAGCAGUCCGGCUUGUGACGCUUCCUCGUUGCAUGUGUGGAUACCUUGGAGGUGUUGCGCAUGCAGCACUUGGACGAGCCGCCGACAAUCCACGAUGAGCCACCGACGAGCCGACGACGAGCUGCGACACGAGGGCGAUCUUGCUGCACAUGGACGAGCUACUGAGGAGCUGCUAGACGUCGACAUGAUCGACUACGUGUUCGACUAUACUAAUCGACUUUGCUGCAUCGACAGGAAUCUAAAUCUUCCGCAUCAGUGCAUCGAGUGGUAAUCCUGUGAUCCUUAUACGACAGUUUUCCUGGUUUACGCGGUAGAAAAUUUUGAUUUACGCUAGUGUAGCCUACCUCGUAUCCUGACAGUGGUAUUAGAGCCGUAGCUGUUUAGUUUUGGAUUCGGGAUGUGUGCAUAUGGAGAUAUGCGAGUUUUCAGUUUGAUCUAUGUCUUGGUUUCGUGUUCGUGUUGCAAUGGUUGUGUAACGACAUACUCCUACCGGUCGGGUUUCCACCAUCGAAGUUAAGUGAUACACGUAAUGCCAAUUGCAGCGAGCGAAGAUCAAUAUGAGAUGUGCAAUAGUAGAUUGGAUCUACUACCGGGUCGGGAUUUUGUCGUGUGCGUGUGCUUCGGUAAAUCAGCAAUAACUUUUUGGUACGAUCUCGGAUCGGGGCGAAUUUUAUAUGAAAAAUGAUCUACUGAAAAAGUUACACAUGAAAUUCAACUGCUUUGCCAUUUUUGGCGAAAUUAGAUUUCCCAAAUUUGGCUUGGAAGAUGGAGUUUCAGGCCUCUAAAGUUUGGAACGUUAGAACGCCUAACUCUGUUUUUGCAGGAUGUAUGUAUCUUGUGAUCAGUAUGGCCCCUUUGUGUAUGUGAUGCAUGUGUGUAACUCAUUCAUGACCUACGUGUCGCGCAUACGGCAACACGACUGGAGCCAUAUGUGUUGUCACAUUAAUGUAGUUAAUGGUGUGCGUACCAAUCUAUGAUGAUCCAAGCAACUAUGUAAUCUUCAUUACUAGCUAUUAGGAGCAAUAGCACGUUCUAGUUCUUGGAAGGCUCAUCACCAGGAGGAUGGCGCACAUGGAACAUGGAGAUGGAGAUCACCAUGGUGAACAGGUUCUGUGGAGAUAGAGAUCGCCAUAAGAAAACAGGCCAUACUAUAUCACAACUGUGUGCAUGCUAUUCUAUUUAUGUUUUACUUCCUGCAUGAUGUGAUGUUAGAAGUAGAACAAUCCCUCACAAAAAAGUUUAAGUUAGUAUGCCCUCCCAACUAAAACUUGCACCAUCCCAUGUCUUGUACAAUUAGUAGUGGGUCUAUGAAAUUAGGGUGCCACUAGUUUUCCUUGACUAGACGAGUUUGUGUCGGACACUUACACGCAUAAGGGUUGGUUUGCUUAACAAGGUUAUCUUAACGGUUAAGGACCUUGGGGCACAAAGGUUGGGUACCGAGACAUGGAGAUGUCACCCAACAACAGGAGUCAUAUGUGAUAUGAUUAGCAAGAAGUUGCUUACCAAUCUACCUUGUUUGCUAGCGGUGAUGCUAAAGCUCACUAGUAGACUAGUUAGUUGUGGAUCCUGAAUCACUAAGUAUCAAUAGAGAGAUAUUGAUUUUAGUGGGAGUAGAUUCUGUUAAAUAGUUUAAUGUAAUUUGCUCUAUCAUGGAUACAUUUGUCUUAGUGUAUAUGGCACCUAGCAACACCACACCGUUUGCUUUGCGUUCGGUCCUUGAGAAGGACAAGUUGAAUGGAACAAACUACUCGGAUUGAAUCCGUAACCUGAGAAUUGUUCUCAGGACCGAUAAAAAGGAAGAUGUUCUAGACACCCCACUACCAUAAGUACCUGCUGAUGAUGCAUCUGCUGCCGUUAAGGCUGCUUACAAGAAGGCAUUUGAUGCUAAUCUUGAGGUAAGCUGCCUUAUGCUUGCUUGCAUGGAACCCGAGCUGCAGAUGCAGUUCGAAACAAACCAUGAGGCGCACAAUAUGAUCGUGGCGCUAAAGGACAUGCUCCAGACACAGGCUAGGACUGAAAGGUUCAAUGUGUCCAAAGCCUUUCUGGUGUGCAAGCUAGCAGAAGGCGCAGCAGUAGGACCAUAUGUAAUCAAGAUGGUUGGUUACAUCAGUGAUUGGAGAAGCUGGGCUUCCCAAUGGGCAAGGAGUUGGCCACUGACUUCAUUCUUUCAUCUCUUCCGCCUAGCUAUGGGAACUUCAUCUCGAACUACCAUAUGCAUGGGACAGAGAAGGGUCUGAAUGACCUGUGUGGUAUGCUCAAGACAACAGAAGUUGACAUUAAGAAAAGCGCUAGUAGCAGCCAUAUGCUCAAGACAGCAGAAGUUAACAUUAAGAAAAGCGCUAGUAGCAGCCAUGUGAUGACUGUAUAGAACAAGCCUACCUUCAAGAAGAAGGGCAAUUCUUGGAAGAAGAAGGGCAAGGCUGGAGUGUCCAAGCCAAGCCCAACGCCCAAGGCUAAAGCUGGACCUGCUCCAGAUAAAGAGUGUUUUUAUUGUCACAAACCUGGUCACUGGAAGAGAAACUGCAAGCAGUACCUAGCUUCGUUAAAGAAUGGCGGAAGUAAGAGUACUUCCACCUCAGGUAUGCUUGUUGUUAAUGUUAUAGACAACAUAUUUCUCGCUGAUACAAUUAUUAAUUUUUGGGUAUUUGAUACCAGAUUGGUGGCUCAUAUUUGCAAUUCGAUGCAGGGAAUGAUAAGAAGUAGAAGCGUGGAAAGAGGAGAAGUUGAUUCCGCAUGGGCAAUAAUGCAAGAGUUGCUGCGUUGACCAUCGGGACGAUGCAACUCCACCUCCCGUCAGGAUUUAUUAUGGAGUUGAACAAUUGUUAUUUCAUUCCUAGUUUAAGUCAAAACAUUUUGUCUCCUUCAUGCUUGAUGAAGGAUGGUUAUUCAUUUUUGAGUGAAAACAAUGGUUGUGUGAUCUCUAAGAAUGAUAUGUUUAUGGCUUUUGCACCCAUUGUGAAUGCAUUGUUUAUUUUAAAUCUUGAUGGUUCACCUGUCUGUAACGUAAGUGCUAAAAGGCCUCGGCCUAAUGAUUUGAGUCCUACCUACUUGUUGCAUUGUUGUUUGGGUCAUAUAAGUGAAAAGCGCAUGAAGAAGGUCCAUUCUGAUGGACUUCUAACUUCGUUUGAUUUUGAAUCAUAUGAGACAUGUGAGGCUUGCUUGCUAGGCAAGAUGACCAAGACGCCUUUCACUGGUUUUCCUGAGAGAGCAGUAGACUUGUUGGAACUCGUACAUAGCGAUGUAUGCGGACCAAUGAGCACGACGGCUAGAGGAGGAUUCCAAUACUUCAUAACUUUCACUGAUGAUUUUAGUAGAUAUGGCUAUGUCUACUUGAUGAGGCACAAGUCUGAAACCUUUGAAAAGUUCAAGGAAUUUCAGAAUGAAGUUGAAAAUCAGCAUGGCAAGAAAAUUAAGGCCUUACGAUCUGAUCAUGGAGGCGAGUAUUUGAUCACGAGUUUAGCAAUCAUCUAAAGAGUUGCGGAAUUGUUCCACAACUUACGCCGCCUGAAACACCUCAGAGAAAUGGUGUAUCCGAGCGACGUAAUCGAACUUUGUUAGACAUGGUUCGAUCCAUGAUGAGGCAGUCGGACCUACCAUUGUCAUUUUGGGGAUACGCUCUAGACACAGCAGCUUUCACACUUAACAGGGUACCAUCUAAAUCCAUAGUUCAGACACCAUAUGAGAUGUGGACUGGAAAAGUUCCUAGUUUGUCUUUUCUAAAGAUUUAGGGAUGUGAAGUUUUUGUCAAGCGACUUCAGUCGGACAAGAUCACACCCAAGUCGGAUAAGUGCAUUUUCGUGGGAUAUCCAAAAAAAACUUUGGGAUAUUAUUUCUACAACCGGUCAGAGGGCAAAGUGUUUAUCGCUCAGAACGGGGUUUUCCUAGAGAAAGAGUUUCUCAAAGGAGAAAAGAGUGGAAAGACAGUGCAUCUUGAAGAAGUUCAAGAUGAGCCGAUCCGGCAAGAAUCAAUGAGUGAUGCUAACGUAGCAGAACAAGUUGAGAUACCCAUGGCAAGAGAAGCACCGCCACAACCACGAAGGUCAGCAAGGCUCCGCGAAAUGCGGGAAAUAUUAUUGUUGGACAAUGAUAAGCCUACGACAUAUGCAGAAGCAAUGAUGGACCCAAACUCCGAAAAAUGGCACAGUGCCAUGCAAUCUGAAAUACAGUCCAUGGAAGACAAUCAAGUUUGUAACUUUGUUGACCCACCUGAUGGUGUUAAAGCCAUAGAGUGCAAGUGGAUUUAUAACAAGAAAAAGGACAUGGAUGGAAAUGUUCACAUCUAUAAAGCACAACUUGUCACAAAAGGUUUUCGACAAGUUCAAGGAGUUGACUACGACGAGACCUUCUCGCCCAUAGUGAUGCUUAAGUCCAUUCGGAUUAUUCUAGCUAUAGCUGCAUAUUUUGAUUAUGAGAUAUGGCAGAUGGACGUCAAGACAGCUUUCCUGAAUAGAAACCUAGCUGAGGACGUUUAUAUGAUACAGCCCAAGGGUUUUGUCAAUCCAAAAAAUGCUGGAAAGGUAUGCAAGCUUCAGAGAUCCAUUUAUGGAUUGAAGCAAGCAUCUAGGAGUUGGAAUAUUCAUUUUGAUGAAGUGGUCAAAGGGUUUGACUUCAUCAAGAAUGAAGAAGAGUCUUGUGUUUACAAGAACGUUAGUGAGAGCUCUGAAGUAUUUCUAAUCUUAUAUGUGGAUGACAUAUUGCUGAUUGGAAAUAACAUUCCUAUGCUUGAGUCCGUAAAGACUUCAGUGAAAAAUAAUUUUUCAAUGAAGGACUUAGGGAAAGCGGCAUAUAUUCUGGGCAUUAAGAUCUAUAGAGAUAGAUCAAGAAGGCUUAUAGGAUUAAGCCAAGAUACUUACAUUGACAAAGUGUUGAAGUGGUUCAGCAUGGAAGAAGCAAAGAAAGGGUUUUUGCCUAUGUCACAUGGCAUACAUCUCAGCAAGACUCAGUGUCCUUCGACUGCUAAUGAGCGGGAUCGCAUGAGUAGAGUGCCAUAUGCCUCGGUUAUUGGAUCUAUUAUGUAUGCAAUGAUAAGUACUCACCCAGAUGUUUCAUAUGCGCUAAGUAUGACAAGCAGACACUAGUCUGAUCUGGGUGAGAGUCACUGGACAGUGGUGAAAAACAUUCUUAAGUACUUGAGAAGGACUGAAGAUAUGUUCCUCAUCUAUGGAGGUGAGGAGGAGCUCGUUGUAACAGGUUACACCGAUGCUAGUUUCCGAACCGACAGAGAUGAAUCAAAGUCACAAUUAGGAUUUGUGUUCAUGCUAAACGGUGGUGCUGUUAGUUGGAAGAGUUCCAAGUAGGAGGCGGUGGCCGAUUCUAUGACAGAAGCCGAGUACAUCGCGGCUUCAGAAGCCACGAAGGAGGGUGCUUGGAUAAGGAAUUUCCUUAUUGAGCUUGGUGUGUUCCCGAAUGCGUCCAGCCCAUUGAAUCUCUACUGUGAUAACAAUGGGGCAAUUGCGCAAGCAAAGGAGCCAAGGAAUCACUAGAAGAACAAUGUGGCGAUUUCAUCUCAUUCAAGACUUCAUUAACCGGGGUGAGAUUAAGAUAUGCAAAAUACACACGGAUCUGAACAUUUCUGAUCCGUUGACAAAACUACUCCCGUAGGCUAAGCAUGAUGUGCAUGUAAGAGCUAUUGGUAUUAGAUACCUUCUAGAUUGACUCUAGUGCAAGUAAAGACUGUUGGAGGUAUGCCCUAGAGGCAAUCAUAGAGAUGAUGAUAUUCCAUUUGUAUCCAUGAUUUGUAUAUUGUGUUCAUUGAAUAUCCAUUAAAGGGUACUUGAAUUGAUUUGCAAUUAUGUGAAUUGUAUGUGAAACUCUUUACUUGUAUGGUUAUUCUAAAGUUGUCCCUAGUCAGAGUUCAUGUGAGGACACACAUGAAUAUUAGAUUAGAACAUGUAUUAGUUGAUGACUAUGUUUCACAAGUCAUGGACAUGGAGAUGUUAAACUAAUAAUGUGGGCACAUGUGGAGACAUGUGCUAGGACUGACCCAACACGAGAAGUGGUUCUCUCUUUACACAACAUGUACGCUUUGUCACUAGACUUGAGAUUGUCGCUUGUACUCAAGAUGUGGAUCGACUUACUUAGGGGGUUAUCAAACGCUACACUGCGACAGGGUAGUUAAAAAGGUAGCUUUUGGGUUUGUCAAGAAGCAUGCUGUGAGACAUGGUCAAUCAAGAUGGGAUUUGCCCCUCUCCGAUUGAGAGUGAUAUCUCUGGGCCCCUCGAGUGAUCGGAUUCAAAAAUGCAUGGCCAUGCUACGUACGGUUAAGAGUUAACCUACAAAGGGAUUCCGAAUCAUAGGAUCGAGAAAGAGCGGUCGGCUUGAAACUAGACCAAAUAUCAUGAGGCAAAGGGUACAUGUACAUAAUGUCGUGACAGUUCGUCUAAUAUGAUCUUCGUGUGCAUAUAGGAGUUGGCACGUCUUGCUAGAGGCCGCUACCGACUAUUGGACUGACUAGGAUUACUCGGGCCAUGUCUAUACGUAUCCGAACCCAUAGGGUCACACAUUUAAGGGGUUGGAAGCCCAAUUCGGAUGUGAUCCGAGUUGGAUUAGGUUUAGAAGUACUAAUGGGCCUCAGACCUAGAGGCCCAUUAGAAACCUCUAUAAAUAGAGGGGUGGGGGCGCCCUAGGGUUUACACCUUUUGGUGAAACAAAUCUGCUGCGCCUCCCACACCCUCGCCUGUUGCAACUUGUGGACCUAGCAGUCCGGCUUGCAACGCUUCCUCCCUGCACGUGUGGAUACCUUGGAGGUGUUGUGCCUGCAGCACUUGGACGAGCCGCCGAUUAGCCACAAUGAGCCACCGACGAGCCACGACGAGCCGCCGACGAGCCACGAUGAGUCGACGACGAGCCGCGGCACGAGGGCGAUCUUACUGCACGUGGACGAGCUACUGAGGAGCUGCUGGACGUCAACGUGAUCGACUACGUGUUCGACUACGCUGAUCGACUUCAUUGCAUCGACGUGAAUCUACAUCUUCCACAUCAGUGCGUCGAGUGGUAAUCCCGUGAUCCUUAUACAACAGUUUUCUGGGUUUACGCGGUAGAAAAUUUUGAUUUGCGCUAGUGUAGCCUACCUCGUAUCACAACAAGGUAGGCCCGCCUGACCACGCCGUGUGGGCCAAGGUAUGAAGAUACAUGGAGCACAAGCUUGAAGGCUGGGUGAACGGAUUUUGCCCGGAUACUACGGGAUACUAGUUGUAGUCCGACUCAGAUUGAUUUCCUUCUAACAACCGAUUAGAACUAGAUCCUAUCCAAUUGUAACCCUAGGUUGGCAUCCUAUAUAAGGCAGCCAGCAACUCUUCGCGUCCCAUACCAGCAAUACAAUCCACCAGAACACAGGAUGUAGGGUAUUACUCUCCGAAGGCCCAAACUUGUCUAAACCUUACGUCUCUGUGUUACCAUUCGAGUUCUUGGUCUUGCAAUCUCUCCCCCCUACAAAUCUACCACUUGGGUAACCACUUGGUGGACUGCCGGUCACUAAAUCCAAUAGUUGGCAUGCUAGGUAGGGGUGAUCGUGGGAUCCUCCCUAGCGAGCUUGAUGACAUCCCGCCCUAGCUCAUCUUCCCUGAGAGCAUGAAGUACUUCCUCAUCAACACACUCCAGCUCCACUUUGGGAGCAUGCCGGUGGACUCCAACUCCACCACCUCUGUCGCUGACUCGGUGUCCACCACAAGCUUAGCAUCCGUCAGAUCUGCAUCGACAGAGCAAACUCUGCACCCAAGGAUCAUCACACUACUUGCCCAGCAGGUCAGCGAUCUCUCUCUCUCAGAGAGGAUCAUGCGCAUCCUCGUGGCAACCCACCCACCCACACCUUCUAAUCCAAUCAUGGGGCUAGAUCGCAUUAGUAACACCAUUAUUGAGUGCAUCAGCCUCUCCGAGGUGGCACUAUGCCCUGGAAGGUCGGUGCAGGGCCCCCCACACCCUUUUUCACCUCAAGAACUCGGUUGCCGUGUUUUUCAGAAAACUUGUGCAGUCAUUUCAGAUCCAAUAUAAAGACCUACCCAAACCCACCCAGUUUUUGGACUGUGGCAAGUUUCAGGUCCCUCGCUUUGCCCUAACUCCAAACUCCUAUGAUGAAAGAGAUGAGAACAGCAACACCUCGCUAGACAUGGAAGUCUUUGUCUCAGAAGAUGAGGCCCCCAAAUGGCAAAACCUCUUCUCAAGAAGAGGGCCAUAACACUAGGAACCGGGACCUUGUGGUACUACCCCAGCGCGAGCAAGCCAACAUCCAGGCCCGUCAACCACCCGUUGCCACCGCCGUGGCUAGCACGCCUCCCAUCCCAUAGGUCUAACCCAACGGUGCUAUCAAUGGUGGCCAAGAUGACAUAGGAGGUCGAUAGAGGUGCCCUAACCCCUGUGUGCUCACAAUCUAUAGGCCGACUUAGAACAAGAUGGUCAUGACAUCUUUGCCACACCUCAGUCCAACCUGGGGGCUAUCUUUGCCGAUCUGCAAAAUCUUCCGGAUUUAGAGCAACUACACCGGAUCCGAGCGUGCAUCCAUGUCGCUAACGUCCAGAUUGAGGAAAAGGCCUAGGUGCCUGCAUGCUCAAGAAGCCAAUCAUCACACUCUAGAUCUACAUCUAUCAGGCACUCCCAAAGCCAAUCUACUCAAAGUAGAUCCAAUCCUAGCUGAGCCGAUCAUGACCGUUGCAGGGGAGGUCGGCUGGAACCCAUUCGAGAAGAGGAGGUGGGACAAUCUUAAAGCAAUGACAACCACCCUAACAAUGAUGAUAGCCAACUAGAUAACCACCACCUCGACAACCAUUGCCGCGAUGAACAAGGAGAUGACGAAUCCCGUGGUCCGCCUGGUUGGCAACCUGACUACGAUCUCCACGACAACCCCCACGACCACCUCGACCUCCGUGGUCAACUCAACAACCAUCACCAGGAGCGGGAUGAGGUGGAGCUCUGCUAGCAUGCCCAAUACAACUGUGACUUCGGCGCUCUGGGGAUUGGCAACCAGCCAAACCAUGAUGUGGACCUGGAGGUUCGCAACCGUCGAGAGAAGCUGCACCGCUAUGAUGAUUACGACCAUCGUUACGGUGCCCUUGGUGAUGCCAACAACCCACCCCAGCAUGAGAAUGGCGCACGUCACAAGCCCCCGCUGGUACACUAGCGCCUCAUGGAAGAUGAUGACAUGGACAUCGAUGGGUUUGCCGCGUUCAACCCCCACCUCAGGGUUGUCCAGUGGCCACCUACCUUCAAGCCAGGCAUCAAUGAUAAAUACGAUGGUCGCUUCGACCUGAAGAUCUGGCUGAAGAUGUACUACACUACGGUCAAGGCUGUGCACGGCACCUACGACUAGUUGGCUGCCUACUUUCCAGUGGUGAUGGGAAGCACAGCAUUCCUAUGGUUCGAAAACCUCCCACAAGGGUGCAUCAACACAUAGGGAUAGCUCGGCAGAGCCUUCACCUAGAACUAUUAGGCUACAUACACUCGACCUGGAAACACGGAAAACCUCAGCUAAGUCCGCCAGUGGAAGAACGAAACUCUCCGUGAGUACGUUAACUGCUUCUUUGACAAUCGCAAUAGGCUUGCCGGUGUUAAAGACCGCGAUGUCAUCUGGUACUUCUGCAUCAGCCUCAAGAACCUCUUGAUGUUACACACCAUGUUCUAGGACGUACCCAAGACAGUCAACACAUGAUGUAGAUCAUCAACCUUCACGCCGACAUAGAUGAGGCCGAGCAUGUCCAAUUCCGGGACGGCAAGCACCACCACAAUGAUGAUGACGAACUGCCGACCCAUCAAGACCACCAGCGCCAUCAACGGCUGGAGCCGUCCCGACCUUGGAAGAGGGCCCCUGAGGACCUCACUACCAAAGCUGACCCUGCGAGGCAAACAACCUUGCUCUAGGAGGAGUUUGACAAUACGUUGAACGCCUCAUGCCCCUUCCACAAGGAUGCACGCCACAAUCUUCGGGACUACACGGUCCUCAAGAAAGAGCUCGAUGCCCCGGUGGAAUACAAGCGGCCUCACCAGAACGAUUACCGCAAGGAAAGUAACCAUCGCGACAACAGCCGCCGCGAAGACUGCAACGACCAACGCAGAGAAGAGCACCGUGACCAGCGCACCUCCGACACCAACCACGGCGCCGGCAAUGACAACGACAAUUUCUAGCGCACCGAGCGGGAUGUGAACAUCAUCAUCGGUGGCCCUAAGGUGUUCUACAGCAAUCGCAAGCACAAGAUGCAAAAGCGGAAAGUGCACUUCAUCUCGGUCACACCAGUCCAGUAUCUGUGCUGGUCGGAGAUGCUCAUAACCUUCUCUAGGAAAGAUCAAUGGGUGCACAUCCCAGACCCUAGGUCUUACCUGCUAGUAGUGUGCCCCACCAUAGAUAGAGUCCUCCUUUCCAAGGUGCUGAUUGAUGGUGGCGACAUCCUCAACAUCAUCUUCACAGAGACCUUGAAGCGCAUGGACCUCAACUUUGAGCGGCUCCUUUCCUACGAAGACCCAUUCUACGGCAUAGUACCCGGCAAAUGAUCCUAUCCUCUUAGGAGAGUUGUGCUGCCAGUCACGUUUGGCACACUUGACAACUACCGCUCCGAACACCUCACCUUCGAGGUAGCCAACUUCAAGACCUCCUACCAUGCCAUCUUUGGCAGGCCAAUGCUGGUGAGGAUCAUGGCGAUCCCCAACCACACUUACCUCAUCCUCAAGAUGCUAGCUUUGAAUGGUGUCCUCACCAUCUUCAGCGACGUCGAGACAUCCUACAAUUGCGACACAGAAGUCGUGCAGCUCGCCGAGACCCUGGAGUAUUCAGCCAACUCCACCAUGAUGCUCGCUGAGUCCAAGAAGGUGGACUAGGACCAAAUGCAGAUUCCAAACACAGAGCUGAUGCCCAUGGCACUGCAGCCCAACCCACAAGUCAAAAAGAUCAACCUCGACUUGGGCAACCCCUCCAAGUGGCCCUCAUCAGGGCUGGCCUCACCCCCAAAUAGGAAGACAUGCUCACCAGCUUCCUCUAGGACAGCUCGAACAUAUUCGCAUGGAAACCAUCCGAUAUACUCAGCAUGCUGCGGGUGUUGGGAUACGAGGUAGGCUACGCUAGCGCAAAUCAAAAUUUCUACCGCGUAUAACCAGGAAGAACUGCCGUAUAAGGAUCACGGGAUUACCACUCGACGCACUACUGGUGCGGAAGAUGUAGAUAUGCGUCGGUGCAGUGAAGACGAUCACGUAGUCGUACGUAGUCGAACAACGUAGUCGUACGUAGUCGAUCACGUCCAGCGGCUCCUCAGCAGCUCGUCCACGUGCACAGCAAGAUCGCCUCCGGUGCCGCGGCUCGUCGUCGGCUCGUCGUGGCUCGUCGGCGGCUCGUCGAUGGCUCGUCCAAGUGCUGCAGGCGCAACACCUCCAAGGUAUCCACACGUGCAGGGAGGAAGCGUCGCAAGCCGGAUUGCUAGAUCCGCGAGUUGCAACAGGCGAGGGCGUGGGAGGCGCGGCAAGUGUGCAGCCAAAAGGUGUGAAACCCUAGGGCGCCCCCACCCCUCUAUUUAUAGGGGUUCCUGAUGGGCUUCUGGAUCCGAGGCCCAUUAGUACUCCUAAACCUAAUCCAACUCGGAUCAAAUCCGAAUUUGGGCUUCCAGCCCCUUAAGUGUGCGACCCUUUGGGUUCGGAUACGUAUAGACAUGGCCCGAGUACUCCUACUCGGCCCAAUAGUCGGUAGCGGCCUCUAGCAAGACGUGCCAACUCCUAUACGCAUACGAAGAUCAUAUCAGACGAACCAUCACAACAUAAUAUACAUGCUAUUCCCUUUGCCUCACGAUAUUUGGUCUAGCUUCAAGCCGACCGCUCUUUGUCGAUCCUGUGAUUCGGAAUCCCUUUGUAGGUUAACUCUUAACCGUACGUAGCAUGGCCAUGCAUUUUCUGAUCCGAUCACUCGAGGGGCCCAGAGAUAUCACUCUCAAUCAGAGAGGGGCAAAUCCCAUCUUGAUUGACCAUGUCUCAUAGCAUGCUUCUUGACAAACCCGAAAGCUACCUUUAUAACUACCCUGUUACGGCGUAGCGUUUGAUAGCCCCUAAGUAGGUCAAUCCACAUCUAGAGUACAUGCGACAAUCUCAGGUCUAAGGACAAAGCGUAUAUGUUGUUUAAAGAGAGAACUACUUCUCGUGUUGGGGUCAGUCCUAACACAUGUCUCCACAUGUGUUCCACAUUAUUAGUUCAACAUCUCCAUGUCCAUGACUUGUGAAACAUAGUCAUCAACUAAUACAUGUGCUAGUCUAAUAUUCAUGUGUGUCCUCACAUGAACUCCGACUAGGGACAACUUUAGAAUAACCAUACAAGUAAAGAGUUUCACAUACAAUUCACAUAAUUGUUAAUCAAUUCAAGUAGCCUUUAAUGGAUAUUCAAUGAACACAAUAUACAAAUCAUGGAUACAAAUGGAAUAUCAUCACCUCUAUGAUUGCCUCUAGGGCAUACCUCCAACAGUCUCCCACUUGCACUAGAGUCAAUCUAGAAGGUACCUAAUACCCAUAGCUCUUACAUGCGCAUCAUGCUUAGCCUGCGGGAGUGGUUUUGUCAACGGAUCAGAAAUGUUCAGAUCCGUGUGUAUUUUGCAUAUCUUGAUCUCACCCCGGUUAACGAAGUCUCGAAUGAGAUGAAAUCGCCGCAUUACGUGUUUGUUCUUCUGGUGGUUCCUUGGCUCCUUUGCUUGCGCAAUUGCCCCAUUAUUAUCACAGUAGAGAUUCAAUGGGCUGGACGCAUUCGGGAACACACCAAGCUCAAUGAGGAAAUUCCUUAUCCAAACACCUUCCUUCGCGGCUUCCGAAGCCGCGAUGUACUCGGCUUCUGUCGUAGAAUCGGCCACCGUCUCCUGCUUGGAACUCUUCCAACUAACAGCACCACCAUUUAGCGUGAACACAAAUCCUGAUUGUGACUUUGAAUCGUCUCUGUCGGUUUGGAAACUAGCAUCGGUGUAACCUGUUACAACGAGCUCCUCCUGACCUCCAUAGACGAGGAACAUAUCUUUAGUCCUUCUCAAGUACUUAAGAAUGUUUUUCACCGCUGUCCAGUGACUCUCACCUGGAUCAGAUUGGUGUCUACUUGUCAUACUUAGCGCAUAUGAAACAUCUGGGCGAGUACUUAUCAUUGCAUACAUGAUAGAUCCAAUAGCCGAGGCAUAUGGUACUCUACUCAUGCGAUCCCGCUCAUCAGCAGUCGAAGGACACUGAGUCUUGCUGAGAUGUAUGCCAUGUGACAUAGGCAAGAACCCUUUCUUUGCCUCUUCCAUGCUGAACCGCUUCAACACUUUGUCAAUAUAAGUAUCUUGGCUCAAACCUAUAAGCCUUCUCGAUCUAUCUCUAUAGAUCUUAAUACCCAGAAUAUAUGCCGCUUCCCCUAAGUCCUUCAUCGAAAAACUAUUUUUCAGUGAAGUCUUUACGGACUCAAGCAUAGGAAUGUUAUUUCCAAUCAGUAAUAUGUCAUCCACAUAUAAGAUUAGAAAUACUACAGAGCUCCCACUAACCUUCUUGUAAACACAAGACUCUUCUUCGUUCUUGGUGAAGUCAAACCCUUUGACCACUUCAUCAAAACGAAUGUUCCAACUCCUAGAUGCUUGCUUCAAUCCAUAAAUGGAUCUCUGAAGCUUGCAUACCUUUCCAGCAUUUUUCGGAUCGACAAAACCCUCGGGCUGUAUCAUAUACACGUCCUCAGCUAGGUUUCCAUUCAGGAAAGCUGUCUUGACAUCCAUCUGCCAUAUCUCAUAAUCGAAAUAUGCAGCUAUAGCUAGAAUAAUCCGAAUGGACUUAAGCAUCACUACGGGCGAGAAGGUCUCGUCGUAGUCAACUCCUUGAACUUGUCGAAAACCUUUUGCGACAAGUCGUGCUUUAUAGAUGUGAACAUUUCCAUCCAUGUCCUUUUUCUUCUUAUAGAUCCACUUGCACUCUAUGGCUUUAACACCAUCAGGCGGGUCAACCAAGUUCCAAACUUGAUUGUCUCCCAUGGACUCUAUUUCGGAUUGCAUGGCACUCUGCCAUUUUUCGGAGUCUGGGUCCAUCAUUGCUUCUGCAUAUGUCGCAGGCUCAUCAUUGUCCAACAAUAAUAUUUCUCGCAUUUCGCGGAGCCUUGCUGACCUUCGUGGUUGUGGCGGUGCUUCUCUUGCCAUGGGUAUCUCAACUUGUUCUGCUACGUUAGCAUCACUCAUUGAUUCUUGCCCGAUUGGCUCAUCUUGAACUUCUUCAAGAUGCACUGUCUUUCCACUCUUUUCUCCUUUAAGAAACUCUUUCUCUAGGAAAACCCCGUUCCGAGCGACAAACACUUUGCCUUCUGAUCGGUUGUAGAAAUAAUAUCCCAAAGUUUCCUUUGGAUAUCCCACGAAAAUGCACUUAUCCGACUUGGGUGUGAUCUUGUCUGACUGAAGUCGCUUGACAAACUCUUCACAUCCCCAAAUCUUUAGAAAAGACAAACUAGGAACCUUUCCAGUCCACAUCUCAUAUGGUGUCUUAACUACAGAUUUAGAUGGUACCCUAUUAAGUGUGAAAGCUGCUGUUUCUAGAGCGUAUCCCCAAAAUGACAACGGUAGGUCCGACUGGCUCAUCAUUGAUCGAACCAUGUCUAACAAAGUUCGAUUACGUCGUUCGGACACACCAUUUCUCUGAGGUGUUCCUGGCGGCGUAAGUUGUGGAACAAUUCCGCAACUCUUUAGAUGAUUGCUAAACUCGUGGCUCAAAUACUCGCCUCCACGAUCAGAUCGUAAGGCCUUAAUUUUCUUGCCACGCUGAUUUUCAACUUCAUUCUGAAAUUCCUUGAACUUUUCAAAGGUUUCAGACUUGUGCCUCAUCAAGUAGACAUAGCCAUAUCUACUAAAAUCAUCAGUGAAAGUUAUGAAGUAUUGGAAUCCUCCUCUAGCCGUCGUGCUCAUUGGUCCGCAUACAUCACUAUGUACGAGUUCCAACAAGUCUACUGCUCUCUCAGGAAAUCCUGUGAAAGGCGUCUUGGUCAUCUUGCCUAGCAAGCAAGCCUCACAUGUCUCGUAUGAUUCAAAAUCAAACGAAGUUAGAAGUCCAUCAGAAUGGAGCUUCUUCAUGCACUUAUCACUUAUAUGACCCAAACGACAAUGCCACAAGUAGGUAGGACUCAAAUCAUUAGGCCGAGGUCUUUUAGCACUUACAUUACAGACAGGUGAACCAUCAAGAUUUAAAACAAAUAAUCCAUUCACAAUGGGUGCAAAAGCCAUAAACAUAUUAUUCUUAGAGAUCACACAACCAUUGUUUUCACUCGCAAAUGAAUAACCAUCCUUCAUCAAACAUGAAGGAGAUAAAAUGUUUCGACUUAAACUAGGAACAAAAUAACAAUUAUUCAACUCCAUAAUAAAUCCUGACGGGAGGUGGAGUUGCAUCGUCCCGACGGUCAAAGCAGCAACUCUUGCAUUAUUGCCCACGCGGAAAUCAACUUCUCCUCUUUCCACGCUUCUACUUCUUAUCAUUCCCUGCAUCGAAUUGCAAAUAUGAGCAACCGAUCCGGUAUCAAAUACCCAAGAAUUAAUAACUGUAUCAGCGAGAAAUAUGUUGUCUAUAACAUAAACAACAAGCGUACCUAAGGUAGAAGUACUCUUACUUCCGCCGUUCUUCAAGGAAGCUAGGUACUGCUUGCAGUUUCUCUUCCAGUGACCAAGUUCAUGACAGUAAAAGCACUCCUUGUCUGGAGCAGGUCCAGGUCCAGCUUUAACCUUGGGCGGUGGGUUUGGCUUGGACGUUCCAGCCUUGCCCUUCUUCUUCCAAGAAUUGCCCUUCUUCUUAAAGCUGGGCUUGUUCUGUAUCGCCAUCACAUGGCUGGUACUAGCGCUUUUCUUUAUGUCAGCCUCUGCUGUUUUGAGCAUACCACACAGCUCAUUCAGACCCUUCUCCGUCCCAUGCAUAUGGUAGUUCGAGAUGAAGUUCCCAUAGCUAGCCGGAAGAGAUGAAAGAAUGAAAUCAGUGGCCAACUCUUGGCCCAGUGGGAAGCCUAGCUUCUCCAACCGUUGAGUGUAACCAACCAUCUUGAUUACGUGUGGUCCUACUGCUGCGCCUUCUGCUAGCUUGCUCUCAACAAAGGCCUUAGACACAUUGAACCUUUCAGUCCUGGCCUGUGUUUGGAACAUGUCUCUAAGCGCCACGAUCAUAUCGUGCGCCUCAUGGUUUGUUUCGAACUGCAUCUGCAGCUCGGGUUCCAUGCAAGCAAGCAUAAGGCAGCUUACUUCAAGGUUAGCAUCACAUGCCUUCUUGUAAGCAUUCUUAGCAGCAGCGGGUGCAUCCUCAGCAGGUUCUUCUGGUAGUGGGUUGUCUAGAACAUCUUCCUUUUUCUCAGCCCUGAGAACAAUUCUCAGGUUGCGGAUCCAAUCCGAGUAGUUUGUUCCAUUCAACUUGUCCUUCUCAAGGACCGAACGCAAAGCAAACGAUGUGGUGGUGUUGCUAGGUGCCAUUUAAUCUACAACAAAAGUAAUGCAAAAUACACUAAGACAAACGUAUCCAUGAUAGAGCAAAUUAUAUUAAACUAUUUUAACAAAAUCUACUCCCACUAAAAUCAAUAUCCCUCUAUUGAAACUUAGUGAUUCAGGAUCCACAACUAACAAGUCUACUAGUGAGCUUUAGCAUCACCGCUAGCAAACGAGGUAGAUCGGUAAGCAACUUUUGCUAAUCAUAUCACAUAUGACUCCUGUUGUUGGGUGACAUCUCCAUGUCUCGGCGCCCAACCUUUAUGCCCCAAGGUCCUUAACCGUUAAGAUGACCUCGUUAAGCUAACCAACCCUUAUGCGUGUAAGUGUCCGACACAAACCCGUCUAGUCAAGGAAAACUAGUGGCACUCUAAUUUCAUAGACCCACCACUAAUUGUACAAGACAUGGGACGGUGUAAGUUUUAGUUGGGAGGGCAUACUAACUUAAACUUUGCGAGGGAUCGUUCUACUUCUAACAUCACAGCAUGCAGAAAGUAAAACAUAAACAGAAUAGCAUUCACACAGUUGUGACACAGUAUGGCCCGUUUUCAUAUGGUGAUCUCCAUCUCCAUAGAAGCUGUUCACCAUGGUGAUCUCCAUCUCCAUGUUCCAUGUGCGCCAUCCUCCUGGUGAUGAGUCCUCCAAGAACUAGAACAUGCUAUUACGCCUAAUAGCUAGUAAAGAAUCUAGUAAUGAAGAUUACAUAGUUGCUUGGAUCAUCACAGAUUGGUACGCAGACCAUUAAAUACAAUAAAGUGACAACACAUAUGGCUCCUGCCGUGUUGCCGUACGCGCGACACGCAGGUCACGAAUUAGUUACACACAUGCAUCACAUACACAAGGGGGCCAUACUGAUCACAAGAUAUAUACAUACAUCCUGCAAAAGAGAGUUAGGCGUCCUAACGUUCCAAACUUGGGAGGCCCGAAACUCCAUCUUCCAAGCCGAAUUUGGCAAAUCUAAUUUCGCCGAAAACGGCAAAGCCGUUGAAAUUCACGUGUAACUUUUUCUGUAGAUCAAUUUUCGUAUAGAAAUCGCCCCGAUCCGAGAUCGUACCGAAAAGUUACGGCUGAUUUACCGAAGCAUGCGCAUACGGCAAAAUCCCGACCCCGGCAGUAGAUCCCAUCUACCAUUGCACAUCUAAUGCGCCUGGCGUAUGACUCUGGAUCUCGAUUCGACCAAUCAUAUUGAUCUUCCCUCACUGCAACCGGAUUUACGUGUAUCACUUAACUCCGAUGGCGGAAACCGACCGGUAGGAGUAUGUCGUUACACUACCAUUGCAGCAAGGGCACGAAACCAGGACAUAGAUCAAACAGAAAACUCGCAUAUCUCCAUAUGCACACAUCCCGAAUCCAAAACUAAGCAGCUAAGGCUCUGAUACCACUGUUGGGAUACUAGGUAGGCUACGCUAGCGCAAAUCAAAAUUUCUACCGCGUAUAACCAGGAAGAACUGCCGUAUAAGGAUCACGGGAUUACCACUCGACGCACUACUGGUGCGGAAGAUGUAGAUAUGCGUCGGUGCAGUGAAGACGAUCACGUAGUCGUACGUAGUCGAACAACGUAGUCGUACGUAGUCGAUCACGUCCAGCGGCUCCUCAGCAGCUCGUCCACGUGCACAGCAAGAUCGCCUCCGGUGCCGCGGCUCGUCGUCGGCUCGUCGUGGCUCGUCGGCGGCUCGUCGAUGGCUCGUCCAAGUGCUGCAGGCGCAACACCUCCAAGGUAUCCACACGUGCAGGGAGGAAGCGUCGCAAGCCGGAUUGCUAGAUCCGCGAGUUGCAACAGGCGAGGGCGUGGGAGGCGCGGCAAGUGUGCAGCCAAAAGGUGUGAAACCCUAGGGCGCCCCCACCCCUCUAUUUAUAGGGGUUCCUGAUGGGCUUCUGGAUCCGAGGCCCAUUAGUACUCCUAAACCUAAUCCAACUCGGAUCAAAUCCGAAUUUGGGCUUCCAGCCCCUUAAGUGUGCGACCCUUUGGGUUCGGAUACGUAUAGACAUGGCCCGAGUACUCCUACUCGGCCCAAUAGUCGGUAGCGGCCUCUAGCAAGACGUGCCAACUCCUAUACGCAUACGAAGAUCAUAUCAGACGAACCAUCACAACAUAAUAUACAUGCUAUUCCCUUUGCCUCACGAUAUUUGGUCUAGCUUCAAGCCGACCGCUCUUUGUCGAUCCUGUGAUUCGGAAUCCCUUUGUAGGUUAACUCUUAACCGUACGUAGCAUGGCCAUGCAUUUUCUGAUCCGAUCACUCGAGGGGCCCAGAGAUAUCACUCUCAAUCAGAGAGGGGCAAAUCCCAUCUUGAUUGACCAUGUCUCAUAGCAUGCUUCUUGACAAACCCGAAAGCUACCUUUAUAACUACCCUGUUACGGCGUAGCGUUUGAUAGCCCCUAAGUAGGUCAAUCCACAUCUAGAGUACAUGCGACAAUCUCAGGUCUAAGGACAAAGCGUAUAUGUUGUUUAAAGAGAGAACUACUUCUCGUGUUGGGUCAGUCCUAACACAUGUCUCCACAUGUGUCCACAUUAUUAGUUCAACAUCUCCAUGUCCAUGACUUGUGAAACAUAGUCAUCAACUAAUACAUGUGCUAGUCUAAUAUUCAUGUGUGUCCUCACAUGAACUCCGACUAGGGACAACUUUAGAAUAACCAUACAAGUAAAGAGUUUCACAUACAAUUCACAUAAUUGUUAAUCAAUUCAAGUAGCCUUUAAUGGAUAUUCAAUGAACACAAUAUACAAAUCAUGGAUACAAAUGGAAUAUCAUCACCUCUAUGAUUGCCUCUAGGGCAUACCUCCAACAGCGGGAGCUGGCUGAGCACUCCUUGGAACUGAACAAGACCGCAAGGCCAGUCAAGCACAAGCUUCGCCAUUUCACUUAAGAUCGCAAGGAGGCCAUUGGGGUAGAAAUAAAUAAGCUCUUAGCUGCUAGUUUCAUCCGUAAAUGUAAGCACCCUGACUUGUUAGCAAAUCCAAUCCUUGUAAAAAAGAAAAAUGGUGAAUGGAGAAUGUGUAUCGACUACACUGAUCUCAAUAGGCACUGCCUUAAAGACCCCUUCCCUCUCCCUCACAUCAACCAAGUUGUGGCCUCCAUGGCCGGCUACACCCUGCUUGUGCUUCCUCGAUUGCUACUCGAGCUAUCACCAGAUCGCCCUCAACCCCGCCGACCAAGAUAGGACUGCAUUCAUAACAGCCUAUGGCAUCAACUACGGCAACACCAUGACCUUUGGGUUAAAAAACACUGGCGCCACCUACCAGAAGGCACUCUAGGGUUGCCUCAAGAAACAACUCAGCAAAAAUGUAGAGGCCUACAUCGACGACAUGGUUGUCAAGACCAAAGACCAAAGACAGAGAGAACUUCGAUAGCCUCCGGUCCUAUUGAUGGAAGCUCAACCUAGGACAAUGUGUCUUCGGUGUCCCAUCUAGAAAGCUCCUAGGCUUUAUAGUUAGCCAAUGUGGCAUUGAUGCCAACCCUGUCAAAGUGGACACCAUCAGGAACAUGGUGUAGCUGAUCGGCAAGAAGGAUGUCAGAAGCUCUCAAGCAUGAUGGCAGCCCUUAGCCAUUUCAUCAGCAAGCUCAGCAAAAAGGGACUCCCCUUCUUCAAGCUGCUCAAGAAGGUGGACAAGUUUGAGUGGGAUGAUGAGGCCCGUAAGGCCCUCAAGGAACUCAAAACAUUCCUCUCCACCCCUCCAGUCUUGAUGGCCCCGGCUGACCAACAAACUCUGCAUCCGUACAUCUCUGCAACAACAGACAUUGUGAGCAUAGUGCUGGUCAUAGAACGCGAGGAACCCGACCACACCCACAUGGUGCAAAGUCCGGUUUAUUAUGUCAGCGAGGUUCUAAGCGACUCCAAGGUCCACUACACACAAGUCCAGAAAUUGCUCUACGCAAUCCUGAUCACCUCCCAUAAACUACGUCACUACUUCCAAGCGCACAAGAUCCGGGUGGUUUUCUCCUACACAACAGGGAUGUCCACGGCCGAGUCAUCAAAUGGUCCAUGCAACUCGGUGAAUUCAACGUCGAAUUUUCCCACACCAUGUGAUCCUACACAACAGGGAUGUCCACGGCCGAGUCAUCAAAUGGUCCAUGCAACUCGGAAAAUUCAACAACGACUUUUGCCCACACCAUGUGAUCAAGUCCCAGAUCCUGGUGGACUUCGUCACUAAAUGGACUGAGACUCAAGAGCCACCCUCCUUGGAGAGGGCGGAGCACUAGAUGAUGUACUUCGAUGGUGCCCUCAACCUCAAAGGAGCUGGUGCGAGGGUCCUCUUCAUAUCCCUGAAAGGCAAGCAGCUCAAGUACAUCCUCCAGAUCCAUUACGACCACCAACAAUGAUGCCGAGUACCAGGCCCUCAUACACGGGAUCCUCAUUACCACCUCACUUGGCAUCAAGCAUACCCUCAUGUAUGGCGACUCCAUGGUUGUCAUUUAGCAGGUCAACAAGUCCUCGAAGUGCACCAAGGAAACCAUGGACGCCUACUGCACUGAGGUCCGCAAACUCGAGGCUCACUUUGAUGGCCUCAAGUUCCCAGGGAACACAAUGUUGCCGCUGACAUCCUAUCCAAGCUCAGCUCCAAACGCACCCAGGUCCAAGUCGGUGUGUUCGUCUAGGACCUAAGAAAACCCUCCAUCAAGAUCCUUGACCUAGACCAAGCUAAUGGCAACGCCCAACCUCAGGCCAACCUAGAGUCUGCUAAUGUUUUAAUGAUCAAGGCGGAGGAAGACUAGCGAGCACCCUUCAUUGCAUGAUUAACUGACAACAUGUCCCUUGAGGAUAAAGCUGAGCACAAAAAACUCGCACAACGCAGCACCAACUAUGUUGUAAACGGCAAGGAAUUGUACAGGAAGGCUGCAUAUAUCAGCAUCGUGAUGAAAUGCAUCCUCCACAAUGAAGGCCUAGAACUCCUCCAUGAAAUGUACUCAGGUUCGUGCGGGAGCCAUGCUGCCUCAGGUAGCCUGGUCAGGGAAGUGUUCGGCUAAGACUUUUACUGGCCAACUGCCAUUGCCGAUGCAAAAGAACUCGUCCAGAGGUGUAAAGGAUGCAAGUUCUUCUCCAAGGAGCAGCACCUCCUAGCCCAAGCUCUAUGCACCAUCCCACCAUCCUAGCCCUUCGCAUGCUGGGGGCUGGAUAUGGUCAGAUCCUUCAAGACCGCUCCGGGCGGAUACACCCACAUCUUUAUGGCAGUCGACAAAUUCACCAAGUGGAUUGAGGUCAAGGCUAUCACCAACAUAGAGUCGGCCAAAGCCACCCAGUUCAUUGAAGAAAUCACCCAUCGCUUUGGGGUCCCUAAUAGGAUCAUCACCGAUGCCGCUGCCCCAAAGCAUCACAUAGGUGAGGAGUUUUCUUGGUCUUGCAGGUUUCUAUCGCCACUUCGUCAAAGAUUUCAGCACCAUUGCUGCGCCAUUACACGGGUUGAUGAAGAAAGGUGUGGUGUUUCGUUGGGGAAAAGCACAGGACGAGUCCUUUGCCACUUUCAAGGCCAAGCUUACGCAUGCGCCAUUGCUGCAACUUCCAAACUUUGGUAAGACCUUUGAGCUUGAAUGUGAUGCUAGUGGAGUUGGCAUUGGUGGUGUUUUGAUGCAAGAUGGUAAACCCGUUGCAUACUUUAACGAGAAAUUGCAUGGUCCUAUUCUGAAUUACUCUACGUAUGAUAAGGAAUGAUAUGCUCUUAUAUGUUCCUUACAAACGUGGCAUCAUUAUUUGUGGCCUAAGGAAUUUGUUAUUCAUUCUGAUCAUGAAUCGCUUAAGUAUCUUCGCUCUCAAAACAAUCUGAACCGUAGACAUGCUAAAUGGGUUGAAUUUAUUGAAUCUUUUCCAUAUAUCAUCAAACAUAAGAAAGGGAAGGAUAAUGUGAUUGCCGAUGCUUUGUCUAGAAGAUAUACUUUGCUGUCCCAACUUGAUUGUCGUAUUUUUGGACAUGAAUCAAUUAAGGAACAAUAUGCACUUGACCCUGAUUUUAAGGAUGUGUUGCUCAAUUGUAAAGAGGGAUGUACAUGGAAUAAGUUUGUGAUCAAUGAUGGCUUUGUGUUUAGAGCUAACCGCCUAUGCAUUCCAGUUGGUUCCGUUCGUCUUUUGUUGAUGUAGGAAGCGCAUGGAGGAGGAUUGAUGGGGCAUUUUGGUGCCAAGAAGAUGGUGGAUGCUUUGGCCUCACAUUUCUUUUGGCCACAAAUGAGGAGAGACGUUGAGAGGUUCGUUGCUCGCUGCACAACAUGUCAAAAAGCUAAGUCUCAUUUGAAUCCACAUGGUUUAUACAUGCCGCUACCUGUUCCUUCUAUUCCUUGGGCGGAUAUUUCUAUGGACUUUGUGUUGGGAUUGCCUAGGACUAAGAGGGGGAGGGAUAGCAUUUUUGUUGUUGUGGAUCAUUUUUCAAAGAUGGCACAUUUUAUACCAUGUCAUAAAAGUGAUGAUGUUGUUCAUAUUGCUGACCUCUUUUUCAAAGAGAUUGUACGUUUGCAUGGUAUGCCUGCUACUGUUAAUUCAGAUCGCGAUGCAAAAUUUUUGAGUCACUUUUGGCGUACUUUGUGGAACAAGUUGGGUACAAAAUUAUUAUUUUCUACCACUUGUCAUCCACAAACUGAUGGGCAAACAGAGGUGGUGAACCGCACUUUAGGCACCAUGUUGAGGGCUAUUUUGAAGAAAAAUUUGAAGAUGUGGGAAGAAUGUUUGCCUCAUGUGGAGUUUGCAUACAAUUGGGCAACACAUUCAACCACAAAAGUAAGUCCUUUUCAGGUAGUGUAUGGAUUCAACCCCCGUGCUCCUAUUGAUAUUUUGCCUUUGCCUACUAGCGAGAGGAUUCAUACGGAUGCCAAAGAACGCUCUGAUUUUAUUUUGCAAAUGCAUGAAAUAACUAAGCACAACAUUGAAAAAAUGAAUGAAAAGUAUCGAAUUGCUGGUAGUAAAGGUAGAAAGGAAGCUAAACUUGAACCGGGUGAUCUAGUUUGGUUGCACCUACGAAAGAAUAGAUUUCCAAAUUUGAGAAAGUCUAAGUUGAUGCCUAGAGCUGAUGGUCCUUUCAAGAUAAUUGAGAAGAUUAAUGAUAAUGCAUACAAACUUGAGUUGCCUCCCGAGUUCGGGGUUAGUCCUACCUUUAACAUUUCAGAUUUGAGGCCUUACUUGGGAGCAGACGAUGAGCUUGAGUCGAGGACGACUCCAUUUCAAGCGGGGGAGGAUGAUGAGGACAUCACUUCUCCGGAUGCACAUGAUACUCUGCUGGACAUUCAAGGUCCAAUCACUAGAGCGCACGCACGACAAUUGCAUUUAGAGGUGAGAUCGUUCCUAAGCAAUUCAUUUUCUGGUUUUAAGAAUAGAUUGCUAUCCAAUGAUUAUAUUUUGACUAGCAGAAAUGCCCGUGCGUUGCUAUGGGUCAUUACUUGCUGUCACGUUAUUAUACGUUUGUUCGUACCAUUUUUGAACUUUGAACAAGAAUUUUCAUUUGCAAGAUCCGCGGUCUCUGUGCCCAAUGUUGCCCAUCAAGCUUAGCACAAAUAAAUAAUCGAAAACAAUCAAUGGAGUAUUUUUCAGACAUAAGGAAGUAAUUUUCCCAAUAAAAACUUUUUGUCACUUUAAUUACCAUCAAGGACACUUUUCUUGUCUAUCUUUACAUAUUUCCCAUCAAUGCUCUUCUUCCCUGACAGCAAGCAGACAGCAAGGAAAUCCAUAUGUUUCCGAGUACAGCAAUCAAGGCAUACCAUUUAGAAAGUGUGUUUUUUUUUGUUUGCAGGAGAAUCACCUAUUUGAAACAUAAAUAAUAAAUGUCAACAACAGUUACCCCACACAUUCACAAAACCGGCAACUCCAACGUUCUGCUCAGGGGUCGGACACUCCCGACCCCAGGACUCAGCGUCGGGCGAGGCGGAGCUUCACUCGGGGUCGGGCGAGGCGGAGUUCCACCUCAAGGGGUCGGGCGCAUCCGACCCCGGGACCAAGGGUCGGGCGAGGCGGAGUUCCACCCUCAAGGGGUCGGGCGCAUCUGACCCCGGGACCAAGGGUUGGGCGAGGCGGAGUUCCAUCCCGGAGCUAUGUAUACAGGCAAGAACGCAACCUUGAUUCCGAUCCAAGUCGGCCUCGAUUCCGAUCCGAUUCGGCAGCAAAAAGCUGAGGCGAGUAAGACUUGCAAUCGUUGCAGGAAUUGUGUCCCUCUACAGGUUGCUCAACAAGUACUUAUUUGGUGAGGACCUCUGAAUACACUAUAUUCUUCGUGUAUCUAUCGGUUGUGUCUUUUUGAUUCACCUCUUUCUUAUCUGACAUGUCGCUUUUGCUCUUCCUUUUUUUCUUUUUCUUAUUUUUCUCUGACGGCUUGAUUUUGUUGUCCUGCUUCUGGUUCUCAUCUUCAUCAUCAUUUUCAGCUGUUAGUAUCUUUAUGUUCUUGGCCGUUGUUGCUCUAGAAAGCGCGACAUAUAAUUGACCGUGAGAGAAAACCGGUUCAGGCAGGUAGAUGCCUACAUUUGGUAUUGUCUGUCCUUGUGCUUUGUUUACUGUCAUUGCGAAACUUAGUCUGACAGGAAAUUGUUUCCUUUUAAAAUGGAAUGGGAACAUCUCAUCAUCAGAGGGGAUAGCGGGAUUCGAGGCAAGAAAACUCAUGUCCCAUAAUGUUGUCCUAGCACAAUCUCUGCAUCGAUUGCAUUUUUCUGGAAUCCUCGUACCACCAACCUUGUGCCAUUGCAUAGUCCAUUAGCUGGGUCGAUAUUUCUGAGUAUUAUUAUUGGACAGUUAAUCUUGAGCUUCAGCAUAUGUGGUGGUAGUCCAUUUGGGGUUAGUGUGUUUAGGAAUUCCGGGGGAUAGUAGUUAUGGGGGUCAUCUUCUACAGUAUCAAAGCUGUGAUAGACCAUCUCUUCUCCUUGGAAUCGUUCAAUCAUUUUCAGAUUAAUGCGGUCUACACAGUCAUUACGCGUGGAUAAAAUGGCUCUUGACGUGAUGUAAUUUGGAUCCUCUAGGCAAGCGCUGUUCAUUUGAUAGACGCUGUCGAUGAGUCUAUCAAGUUCGGAAUCAUCCAUCGUGCAUGGAAUACAUAUAUUUUUGGGCAGACGUAUCUCGCCUUUAUCGUUUGUCUGCUCAGUGCCAUUGCCGAUGCGCAGUAGGUAUUCUGCAAACCAUGGGUCAUUUUGAGCCCUCAUGUUGCGCACAAGCUUCAUGUGACACAUGCAAUUCCAGAGUUCAGAUCUGCGUAGUGAGGCAUCUACUAUUUGUGAUCUUGUACCCUUUCGUACAACCGGUAGAACUUGUCUAAAAUCUCCCCCAAAUACCACUGUUUUCCCACCGAAUGGAAGAUUUGGUAUAUCCAUUAUGUCACGCAUGCUUUUGUCCAGUGCCUCUAUUGCCUGCCUCUUAGUCAUCGAUGCUUCAUCCCAAAUGAUUAGCGAUGCUACCUGAAGUAGCUUGGCUGUCCCACUUUGUUUUGUGAAUGAACAAAUAGCCCCAUCAUCUAUCCUUAGUGGUAUCUUGAACCUUGAGUGCGUUGUCCUUCCUCCGGGCAUUAUGGAAGCUGCGACACCAGAGGUUGCUGUUGCUAAAGCUAUUUUUCCUUGUCCACGGACUGUUGCAAGCAAUGCCCUGUAUAGAAAAGUUUUCCCCGUUCCUCCCGGUCCAUCUACGAAGAAUAGCCCUCCUCCAUCACGGUCAACUGCUGUUAGAAUUUCAUUGUAGGCGGCCUUUUGCUCAUCAUUUAGGUGUUUAGGCAAUUCCAUGUCCUCAGGGUCCACCUCGAUGUUAGAUUCCUCGGUGAUCUCCCUAGGUGUAUUGUCUUUUGUGUCAUUUUGCUCAUCGAUCUCUGGAAGAGGAAAUGAUCGUAUGUCUUUUCCCAUCGAUUGCAGCAUAUCCCUAAUAUUUAUUAAUACCAUCUGUUCGAUCAUUCUUGCAUUUUUGCAGUUUCGUCGAUAGUCUUCCGACAUUGCCUCGAUGUGAUUGUUCCAUAGUGCACGGAUGUCAUGGGGCUCACAAAACACAAGAAUCGUCACAAAUAGCCUUCGUAGCGAGGAUGGCAUCCGAAAUAACUCUGCUUCCAUCAGUCAAUCAUCUAAUGUGUUGCCUGCCUCAAUGAGGCCCCUUUUCUCUGCAGCUUCACGAAAUGAUGGCAAUAUUUGGCCAUCAACUGUUCGUAGCUCUUCGUAGCAGGUUGUGCCUUUCACAUGGUUCAGGAGAACUCGAAGAUAGUAUCUUUCUCCUUCGGCUGGAUGUGCUGAGACGAUCCUCCCAACCUGGUACAACGUUUUCCUUUUCCUCUGUUGCCAAAACUUCCCCUGGGUUUGCCAAGUAUAAUGUUCUGGAAAAUCACGGUACAAGAUGCCUCGUGCUUUUUCGUGUGUCCUGUUAGCUUCGAAGUAUGCCGUUAGCAUUGACUUCUCAACACCUUCGCGGUUGAUUACUUCCGUGAUUUCUUUUUUUCCAUGGUAUGAAACCAUGUGCAUGUUUGGAAGAUGAAGCUGCAAUUGCAUGACUGGAGGAUUUGUCUUGCUUAGUUCGAAGCCAUAUAUCCUCCAUAGUGCCUCUGGUGGUGUCACCCAUCUCGCGUCUAUGUAUUGUCUAAUCUCAUCAAUAUCUUCUUUUUCACUUGUCCCAUUUACACAUACAGACGCGCGGUCAUGUCCCUUGUAGAUGUAUUUGUAUAGGUAUUUGACAGCUUUUAUGCUUGAGCAUACCUCGACAUUUAUGUGGCAAUUGAACAUUUGCAGGAGGUAAGGGUUGUAAGGAACUACCCACCUGUUAUCUAGUUUGUGCCCUCGGACUAUUUCAUUAUGGCCGUCAUCUCGUCGCCUGUAUAAUGGGUAAGAAUCCUUGCCUUGAAUGGUAGUAGCGUUAAAUUGCCUUGGAUAAUAGUCCUUGCAUGAUUUUCGAUUCUUCGUGCAUGGACAGUUCUUAUUCAAUGUACCGCAAGGUCCAUGCAUCAUAUGUUUGAUAACCAUCUUGUACAACUCUGGGUAUUUUUGUUUGUUUGGGAGCUCCACCGAGAUUAGUCUAUCAUAUUGCUCUGGACAAGUUAGCUUAUAUUUUCCGGUCAUUAUAAGCAAGAAAUGAGCGUGCGGUAGACCUCUCUUUUGGAACUCUACAACAUAGGUAUAGGCCUUCACCUUGCCUAGGAUGUGCUCUUCUAACAACUGCUUUUUCAUUUGUUCUAGUUUUGCUCUGAAAACACGAACAACAAGAUCAGGGCGAUCUUGUGGUGUUUGACCAAACUCAAGUUCAUUCGUGAUCUCUUCCUAGUUGGGAUUGCAUGUCAUUGUGAGGAAUAUGUCUAGUUUCCCAUAUUUUCUAACUAAAGCCAUGGCGUCUAGGUACCGACGCAUCUUGUCUCGAGGACCCCCAAUAAAUGAUGAUGAAAGCACUGUCCGUUUGCCGACCGCAUCUCCCCUGUCUUGUCCCGCAUGAAUGCUAUCUAGAAGGCCUUGGUAUAGAUCCACCCUUAUCUCUUUCUGAUGAUUCCAUAUGAAGUCCAGUCGUGAGCUCUCAAUCUUGAUGUAUGUAUCCACAGCGAAUUGUUGGAAAAGCCGUCCGCCGUAUAGUAUUGGGUUAAAUAUGUUGGCUCGAACAUGAAAUUUAUAGCAGUAGUAUUCUCUCAUGGUUACCCACAUUCUACCACUUGAAUCUGUGUUGGACAUAUAAAAUUGAUUGUUAGUGGCAUAGGCAAUUAUUUCAUUAGUAUAUGUAAUUAUGAAGACUAAUAUCUGAAAUAGUUACCUGGAUCAUUGUUUUUGUUAUUUUGAUUAGCACGAGCUUUCUUCACAUCUUCCGUAGUAAUUCCAACCUUUGGGAUAUCGGCAUGCCAUCCCAAUUCACCUCUUGGAAAGAACAAAGGAUAGCAUCCAGUGUAUGAUCGGAUUCCUUGUAUUUCGUUGUUGUUCCCAUGUAGUAUUACAUUUCUGUCAAAAGUAUUCCUCCAUUCAUUUCCUUCAAUCCAUACUGCAGCCACCUCAGAUGUGAUUGGUGCAUUGUAUGUCCUCUGGUCCAAUCUUUGGUCGAGGUUCAACAUCACUCGGUAGUCCUCAAGGUUUUCUUCCUGUCCCAAACUCCUAAAUUGUUCAGAGUAUGGAUUGUUGCGUAGAGUAUUGGUUAUAAUGAGUAAUACAUGUUUGUCUUGCUCGUACAUUUCCUUGCGGCAAUAGCGGUAACGAUGCUCUAGGGUUGGAUUGUCAUCAUAGAAGUAGAGUUCUAGAUGCUUAGGAUCUGAACCAUCUUUUGCAAAUGAGCGUAUGUUGUGAUAGAUCUGACCAUGUGCUCGGAAGGUGUAAAUACCGCUGUUUCUCAUGGUAGUUGUAUCUCUAUCGAGGCGACAGUACAGAGAAGUAAAUGAGAAGUGGCCAUUGAAAAACCUUAUAUUCUUUCGAAAAUGUAUUGCAUCAGAGUCAUUGCUCAUCCAUAGUCUCAUGAGCUGAUGUGGUGUCUCAAGAUUUGUAAGUUUGAUCUGUCCUUUUCGACAGCACAGCCCCUCAGGUUCGUGGUGAAAUUUUUUUGCGUCGCAAUAUUUGCAAUUUUCAACAGGUUUCAGCAUGUGUGUGUUGUCUGGUAUGUUACUAUAGACGAUGUCAUAUGGAUCAUUGAUGUUUGAAUCCUCAGGAACGGUUGACUCAUUUUCCUUUAUUUCUACCUCCAUAUCUUCCCAUUCUGCUGUGAUUUGUAGGAUGAAAGAAAUUAGAGAAGUACUCACAUUGUGAUGUGAAAAUAUUUUAACGUGUUUAUCAUACCUUGACCAGAAAUGAUGUUAUCCUCCUCAUCGGUGUCUUCUUCAUAUACAACUCCAUCGUCACCUACAUAGAAUUAUGUGAAUUAUAUGAUGUUUUCCAUUGCAUGAUGAGAAUAUAAAUUUAGUAUAUAUCCUUACCAUAUGGUUCAUCAUCAAUGAAUGAUUGAUUUGUUUCUUCUCCAUCCUUGCUGCCUGGACACAUUGAAUAGGGGAUAUCUGUCCAUGAAAGAUUGUUAACAUUGUAAAAAUUGAUGCAUGUUUUAUCUGAUUGUGAGAGCCAUAUAUGCAAUUGGGAGUAUUACCUUCCUUCAUGUUUGUUGGCUGUUUUAGAGAUUCUAGAUCAUCUAUGACUUUGGUGUUCGUAGAACAGUCUUCAUUUGGUAGGGCAGGAGUUUUUUCCAUUGUUCUAGCUGUGAAGUUUUUGUUACGAUUUGCAGGGUUCUCCAUUGCAAUUGAUUUUUUGCUUAGAGUGUCACGUCGUCGUGCACGAAUAAGCAGAAACUUGUUCUAACUUUGCUUUCUUUUGAUUUGGUUGCAUGUUUGCAUAUCUUUCCCUGUCAUGCAUGCACUUUUUGUAUAUUUUUUGUUGCUUUUCUUGAUCAGUCACCUGUGAGCAUUUUUUUUGGAUCUGAGUUGAAUUUGUACUUGUUCAUUUUUGUUGAUGAUAGGCUUCACGACGUUUUUUGAGUUUUUCCUGCUUUUCUUGAUCAGUCAUCCGUGCAUACCUAUCUCUAUCUCUUUUCCUUCUCUGCUCUUUGGGAUCCAAGAGUUGCGAUGGUGAUUCAGCCAAGGAAUUUCUCUGCAUCUGGUCCUCCUUUGUUUACGUGACUUGUCGCGUGUUGCUGAGCAGUAUCUCCUGUCAGUCUGGCCCCGACUCAGCCUCGAUUCCGAUCCGAAUCGGAAGCGAGCUCUCGUGGCAGUCUAGCCUCCACUCCAAUCGCUGCCCACUUCACUGCCACCUCGAGGAUGCGCUGGCCAUUACUGGGUCCACACGGUCGGCGUCGCGCGGGUCCCUGAAGAUGAUGAUGGCGUCGAUGUCGAAGGACGGUGGAAGGUCAUCGGUGGACAUGGGGUGGAGGGCGAAGGUGGGAAACGGCCGCAGGCCCCGAAUCUGGACGGAACGGUGGCGGGAUGUCGACGAAGGAUGAUGGCAUCGAUGUCGGAGGACAGGGGAGGUCGUCGAUGGACAUGGGGAGGAGGGCGAAGGUGGGAACCGACCGCAGGCCCCGGAUCUGGACGGAGCGGCGGCGGGAAGUCGACGAAGGAUGAUGAUGUUGAUGUCGCAGGAUGGCGGGAGGUCGUCGGUGGACAUGGGGUGGAGGUCCGGACGGAGCGGCGGCGGCUAGAUCCCCAGAGGGAGGGCGGCGGAGGAAGGGGAAGGGAACGAGGGAGCUGGCUGGAGGGCCGAACGGAGCGGCGGACGAGGGAGCUGGGUGGAGGGCCGGACGGAGCGGCGGCGUCUACAUCCCCCGAGGGACAGGACCGGAGCCGGACGGAGUGCGGCGGAUUUCGAUCCCCCGAGGGAGGGGAGGGGAACGAUGGAGCGGAACUCUUUUCACUUUAAGCCCUCGUUUUCCUAUUUUUUCCACUCGAGCCCCCCUAUACUCAGAAGAAUUGGACUGCGGGUUGAUUUCACGAAAUGUCAGGGGUUUUUUUGCAAAAUGACCACGAUGUACAAAAAAUCCAGGCAGAAACGUUACUUGCUUUAAUAAUAGGUAAACAUUAGGAACAAAGGAGAGGACUAGGAGAUGCGUGGAGAGAGGCUUGGAGGCGUGGAGGACCAGCAAGGACAUACAACUCGAGUUGGAGGCCCAAGCCAAGUCGACUACGAGUCCACCUCGGUGUCCAGGAGCCGCCCACGGUGAUUUGGACGCCCAGGCCGCAUACGGACUCCAUUUUGGACGUUCUAUAUAUGGUUGGAAAGUUUAGAAGAUCUAUUUUCCAAUGGCACUAGUGCCAUGCCUAAAUUCGUCCUGAGUCAACAGGAAUCGUCGCAACAAGAUGGCGAACAGAAUCUGUCCCGGCGCUGCGUCGCCUUAUUUUGGCCUUUGGGCCGUGUAUCGUCGUUCGGCCCAUUAGGGGUGCGUCCAGGGGGUCGACCACGACCCUAACCCCUAUAUAAUAGUAGCUACCACCUUUGUUAGGUUUUGGGUUUUGCUUAGAUUAAUCUAUCAAGAACAGUUUCGCCAUCAUCGGUUUGUAAAACCCCAACUCGUGAGCUUAAUCAUUCAUCCGCAAAUUUGGUUUGCAUUCUUCCAUGUUCUUGCUUGCGUUCUUCGAUUCGCAGGCAAGGAUUAGCCUUCUUGGCGAGGUCGACCGUGCAUCGCCGGUCGAUAACCUGAGGAGACGUUGUGCUGCGAUUGCGGGGUUCGGAACGUGUUGUUCGGAAGUCGGAUCGAUUUGUGUAGUGACACCGCCCAAAUCGUCGAUUAACUGAACCUUUCGGAAGAUUGGGACCCUAGUCCACAUCAAAAGGGAAUCGACGGAUGGAAAGGUUUCAUCGAAAAGAACAUGAAGACCGGGCCCAUUACUGACAGAGAGUAUAUGGCCUUCUUGAUGAUGUGGCUAGAGAAGCAUUUAUUCUGUGGCAGAUCAGUCGGCCCCUCCUCCAACACACAAGCUUUGGCCGAAGCAUUAGCAACAGGCUCCACUAUUCCUUUGGGAAAACAUUUGCUAGGAUCGGCCUAUUACAUGAUGCAUCAGAUUGUUGUAAAGUUAUUAUCUGGAAAUCCUAUCAGGAGUAGUGGUCCCUGGUGGUUUAUCACCCUUUGGCUUAACUUGUACAUGAGCAAAAAUUCCAGAGAAAGGGUCGAAGACAAAUCCUUCCCCAACAUUGAGUCAGAGGAUGAUCCAUCAGCACGACGCCGUUGCACCUCCUUCGGUGAAGUUGUAUCAUCCUUCCCCGGCAGUAGGUUUACUCCCUUAAGAACGGUCGAGUAUUUCAGAUGUUUUUAUAUCGGCUUUAGUGAAGAAACCACAAGCUAGUACCUGUGCCAGAGGGAAGAACCUCUUUUUGAGAACCCUGACUACUUUGACUCGGGCACCAGUUCUUUCGAAGACAGGAUUAUGGAUGUUUUGAUCAAGCCCGGAAUCCUACCAGCCAACUUCUUCUCCAAAAAGGAUUCUCCAACGUAUGAAUUUUACAACCCGUCGGUGGCAGCCCAACAGUUUGGCCUAGGACAGAUGCCAAUUGGAGUAUACUUCGUCGGCUGUGUGAAGUUCCGAGAGUGGCUUUCAAGAGGAUUUGAAUAUAAUCGGUUGUGCAGUUUGAUACCAGACUCUAGUACUAUUGAUUUGAACAACUGGCUGGUAUCACCCUUUGCCACUCAACAAUUUAAAUUAUGGUGGGAUGAGUGGAAGCAAUAUCUAUUCUGUGCAUCUCCUGCAAUAUAUUGCAACUAUCUGGACCCUGCUCAUAUUGACCCAAACGCAGAGGUAACAAUUUUUGCGGCUGAUUUCUUUUUUUUCUUCAUGCCACAAGGUUCUCAUUACUGACUCUCCCUUUUUUCGCAAUCCAAAAGCCAGGCACCUCCGACACGCAGCCAAAGCGGUAGGCUGAUAGAGAACUACCAUCCAUAUACAUCAUUCCUGGUAGUCGGCUUUCACGCCCCAUCAAUGGAGGAUAUAGCCACCGGCCGAUUGAAACAUAAACUGAAGAUGUCCUCUUCAAAGAAGACAAGCCGCCACGUACGAGCCUGUAUUGAAUCAACAGCAACUCCGACGGCCGAUCAAUCAGCGACGCUAUCGGCUGAGCCCUCAGCCGUGCCAACCUCAGUCCCACCAGUAAUCCAGGAGGCUAACCCCCAAGCGAUUUCAGGGGCUGGAUCGGCGCCUGCAUCCCUGCUUGUAGAAGCUAUACAGGUAACCCCGUAUGCUGUAAACCCUCUAAGUAUACUGUCAACAUUGAACUCCACUCCUUAUCAGGUUGCGCAAAUUCUCCCAGAGCAAACAAUUCAUCAAUCGGCCGACCCUUGGGUAGAAACCUAACCAUUAGCAAUCCUUCCAGUCGAGGUAAAGAAGGUACCUUUCAUUUGAUUUCUUCAACCCUUAACUGACUGAUCCUUGGCACAAGCCGCCCUGAAUAUAUUGAUUGUGCCCUUCAGGCAGCCAUCAGCCGCAUGAUUUUCAGAGGUAAGAUAACUGACACCCAUUCCUAGAUCCAAUUAUCCUUUCAUACUCUUAGAGACUUUUCCUGUCCUUCUCCAGGAGGCUGGUCCAAGCACCGUGCCGAUCAUCGUCAAAUCCUCUUUUUCUGAUGAACCACCUGCCCCAAUUCAUGAGACGAGAGCAACUCUCCUACCAACCCAGGCAGAGGAAAUCCGUUUUAAGAAGGUAAGGAUCAUCUGCCUCCACUGGCCGAUUUCUUAAAUUUAUCAAUUGAAGUACUCUUUCCUCUUUAUAAGCAAGACAGCCCCAACAAUAGUCUCUUCUCCUUCGCGGUUGCAGUCUCUGAUGAUGAGGAAGUUGCCUCGCAUCAAGUAGCCCUAGGCUCGAUACCCGAAGAGGUCCGUGCCAAGCUCUAGAAUAUACGGACUCUUCUCCAGGACGAUAUUGGCCGAUUGGUGGAAGAUGCCUCGCCGAUUCGGCAAAUAUUUAAUGAAAUCAAAGGCCGAGUUCCAGAAGACGCAAAGGAAGCUCAUGCACCUGCAGCAUAUAUUGAAUCAAUGCAAAUCCCGGUGUUCAGAGCUCUACGACAUAUGGCCGGUCGUGCUAAGAUGGCAAAGGCACGUGAAGAAGAAGAGUCUUAUAAGCACCGAGCUCAAGAAGUGCAUCACCGAAUCGGCACUCUCAAGAAUUUGUGCGCAAGCAUUGUGAACGCCAUCGAUCGACUCAAGCGGCGUAGGGAAGAACUCACCAAGGAGAUGGAGCAGGUUGUGAAGGCCAUCGCUGCUGAAGAGAAGAAACUCCAUGACCUCCCGGCCAUCAUCGCCAAUCUGAAAUAGGAAAGGAAAACUCUCACCCACAAGGUCAUUCGACUUCACUACAACAUGCCAGAAGUUCCUGGAUCGGCCGAUGACGACUAGUGUGUAUUAGUGUUGACGCAAAAUCCUGGCGGUGGUGGACCCUGCAUCAGCACAUGAGGACUUGGGAGAUCUGCUUAACUCCAGUGCAGAAUCCAAAUCGCAGCGCGUGGUGUGCGCGGGCGUGCCAGUCAGUUUGACCAUUCAACUGACAAGGAGAUGAUAGUCGUGUGAAGUCUGAGGCAACCGGCCGAUCAGGCUGAUAUAAUCCUAGCACAGUAGUGAUAAUGGUGCAACAAAAUAAAUCAUGAUAAAUAUAUCGGCUGUGAAGUUGAUUCCAGUACCAUGAUGAAUGUGAGUGAUUCAUCGGCCAUCCAGCCGAUUUAAUAUAUUUUGCGAUAACCAUUGGCUAGGCGGCUGAUAGAAAACAUGAUGCUAUUGAGCUGCCGCUCCACCAUAGCUAGAGCCACAAACAGAUGAGAUCUAAACUAAACUCUCCACCAAUAUCUCUAGAUGAAACCACAGCGAUACGCCCGGUAGUUGCAGUCUAGAAAUAUUUAGCAGGGUGUUAAUUUGAACACCACCAGCCGAUGAAUCCAAUCAUAACAAAACUUAAUCCCAACAGCACUCGAAGGGGUAACCAAGAUUAAGAUGCAACAGGCUAUUAAGUGAUCUGUCAUCUAUAAUGAACCAAUCUAAAGCUAAUUAAAGCAAACUGAACGGCAAGACGAUAGAACAGAUAAAUAUCAGCCGAUGCAAACUUAAUCAAGGCUGGAUAAUCUGGUGAAUACCGUAGAUCAAGACAGAAGCGAUGCGCCGUAAGUCGAAGAUCCAAGAUAUUCGAUAACUGGUAGAUGAAACUAGACGAAACCACAGCGAUGCGCCCAGUGGUUAAAGCCUAGAACACCUGGUGAUGGAACUUUGCAGCUCGCUGGAGAUCGAGGUCGAUGCAACCCAGCUUGCUAGAAGGAACUCGUCGAGAAGCUACAUUAUUCCUACUCCUAAUGUAAUGGCGUGAAGCCGAAAAGGUAAAUAAAAGAUAAAUGUGUUGUAUAUUGAUCGUGUGAUGAUCCUUAUGCUCCGACCCAUAUACUAGGGUAGUACCUUUUCAAGUAUCUUCCGUUUAGAGCCCUAGUAAACUCUUCUCCUUCGAUUGUUUCCAGAAUAUAAGUGUUUCCUGGAGCACAUCUGCUGAUUUUAUACGGCCCUUCCCACGUAGGGGACCACUUACCGAAUUUAGGAUCUUUCGACCCAAUCGGCAACACUAACUUCCAUACCAGGUCCCCCGGAGAGAAUUGCUUGACUUUGACCUUCUUAUCAUACCACCUGGCCACUUUCUUCUUGAUUUCUUUGAUGCUUAUCAAAGCUCUCAAUCAUUGGCCAGCCAAGUCAUCAAGUUCCCUUUUCAUGAGUGAGGAGUAGUCGUCGGCCGCCAACUGGUCCUGGAGCGAAGUGCGUCUCGACCCUGCCCUCAACUCCCAUGGUAGUACUGCCUCGUGACCGUACACCAACUGAUAAGGGGACAUCUUGGUGGCCCCAUGGCAAGCCAUCCUGUAUGCCCAUAGAGCUUCAGUCAGACAUAGAUGCCACUUUUUCGGCUGCUCCUCUAUCUUCCUCUUGAUUAACUUAAUUAUCCCCUUGUUGGAAGAUUCGGCCUGGCCAUUAGCUUGGGCAUAAUACGGAGAGGAGUUUAACAAUUUGAUUCCCAUGUCGGUUGUGAACUUCUCAAAUUCUCCUGAUGUAAACAUCGUCCCUUGUUCGGUCGUGAUAGUCUGGGGGAUGCCGAAACGAUUAACGAUAUGGUCUCUUAUGAAGCCAACCAUAGCAGCCGAUGUUACGCCCCUUAACGGAAUUGCCUCCACCCAUUUGGUGAAAUAAUCAGUGGCCACCAGAAUGAACUUGUGCCCUUUGCUUGACGGAGGAUAAAUUUGGCCGAUGAAGUCUAUUCCUCAACCUCUGAACAGCCAUGGUUUGAUAAUGGGAUUCAUGGCUGAUGCGGGCGCACGUUGGACAUUCCUAUAUUUCUGACAAUCCUGGCACCCUUUAUAAUAUUUGAAGCAAUCUUCGAGGAUCGUCGGCCAGUAAUACCCAUUAUUCCUAAUCAUCCAUUUCAUCUUAUGUGCCAAUUGGUGGGCUCUACACACUCCUUCAUGGAUUUCCGCCAUCAGAGUCUUAGCCUCCUCCAUUCCUAGACACCGCCGAUCCACUUUCUUAGAUGGAUCUUUCAGGUAAUCGGCAAUCUCCUUUCGCCAGUCAUUGGCCGCGAGCUCUAGAGCCAAGGCGCCUUGAAUCGGCUGAUACCCAAAUGCGUGUUGGGCGAGCUUGUUGGCAUCCUCAUUGUGAUUCCUUGGGAUGUGCUCGAUAACUGCCGACUUGAAUUCUUUCAGAAGCAGCAGGCAAUCUUCGUAAUAAAUCAUCAACACAUCAUCCUUGCACUCAGACUUCCCUGUUAACUGAUCCACGAUAAGCAUGGAAUCCCCAAAAAUUUCGACGGAAUCAGCUUUGACUUCCCUUAGCAAUUGUAAUCCCUUCAAUACAGCUCGGUACUCUGCUUGAUUGUUAGUGGCGGAUGCUUCUAUCGGCAGAGAGAAAUCAUAGCUUGCCCCCCGAGGCGAUAUGAGGACGAUGCCGAUUCUUGAUCCGGCCCCACAUGACGAUCCAUCAAAGUAUAAGGUCCAAGGUACUGGUUCUACGAAGGUAGCCUCUAGCCCGCAGUGCUGGGCAACGAAAUCGGCCAUGACCUGACCCUUGACGGCUUUUGCCGAUUGAUAUCGAAGGUCAAACUCCGACAAAGCCAAGAUCCAUUUUCCGAUCCGUCCUUUCAAAAUCGGCAGUGACAACAUGUAUUUUACCAUGUCGUCCUUGCAUACGACCACACAUUCCGCUGACAGCAAAUAGUGCCUGAGUUUGGUGCAUGAGAAGUAAAGGCAUAGGCACAACCGCUCCACUGGAGGAUACCUUAUUUCGGCGUUCAGAAGUCUUCUACUGACAUAAUAAAUUACUCGUUCCUUUCCCUCGAACUCCUGGACCAGAGCCGACCCACUAGCUCGUUCAUCGGCUGAUAAAUAUAGUUUAAACGGCUUACCAGUUUGAGGAGGGACCAAUACCGGUGGUGAGACCAAGUACUGCUUGAUAUCUUCCAAUGCCUUGCGUUGCUCUUCUCCCCAUAUGAACUCCUGGUCGGGCUUCAACUUUAAUAAUGGUGUGAAGGCUUGGAUUCGCCCAGACAGAUUAGAUAUGAAUCUUCUGAUGAAAUUCACCUUGCCGAUUAGAGAUUGCAGCUCAGUUUUAUUCUGCGGGGCCAUGACUUUGUUGAUGGCCGCUAUGGUCUUUCGAUUGAUCUCUAUUCCCUGCUCGUGCACCAUGAAUCCUAAGAAUUGUCCAGCGGAUACGCCGAAGGCACACUUAUUCGGGUUCAUCUUCAGCCCAUGUUUCUUAGUGCAUUCCAAUACUUGUCAUAAAUCGGCCAGCGUUUCCAUCCAUGAAACUAAUAACCUUGUGUCCCGUGGCGGCAUCUAUCAGCACAUCGGCCGUCGGCAUGGGGUAUCCGUCCAUUGGUGUGGCCUGAUUGAGGUUCCUGAAAUCGACGCAUACGCGUAGCUUUCCGUUCUUCUUGUAUACUGGUACAAUGUUGGAGAUCCAUUCGGCAUAACGGCAUUGCCGAAUAAAUUUUGCUUCGAUUAGCCGCGUUAUUUCGACCUUUAUGUCUGGUAGGAUCUUAGGAUUGCACCACCGUGCAGGUUGCUGAUACGGCCGGUACCCUGGCUUUAUGGGUAACCGAUGCUCAACGAUAGAUCGGUCUAAUCUGGGCUCUCAUGAUAUUCCCAAGCAAAGCAAUCCUUACAUUCUCUUAACAGACUUAUCAGUUUACAUUUGUAUUCCGGAUCUAAAUUUGCACUAAUAUAUGUCGGCCUUGGUUUGGUGCCAUCGCUUAAGUCUAUCAUUUCUAAUGAAUCGGCCGACGUGAACCCGUGUCCCAGCUUCCCAUCUUCUCGGGCGAACUGAUCCAUUUUAGUCUGAGUCUUCGGAGCCGACUGCUCAGAUCGGCUGUAGGCCAAAAUCGGACACCUUCAAGAAGUCAGUAUCCCAUACUCACCCGGAUAUGCACUUGAUGGUUUCGCAGCUCCACUGCUGUGUGUCAGCUGCCGCGAUGCUGUACGAGGAAUCGGCGGUGACCACCUCGAUGUUGUCGCCGACCCAUUGUACAAGGCAUUGAUGCAUUGUAGAUGGGAUAUAGCAAUUUGCAUGUAUCCAGUCUCGGCCGAGUAGCAUGUUGUAGGACCCCUUGCCAUUAAUGAUAAAGAAAGUAGUAGGAAGGGUCUUACUGCCGAUGGUGAGGUCGACGCAGAGAGCGCCGCGAGUGGGGGAUACGUUACCCUCGAAGUCCUUGAGCAUCAUAUCUGUCUUGGUCAGGUCGUCAUCGCUCUUCCCUAGCUUCCGAAACAUGGCGUACGGCAUGAUGUUGACUGCAGCCCCUCCGUCUACUAGUAAUCUGGUGAUGGGUCGGCCGUCGGCCGUUGACAUACCCUUUAAGAAACAACGCUUUCAGGUGUUGCCAUUUGUCUUCUUCGGGCUUCUCGAAUGUGGCUGUCAUUGGCUCCAAAGCCAAUUGCGCCAUCUGCUCUUCCAUUGCCGACAUGUCCUGUCGGUCGGCAGGAGUCAUGAAUUCCAUCGGCAGUAUGAAAACCAUGUCGAUGUCGGCUACCGAUUCGUCGCCUCCUCUGUCGUUUCUUUUGGGGCGCCAUACCUGAGACCUUGCUGUUCCUCCUGUUGUUCCCACUGGCGGAGACGUUGGAUCCUCCGUUUUUGAGACUUGGUUAAUCCAUCGGGGCACCAUCUGGGGUUCACCGGUUUGGUUCGUGGUCUAGCACGUUCCCAUUCCGGCUCGCGUCCUAAAGGGUUCUCGUCUGUCACCCGAGCAUCGGCCAUCUCUUCAAGUCGAUUGUGGACGCUGACCUUGUUUUCUAGCCGGUCAUGUCGAUCAAAUCUGCCCCCCGGCCUAUCAUUUUGCUCGCGCCUACCUUCCGACCGGUCAUAUCGGUCACUUCUGCCCCCCAGCCGAUCACGUACUAGAGGGCACCGGUCUUCUUGGUCGCGCCAGUUCCAGCUGAUCGGCUCUGAUUUCCCAUCUCUGGAGCGAGACCUUCUGAACGGCCGAAUGUGACGAUACGGACCGUUGCACUCAGGGCAAUUAUCGACCGAUGGUAACCUGAGGUUGCUUUCCCAGCAGUGGAUGAAGAACGGGCAUCGCCAAUGAUCUUCAUGUCGCCGCAUCGCCUCUUCCCGGGACCUUGAACGUUCAUGCUGCCGUUGAUAUGUGUCGAGCAGGAAUUGGGAAGUAAUGGGUCUGCGUGGUUCUCCUGAUCCGUCGUCAUCGUCCUCCAGCCGUCGUUUCCCCUUGACGUCUUCAGGCGCCGCUUGAUUUCUGGGGUCUACGGUGCCGCUCUUUUUUGCCGAUUCGGAUGUCAGCACUUGGUUUGGAGCAAAUUCUUUCCCGUGUCAACCAUGUUAGUGGGGAAGGGGUGCUGGUCGAUCUUCAUCGGCUUGGCUGGUUUUGUUGGCACUUCAAAUUUGAGUCUGCCCUGCUCAAUGGCCGACUGUAUCUGCUGCCGGAAGAUUUUGCAUUCAUUCGUAUCAUGGGAGGUAGCGUUGUGCCACUUGCAAUAUCUUCUUCAGCUGUUUGGCAGAAGGAAUCGUAUGGUAUGGCGAGAGCUUAAUCUGUCCUUCCUGGAGGAGGAGGUCGAAGAUUUUAUCGGCCUUUGAUGUGUCAAAUCUGAACGUUUCCGGCUCCUUCUUGCCGAACAGACAUGAUAUCGGCUUCUUUCCUUUAAUCCAUUCCGCAAGGCCGAUUUCUGUGUCUUCUUCGGUUUCUACCUCUUCUAAGUAUGCCACCUUCUUCUGGAAAUUCCUCCGUGGAUCGAAAGAACGUACCUCUUGACCAGACAAUUGGUGGACGAUUUGGCUCAAGCUCUCAAACUCCUGUGAGGUGUAUUUUUCUUUGAUGUGAGGUAGGAGACCUUGGAAGGCUAUAUUGGCCAACUGUGCAUCAGUCAGGGCCAGGGAGUAGCACUUAUUUCUGAUUUCCCUGAAUCUCUGUACAUAUGAGGAUAUCGGCUCGUCGCUUCUCUGCCUGAGGCUGGUCAAAUCGGACAGCUUCAUCUCAUGUACCCUGGCGUAAAUAUACUUGUGAAACUGCCUUUCCAGGUCAGCCCACGUAAUUAUCGAGUUGGGUGGCAAUAUAGUGAACCACUGAAAGGCUAACCUAGACAGGGAUGACGAGAAAAGGCACACCCGUAGAGCAUCUUGCGCCGCUGCUUCCCCGCAUUGGAUGAUGAAUCUAUUCACGUGUUCCACGGUUGAGGUGUCAUCCAGUCCCGAAAACUUGGUGAAAUCAGGAACUUUAUACCGAUGGGGAAACGGUAGUGAGUCGUAUGUAGGCAGGUACGGUGUCUUGUAUGUGUAGGUCUGCACCUUCGGUUUUAAGCCGAAUUGCUCUUGAAUCACCUCUGCUAUGCGUGCCGACCAGUCCGCCUGUUGCUGGUGUACCGUCGGCUGGGGAACUGGUACGUGCUGGUAUAUUGGCGGCGGGAUGACUUGAUGAUGAGUGAAGGCGUGCGGCAUCUGAUGUGUCGUAGCCGGCUGCGUAGUCAGGACUGGCUGUUUGAACGAGCCCCCCGCUUCGUCAUAUAGUAUGAGUGGUCUAGUAGCCGUCUGGAAAGAUGCUUGGAGCUGAGGACUUUCAUGGUUGGCCGGUUGAUCCGGGGCGGCCGUCACUGAUGGUGCCCCCCAAAGCGCUGGAUUUAUCGGAGGAAACUGCUCGGAGGACAACUGAAUGGGACGUGGUUGGAAGUAUUGUGUGCCAUUAAACCCCAUAGGGAUCGAUGAUGAGGAAGCACCAAAACCUGCAACUGGAAUUUGGAUCGGCUGAGAAGCCGAAUAAGGUGUAUUUGGAUAACUCUUGUUCGGAGCCGUAAUCGGCGGAGCAUAUGUCGGCCCCUAGUACCCUUGAGAUACACCGCUAGCCAAGGAGCUGAUGACGGCAUUGUAUACCGUAUUAGAAAGCACCGGGGAUUGAUCGAUGAAAGCUUGAUAGACGGAUUGCUAAACCAUCUUGGACAUCUUGUCCGAGUCCUUGGUGAUUGUGAUCUGGCGGGGAGUUGGAAACGGAACCUUUUUGAUAGUCUCCCCGCUCCUGGUGCGACUGAAGGACUGCAAACAUGUCUUCCGGUAGUAUGCCAUCUGCCUCUCUAGUUCUUCCUUCUGGUCGUCCCUGAGAUCUGCCUCUGUCACUUCGAUGAUGUUAUCUUCGGAGACUUCAGCAGCUUUCGACAUGGUGUUGGUUGUAUUGGUCCCACCGAGCGUGCCAAAAGUGUGUUGGCGCUAGAAAUCGGCUGAUCGAAUUCCCUGUGUCGGACACACGACCCGGGAGAAUCUACUUAGCUCCUAUUCGGGUGAUCGCCCUGGUGCGGUUCGCGCGGCGUGCCAGCCAAUCUGACCUAUUGAUUAGCAAGGAAAGAAACGUGUCAAUUCCCAGAGGUUGCGAUCGGCUAAGGUUCCGAUCUCGAGAAAGCUUAUCAGAGAAUUGGCCGAUUUGCUGUAAUAAAGAAAUCGGCUAUAAUGCAGCCGAUUACCAGGCAAUGUCAAUAAAGAAUACUGCUAGAGUAAUCUAAACAACGCUACAGUAACAACACUAAGAACAGAUCUAAUCGGCUAUGUACGAAAUAGGUAGAUUAAACAGCGAAGUACAAGAAAAGCCGAAAUUACUGAUUACUAGCUGGAUAACUGGUGAUAAAACUAGAACAAUAGGUAACACCUAGAAUUCUAGUAAAUAUCGAUAACUGAUGCAUAAAUCUAAACGGAACGAUAGCGAUACGCUCGAAGUUAAAGCUUAGAACUUACUCGAUAAGCGGAACUUACAAGAUCGGCCGGAGAUCAAGUUGAUGCAGCCUCGCCAACCCGUACGAACUCGUGAAAAGGGAAAAAGUAUUGGCGAAGUCGCCUGCUUGAAAGUAAGUACGAGGAAAUAAUAGUUUGUUGUAUCGAGUUGAUGAUGAUUACAGAUCUACAAGGGUGGCUAUUUAUAGCCCCAUACAAACGACUUCUUAUCCGACUAGAACUCUAUCCCUAAAUUUAAACAGAAAACGAAUAUUUACAAGUACGAUUCGUACUAGGUCGAUUAUCACGCGCUUCAUGGGCUGAUUCCCUCUUCAAUCAUAAUCCUUUUUAAGCCCACAUCGGCCCAACUAUUCCAACCUCCUAUUCAGCCGAUCACCUCUUCAGCAAGGGGUAACCGAUCAGGACCCACAUGUCGAGGGCUCAGACUCACUCCGACCCUAGAAACUAAGGUUGGACGAGGCGGAGAUCCUCCUUUGGAGGGUUAGGCGCGUCCGAUCCCAAACCCUAGGGGUCAGGCGAGGCAGAGAUCCUCCCUUGGAGGGUCGGGCGCGUCUGAUCCCAAACCUCAGGGGUCGGGCGAGGCGGAACUCCAAAGAUCAAUCGGCCGAUCCUCGACUGUAGCAUCAAUUGGUCGAUCCUUGACUGUAGCACCAAUCAACCGAUCCUUGACUGUAGCACCAACCAACCGAUCCUUGACUGCAGUACCUAUCGGCCGAUUUCCAAUCAUCGCCCUUGUAUCUCGCCGCAUCUCCUAAUUUCUUCCACUUCUAAUGCCGAUUUUACUCGUGUCAAAAUCUGGCGUCAACAAUUAGACUUAGCAGAUCAGAUCCUUCAGCAGGCGAUUGAGGCCAUUAAUACCCUCCUUGGAUAAAUGUACUUGAACAUUGAAUGCUUUUGAACGUUUUUUUGAAAAACAUUAAUGCCUUUUAUCGUCGCUAUGUGAAUACGAAUCUAAACAGCUUUUCCCCGCAGCUUUUCAACGCAAUGGUGGUUUGCUUUGAAUGACUUCUUCUACUAACCGUUGCUUCCCGUCCUUUCCUCCUAUAAAUACGCGAUCUCCACGUCUCCUCCAAAGGCAUUCACACAAUGUCCAUACACUAUCCCUCUGCUAAAUGUUUUCAAAUCCCCAGCCAAGCGUCCAGAUGGCCUCUUCCUCCUCUGUCAAUCAGGUACAAAAUAAACCUUUUCGCUCCUUGACCGAUCUUUACGUCGACUAACUGCCUAUUGUUUCUCCAGCCAACCCAAUUCAGCCCCAAUCCUGAACGUGCUAUCGAGAUCAUGCAUUCUGACGAACCACUGACACAGGCGGACAAAGAUCUGAUCCAAGCCCAUCGUGAAGAACUUAAGGACCACCUUCCCACUCACAUUAAGAAGAUCGUGGACAAUAUCGAAGCCAACGCCUCCAAGAAGCCACUCCAGCCGUCAGUUGAGAGGAGCCACCAACUGCCCCGCCAAGUCGCUCUUGAAGACGUAAUGGCAGACGUGGAAGAAAAGAGCACCCGCCUUCUGAUCGAACUAGGCCAGAUCCAGAGAGAGAUCAACACGAGCAAAGCUCAAUUAAAAUGCCAUUAACGUAUUGUAACUUAAUGAAUGUGUUGCUACUUUUAUCCUAAGGGCGACUUGUACCCUGUCGGCCAUGCAUCCAAUUAUUGUACUGAAUGAUAAUCGGCUUAUUUGCACAAGUGUUUCUUGCUUUUUCGUCCUUAAGGCGAUGCGCUUCGCAUCGGCUAUACAAACCCGAGUCAAUAGGAAUCGGUCGUAAAAAACCUGACACACCGUAUCAUCAGCUAAGCAUCUACCCAUAUGCUGGGAUAGUACCUUUUUAAAUAUCUUCCAUUUAGAGCUCUUUUAAAUUCUUCUCCUUCGAUGGUCUCUAAUAUGUAUGCAUUUCCAGGCGCACACCGACUAAUCCUGUAUGGCCCUUCCAAGUAGGACCAACUUCCAGACCAAGUCUCCUUGGGAAAACUGUUUGACCUUGACCUUCUUGUCAUACCAUUUGGUGACCCUUUUCUUAUUCUCCUCAAUACUGAUCAAGGCCCUCAAUCAUUGACCCGCCAAAUCCUCCAACUCCCCUUUCAUGAGGAUAGAAUAGUCAUCGGCCGUCAACUGAUCCUAAAGUGACAUGCGCAUAGACCCAGUUUUCAACUCCCAAGGUAGCACUGCUUCAUGCCCAUAUACUAAUUGGUAAGGAGGAACCUUGGUGGCACUGUGCCAAUCCAUCCUGUAUGCCCACAAGGACUCAUUCAGUGUUGUAUGCCAUCACCUUGGUUGUUCCUCUAUCUUUCUUUUAAUCAACUUGAUGACUCCCUUGUUAGACGAUUCAGCCAGCCCAUUGGCCUAAGCAUAAUACGGAGAAGAUCUUAGCAACUUGAUUCCCAUAUCGGCAGUGAACUCCUCAAAUUCUUCCAAAGUAAACAUUGACCCCUGGUCAGUUGUAAUAGUCUAGGGAAUACCAAACCGAUAGAUAAUGUGCUCCUUCACGAAUUCAAUCAUGUUGGCUGACGUCACGAUUUUUAGAGGAACUGCCUCCACCCAUUUGGUGAAAUAAUCAGUAGCCACCAAUAUAAACUUAUGUCAUUUACUUGAUGGAGGAUAAAUCUAUCCGAUGAGGUCCAUUCCUCAACCUCUAAAUGGCCACGGCUUUAUUAUUGGGUUCAUAGCUGAAGCUGGUACUUGUUGUACAUUACCAAAUUUCUGGCAGUCUUGACACCCCUUAUAAUAUUUAAAACAAUCUUCGAGUAUCGUCGGCCAGUAAUAAUCAUUAUUCCUAAUCAUCCACUUCAUCUUGAAAGCCGAUUGAUGAGACCCACAUACACCUUCAUGAAUCGCUCCCAUCAGAGUCUUUGCUUCCUCUACUCCAACGCAUUUAAGUAGUACCCCAUCAAUCAUUCGGUAAAACAAAUCAUCUUCAAGCAAUACGUAUUUUGUAGCCUGAAAGCAUAUUCGUCAGUCGACCUUCUUGGAUGGAUCCUUUAGAUAAUCGGCAAUCUCCUUCCUCCAGUCAUCGGCCGCAAGCUUUAGGGCCAUGGCACCUUGAAUCGGCCGAUACCCGGAAGCAUGUUGGGCAAGCCUAUUAGCCUCCUCGUUGUAAUCCCUGGGAAUAUGCUCAAUACUUGCAGACCUGAAUUCCUUCAGUAACUGGAGGCACUCUUCAUAAUAGAUCCUCAGAAUAUCAUCUUUGCAUUCAGAUUUUCUAGUUAAUUCAUCCACAAUAAGCAUGGAAUCCCCAAAUAUUUCCACCGUAUCGGCUUUAACUUCCCUCAACAAUUGGAUGCCUUUUAGAACAGCCCAGUACUCUGCUUGAUUAUUAGUGGCGGAUGCCUCAAUGAGGAUGAUGCCGAUUCCUGAUCCGGCCCCACAUGAAGAUCCAUCAAAGUACAAUGUCCACGGAGCUGGUUCAACAACAGUGAUCUCUGGUCCAUAGUGCUGGGCCACGAAGUUGGCAAUUACUUGACCUUUGACUGCCUUGGCCAAUUCGUACCUCAGGUCAAACUCUCAAAGGGCUAGAAUCCACUUUCCAAUCCUCCCAUUCAAAAUCGGCAGUGAUAACAUAUAUUUGACAACAUCAUCCUUGCACACAACUACGCAUUAUGCCGAUAACAAGUAGUGCCUGAGCUUGGUACAAGAAAAAUAUAGACAAAGGCACAACCAUUCCACCGGAGGGUAUUUGGUUUUAGCGUCCAAAAGUUUCCUGCUGACAUAAUAAAUUACUCUUUCUUUCCCCUCGAACUCUUGGACCUGUGCCGAGCCGAUAGCCCGCUCAUCGGCCGAUAGAUACAGCCUGAACGGCUUAUCAGUCUGUGGAGGGAGCAACACCAGGGGUGAGACCAAGUGCUUUUUGAUGUCGUCUAAUGCUUUCUGCUGUUCUUCGCCCCAAACAAACUCUUGGUCGAGCUUUAAUUUCAGCAAAGGGGUGAAAGCUUGAAUACGCCCUGACAAGUUUUAUAUGAAUCGCCAAAUGAAGUUGACCUUUCCGAUUAAGGACUGUAGCUCGGUCUUGUCUUGUGGGGCCACAACCUUGUUGAUGGCGGCUAUAAUUUUCUGAUUGAUCUCAAUGCUGCGCUCGUGGACCAUGAAGCCUAGAAAUUGGCUGGCCGAAAUGCCAAAGGCACAUUUGUUAGGAUUCAUCUUCAAUCCAUGCUUCCUCGUGCAUUCCAAUACCUUGCGUAAAUUAGCCAGAUGUUGUUGAUGCCCUUUCGACUUGACGACGACAUUAUCAAUGUAAAUUUCUACCAGGACACCAAUGAGUUUAUGAAAUAUGUAAUUCAUGGCCUGUUGAUAUGUAGCUCUGGCAUUCUUCAAACCAAAAGUCAUGACUACCCAUUCGAACAAACUGAGAUGACCAGAGCACCUAGAAGCCAUCUUUGAGAUAUCUUCUUCGGCCAUCAGUAUCUGAUUGUACCCGGCAUUGCCAUCCAUGAAGCUAAUAACCUUGUGCCUUGCGGCCGCAUCUAUCAGCACAUCGGCCGUCGGCAUAGGAUACCCGUCCAUCCGCGUAGCUUGGUUAAGAUUUCUGAAAUCAAUGAACACACGUAGCUUUCCAUUUUUCUUGUAUACAGGAACAAUAUUAGAAAUCCACUUGGCAUACCGACACUGUCGAAUAAACCCUGCUUCAAUCAAUCUUAUGAUUUUAGCCUUUAUAUCAGGUAGAAUUUUAGGAUUACAACAUCGAGCUGGCUGCUGAUAUGGCCGUACCCUGGCUUUAUAGGCAACUGGUGUUCAAUAAUAGACCGAUCUAGACCAGGCAUUUCAUGAUACUCCCAAGCAAAGCAAUCUUUAAACUCUCUUAACAAACUCGUUAACUCACGCUUGUACUCAAGGUCUUACCUAGCACUGAUAUACGUUGGCCUUGGCUUGCUUCCGUCUCCAAGGUCCACCAUUUCCAAUGAAUCGGCCGACGUAAACCUGUGCUCAAGCUUUCCGUCUUCUCGGAUGAACUGAUCCAUUUAAUUUGAUUCUUGUGAGCCGACUGCUUGGAUCGGCUGUAGACCGAAAUCAGAAACCUUCAAGUAAUCAGUGUCCCAGUACCUGCCAGAUAUGUAUCUGACGUGCUUGUAGUUCCAUUGUUGCGCGUCGGCUGCGGCAACACUGUAGGCGGAGUCAGCGGUGACUACUUCAAUGGUGUCGCCGAGCCACUGGACGAGGCAUUGGUGUAUAGUAGACGGGAUGCAGCAGUUUGCGUGGAUCCAAUCUCGCCCGAGCAACAUAUUAUAGGACCCUUUACCAUUAAUAACGAAGAAAGUGGUGGGUAGGGUCUUACUGCCGAUGGUGAGGUCAACGCAGAGUGCCCCCUGGGCCGGAGAUAUGUUGCCUUCAAAAUCUUUGAGCAUCAUAUCCGUCUUGAUUAGAUCUUCUUCUCCUUUGCCCAAUUUGCAAAACAUAGCGUACGGCAUGAUGUUCACAGCAGCGCCUCCAUCUACCAAUAGCUUAGCGACGGGUCGUCCGUUGACUUGCCCUUUGAGGAAUAGAGCCUUGAGAUGUUGGCAUUUUUCGUCUUUGGGUUUUUCAAAAGUGGUGGUCAUUGGCUCUAGAGCCAAUUGAGCCAUCUGCUCCUCUAUAUCCGUUGCAUUGUCACGAUCGACGGGAGCCAUGAACUCCAUUGGCAGGAUGAACACCAUGUUGACAUCAGCAGCCGAAUCCUGAUCAUCAUCUUCUUUGUUGGCUUUUUUCCUAGGACGCCAAACUUGAGAUUUGACUCCUCCCUUGUCUAGCGCUUGUCUUUGGUCCUCUUCCUACUGCUCCCAUUGGCGCAAAUGUUGGACUCUCCUUUUUUGGGACUUAGUCAGGUCGUUUGGGCACCAUCUGGGCUUGACUGGUUUGCUUGGCGGCUUAGCACGCUCCCAAUCCGACUCCUGCCCUAGAGGGCCUUCAUCUGGGACUCUUGCGUCAGCCAUCUCUCCCAGCCGAUCAUGUGCACUGGCUCUGCCCCCCAGCCGAUUACGCUCGUAUACUCUGCCCCCAAGUCGAUCACACACUGAAACGCACCAAUCUUCUUGCUCGAGCCUGUUUCUACUGAUCGGCUCUUGUCCUCGAUCUCCGGAGCAUGACCUCUUGAACGGGCAGCUGCUGUGAUACUAACCAUUGCACUCAGGGAAGUUGUCAGCUAACGGUAGUCUGAGGUUAUUUUCCCAAUAGUGAAUGAAGAACGGGCACCACCAAUGAUCUUCGUGUCGGUGCAUCAUCUCUUCGUGGCACCUUGUGUCCUUCUGUUGCCUCUGAUAUUAGUUGAGUAAAUCCUAGGAUGUGACGGGCUGAUGUGACCUUUCUGAGCUUUCUUCUUCGAUCUCCAUCCGCCCUUUUCCUUUAACGUCGUCGGCCGAGGUUUGAUUUCUGGGUUCCACUGCGCCGCUUCUUAUGGCCGAUUCUGAUGUUAGCACUUUGGUCAGGAGCACGUUCCUUCCGGCAUCAACCAUGUUAGCAGGCAAGGGAUGCUGGUCUAUCUUCAUCGGCUUUGCUGGCUUCGUGGGGACCUCGAAUUUAAGUCUUCCUUGCUCAACAGCUGACUGUAUCUGCUGACGGAAGACUUUACACUUGUUGGUGUCAUGAGACAUGGUAUUAUGCCACUUGCAAUACUUCAUCUUCUUGAGCUGCUCGGCUGACGGAAUCAUGUGGUAGGGUGAGAGCUUGAUUUGUCCCUCUUGCAGCAGCAAGUCGAAGAUGUUAUCAGCCUUAGAUGUGUCGAAACCAUACAUUUUCGGCUUUUUACAGAACGGGCAUGAUAUCAGCUUUUUCCCUUUUACCCACUCUUCCAGGCCGAUUUCUACCUCUUCCUCUGAUUUGGACCCUUCUACGUACGCCACCUUUUUCUCAAAGUUUCUUCAUUGGUCAAAGCGGCUCACCUCUUGGUUGGACAACCGGUGGACAAUCUGGCUCAAGCUCUCAAACUCCUGGGAAGCAUAUUUCUCUCUGAUGUGUGGUAGGAGUCCUUGAAAAGUGGUAUCGGCCAACUGGGAGUCGGUCAAAACUAGGUUGUAGCACUUAUUCCUGACCUCUCCGAACCUCUGUAUGUAGCUGGCCACCGACUUGUCGCUUCUCUGCUUGAGGCUAGGUAGAUCUGAGAGCUUCAUCUCGUGGACCCCGCAAAGAAGUACUUAUGGAAUUGUUUUUCCAAAUCGGCCCAGGUAACAAUGGAGUUAGGCGGUAGCAUUUUAAACCAUUGAAAGGCUGACCCGGAGAGGGAUGAUGAGAACAACCGGACCCUCGGAGCAUCUUGCGCAGCAGCUUCUCCGCACUGGAUGAUGAACCUAUUGACAUGCUCCACCAUAAACGUAUCAUCCAGGCCUGAAAACUUGGUGAAAUUGGGCACCUUGUACCGAUGUGGGAACAGCAAUAGGUCGUAAGCAGGCGAGUAUGGUGUCUUGUACGUGUAGGUCUGUACCUUUGGUUUUAGCCCAAACUAAUCUUGUAUUAUAUCAGCUACCCUUGCGGUCCAGUCCACUUGUUCCUGAUGCACAACUAGCUGAGGAAUCGGCAUGUGCUAUUGGACUUGCGGCACCACAAUUGGGUUAUAAGCUGGUAUGUGAUGCGGAUCUUGCGGUUGGGCUAUCGGCUGAGGAGCCGAUGGAUGCUGUCGCAUGGGGUCAACUUGACGUAGUGCCUCUGCUGCCUCAUCGUACAAUACUAUCGGUGCCGCAGUUCUUUCCGAAGUAAUCUGCUGGUAUUCCAGGGCUGUUGGCCGAGAGGCUGAUGGAAACGAUGCAUGUACUGGAGAUUUCCCGUAACCAGUGAACGGUCCAGAUCGGCAAGUGUCGGUGUCGUCCCCCAUGGCGUCGAGGUUGAAAACAGCGGUUGCGCGGGGGGAAUCGGUGCAAGGUAAAAUGGCGCUUGUGAUUGAUAAAGGGUUGCACCAUUAUUUCCCAGGGGCAUUGUAGUGUUGUGCCCCCCACCCUGCAUCUGUAUUGGCUGAGGAGCUGACUGAGGCAUAUUUGGCACCGUUGAUAAGCCUCUGAUUGGUGCCACGAUAGGGGGGCGUAAGCUGGUCCCUGAUACCCCUGAUCCGUGUCGUUGACCAUGGAGUUGAUGACGGUGUUGUGCACUGUGUUGGUCAUCACCUUGGACUGGUCGAUCAUAGCCUGAUAAACAGACUGCUGGAUCAUCUUAGACAUCUUUCCUGAGUCUUCGGUGAUGGUGCUAUGGCGAGGAGUUGGAAGAGCAGCCUUCGUGACGGUUUUCCUGGUGCGAUUCGCGCGGCGUGCUAGUCAAUCUGACCUGUUUAUUAACAAGGAAGGAAAAGCAUUAAAUUCUAGGGGCUUUGAUCGGCUAAGUUUCCGAUCUGUCUUAAAAAGUGUAUCAGCGAAUCGGCCGAUUUACUGUAGAGACGACCAGCUAUAAACAGCUGAUGGUCACGUAGCAAUUGUGAAAGAAAUCACUAGAGCAACCUAAAUAAUGCUACAAAAGCAACACUUGGAACAGAUCUAAUCGACUAUAUGAUGAUAAAUAAAAAUAAUGAUAAAAAGCCAACAGUUCGUGUCUCAAGCUGGAUAACUGGUGAUAAAACUAAAACAACAGGUAAAACCUAUAAUUCUAGUUAAUAUUGAUAACUGGUGAAUAAAUCUAAAUGAAAUAAGAGCGAUGCUCCCAAAGUUAAAGCUCAACUAUUACUCGAUAAGCAGAACUUACAAAUUGGUCGGAGGUUGUAUUGAUGCAGCCCUGCCAACCCGUACGAACUCAUGAAAAGAAAAGGUUUUGGCGAAGUCGCCGACUUGAAGAUAAGGUGCAAGGAAAAAGUAGAUUUGUUGUAUUGAUUGAUGUGUUGUCUUUAAAAGCCUUACGAGGUAGCUAUUUAUACCCUGUUACAACUGAUUUCCUAACCGACUAGGAUCUAUCUCUAAUUUAAAGAUAACAAAUAUUUAUAAACGAAUGCAACCCGCAUCGGAGUUGGUUAUUAUUUUCUCACGGGCCAAUCUUCUUCUCUGCGUAAUCAUCACCCUGGCCCACUUUCGGCCCACAUCGGCCAAGCCAUUCUGGCUCCCAAUCGGCCAGCCUUUAUUGACUCCUUCAGCCAAUCAGCGAAAACACUAUAGCUCUAAUCAGCUGAUUCCCAACUGUAGCUUCUUGCUUGCCACUUCAGCCGCCUUCUUCUCCUUUGAUGUCGAUCCAAGCACAUGCCAAAAUUCAGCGUCAACACCUCUGGGCAUCUGCAAAGUAACGAAAUUCAAGAAAGGAUAUCGGCCUCAUCUACCCAAGCUAGAUCCUCCAUAAGGGAUGAAUCUGUACCAGUUAGUAUGCCGUCAAGGUUGCCCUGGAUCUCCUUGGUGAUCUUCUUCUGCUCCUUGAUCUCCUAAUCCUUUUGUCGGAUCUACUCCACGGCGUCCACCUUGGCCUUCUUGAGCUCGACCUCCAGGCACUCGGCCUUGAGGCGGUACCCUUGGCAUGAUGGAUGGCGUCCGCCCUCUUGUGCACACGCUCGUCCAGGUUCUGUACCAAAGUUACUCCAACUAUUCAUGAAACAAGAUAGGGAUGAAGUUCAACACCAAGAUAGGUCGGUCAACUUACAUAUAACACCUCUCCGACCUUGGCUGAGGCUUCCUUCAAGGUGGCAAGAUCUCUCUUGUCGGCGGCAGCAUCCCGUGCCAAGGCCAUGCUGGAGAUGCCUAGGGUGGUGGAGUAAUCCUCCUUGUGGUCAUCAACAUCGGUGUCGUAGCCCACCGCCUCCGCGUCAGUCGGUGCUUCCCUGAGAAUCUCCUUCAUUUGUACCUCGACACUAGCAUCUGUGGCCUCAGGCGUGGAAACAACACCAUCCACGGUGACAUCCUGGUGUGGCAAAGACCUUGGCUCGGCCCCUUAGGCCCUACAACCAGGCCACUCUCGCUCCCAGUCGGACAGAUGUUGUAGAUACAGCCCCACGGUUGCAUCAGGAGUCUAACGUUCUGCAUGGGUCCCGACGCAAGCAACCUGCAAGCUCAGCUCAUCCUCCGUCACCACCUCCCUGCUCAGCUGGUGCAGCAUAGGGACAGAGUCAAGCAACGUACAAACAAUCCUUCAAAAAUAAACAAUGCCAUGACCAUAUUUACAUUGUGCUCUUCUUCACUCUGAACUUUAGGCGAAGAGGCGUCAGCGGCAGCAGGCUUGGUCCUGUUAGCCUUUCUUCAUGGAUAUCCGUCUUCAGCCGUUCCUUGAGCCUCUCCAUGUUAGUGGCGGUGGUCUCAAGGAGCUCGACCUUCUUCUUCAUCAUGGCUGGGCUGGGUGAGUCGGAAUCAUCGCUCAGUACCUCAGACAAGGCUUCAGCGGGGGAGGCGGUGGCCGCAGAUGGUGCUUUGUGCUUCUUGCCCCCUCUUUUCUUCCGCUUCCACUUAUUUGUCGUCAGCUUCUCUACCUCUAGCGCCUUUGACUCCACCACCUUGCGAAUGGCCUAGCGUGUUCACCACCCAGUAGGAGCCGUGCCCUCGGCUUCCAUCCCGGUGCCUUUGAUAGGCACAUCCUCGUCGGAGACAUCGAUGGAUGAGUCCGACUCCCAGUCAAGGGCAGCAGGUGGCUGGUCGGUCUCGGUGGUCGACCAGAUCUUGGGUCGCUGCUGCUCGGCCACUCCAAGAAGUAGCGCCGGAUAGAAAAACUCAAACUCUCGACUCCAACAAGUUAAAUAGGAUCAAGCAAGAAUAGGUGCAAAAGCAAAGCAAGCAAACAAAAUGAUGAAAUCAAGAUCUUAUCAGGUCAGCUGGCCUCACGAGGGAGUAUGCCUCGGGGCAGCAUUUGUUCUUGAUAACACCACAAAAGAACUCGCAUACCCGGUUGGCGACCUCUUCCUUUGUAACCUUUCACUAUACUUCCCAGGUCAGAUCCAGCGGACCCGAGUAUUCGUAUGCCAGGUGGACCCUAUCCUUGAUUGGCUGCGUCAGCCUUUGGCAAAAAUUGAUACUCACAGCUCCUGCUGUGAGCCCACGCCUCUUCAUGUCAGUGAUCUCCUUCAGCAGCUAGUUGACCUGGAUCAUCUGCUUGGAAGUUGGCUGGUUCAACCAUUCCAGCCUUGUCACGGGUGCGAAUCCAAGGCGAGGCGGCAGCUUCGACUUCUGAUUGGCAACAAGGAACCACUCCUUGUGCCACCCCUUGUUCAAGUCCUUGAGCAUCAGACCAAACUACUCGGUGACCCUCUUUGGCCACAGUGAAAAUCCACAACCAUCGAUCAAUCUUGGUUUCCCCUUCGACACAAUCUUGAGUUGAAAUGAAUAUCUCCACAGAUUGAAAUGGGGGGAUUCAAAGAAUUGCUUCAAAGAAGUGGAUGGAUACAGUGACGUCCAAGAUGGAGUUAGGGUUCAGAUGCACUAACUCAAUCUUGUAGUAGUUGAGUAGACCGCGAAAGAAAUCUCUGGUCAGGAUUCCGAAUCCCUGCUCGAAGAAUGUGGCGAAGACGAUGGCUUCCGUUGUGGCGGAACCACUUCGGAUCUACUUGGUUAGACAUGAUUUAGCCGCCUAAUAUGCGACGCUCAUACCUAAGCCGAGUAAACACAAAGUGCCAUCGGAUUUUCCUCCGAUUUAACCACUUGAACAGGACCAUUUUAGCAGACUCACACGAAGGUGAGCGGUUCCAGAGAGUACAACAAGUCCACAAGUUAACCAUUAACCACUUAGUUUAGUUACGAAAGAACAUCAGAGUUUUACAAGAUUUCAGAAAACAACAGAAGGUAAAACACUAGCGGAAGCAAUCGUCGGGGUCGGACGUCCUGGUGAGGCCAGCCGGGACAUCACUGAUCCCUCUCCUCGCCGUCCGAGGAGGGAUCCCACUCGACUGUCCAACCCGGAGGGAGCUGGGGCGGCCAAGUGCCAGCAGGAGAAGGGUCGGGAGCAGCAACUUCACCUAAAAAACAGGAGCCACAACAAGGCUGAGCUACUAAGCUCAACAAGACUUAACCGACAUGGAGAAACUACUCCACACUUCUAGACAUGCAGGGCCUUUUUGGCUGAGGGUUUGUUUACCAAAAGCACUAAGUAAAAACCCUAAUUUCAAGUUUUAGCUCCGGUUCUAGGUUCAUUAACCGGUCUAGGUUUGCAACCUAUUCUAAGCAAUCAUAGAACCAAAACAAGGUAUGUAUAUAUCAACAAACCAUGUCAUCAUCAGAUUCCUCAUUUACUCAGGGUGACAUAGCGAUCAAGCAGUCUCAAACUGAGAGAGGCAGACGAAUCGAUUCGAGUUCUUUAAACCAUGCAUGGUGAACCUAACCUCACGACAUCCGCGCACCCGGAGGUCGCUUCCUGUGUCGGCCUUCCCCAUCAAUCCCCUAACCCGUGUCGGGCCCAUUUCCUUUGGUGCAAGGUUCCACAGACCCGGCCUCUGCCGUUCUGUGACCACACUUGCCACCAUGUGCGACAACCAGCAGGGGAAACUCCGUUCCAAGAACAAUGGGGCAACCGCUCACGUCUAGGUUCAAUCCGGUACUAGGCUUCCUCAUCCCAUACUAAGUAUGAGGUUAGUACUUUCAAACACUUGAUCACGAACACCACAACUGUCGGGCCUUAGCAAGUUUUCAUAGACAGACGGGGCAAUCAUCUGACCACCAAAGAGUUACCCAAAACCCUGCCACGUCCAUCGUCCUUAUAGUUGUAGCAGAAAUGUAGACAUCCAACUCCUACAACUCGCGAGUGACAGGGAAUCACUCGGCUUUUACCGUCUCCUAGUUAAGCAAGGCAACUACUCGGUCCAACAGCUAGUGUUCAAAUCAUAGAAAGCUAGGUCAUGCAUCUAGGGCUUCAAACAACUUCUAUACGUAAAUGCACAAGCAUGUUUUAAGGAAGGUAUGCGCAAGUUUGGAAAAACAGCACAGGGUUUUCAUGCAACCGGGGCUUGCCUUCGAGCAAGGAGGAAGAGAACUGCUCGACUUCGAGGGCGGCUUUGGCUUCUAGGGUAGGAGCUCAGCUACAGCUUCGUCUUCUGGCGCCGGGUGUAACUCGUAGAAGCCGUCGGUGAGGCGCAACUCUACACGAAUGCAAUGCAAGAGUUAGCAUAGAUGGUUAUUCAACAGCAACAAUUGCUCGCCUGAGCCUAGAAACUCGCGACAAAGAGCAGGAGGGUGUGGAGGUCCAAGGGAGCUGGUGGAGAUCAAGAGGUAAGGGUUCGAAAGGAACUUAUGAUCUGAUCCUUGAACUAGAGGAUGUGGUAUACUAGGGAUCCUCAGACGCAAGCGCUGAAGGAUUCCUAAGUUUUACACAUACACCAUCGGGUUGAAGAAAAAGAUCACAGCCGAGCCCUCGGGCGAGGCGGAGAGGGGUCUGCGAAACAGAUGGGGUCGGGCGAGACGGAAUCGGGGUCGGGCGGAUAAGAGGGGUCGGGCGAAGCGGACUGGGGUCGGCAGCUUACCUUCUUCUUCCUACGAGGAAAGCUUGGGAUCGGGAAGAGGCAGACUUGGGCGGAGGGACUAAGGCUUUGAACAACGGCUAAGUCCGGCAGUGCUCCGGCGGCAGUGGUGCUUCUUGUGGAUCACAAGUGAGCUUUUACGCAGCACGGAGGAGCAAGUGGCUGGGGUGGCUUGGGGAAAAUGGAGGGGAGCUGAGAGGAGAGUUCCUCAGGAACUUAGGUCUGGUGCUAGGAGCUUGAGCAGGGAGCAAGAGAAAUGGCGGAAGGCAGCAAUGGCGGAGGGAACUCCGGCGGGCUCGCGCAUUCCCUUUUAUAGCGGUUGGGAUAGGGUAGGGAAGCGGCGCGAAGGCCGGGGAGAAGCAAUGGAGUGCUCUACCAGGGCGGCGAUUGAGCGACGGGGGCGGUGGUGCAGAACUUCGGGGAUGAUGCCAGCGGUCACUGGGUUCUGGUGUCAGGGCAGCGCAGGAGCGAUCAUGCCGGUGGUUGAGAUUUGGCGGAGGCGGGCGUCGCCGUGCGGUAGAUUUAAUGGACGCGACCGGGUUAACGGCGCUAGAAUCGAGGACGCACAGGUGAGAAGACAAGCAGCCGCGGGCGCGCGGGCAAGCGCGGAGCAACAGAUUGUCGGGCGGCUUCUGACAGGGCGGGGAAAGGAGCUAUUGCUGCCGUGGUCGGGGUUGGCGAUGGAGGAAUCGUCGGGUAGCGAAGACCAGGCGGCGCGACUGUGUUCGAAGUGACGGAAAAGAUGGGCGACAUCGGGCUCUGCAGCCGGGAUCUGGUGGUGUGAUGAUGGGCGCGGGAGGCGAGGCGCGGCAGAAAGGUUGCAGAGGGGCUUCCGCUGCCAUUGGGGAAGGGGGCGCGAGAAUCCAUUCAGUCGCGGUCAGAGACGAGGCUGAGCGGCGGGCGUCGGAGAAGACGAGCCAUGCGGCGGGGAGACUCUAAAGCGGGCAUGCAACUCGAGUGCGCUUGGCGCGGAAGAUCUGGGGGAAAAAGAUCUCGCGGGUCCCCUGGUCAGAUAGAACGGACAUUUGGAAAGACUCAGAAGGAUCCGACGGUGGGCUGGUUUUGGCGGGGUCGGAACCGGAGCGAAGCGGGGAGGGGUCGGGUCUCAGGGGUCGAGACCGAUCGGAAGGUUGAACACUUAGGCGUGGAAAGACUAGACAGAUGAUCAGGGGCUAGGAUUAAGAUUAACUGGGAAGAUUUGGGGCCGGUCGUCACAGCCUACCCCUCUUAAAAAGAAUCUCGCCCUGAGAUUCAAGUAUCAAAAGGGGUGUGCCGUUCUUACCUCCUUGAUGAGAUAGAAAACCUGGGAAGCGCUUGUUCAGAUACUCGUCCGUUUCCCAUGUUGCUUAAUCUUCGGUGUGGUUUCUCCAGAGAAUCUUGUACAUUUUUACCACUUAGCGUCGGGUAUGCCUUUCUUUCUGGUCAAGAACUCGGUCUGGGUUCUCGGCGUAGGUCAGGUCAGGCUCUAUCUGAAGCUGUUCUUGCUCUAAGAUCUCGGCUGGAACUUGGACACAUUUCUUCAGUUGAGACACAUGGAAAACAUCGUGUAUAGCCGAUAGCUGUUUGGGGAGUUGGAUCCGGUAAGCAACGGGUCCACAAAUCUCCACAAUCUCAUAAGGGCCAAUGUAACGGGGAGCCAACUUGCCUUUUACUCCAAACCACUGUGCUCCUUUGGUCGGGGAGACUCGAAGAUACACAUGAUCACCAAGGUCAAACUGUAGGGGCCUUCUUCGCCUGUCGGAAUAACUCUUUUGUCGAGAUUGGGCAGCCUUGAGAUUGUCUUGAAUUACCCUUACUUGCUCUUCGGCUUCUGCCACUAAGUCAGGGCCAUAGACCUGUCUUUCUCCUGCUUGGGACCAGUUCAAGGGUGUCCGACAUCUCCGGCCAUACAGGGCUUCAAACGGUGCCAUCUUCAAACUGGCCUGGUAGCUGUUGUUGUAGGAGAACUCUGCCAAGGGCAGGCACUUGUCCCAAUUCUUGUCAUAGUGGAUGACACAAGCUCUCAACAUGUCUUUGAGGAUCUGGUUGACUCUCUCCGUUUGGCCGUCGGUUUGAGGAUGAUAUGUUGAGCUACGGAUGAGCUUGGUGCCCAUGGAUGAUUGUAGCUGUUCCCAAAAGCGUGCCACAAACUGAACUCCUCGAUCAGAGAUGAUGGUCUUGGGUACACCGUGUAGGGAAACUAUGCAGUCGAGGUAUGACUCCGCAUACUGCUUGACUGUGUGGGUGGUGCGGACAGGAAGGAAGUGUGCGGUCUUGGUCAAACGGUCCACUAUAACCCAGAUGGAAUCAUAUCGCUGUGAGGUAAGGGGCAGUCCAACUAUGAAGUCCAUACUGAUGUCUUCCCAUUUCCAAGAGGGAAUAGGUAGUGGCUGCAGGGUACCUGCUACCUUUAGAUGGCUGGCUUUGACACGUUGACAGGUGUCACAUUCUGAAACAUACCGGGCUAUUUCCGACUUCAUUCCACUCCACCAAAAGGUUUGACGGAGAUCAUGGUACAUCUUAUUGCUGCCAGGAUGGAUUGAGAACUUGGAGAGAUAAGCUUCAUCUAAGAUCCGCUUCUUAAUGUCGGGGUCGGCUGGUACAACCAGUCUGUUUCCAUAAUAUACACCUCCAGUUUCGUCCUGCCGGAAUUGCUUAUAUCCUUCAUCCUUUACUGAGAUCUUCUUGAUGAUCCACUUUAUUUCUUCAUCCUUUACUUGUGCUGCCCGGAUUUGGUCUUCUAGAACUGAGUUAAGGGUGAUGUGGCCGAGGGUUCCAUGGGAAAUAAUCUCCAAACUGAGUUUUCCCAUCUCAUGACACAGAGUCUCAGUGAAAGCUGUUACCAACAAGCAGUUGCAACGGUGCUUGCGACUAAGAGCAUCGGCCACCACAUUGGCCUUGCCGGGGUGAUAGUGAACUUCCAAGUCAUAGUCUUUUAUCAACUCCAACCAUCUUCUUUGACGCAUGUUGAGGUCGGCUUGAGUGAAGAUGUACUUGAGGCUCUUGUGGUCGGUAUAAAUGUUGCAAUGGGUACCCAUCAGAUAAUGUCUCCAUAUCUUUAAGGCAUGUAUCACUGCUGCUAGCUCAAGGUCAUGGGUUGGGUAGCUCAGCUCAUGAGGUCGUAAUGCUCGUGAGGCAUAGGCAAUGACUCGGUUGUCUUGCAUAAGAACACACCCAAGUCCAGUGCCAGAGGCGUCACAGUACACAUCAAAUGGCCUGGAAGGGUCGGGCUGAGCCAAAACUGGGGUUGUGGUCAGCAGGUGCUUCAGGGUCUUAAAGGCUUCUUCACACUUGUCGUUCCACACGAAUUUGACCUCCUUCUUCAACAACUCCGUCAUCGGCUUAGCUAUCUUAGAGAAAUCCGGUAUGAAGCGCCAAUAGUAGCCUGCCAGUCCAAGGAAACUUCUGAUCUGGUGCACUGAGGCAGGAGGCUUCCAUUCCAUAACUUCCUGUACCUUAUUGGGGUCGACGGCUAUACCAGCCUUGGAGAUAGUGUGUCCCAAAAACUUGACACUAUCUAACCAAAACUCACACUUGGAGAACUUGGCAUAGAGUUUGUGAUCUCUCAGCCGUUGGAGAACUACAUGAAGAUGAUCGGCAUGUUCUUCCUCGCUCUUCGAGUACACUAGGAUAUCAUCAAUGAACACCACUACAAACUUGUCCAGCUCGGGCAUGAACACCAAGUUAAUAAGGUACAUGAAAUAGGUGGGUGCAUUGGUGAGUCCCAAGGACAUGACCAGGUACUCGUAUAGUCCAUAUCUUGUGGAGAAGGCUGUCUUGGGUAUGUCGCAGGGUCGGAUCUUGAUUUGGUGAUAACCAGAACGAAGAUCGAUCUUGGAGAACACUUUUGCUCUGGCUAACUGAUCGAACAAGACAUCAAUGCGUGGCAGUGGGUACUUGUUCUUGAUGGUCACAGCAUUGAGGGGUCAGUAGUCCACACACAUGCGUAGACUGCCAUCCUUCUUCUUCACAAAUAGGGCAGGGCAACCCCAAGAUGAUGUGCUGGGUUGGAUGAAGACUUUUUUCAACAGAUCAUGCAACUGGGUCUUCAACUCGGCCAACUCAGCAGGUGGCAUCCGAUAGGGCCUCUUAGAUAUCGGUGCGGUGCCAGGGAUCAACUCUAUGGAAAACUCCACUUCUCUAUCAGGUGGCAUACCAGGCAAGUCUUCAGGGAACAUGUCAGGGUACUCACAGACAACAGGGAGGUUUUCUAGGCGGGCUCCCGAUAGAGGGUAUGCACAAGGAAGUGCAGACUCAGGAUGUUUCAAGGAUAGGAUAGAACUGCCAUGGAAGGGUGAGCCGAUGUAGAGAGAUCGGGCUGCUGUAUCUAGAACCACAUGAUGUCGGGCCAUCCAAUCCAUCCCAAGGAUGACAUCUAUGCCUUCUAGGUCAAGGAUGAUAAGGUUUUCCUUGAAAAGGGUUGGGCCUAGCUAGAGAGGUACAAGAGUAACGAUCUGAUCCGAUGCUAUCUUCCCUCCAGGAGUGGCGAUCACAUAAAAUUCCUUAGUGUGACCGACAUCCAGCUCACAUCUUUCUCUAGCCUUACUCCCGAUAAAGCUAUGAGAGGCUCCCGAAUCAAACAACACAACCACAGCUUGAUUUAAAACAAGGAAAGUACCCGUCAUUACUGGCGCACCUUCGGGGAGCUCGGUCAAGCUGGUGUAGUUGAGUCAGCCUUGUCGGACUUGCACCUUGGGCCUUCUUCCUCGGUUUGCCAUGGGGUUCUGGCUUUGCUGUUGAUUCUUGUUCCUGGGGCAGUCCUUAGCAAAAUGCCCUUCAUUGCCACAGGUGAAACAGCGGCUACUAGCUGCAGGGCGGGGUGGUGCUGGUGGGGUCGGCCGGGGCACCUGUGGUUGAAAACCGGGAAAACGGGGCGCUGCUACUGGUGGGGGUCGGGCAAUCCACCUUCCUGACUGUUGGGCUCGGCCGGGGGCUUGUGGAGGAACCAUCCGGAACCUUCGGGUCGGCUGGCUCGGAAAUGCCACAGAGGCUUUCCUCUUCUGGUCGGCCUUAAGAGCUUGCAUGCAAUCCUCUUGAGAGAUGGCUAGAUUGACCAACUCGUUGUAGGUGUCCACCUUGAUGGGGUUCAACCUUUCUCUGAGCUCCAAGCUUAGUCCUCGGCGGAAUCUGUCCCGCUUCUUUUCAUCCGUGUCCGCAUGGUAGCCGGCAUAACGGCACAGGUCGUUGAAAGCUUGAGCGUAGUGCAGCACAUCUCGGGUUCCCUGGGUAAGGGCCAGGAACUCGUUGAGCUUGCGCUCCAAAAGACCUUCCGGAAUGUGAUGCGCUUUAAACGCGGUUUUGAACUCGUUCCAGCUGACCACAUGGCCAGCCGGCAGCAUGGCAUGGUAGUGGUCCCACCAGAGCCGUGCGGAGCUACGCAGCUGUUGAGCUGCAAACCGAGCCUUGUUGUGGUCGGGGCAUGGGGCGGUGAGAAGCUCGAACUUGGAUUCGAUCGUACGAACCCAGGCGUCAGCGUCGAGCGGUUCUUGUGUCUUCUAAAACAAAGGGGGUUGUGUCCCCAAAAAGUCCUCUUAGCGAGCCACAUGCGGCUGUUGCUGAGCCCUUCCACCAUGGGGCUGCUGCUGUUGUCCUUGUACAAGAUGCCUUAGCAGCUCAGUUUGAGGUGCCAGGAUUGCCUCUAGUGGAGAUGAUGGCGGGGGUGGGGGAAGAUCCUGUCGCUGCUCGCUACUGCCGGGCACAGAACCAGACCUGGUGCGAUGCGCCAUCUGCAAGAGUUAGCGUUCCAUCAAAUUCAUAAUCUUAGAAGUACUCCAACAAAUGGAACGUAUAAGUUAAAUCCUCCAAUGCAACUCUUGCCGAUAAUGCAACACACAUCCUCAUAGGGGAGAUACACCUUUCCCAUGCUCAUAUUUGUUAGCGUUUAUCUUAGCCUCGUACUCAACUUCGGGCGAAUCAUACCCUACCCAGACUCCUAUAAUCCCACUCAAGCCAAGGGGUCGGGCUAGGCGAUCCUUCCGAGAAAAAGGGUCGGCAACGAUCCACAUUAAAAAGGGGACGGGCGAGGCGGAAGCUGCCUCGAAGGGUCGGCGCACCCGAUCUCAUAAACCGGGGUCGGCCAACUGAACAGACUCCCAGAAAACAGCGUGUGAUCGCGGCGUAACUCACUUAAUCUAAUCAUUCCAACACUUUACAAGAGUCAGAGACCAGACUAGGAGUUGACUUCAUAUACAGCGGCGUUCCAACCACAGAGAGUACUCGACUCAAGGCUGACCUAUUACAAUCCUCUCCAAAAUUUAAGCUGCCGAGGAGUACAACAAAGAAUGAGUCCCUAAGAACUCUUAAUCUACAAAUGGACACUAUGAGUAGGAGAAGGGGCGCCAUCUUCUUCGAUGUCCAUACUGGACGCUACUUCAUCUUCCUCGGGGUCCUCUUGAGCUUCGAGCUGCAUGUUGAGGGCAUGCAUAUCGUCGAGCUCAGUUUGAUGCUCCUCCAAGUGAGCAUUGGCAACUGCCAGCUCCAUCUCUAUCUCCAUCUUCUCCUCCGAUAGCUCGAUCAUGCCGUCCACGAGGUCGGCCACUUCUCCUUCGAGCUUGGAGAUCCGGUCUUGCAUGUCGUGUAUCUGAAUACCCCGCUGGAUAAGCUGGUAGGUUUGGCCUACCAUGUCUCUUCUAGCUGAUUGGAGGUACCCGUGAGCAUCCACUGCGGUCCGGGCAAAGAGGGUCAUAGCUCGCCCUUGAAGCUCGAUCAGCCGAUAGAGGGCUGCCAUGCAUCUGACAUUGGUGGAGAUGGUGACCAUGGCGUACGUGGUGGCUAGCACCUCAAUAUUCCCGACGCGGUCGAGCCACGCCGGGUCCAGCCGGUUCCUGGCGGGGAACAGGCCCAUAGGGUCUAGCGUGAUCUCCAGGGGAUGCAGCUGGCAGAACUGAGUGAGCAGCUGGAGAGCGGCAGACUCCCAAGUGUCCUCCGGAGCAAGGCCGUAGGCUGAUAUACCGAAGGAGGGCCAGUCGGGCCGCACAGGGGGAGGAGGUACCACCGCCUAUACAUGGCACGUCUGGAUACCCUGCUCCAGAUACAGCCGUCUGGCGUAUAAUGGUGGGGACUGGUACCCAAACCAUUUCAACAUGUCCCAUAGAAUCGUGGGGAAACCCUCAAAAUGCAGACAUGUCGACUGGAAAGUACCAUCCGCUCCAAAUAAAACAUGCCCGGGAACGGCCAUCUGGAACCAAGAAACCAAAACCACGUGAGAUAGAUUCCAAGGGUCAGGGGUCAGAUAGAGAAACAUUCGGCUUUAACCGAGAGCAACUGGAAGAAACUAGAAAUCCUUAGAACCGAAAAAGAGCUCUUCUGAACAAGGUUGCUUUUGAGAAGAGAACUUUACAGCUUCUGGUUAUGACACAUGCACGGCCUACCUUACUCUUAACCAAAAACAACUGCCCAAAACCUGGGUCUUACGCGGUCAGUGCCGGUGACAAGGCAACAAGUACGUCUCUCCCUAUAAUAGCUAGUCGGUUCUAGCAACGCCUCCUAAACGAACGCGGUUAGUGUACCUGCAGAAAACACCAACACACGAACCUUUCGUGCCAGCACCCAUGAAAGCGUUCCCAAACAUUACCGCUCACUAUAGGAACGGCACCCAUGCGUUUAAGGCUGCAUGGACAGCACUCCACCGUGGAAAUAGGUUCCCUUGGAAUGGAACCGUAUAACCCUUCGCAUACUCGUGAUGCGGAAUCAGCACAUGUAUAAUAGACGUGGCAAAUCAACCAUGCUGAUAGGUUCGUUGGAAUCAAACCGUACCAACCUUCGUAUGGAUUACAUACGGAACCUACGCACGUAUGAUAGACGUGGGCGAAAACAACCAUGAGGAUAGGGUCCUUUGAAUAGGACUCCCUAUCAACCUUCGCAUACUCGUGAUGCGGAACUCGGCACACGUAUGAUAGACGUGGCGAAGUGUUGGAAGAGUUAGCAAGAUAACCAAGUAAAAUAUUAGUCACCUAAAACAACCCCAAAAUCCCCUAGGGCCUCUCGCACUAAAGUCAUCCUUAACGAUCGUACGAGAAUUUUCAAAAAGGUUUCUUGCAACUUUUAUCUUUUCAAAGAAGUGUUAGGGCUUGUUGUGUUCUCUGUACUGCUAAAACUGCUCUGGUACCAGCAGUGGUGGAACCACUUCGGAUCUACUUGGUUAGACAUGAUUUAGCCGCCUAAUAUGCGACGCUCAUACCUAAGCCGAGUAAACACGAAGUGCCAUCGGAUUUUCCUCCGAUUUAACCACUUGAACAGGACCAUUUUAGCAGACUCACACGAAGGUGAGCGGUUCCAGAGAGUACAACAAGUCCACAAGUUAACCAUUAACCACUUAGUUUAGUUACAAAAGAACAUCAGAGUUUUACAAGAUUUUAGAAAACAAUAGAAGGUAAAACACUAGCGGAAGCAAUCGUCGGGGUCGGACGUCCUGGUGAGGCCAGCCGGGACAUCACUGAUCCCUCUCCUCGCCGUCCGAGGAGGGAUCCGACUCGACCGUCCAACUCGGAGGGAGCUGGGGCGGUCAAGUGCCAGCAGGAGAAGGGUUGGGAACAGCAAUUUCACCUGAAAAAUAGGAGCCACAACAAGGCUGAGCUACUAAGCUCAACAAGACUUAACCAACAUGGAGAAACUACUCCACACUUCUAGACAUGCAGGGCCUUUUUGGCUGAGAGUUUGUUUGCCAAAAGCACUAAGUAAAAACCCUAAUUUCAAGUUUUAGCUCCGGUUCUAGGUUCAUUAACCGGUCUAGGUUUGCAACCUAUUCUAAGCAAUCAUAGAACCAAAACAAGGUAUGUAUAUAUCAACAAACCAUGUCAUCAUCAGAUUCCUCAUUUACUCAGGGUGACAUAGCGAUCAAGCAGUCUCAAAUUGUGAGAGGCAGACGAAUCGAUUCGAGUUCUUUAAACCAUGCAUGGUGAACCUAACCUCACGACAUCCGCGCACCCGGAGGUCGCUUCCUGUGUUAGCCUUCCCCAUCAAUCCCCUAACCCGUGUCGGGCCCAUUUCCUUUGGUGCAAGGUUCCACAGACCCGGCCUCCGCCGUUAUAUGACCACGCUUGCCACCACGUGCGACAACCAGCAGGGGAAACUCCGUUCCAAGAACAAUGGGGCGACCGCUCACAUCUAGGUUCAAUCCGGUACUAGGCUUCCUCAUCCCAUACUAAGUAUGAGGUUAGUACUUUCAAACACUUGAUCACGAACACCACCACUGUCGGGCCUUAGCAAGUUUUCAAAGACAGAUGGGGCAAUCAUCCGACCACCAAAGAGUUACCCAAAACCCUGCCCCGUCCAUCGUCCUUAUAGUUGUAGCAGAAAUGUAGACAUCCAACUCCUACAACUCGCGAGUGACAGGGAAUCACUCGGCUUUUACCGUCUCCUAGUUAAGCAAGGCAACUACUCGGUCCAACAUCUAGUGUUCAGAUCAUAGGAAGCUAGGUCAUGCAUCUAGGGCUUCAAACAACUCCUAUACGUAAAUGCACAAGCAUGUUUUAAGGAAGGCAUGCGCAAGUUUGGAAAAACAGCACAGGGUUUUCAUGCAACCGGGGCUUGCCUUCGAGCAAGGAGGAAGAGAACUGCUCGACUUCAAGGGCGGCUUCGGCUUUUGGGGGCAGGAGCUAAGCUACAGGUUCGUCUUCUGGCGCCGGGUGUAACUCGUAGAAGCCGUCGGCGAGGCGCAACUCUACAUGAAUGCAAUGCAAGAGUUAGCAUAGAUGGUUAUUCAACAGCAACACUUGCUCGCCUGAGCCCAGAAACUAGCGAUAAAGAGUAGGAGGGUGUGGAGGUCCAAGGGAGCUAGUGGAGAUCAAGAGGUAAGGGUUGGAAAGGAACUUAUAAUCUGAUCCUUGAACUAGAGGAUGUGGUAUACUAGGGAUCCUCAGACGCAAGCGCUGAAGGGUUCCUAAGUUUUACACAUACACCCUCGGGUUGAAGAAAAGGAUCACAGCCGAGCCCUCGGGCGAGGCGGAGAGGGGUCUGCGAAACAGAUGGGGUCGGGCGAGACGGAACCGGGGUCGGGCGGAUAAGAGGGGUCAGGCGAAGCGGACUGGGGUCGGUAGCUUACCUUCAUCUUCCUACGAGGAAAGCUUGGGUUCGGGAAGAGGCAGACUUGGGCGGAGGGACUAAGGCUUUGAACAACGGCUAAGUCCGGCAGUGCUCCGGCGGCGGCGGUGCUUCUUGUGGAUCACAAGUGAGCUUUUACGCAGCACGGAGGAGCAAGCGGCUGGGGUGGCUUGGGGAAAACGGAGGGGAGCUGAGAGGAGAGUUCCUCAGGAACUUUGGUGUGGUGCUAGGAGCUUGAGCAGGGAGCAAGAGAAAUGGCGGAAGGCAGCAAUGGCGGAGGGAACUCCGGCGGGCUCGCGCAUUCCCUUUUAUAGCGGCUGGGACGGGGUAGGGAAGCGGCGCGAAGGCCGGGGAGAAGCAAUGGAGUGCUCUGCCGGGGCGGCAAUUGAGCGACAGGGGCGGUGGUGCAGGACUUUGGGGAUGACGCCAGCGGUCACUGGGUUCUGGCAUCAGGGCAGCGCAGGAGCGAUCAUGCCGGUGGUUGAGAUUUGGCGGAGGCGGGCGUCGCCGUGUGGUAGAUUUGAUGGACGCGACCGGGUUAACGGCGCUAGAAUCGAGGGCGCACAGGUGAGAAGACAGGCAGCCGCGGGCGCGCGGGCAAGCGCGGAGCAACAGAUUGUCGGGCGGCUUCUGACAGGGUGGGGAAAGGAGCUAUCGCUGCCGUGGUCGGGGUUGGUGAUGGAGGAAUCGUCGGGUAGCGAAGACCAGGCGGCGUGACUGUGUUCGAAGUGACGGAAAAGAUGGGCGACAUCGGGCUCUGCAGCCGGGAUCUGGCGGUGUGAUGAUGGGCGCAGGAGGCGAGGCGCGGCAUAAAGGUUGCAGAGGGGCUUCCGCUGCCAUUGGGGAAGGGGGCGCGAGAAUCCAUUCAGUCGCGGUCAGAGAUGAGGUUGAGCGGCGGGCGUCGAAGAAGAUGAGCCACGCGGUGGGGAGACUCUGAAGCGGGCAUCCAACUCGAGUGCGCUUGCCGCGGAAGAUCUGGGGGAAAAAGAUCUCGCGGGUCCCCUGGUCAGAUAGAACGGAUGUUUGGAAAGACUUAGAAGGAUCCGACGGUGGGCUGGUUUUGGCGGGGUCGGAACCGGAGCGAAGCGGGGAGGGGUCGGGUCUUAGGGGUCGGGACCAAUCGGAAGGUUGAACACUUAGGCGCGGAAAGACUAGACAGAUGAUUAGGGGCUAGGAUUAAGAUUAACUGGGAAGAUUUGGGGCCGGUCGUCACAUCCGUCUUGUCCUCACUGGGGAAAACCUGGCCCAUUGUCGCCUUACAAUCCAGCAGCACCUUAGGUCUGAGCAGGCCACGGUCGACAAGCGCCUAGAUCCUUUUUUUCCGUCAUCAUGGACUUCACCUAGUAGGUGGAUGGAUCUAGCACCUGCUCCGCUGCCAUUUCUUUGGUUUCUACUCCUCGCAGCAUAGAUAUAAUGUAGGCAGGCCUCUUGGUUCGCAUGCAGCGGGGAAUGGCGGGCACUUCGGUGGUGGCUACAGCUUUUGGGCAAGAGGCGAUGGAUGUGGCUCAAGGUCGCGGCAACAUGAUCUAGGGCUUGUGAGCGUGGUGGCAAUGGAGUGCGUGGUGGUAGAGUUUGGGGCGAAAGGAGUGGAAGUGAAAAAACAAACCACGACCCUUCGUCUUUUGAAAGCAGCACCAGCGGAUGCCUCAUGGCGCUAGUUGGGUGUUAGGUUAAACGCGGAAGACGGAAUCCGCAGCUUUUCCGUUAAGGACCUCCUCACAGCAUAGUUUGACCACAUGUUGAUGGAAGGGAUCCGUGGGGUUUCCAUCUAGUUUGGCUUCAUGACAUACCUCCUCAUCUCCACCAGUCCUCACACUCAGUGGCUGGGCACCUAUUUUAGGACGGCGUGCCUCCUUGGCUCCGCCAGUCGCCAUGCCCGGGGGCUGGGUGCCUAUUUUAGGUCGGCGUGCCUCUUCAGCUCUGCCUGUCCUCGUGUUUGGGCGUUGGGUACCUAUUUUAGGUCAGCGUGCCUCCACAACUCCGCUAGUCCUUGCACUCGGGGACUGGGCACCUACUUCAGGAUGGCGUGCCUCUGUGGCUCCACCAGUCCUCGCACUCGGGGGCUAGGUGCAUAUUUCAAGUCGACAUGCCACCGUGGCUCCGCCAAUCCUCGUGCUCGGGGGCUAGGCACCUACUUCAGGUCGGCGUGCCUCUGUGGCUCUGCUAGUCCUCGUGCUCGAGGACUGGGUGCUUAUUUCAGGUCGGCUUGCCUCCGUGGCUCCAUCAGUCCUCGCGCUCAGGGGUUGGGUGUUGGGAUACGAGGUAGGCUACACUAGCAUAAAUCAAAAUUUCUACCGCGUAAAACCAGGAAGAACUGCCGUAUAAGGAUCACGGGAUUACCACUCGACGCACUACUAGUGCGGAAGAUGUAGAUUUGCGUCGAUGCAGUGAAGACGAUCAACGUAGUCGUACGUAGUCGAUCAACACAGUUGUACGUAGUCGAUCACGUCAACGUCCAGCAGCUCCUCAGCAGCUCGUCCACGUGCAGCAAGAUCGCCCUCGUGCCGCGGCUCGUCGUGGCUCGUCGGUGGCUCGUCGUGGCUCGUCGGCGGCUCGUCGUGGCUCGUCGGCGGCUCGUCGGCGGCUCGUCCAAGUGCUGCAGGCGCAACACCUCCAAGGUAUCCACACGUGCAGGGAGGAAGCGUCGCAAGCCGGACUGCUAGAUCCGCGAGUUGCAACAGGCGAGGGCGUGGGAGGCGCGGCAGGUGUGUUUCGCCAAAAAGGUGUAAACCCUAGGGCGCCCCCACCCCUCUAUUUAUAGAGGUUCCUGACGGGCCUCUGGGUUUGAGGCUCAUUAGUACUUCUAAACCUAAUCCAACUCGGAUCAGAUCCGAAUUGGGCUUCCAACCCCUUAAGUGUGUGACCCUAUGGGUCCGGAUACGUAUAGACAUGGCCCGAGUACUCCUACUCGGCCCAAUAGUUGGUAGCGGCCUCUAGCAAGACGUGCCAACUCCUAUACGCACACGAAGAUCAUAUCAGACGAACCAUCACAAUAUAAUAUACAUGCUAUUCCCUUUGCCUCACGAUAUUUGGUCUAGCUUCAAGCCGACCGCUCUUUCUCGAUCCUGUGAUUCGGAAUCCCUUUGUAGGUUAACUCUUAACCGUACGUAGCAUGGCCAUGCAUUUUCGGAUCCGAUCACUCGAGGGGCCCAGAGAUAUCACUCUCAAUUAGAGAGGGGCAAAUCCCAUCUUGAUUGACCAUGUCUCAUAGCAUGCUUCUUGACAAACCCGAAAGCUACCUUUGUAACUACCCUGUUACAGCGUAGUGUUUGAUAGCCCCUAAGUAGGUCGAUCCACAUCUAGAAUACAUGCGACAAUCUCAGGUCUAAGGACAAAGCGUAUAUGUUGUUUAAAGAGAGAACUACUUCUCGUGUUGGGUCAGUCCUAGCACAUGUCUGCACAUGUGUCCACAUUAUUAGUUCAACAUCUCCAUGUCCAUGACUUGUGAAACAUAGUCAUCAACUAAUAUAUGUGCUAGUCUAAUAUUUAUGUGUGUCCUCACAUGAACUCCGACUAGGGACAACUUUAGAAUAACCAUACAAGUAAAGAGUUUCACAUAAAAUUCACAUAAUUGCAAAUCAAUUCAAGUAGCCUUUAAUGGAUAUUCAAUGAACACAAUAUACAAAUCAUGGAUACAAAUGGAAUAUCAUCAUCUCUAUGAUUGCCUCUAGGGCAUACCUCCAACAGUCUCCCACUUGCACUAGAGUCAAUCUAGAAGGUACCUAAUACCCAUAGCUCUUACAUGCGCAUCAUGCUUAGCCUGCGGGAGUGGUUUUGUCAACGGAUCAGAAAUGUUCAGAUCCGUGUGUAUUUUGCAUAUCUUGAUCUCACCCCGGUUAACGAAGUCUCGAAUGAGAUGAAAAUGCCACAUUACAUGUUUGUUCUUCUGGUGGUUUCUUGGCUCCUUUGCUUGCGCAAUUACCCCAUUAUUAUCACAGUAGAGAUUCAAUGGUCUGGACACAUUCGGGAACACACCAAGCUCAAUGAGGAAAUUCCUUAUCCAAACACCUUCCUUCGCGACUUCGGAAGCCGCGAUGUACUCGGCUUCUGUCGUAGAAUCGGCCACCGUCUCCUGCUUGGAACUCUUCCAACUAACAGCACCACCAUUUAGCGUGAACACAAAUCCUUAUUGUGACUUUGAAUCAUCUCUGUCGGUUUGGAAACUAGCAUCGGUGUAACCUGUUACAACGAGCUCCUCCUCACCUCCAUAGACGAGGAACAUAUCUUUAGUCCUUCUCAAGUACUUAAGAAUGUUUCUCACCGUUGUCCAGUGACUCUCAUUUGGAUCAGAUUGGUGUCUGCUUGUCAUACUUAGCGCAUAUGAAACAUCUGGGCGAGUACUUAUCAUUGCAUACAUGACAGAUCCAAUAGCCGAGGCAUAUGGCACUCUACUCAUGCGAUCCCGCUCAUCAGCAGUCGAAGGACACUGAGUCUUGCUGAGAUGUAUGCCAUGUGACAUAGGCAAGAACCCUUUCUUUGCCUCUUCCAUGCUGAACCGCUUCAACACUUUGUCAAUGUAAGUAUCUUGCCUUAAACCUAUAAGCCUUCUCGAUCUAUCUCUAUAGAUCUUAAUGCCAAGAAUAUAUGCCGCUUCCCCUAAGUCCUUCAUCGAAAAACUAUUUUUCAGUGAAGUCUUUACGGACUCAAGCAUAGGAAUGUUAUUUCCCAUCAGUAAUAUGUCAUCCACAUAUAAGAUUAGAAAUACUACAGAGCUCGCACUAACCUUCUUGUAAACACAAGACUCUUCUUCGUUCUUGGUGAAGUCAAACCCUUUGACCACUUCAUCAAAACGAAUGUUCCAACUCCUAGAUGCUUGCUUCAAUCCAUAAAUGGAUCUCUGAAGCUUGCAUACCUUUCCAGCAUUUUUUGGAUCGACAAAACCCUCGGGCUGUAUCAUAUACACGUCCUCAGCUAGGUUUCCAUUCAGGAAAGUUGUCUUGACAUCCAUCUGCCAUAUCUCAUAAUCGAAAUAUGCAGCUAUAGCUAGAAUAAUCCGAAUGGACUUAUGCAUCACUACGGGCGAGAAGGUCUCGUCGUAGUCAACUCCUUGAACUUGUCGAAAACCUUUUGCGACAAGUCGUGCUUUAUAGAUGUGAACAUUUCCAUCCAUGUCCUUUUUCUUCUUAUAGAUCCACUUGCACUCUAUGGCUUUAACACCAUCAGGUGGGUCAACCAAGUUCCAAACUUGAUUGUUUCCCAUGAACUUCUUCAAGAUGCACUGUCUUUCCACUCUUUUCCCCUUUGAGAAAUUCUUUCUCUAGGAAAACCCCGUUCCGAGCGACAAACACUUUGCCUUCUGAUCGGUUGUAGAAAUAAUAUCCCAAAGUUUCCUUUGGAUAUCCCACGAAGAUGCACUUAUCCGACUUGGGUGUGAUCUUGUCCGACUGAAGUCGCUUGACAAACACUUCACAUCCCCAAAUCUUUAGAAAAGACAAACUAGGAACCUUUCCAGUCCAUAUCUCAUAUGGUAUCUUAACUACGGAUUUAGAUGGUACCCUAUUAAGUGUGAAAGCUGCUGUUUCUAGAGCGUAUCCCCAAAAUGACAACGGUAGGUCCGACUGGCUCAUCAUUGAUCAAACCAUGUCUAACAAAGUUCGAUUACGUCACUCAGAUACACCAUUUCUUUGAGGUGUUCCAGGCGGCGUAAGUUGUGGAACAAUUCCGCAACUCUUUAGAUGAUUGCUAAACUCGUGGCUCAAAUACUCGCCUCCAUGAUCAGAUCGUAAGGCCUUAAUUUUCUUGCCACGCUGAUUUUCAACUUCAUUCUGAAAUUCCUUGAACUUUUCAAAGGUUUCAGACUUGUGCCUCAUCAAGUAGACAUAGCCAUAUCUACUAAAAUCAUCAGUGAAAGUUAUGAAGUAUUGGAAUCCUCCUCUAGCCGUCGUGCUCAUUGGUCCGCAUACAUCACUAUGUACGAGUUCCAACAAGUCUACUGCUCUCUCAGGAAAUCCUGUGAAAGGCAUCUUGGUCAUCUUGCCUAGCAAGCAAGCCUCACAUGUCUCGUAUGAUUCAAAAUCAAACGAAGUUAGAAGUCCAUCAGAAUGGAGCUUCUUCAUGCGCUUUUCACUUAUAUGACCCAAACGACAAUGCCACAAGUAGGUAGGACUCAAAUCAUUAGGCCGAGGCCUUUUAGCACUUACGUUAUAGACAGGUGAACCAUCAAGAUUUAAAACAAAUAAUCCAUUCACAAUGGGUGCAAAAGCCAUAAACAUAUCAUUCUUAGAGAUCACACAACCAUUGUUUUCACUCGCAAAUGAAUAACUAUCCUUCAUCAAGCAUGAAGGAGACAAAAUGUUUUGACUUAAACUAGGAACGAAAUAACAAUUAUUCAACUCCAUAAUAAAUCCUGACUGGAGGUGGAGUUGCAUCGUCCCGACGGUCAAUGCAGCAACUCUUGCAUUAUUGCCCACGCGGAAAUCAACUUCUCCUCUUUCCACGCUUCUACUUCUUAUCAUUCCCUGCAUCGAAUUGCAAAUAUGAGCAACCGAUCCGGUAUCAAAUACCCAAGAAUUAAUAAUUGUAUCAGCGAGAAAAAUGUUGUCUAUAACAUUAACAACAAGCGUACUUGAGGUAGAAGUACUCUUACUUCCGCCAUUCUUCAACGAAGCUAGGUACUGCUUGCAGUUUCUCUUCCAGUGACCAAGUUAAUGACAGUAAAAGCACUCUUUGUCUGGAGCAGGUCCAGGUCCAGCUUUAACCUUGGGUGCUGGGUUUGGCUUGGACGUUCCAGCCUUGCCCUUCUUCUUCCAAGAAUUGCCCUUCUUCUUAAAGCUAGGCUUGUUCUGUAUAGCCAUCACAUGGCUGGUACUAGCGCUUUUCUUGAUCUCAGCCUCUGUUGUUUUAAGCAUGCCACACAGCUCAUUCAGACCCUUCUCCGUCCCAUGCAUAUGGUAGUUCGAGAUGAAGUUCCCAUAGCUGGGCAGAAGAGAUGAAAGAAUGAAAUCAGUGGCCAACUCUAGGCCCAGUGGGAAGCCCAGCUUCUCCAACCGUUGAGUGUAACCAACCAUCUUGAUUACGUGUGGUCCUACUACUGCGCCUUCUGCUAGCUUGCUCUCCACAAAGGCCUUAGACACAUUGAACCUUUCAGUCCUAGCCUGUGUUUGGAACAUUUCUCUAAGCGCCACGAUCAUAUUGUGCGUCUCAUGGUUUGUUUCGAACUGCAUCUGCAGCUCGAGUUCCAUGCAAGCAAGCAUAAGGCAGCUUACUUCGAGGUUAGCAUCACAUGCUUUCUUGUAAGCAUUCUUAGCAGCAGCGGGUGCAUCAUCAGCAGGUUCUUCUAGUAGUGGGUUGUCUAGAACAUCUUCCUUUUUCUCAGCCCUGAGAACAAUUCUCAGGUUACGGAUCCAAUCCAAGUAAUUUGUUCCAUUCAACUUGUCCUUCUCAAGGACCGAACGCAAAGCAAACGGUGUAGUGCUGCUAGGUGUCAUUUAAUCUACAACAAAGUAAUGCAAAAUACACUAAGACAAACAUAUCCAUGAUAGAGCAAAUCACAUUAAACUAUUUUAACAGAAUCUACUCCCACUAAAAACAAUAUCCCUCUAUUGACACUUAGUGAUUCAGGAUCCACAACUAACAAGUCUACUAGUGAGCUUUAGCAUCACCGCUAGCAAACAAGGUAGAUCGGUAAGCAACUUUUGCUAAUCAUAUCACAUAUGACUCCUGUUGUUGGGUGACAUCUCUAUGUCUCGGCGCCCAACCUUUAUGCCCCAAGGUCCUUAACCGUUAAGAUAACCUUGUUAAGCAAACCAACCCUUAUGUGUGUAAGUGUCCGACACAAACCCGUCUAGUCAAGGAAAACUAGUGGCACCCUAAUUUCAUAGACCCACCACUAAUUGUACAAGACAUGGGACGAUGCAAGUUUUAGUUGGGAGGGCAUACUAACUUAAACUUUGUGAGGGAUCGUUCUACUUCUAACAUCACAGCAUGCAAAAAGUAAAACAUAAAUAGAAUAGCAUUCACACAGUUGUGACACAGUAUGGCCCGUUUUCAUAUGGUGAUCUCCAUCUCCAUAGAACCUGUUCACCAUGGUGAUCUCCAUCUCCAUGUUCCAUGUGCGCCAUCCUCUUGGUGAUGAGUCCUCCAAGAACUAGAACAUGCUAUUACGCCUAAUAGCUAGUAAGGAAGCUACUAAUGAAGAUUACAUAGUUGCUUGGAUCAUCACAGAUUGGUACGCAGACCAUUAAAUACAAUAAAGUGACAACACAUAUGGCUCCUGCCGUGUUGCCGUACGCGCGACACGCAGGUCACGAAUGAGUUACACACAUGCAUCACAUACACAGAGAGGCCAUACUGAUCACAAGAUACAUACAUACAUCCUGCAAAACAGAGUUAAGCGUCCUAACGUUCCAAACUUCGGAGGCCCGAAACUCCAUCUUCCAAGCCGAAUUUGUGAAAUCUAAUUUCGCCGAAAAUGGCAAAGCCAUUGAAUUUCAUGUGUAACUUUUUCUGUAGAUCAAUUUUCAUAUAAAAUUCGCCCUGAUCUGAGAUCGUACCGAAAAGUUACGACUGAUUUACCGAAGCAUACGCAUACGGCAAAAAUCCCGACCCCGGUAGUAGAUCCCAUCUACUUUUGCACAUGUAAUGCGCCUGGCGUAUGACCCUGGAUUUCGAUUCGACCAAUCAUAUUGAUCUUCGCCCACUGCAACUGGAUUUACGUGUAUCACUUAACUCCGAUGGCGGAAACCGACCGGUAGGAGUAUGUUGUUACACUACCAUUGCAGCAAGAGCACGAAACCAGGACAUAGAUCAAACUGAAAACUCGCAUAUCUCCAUAUGCACACAUUCCGAAUCCAAAACUAAGCAGCUACGACUCUGAUACCACUGUUGUGAUACGAGCUAGGCUACACUAGCGUAAAUCAAAAUUUCUACCGCGUAAAACCAGGAAGAACUGCCGUAUAAGGAUCACGGGAUUACCACUCGACGCACUACUGGUGCGGAAGAUGUAGAUUUGCGUCGAUGUAGUGAAGACGAUCAACGUAGUCGUACAUAGUCGAUCAACGUAGUCGUACGUAGUCGAUCACGUCAACGUCCAGCAGCUCCUCAGCAGCUCGUCCAUGUGUAGGAAGAUCGCCCUUGUGCCGUGGCUCGUCGUCGGCUCGUCGUGGCUCGUCGGCGGCUCGUCGUGGCUCGUCGGCGGCUCGGCGGCGGCUCGUCCAAGUGCUGCAAGCGCAACACCUCCAAGGUAUCCACACGUGCAGGGAGGAAGCGUCGCAAGCCAGACUGCUAGAUCCGCGAGUUGCAACAGGCGAGGGCGUGGGAGGCGCGGCAGGUGUGUUUCGCCAAAAAAGUGUAAACCCUAGGGCACCCCCACCCCUCUAUUUAUAGAGGUUCCUGACGGGCCUCUGGGUCUGAGGCCCAUUAGUACUUCUAAACCUAAUCCAACUCGGAUCAGAUCCGAAUUGGGCUUCUAGCCCCUUAAGUGUGUGACCCUAUGGGUUCGGAUACGUAUAGACAUGGCCCGAGUACUCCUACUCAGCCCAAUAGUUGGUAGCGGCCUCUAGCAAGGCGUGCCAACUCCUAUACGCACACGAAGAUCAUAUCAGAUGAACCAUCACAACAUAAUAUACAUGCUAUUCCCUUUGCCUCACGAUAUUUGGUCUAGCUUCAAGCCGACCGCUCUUUCUCGAUCCUGUGAUUCGGAAUCCCUUUGUAGGUUAAAUCUUAACCGUACGUAGCAUGGCCUUGCAUUUUCGGAUCCGAUCACUCGAGGGGCCCAGAGAUAUCACUCUCAAUCAGAGAGGGGCAAAUCCCAUCUUGAUUGACCAUGUCUCAUAGCAUGCUUCUUGACAAACCCGAAAGCUACCUUUAUAACUACCCUGUUACGGCUUGGAAGAUGGAGUUUCGGGCCUCCGAAGUUUGGAACGUUAGGACGCCUAACUCUAUUUUGCAGGAUGUAUGCAUGUAUCUUGUGAUCAGUAUGGCCCCCUUGUGUAUGUGAUGCAUGUGUGUAACUAAUUCGUGACCUGCGUGUCGCGCGUACGGCAACACGGCAGGAGCCAUAUGUGUUGUCACUUUAUUGUAAUUAAUGGUCUGCGUACCAAUCUGUGAUGAUCCAAGCAACUAUGUAAUCUUCAUUACUAGAUUCUUUACUAGCUAUUAGGCGUAAUAGCAUGCUCUAGUUCUUGGAGGACUCAUCACCAGGAGGAUGGCGCACAUGGAACAUGGAGAUGGAGAUCACCAUGGUGAACAGGUUCAAUGGAGAUGGAGAUCACCAUAAGAAAAACGGGUCAUACUGUGUCACAACUGUGUGAAUACUAUUCUGUUUAUGUUUUACUUUCUGCAUGCUGUGAUGUUAGAAGUAGAACGAUCCCUCACAAAGUUUAAGUUAGUAUGCCCUCCCAACUAAAACUUGCACCGUCCCAUGUCUUGUACAAUUAGUGGUGGGUCUAUGAAAUUAGGGUGCCACUAGUUUUCCUUGACUAGACGGGUUUGUGUCGGACACUUACACGCAUAAGGGUUGGUUUGCUUAACGAGGUCAUCUUAACGGUUAAGGACCUUGGGGCAUAAAGGUUGGGCGCCGAGACAUAGAGAUGUCACCCAACAACAGGAGUCAUAUGUGACAUGAUUAGCAAAAGUUGCUUACCGAUCUACCUCGUUUGCUAGCGGUGAUGCUAAAGCUCACUAGUGGACUUGUUAGUUGUGGAUCCUAAAUCACUAAGUUUCAAUAGAGGGAUAUUCAUUUUAGUGGGAGUAGAUUCUGUUAAAAUAGUUUAAUGUAAUUUGCUCUAUCAUGGAUACGUUUGUCUUAGUGUAUUUUGCAUUACUUUUGUUGUAGAUUAAAUGGCACCUAGCAACACCACCACAUCUUUUGCUUUGCGUUCGGUCCUUGAGAAGGACAAGUUGAAUGGAACAAACUACUCGGAUUGGAUCCGCAACCUGAGAAUUGUUCUCAGGGCUGAGAAAAAGGAAGAUGUUCUAGACAACCCACUACCAGAAGAACCUGCUGAGGAUGCACCCGCUGCUGCUAAGAAUGCUUACAAGAAAGCAUGUGAUGCUAACCUCGAAGUAAGCUGCCUUAUGCUAGCUUGCAUGGAACCCGAGCUGCAGAUGCAGUUCGAAACAAACCAUGAGGCGCACGAUAUGAUCGUGGCGCUUAGAGACAUGUUCCAAACACAGGCCAGGACUGAAAGGUUCAAUGUGUCUAAGGCCUUUGUUGAGAGCAAGCUAGCAGAAGGCGCAGCAGUAGGACCACACGUAAUCAAGAGUUGGCCACUGAUUUCAUUCUUUCGUCUCUUCCUCCUAGCUAUGGGAACUUCAUCUCGAACUACCAUAUGCAUGGGACGGAGAAGGGUCUGAAUGAGCUAUGUGGCAUGCUUAAAACAGCAGAGGCUGACAUAAAGAAAAGCGCUAGUACCAGCCAUGUGAUGGCGAUACAGAACAAGCCCAGCUUUAAGAAGAAGGGCAAUUCUUGGAAGAAGAAGGGCAAGGCUGGAACGUCCAAGCCAAACCCACCGCCCAAGGUUAAAGCUGGACCUGGACCUGCUCCAGAUAAAGAGUGCUUUUACUGUCAUGAACUUGGUCACUGGAAGAGAAACUGCAAGCAGUACCUAGCUUCGUUGAAGAACGGCGGCAGUAAGAGUACUUCUACCUCAGGUUUGCUUGUUGUUUAUGUUAUAGACAACAUAUUUCUCGCUGAUACAGUUAUUAAUUCUUGGGUAUUUGAUACCGGAUCGGUUGCUCAUAUUUGCAAUUCGAUGCAGGAAUGAUAAGAAGUAGAAGCGUGGAAAGAGGAGAAGUUGAUUUCCGCGUGGGCAAUAAUGCAAGAGUUGCUGCUUUGACCGUCGGGACGAUGCAACUCCACCUCCCGUCAGGAUUUAUUAUGGAGUUGAAUAAUUGUUAUUUUGUUCCUAGUUUAAGUCGAAACAUUUUAUCUCCUUCAUGUUUGAUGAAGGAUGGUUAUUCAUUUGCGAGUGAAAACAAUGGUUGUGUGAUCUCUAAGAAUAAUAUGUUUAUGGCUUUUGCACCCAUUGUGAAUGGAUUAUUUGUUUUAAAUCUUGAUGGUUCACCUGUCUGUAAUGUAAGUGCUAAAAGGCCUCGGCCUAAUGAUUUGAGUCCUACCUACUUGUGGCAUUGUCGUUUGGGUCAUAUAAGUGAAAACCGCAUGAAGAAGCUCCAUUCUGAUGGACUUCUAACUUCGUUUGAUUUUGAAUCAUACGAGACAUGUGAGGCUUGCUUGCUAGGCAAGAUGACCAAGACGCCUUUCACAGGAUUUCCUGAGAGAGCAGUAGACUUGUUGGAACUCGUACAUAGUGAUGUAUGCGGACCAAUGAGCACGACGGCUAGAGGAGGAUUCCAAUACUUCAUAACUUUCACUCAUGAUUUUAGUAGAUAUGGCUAUGUCUACUUGAUGAGGCACAAGUCUGAAACCUUUGAAAAGUUCAAGGAAUUUCAGAAUGAAGUUGAAAAUCAGCGUGGCAAGAAAAUUAAGGCCUUACGAUCUGAUCGUGGAGGCGAAUAUUUGAGCCAUGAGUUUAGCAAUCAUCUAAAGAGUUGCGGAAUUGUUCCACAACUUACGCCGCCUGGAACACCUUAGAGAAACGGUGUGUCCGAGCGACGUAAUCGAACUUUGUUAGACAUGGUUCGAUCAAUGAUGAGCCAGUCGGACCUACCGUUGUCAUUUUGGGGAUACGCUCUAGAAACAGCAGCUUUCACACUUAAUAGGGUACCAUCUAAAUCCGUAGUUAAGACACCAUAUGAGAUAUGGACUGGAAAGGUUCCUAGUUUGUCUUUUCUAAAGAUUUGGGGAUGUGAAGUGUUUGUCAAGCGACUUCAGUCGGACAAGAUCACACCCAAGUCGGAUAAGUGCAUUUUCGUGGGAUAUCCAAAGGAAACUUUGGGGUAUUAUUUCUACAACCGAUCAGAAGACAAAGUGUUUGUCGCUCGGAACGGGGUUUUCCUAGAGAAAGAGUUUCUCAAAGGAGAAAAGAGUGGAAAGACAGUGCAUCUUGAAGAAGUUCAAGAUGAGCCAAUCGGGCAAGAAUCAAUGAGUGAUGCUAACGUAGCAGAACAAGUUGAGAUACCCAUGGCAAGAGAAGCACCGCCACAACCACGAAGGUCAGCAAGGCUCCGCGAAAUGCGGGAAAUAUUAUUGUUGGACAAUGAUGAGCCUGCGACAUAUGCAGAAGCAAUGAUGGACCCAGACUCCGAAAAAUGGCAGAGUGCCAUGCAAUCCGAAAUAGAGUCCAUGGGAGACAAUCAAGUUUGGAACUUGGUUGACCCGCCUGAUGGUGUUAAAGCCAUAGAGUGCAAGUGGAUCUAUAAGAAGAAAAAGGACAUGGAUGGAAAUGUUCACAUCUAUAAAGCACGACUUGUCGCAAAAGGUUUUCGACAAGUUCAAGGAGUUGACUACGACGAGACCUUCUCGCCCGUAGUGAUGCUUAAGUCCAUUCGGAUUAUUCUAGCUAUAGCUGCAUAUUUCGAUUAUGAGAUAUGGCAGAUGGAUGUCAAGACAGCUUUCCUGAAUGGAAACCUAGCUGAGGACGUGUAUAUGAUACAGCCCGAGGGUUUUGUCGAUCCGAAAAAUGCUGGAAAGGUAUGCAAGCUUCAGAGAUCCAUUUAUGGAUUGAAGCAAGCAUCUAGGAGUUGGAACAUUCGUUUUGAUGAAGUGGUCAAAGGGUUUGACUUCACCAAGAACGAAGAAGAGUCUUGUGUUUACAAGAAGGGUAGUGGGAGCUCUGUAGUAUUUCUAAUCUUAUAUGUGGAUGACAUAUUACUGAUUGGAAAUAACAUUCCUAUGCUUGAGUCCGUAAAGACUUCACUGAAAAAUAGUUUUUCGAUGAAGGCCUUAGGGGAAGCGGCAUAUAUUCUAGGCAUUAAGAUCUAUAGAGAUAGAUCGAGAAGGCUUAUUGGUUUGAGCCAAGAUACUUAUAUUGACAAAGUGUUGAAGCGGUUCAGCAUGGAAGAGGCAAAGAAAGGGUUCUUGCCUAUGUCACAUGGCAUACAUCUCAGCAAGACUCAGUGUCCUUCGACUGCUGAUGAGCGGGAUCGCAUGAGUAGAGUGCCAUAUGCCUCGGCUAUUGGAUCUAUCAUGUAUGCAAUGAUAAGUACUCGCCCAGAUGUUUCAUAUGCGCUAAGUAUGACAAGCAGACACCAAUCUGAUCCAGGUGAGAGUCACUGGACAGCGGUGAAAAACAUUCUUAAGUACUUGAGAAGGACUAAAGAUAUGUUCCUCGUCUAUGGAGGUUAGGAGGAGCUCGUUGUAACAGGUUACACCGAUGCUAGUUUCCAAACCGACAGAGAUGAUUCAAAGUCACAAUCAGGAUUUGUGUUCACGCUAAAUGGUGGUGCUGUUAGUUGGAAGAGUUCCAAGCAGGAGACGGUGGCCGAUUCUACGACAGAAGCCGAGUACAUCGUGGCUUCGGAAGCCGCGAAGGAAGGUGUUUGGAUAAGGAAUUUCCUAAUUGAGCUUGGUGUGUUCCCGAAUGCGUCCAGCCCAUUGAAUCUCUACUGUGAUAAUAAUGGGGCAAUUGCGCAAGCAAAGGAGCCAAGGAACCACCAGAAGAACAAACACGUAAUGUGGCGAUUUCAUCUCAUUCGAGACUUCGUUAACCGGGGUGAGAUCAAGAUAUGCAAAAUACACACGGAUCUGAACAUUUCUGAUCCGUUGACAAAACCACUCCCGCAGGCUAAGCAUGAUGCGCAUGUAAGAGCUAUGGGUAUUAGGUACCUUCUAGAUUGACUCUAGUGCAAGUGGGAGACUGUUGGAGGUAUGCCCUAGAGGCAAUCAUAGAGAUGAUGAUAUUCCACUUGUAUCCAUGAUUUGAAUAUUGUGUUCAUUGAAUAUCCAUUAAAGGCUACUUGAAUUGAUUUGCAAUUAUGUGAAUUGUAUGUGAAACUCUUUACUUGUAUGGUUAUUCUAAAGUUGUCCCUAGUCGGAGUUCAUGUGAGGACACACAUGAAUAUUAGACUAGCACAUGUAUUAGUUGAUGACUAUGUUUCACAAGUCAUGGACAUGAAGAUGUUGAACUAAUAAUGUGGACACAUGCGGAGACAUGUGUUAGGACUGACCCAACACGAGAAGUAGUUCUCUCUUUAAACAACAUAUACGCUUUGUCCUUAGACCUGAGAUUGUCGCAUGUAUUCUAGAUGUGGAUCGACCUACUUAGGGGCUAUCAAACGCUACGCCGUAACAGGGUAGUUAUAAAGGUAGCUUUCGGGUUUGUCAAGAAGCAUGCUAUGAGACAUGGUCAAUCAAGAAGGGAUUUGCCCCUCUCUGAUUGAGAGUGAUAUCUCUGGGCCCCUCGAGUGAUCGGAUCCGGAAAUGCAUGGCCAUGCUACGUACGGUUAAGAGUUAACCUACAAAGGGAUUCCGAAUCACAGGAUCGAGAAAGAGCGGUCGGCUUGAAGCUAGACCAAAUAUCGUGAGGCAAAGGGAAUAGCAUGUAUAUUAUGUUGUGAUGGUUCGUCUGAUAUGAUCUUCGUGUGCGUAUAGGAGUUGGCACGUCUUGCUAGAGGCCGCUACCGACUAUUGGGCCGAGUAGGAGUACUCGGGCCAUGUCUAUACGUAUCCAAACCCAAAGGGUCGCACACUUAAGGGGCUGGAAGCCCAAUUCGGAUUUGAUCCGAGUUGGAUUAGGUUUAGGAGUACUAAUGGGCCUCGGAUCCAGAGGCCCAUCAGGAACCUCUAUAAAUAGAGGGGUGGGGGCGCCCUAGGGUUUACACCUUUUUGGCUGAACACACUUGCCGCGCCUCCCACGCCCUCGCCUGUUGCAACUCGCGGAUCUAGCAAUCCGGCUUGCGACGCUUCCUCCCUGCACGUGUGGAUACCUUGGAGGUGUUGCGCCUGCAGCACUUGGACGAGCCGCCGACGAGCCGCCGACGAGCCACGACGAGCCGCGGUACCGGAGGCGAUCUUGCUGUACACGUGGACGAGCUGCUGAGGAGCUGCUGGACGUGAUCGACUACGUACGACUACGUGAUCGUCUUCACUGCACCGACGCAUAUCUACAUCUUCCGCACCAGUAGUGCGUCGAGUGGUAAUCCCGUGAUCCUUAUACGGCAGUUCUUCCUGGUUAUACGCGGUAGAAAAUUUUGAUUUGCGCUAGUGUAGCCUACCUCGUAUCCCAACAGCAAUUAGUCAUGAAUAAUUGGUUGUAUAGUCAAGUGAGUAGCUCCUUGCACCAGUAACUUGGGCCUCAGCCCACUGGUAUUCGAGGCCCAGCCCACAGCAGCCCGGUUUGUGGCCAACUAUAUAUACAAACACUGCAGGCCGUUGGUUCCAAAUUUCAAGCAAAGUAACUCACAAAGAACAAGUACAUGCUAGGUUUAAACCAAUUAAAUGACUAACUCCUGAUUUUUGUGUUCUACUCUAUCGUUCUCUACAAGAUUUACAGCCAGGGUCUCAAGGAUAGCCAACCAACUGGGUUAUAGGCUGCCUUAGACCAACUGGUCGACUAGCACAAAAUUAAUCGCGACUAGUCGUCUAGUCGGCACCCAUGCCUAUAUUAUUGUAUUUUAUUUAUUACAAAAGAAAUCAUUUGAUAGUGACAUGUCGCAAUGGUUUCUUUUUAAAAAAUAAAAUACAGUAGCACAGAUUUUUUUAAUUGGGAACCCAUACAUACCAUUUUUAAUUGGGAACCCAUACAUACCAUUUUUGAAGAUUCAGCAUGUGUUUUAGAAUCACAUGUUCUAGGAUGAAGUAGGAAAAUGGAGGGAUUACUUAAUUAUAGUGAUAAAAGCAUAACAGUGCUAUUUUUGCAAUAAAUGAUAUCUAAUAGGAAUGUGGGCACAUUUAGCUGGGAUGUACUCCUAUUUCAACAGCAUCAGUGGGGUGCAGCAGUGCAGCUGAUGUAAACAAUAGCAGCUAUGCAAAAAAGAUGACAGAGUACAUGCAGGAGCAUGAGUGGUAUGGGCACCAGCAGCUUUCACCAAGACAUGCAUGCUCACAUUUUAGUGGGUCCUGGUAUUGAAUUCAAAUAUUUCUUUUGUUUUUUUUUUGUUUAGCUAUCUCAGGGAAUCUGAAUUUUUAAGAAAAAAAAUCAAGAACAUGUUCCCGAUGUAAUAUUGAAAUUCUUAGUCUGUUUUUCCCCCUUUUGGAGAUCAUGUCCUUACUCUGUUGUGAGAAAAAGGACUUACCUGCGAAAUUGAAAGAUCCAGCCUCAGCUCAUUAACGGUAUCAAAUAGCCUCAUCCGUAGGCCGCAGCAUGGAGGUUUCCUUGAUCCAAAGCCGUUGGAGAUGACGAUUUAGCUCAGCAAACUGGUGGCGGCUGGGAUCGUAGGGGUCGUCACGCCAAUCCACCUUCUUUAGAUUCGGCGCGUCGAUGUAGGCCUUAGUGGCUUGAGACACAGAGAUCUUUUCCAGAAAUGGGUGGUGACCUCUUGCUUGCCCGUGUUUGCGUAGUAGAAGAGAGACACCAGAGAUUCCGGAGACAUCGCACUCGGCAGCCAGCUUGACUAGUACCACAAGCUUCCGAAGGCGUGGGCACUGCGACGAGACGAGGCGUCCCAGGUCGCGACCAUUCAGGGUGGACAUUAUUUAUUACCCGCAGAUCGGUCAGCGCCCUGAACGAGCCGCCUAGCGGCAGCCGGAGCACGAUAUUUGGUCGGAGCAAGAGCUUGAUCGAACCCCUGGUCACUGUCCUCCUCGUCCCCUACCAUUGGUAAGUAGAAAUCUAACCCUGCCCGCGAGGCGCUGGGAGGCGAAGUGCAGCCAUCGGGCGAUACGGUGCGCGGGGACGUGGCACUCGUCGUGUAUGCUCAUGUAGAUCUCAAGGCGGCCGAGGGUCGGGGCGGAGUAGGCGUUGAGGGCGGUGUCGGCGGAGUCGAGGAAGACCGAGGAGGCCGGCUCAGGACCGUCCUCCGGACGGCCGCAGCUGAGGACGAGCUCGGGCAUGUGGGCCCAGACGCGCGCGGUGCCGGCGACGGGAGUGGAGGCUGGUGCGCGCGGCUGCUGCGGUGGAUGGGAGGCAGAGGAGGAUGCUGUGUAGGAGCUCGUCGGGGAGGCCGCUGAUGAGCUCCUCCGCGCCACCGCGGCGGGCGUAUAGAUGGCCAAACGGGUUGUUCGGCCUGGCCUGGCCUGAGCACCGUUUGGCCCGGCCCAUUUAGGCCUGGCACGGCGUGGCUCGAAUAAUAACUGUGCCGUGCCGUACCAGCCCUCGUGCUAAAGAAGCAGCUCAGGCACAGCACGCUGCCUUCUUAGGUGGGUCGUGCCGGCACGUUGACCUGGCAGGCUUUAACGGUCUCGCCGUGCUCGUGCUAGCCCGCCCCUCAUUUUCCUUGCCAGUUUUUCUUCUCGAGAUCACCGGAACGGGAAUAAUGCUCUUGCGCGGCCAUCGUUUUCACGUACCAUGGCCUCCACCAACACUGCCACCAUCAGGGCCCCACUGCGCCUGCUAUCCUCCUCCUCCGCCCAUCUCACCAAGCCCAUCCUUCCCCGCCCUCACUACCUCACCCUCUAUUCUCCCAUCUCAUUCCAGCGUCUCACAGCCCGGCCCGCCGUCUCCCCAUCCCUAUCCACCACUUCCUCCUCCCCAUCAGGCUCCGGCUCCGUAGACCCGUCGGAGCUACCCAGCGCUCCAUGACAUCAUCGGCCUCUUCCAAUCCGUUCCUGAUGUGCACACCCCGUACAAGCAGCUCCUUGCCUAUGCCUUCCAGCUGCCACCAAUGGACCCGGUGCUCAAGACCGAUUCCAAGCACAUCCGAGGGCUGAGAGCGAGGCCCAGGCACGGCCCGUGGUAUGGGCCGGACCAGCACGGGCAUGACGGUCGCCGUGCCAUACCGUGCCUGGACCGGGCCAAAAUCCCGCGCCAUGGGGCAGCCCAUGUGCCACAGACCAUAUGGCCAACUAUAGGUGGGUGUCGGGCAGUUGAUGUCUUCUCUAUUCAAUUUUGAGAAAGGACUGGUCAGCGUGGGCCGUAGGGCUGGGCUUUGUCGAGACAUUUUGUUCCUAUUGGGCUCAAUGCUCAUCUGGACCUCUCGCACUGGAUUUCCGGAAGGUCCUAUAUAAAUUCCGGAAGUCUGUUAGUUAUUGGGCUUCCCGAGUUUGAGAUUUGUGCGAAAAGCUUCGUUCAUCAGAUCUUCCCAACCCUAGGAUCCCGUCCGUGCGUUGCCCUCUAGUUCCAUGCGCCGCCGACUUUGCUGGCCAUCACCGAGGCAAGCGUGACGUGGCCCUGUGGCCUCGAGUCCCCUGCCCACGUGCUUCGCGGCUGUCCCCUAGGGCUGCUCCCAUGUACUCAUCUGCAUCAGGGCAUGUACAACGCUUGUCUUUUUGCUGUCUAGAAGAUACUUUUUUUGCAAAAAAAAAAAACCUUGACUUAGCCAAGAGACGGACACGCCAUCUCUUCGCGAAGAGAUGAUGGGGGCUCGUGCUCUCAAGUCAUAUCGCCCGCUCCAGCACCGUUAUACAACGGGGGCUCGUACUCCCAAGCUAUAUUUGGGCCUUGUUUAGUUGGUUAAAUUGGGAGAUGCAAAAUUACUGUGCCAGCACUGUAGCACACUGUAGCGUUUCGUUUGUAUUUAUGAAUUCUUUUCCAAAUAUUGACUAAUUAGGCUCAAAAGAUUCAUCUCGCAAAAUACAACAAAACUGUGCAAUUAGUUUUUAAUUUCGUCUACAUUUAGUACUCCAUGCAUGUACCGCAAGUUUGAUGUGAUGGGGAAUCUUCUUUUUGCAUAGUGUCAAAGUUGGAAGUUGGGAGGUAACUAAACAUGGCCUUGAUCAUCUUGAUUUACGAGUCUAUACCAGAAUUAAUUAGCUUACAGAUAGUCUAAUAGACAACUCAUUAUAUAAGUUGUCUGUAUUGCUAUCUUUAUAUGACAUAAUCGGUACAGACGGGAGGUGUCUAAAGGUACCUUAGCUUAGCUUGUGUGUCGCCACUCGCGCCCUGCCUCCUAGGUACGCCAGACCCGCACGCCACAUGCCCGCCCCAUGCGCCACCGGUCCCCUGGACACGCUGCCUCAAGAAGAAGCUGCCUCCACCGAGGCUGAAGAAGAUAUUUUUUUGGAAUGCCCAUCCUUGUUUGAAAAAAAUGUUGAACCCAUCCGACCCAACUUUUGGUGGUUAAACGUGGUUGCCCUGCAUGUUUGAAUGAACGUCAACUGUAGGUGAGCGGCGCGCGUCCGCGUGUAGUGUUUUCUGCGUCCAUUUAGGGCUGAACGGUGGCGACCGUUUUGUCCACCGAUUAAAUGGCGAGCCAAUGGUUCAACAGGGUGAGCGUGGGCGCCAACAAACUUACCCCUGAUACUACUGAAGUGAAUUGAUUAUGUAGGAUAUGUUUUUUAUGAAACAGGAGGGGAUGAUUCCCUGCUGGAUAUAUAUUAUAUAGGAAAAAUAACACUAGUUUGAGAGGUACAAAUCAGGAAACAAAGAAAGAAAAUCAAAAAAGAUUACAAUGAGUGCUCUAGCCAUUCCAACAUUGGUUGCUUCCAAACCUCUUUUACUCGCAGAACAACCUGAGUAAAAAUAAUCUUAAACCUUAACAUAGCAUCUUGAACUGAUGGAUUAAUACCUUUGAAUAUCCAGUCAUUUCUUGCCAUCCAAAUACACCAACUCAUGAGAAUUAUGAUUUCCAUAAAAAACGAAACUUGUAGUUGAGUUUUGAAGCUACCGAGGAUGGUGUAGGGCUCAUCUGUCAACUUAGCAAACAAGCUUAUAUUGAUCCAACAUUCCUAGGCAAAAUUAUGUAGGAUAUGUUACAGUCUUGAGCUUCUAGGAAUGCUCGGACUAUGGUAAUUUUUACUAUUGAGGGGAGUGGUGAUGGGAUGGCUUAAAUUUGCAGGUUGAUAUUCAACCGUAGACCCGUAAUCAUUUUAUCUCAUCGAAUCCAAAUCGGAUGACUAUGUCGUUUUUAAGAAACAAAGAGUAAAGUGUAACGCGAACUGAGCGUAGCUUAGCUGGUAAAAGUUCCUUAUGGUGGAACCUGCCCACCAGGGUUGGAGACCUCGACUCGGCACUAGUGAUCACAUUUUUCCUAAUUUUAUUCCAGAAUUUAACCGGUAUUUCAAUGGUAGGUGACGUGCCCGUCGACAGCAAGGCGCCAGCGGUGAUUUCAUCAAUCUCGAGGAUUUGCCGGCUCAGUUUCUCGGAGGUGCUCAUAAGAUAGAGUUGCAUGCGUGUGUUCGUAGGAGAGAGUGUGCACAUGUGUAUGUGAGCGCCUACAUCUUGCACUGGAUCGCCCACAUGGUGGCCAUCGUAGCCUCGGUGGUGUUCAUGUAGUUUAUCAGUGUUCUCGCGUGCAGUUCCGGAUUGACCACGGUGCAACGUCACUUGUCACACCAAAUGCGGAGGGUUGGCCAAGAAAACCAGACGUGUUUAUUUGAGCUGCAGCUUUUGACAUUUUCUGAAAAGCAGUUGCUAGCUUUUUAUUUUAAAAAAGCUAACAUUAGCUUUUAGAAAAUGUGUUUAACUUUUUGAGUUCAAAAAACUAUGAAAAGCUCACAAAACCGAACUUUUCCACUUUAUGGUUUAUUUGAGCUGCAGUUUUGACCUUUUCUGAAAAGCUGUUGUUAACUUUUUUUAUUUUAAAAAGCUAACAUUAACUUUUAGAAAAUGUGUUUAGCCUUUUGAGUUCAAAAAGCUACGAAAACUUCACAAAACUGAAUUUUUCAACUUUUCUUAUAAACUUUUCAGAAACUGCAUGAAGUUCACUAUUUUUUGAACUCUUGUCUUUUGGAACCUACCAACUACCAAGAAACUAAUAAUAGAACCCCCACGCGCCAGGCAUAGCAAAGUCAUCAUCAGGUGGCAGACUCGAGGCCAAACCCGAGAACGCCCUGCUCCGGUUGGUGCACGGGGCAUAACAAGUCGUCUUCGAAAACCCACGCCACACUGGUCCUGCUUCAGCUUAUUCAGCCCGUUAAGCUAGGCUACCGUUAUUCAGCCCGUUAAGCUAGGCUACCGUUACGUCCCGGUGCCAUCGCCCGUUAAGAUAUUUGAUACAAGAUGCUAAACUUUAGAAGGAUCACAUCAUAUAUUCGGACGCUAAUUAGGAGGACUAAACAUGAGCUAAUUAUAAAACUAACUGCAGAAACCCUGUACUAAUUCGCGAGACGAAUCUGUUAAACCUAAUUAAUCCAUCAUUAGUAAAUGAUUACUGUAGCACAAUAUUGUCAAAUCAUGGACUAAUUAGGCUUAAUAGAUUCGUCUCGCGAAUUAGACUCCAUCUGUGCAAUUAGUUUUGUAAUUAGAUUAUAUUUAAUACUCCUAAUUAGUAUCAAACAUUCGAUGUGACAGUUACUAAAGUUGAGAGUGUAUCCAACACUCUCUAAGUCAAAGGUGCUGCUGGUGCAGCCGCACCCGAGACGAGCUAGGCUGGCAAUUGCCAUUACCUGACGUCAGGCAACCAGUCAUGCAGCUGACGCCUGAAGCAUGUAUACAGGUUGCUGCUGGGUGGGGUGUUCUUAGUACAGGUUGCCAUUAGGAUUAAAAAAAUGACAACUAGAGACUGACCUUGAUUGGAUGGUGUUUAUCGCAUCCAAUUGACGUGCUAGCCCAAGAUUUGUUUACAUGUUUUACCAUUUUGAUAUGGCUUACUCCCUCUCCUGUCUGUAAAUACUCUGUUUUGGAUAAAUGGCAGCGUCUCUCAAAAAUAUGAUUUUAACCACUAUUUUUAUUAGUUUAUAAAAUGAAACACAUAUAUAUGACAUAAUGAAAGUUCCCUUCAAGGCAACUCUGGCAUAUGGCUUGUAUUUUUUUACAAGUAAAUAUUAUAAAAUUUAUAUAUAGUGAAAGCUAUAAUAUUGAAAAUUGGAGGGAGUACAUAAUAUUGAAAGCAGAAAUCAAAUGAAUUACCAUGAGAAACACUUGGUGUACAGAAAGUCUAUUUUUUAAAGUGGAAUUUAACAAGUGACAGGGGAAUGUAAGGUAGUAGAGAACAAAAAACAACAAAGACAGGGAAUCUUGCAAAGUUCCGUGAGUUGCAUUCUAAAUUUCUUGUGCAGCAGUUUGAUGUUUAGCUACAUGGUCUCUGAAUUGGAAGUAGUUGGUGCUUCUAUGGUUGAAAUGUUUUGUGCUAGUCGCAUAAGCAGUGCGAAUCUCCGCUGUCGCAGGUCGUGUCAUCACGUGCGUGUCUUUUGUUUGCUAGCACCUCUGGAUUUCGACUAUGACAUUAUCACAUUAUGCAACUUGGACCUCUUUUGAACAUUUUGUUUUAAGCCGCCGGAACCCUCUCCACCAAAAGCAUCUCCAGCAGAUUGCUCAUCUUCUACUACCAAAACAUCUUCUUUUUCCAUCUUCAAUAGUUACUUUUACAUUUACCGAAAUCCAAUUCCAAUACCUCCACCAACACAUGGGGCCCACGCGUCAGACGAUUUACUCAUUUUUUCCACCCUACCCGUCUCUUCCCCUCUUCCUCCUAGCUCCUCGCAUCCACCACCCGCCCGUCCAUUUCUCUUCUCUGCUCUAGCAUCCGCCGCCCUCCUUUCCUCCCCGCGCCAGUCACACCCGUGCGCUCCUUUCCUCCCCGCAUCGACGCUCCCGCUCCUCUUCUCCCCCAUGGCUCGCCAGCGGCAGCUCUCAAGUUCCGUCCCGCUCGCAACCAAGGUGUUGAUGUCAGAUUUUGACACGUAUGGAAUCGGCGUCAAGGAAGGAAAGGACUGGUCGAUGCGGUAGGUUGAGAGGUCGCGAUUGGGAAUCGGCCGAUUGGUGCUAUAGUUGGGGAUCGGCCGAUUGGCAUCACAGUGUUUUGGCGGACGGAGUUGGAGAUCGGCCAAUUGGAAGGCUGGGGCAAUUGGGCAAAUAUGGGCUUAAAGUGGAUCAGAGAAAAAAGAUAGAGAAAAAUUUGUCCGCAGGAGUAUAAUAACCAACUCCGAUAUGAGUUGUGUUUGUAAAUAUUCGUUUUCGUUUAAAAUUAGAGAUAGAUCCUAGUUGGUUAGGAAAUUGAUUGUAACAGGCUAUAAAUAGCCAUCCUCAGAGAUUUGUAGAAACAACAUCAAUCAAUACAAACAAAUCUACGUUUUCAUCAUACUUUACUUUCAAGCCGGCGACUUCGCCAAUACUUUUCUUCUUUCACGAGUUUGUACGGGUUGGCAGGACUGCAUCGACACGAUCUCCGGCCGAUUCUGUAAGUUCCGCUUAUCAAUAUCUAAGCUUUAACUUUGGUCGCAUCACUGUCGUUUCAUUUAGAUUUAUUCACCAGUUAUCGAUAUUUACUAGAAUUAUAGGUUUCAUCUGUUGUUCUAGUUUUAUCACCAGUUAUCCAGCUUGAGAUUUGAGCUAUCGGCUUUGUUAUUGUUACUUCUUAUUCAUUAUCAUCACAUAGCCGAUUAGAUCUAUUUCAAGUGUCGCCUUCGUAGCUUUGUCUAGUUUACUCCAGUAGUUCUCUUCACAAUUGCUACAUGAUCGUCGGCUGUAUCAUAGCCGAUUAUCUUUUUAUAGCAAAUCGGCCGAUUUGCUGAUACGCUUUCUCGAGAUCGGAACCUUAGCCGAUCGGAACCCCUGGAAUUUGACACGUUUUCUUCCUUGCCAAUCAACGGGUCAGAUUGGCUAGCACGCCGCGCGAACCGCACCAGGGCGAUCACCCGAACAGGAGCUAAGCAGAUUCUCCCGAGUCGUGUGUCCGACGCUGAGGGUCAAUCGGCUGACUUUUAGCGCCAACACACUUUUGGCACGCCCGGUGGGACCACUUCAACCUCUACCAUGUCGAAAGCUGCCAAAAUCUUUGAAGAUAACGUCAUCGAAGUGACGGAAGCAGAUCUCAAGGACGACCAGAAAGAAGAGUUGGAAAAGCAAGUAGAACAAUACCGGAAAACAUGCCUGUAAUCUUUCAGUCGUACCAGGAGUGGGGAGACCGUCAAGAAAGCUCCUUUCCCAACUCCCCACCAGAUCACCAUUGCUGAGGACUCGGGCAAGAUGUUCGAGAUGGUUCAGCAGUCCGUCUAUCAGGCUUUCAUCGACCAAUCCCCUGUGAUGGCCAACAUGGUAUACAAUGCCGUCAUCAGCUCCCUGGCCAAUGGCGUAUCUCAGGGAUAUCAGGGGCCAGCAUAUGCCCCGCCCAUUACGGCCCCAGUUAGAAGCUUUCCAAGCACAUCUCACUCGGCUUCUCAGCCGAUGCCAACUCAACAUGGAGGACACAAUGCUUCACUGACUUCAAUGCAUCCAGAAUAUAACGGUGCGCCAUGCUUUCAGUCACAAGCGCCACAUCAACCUGCUCAGAUUUUCUCUGUGCAAUCAUUGCCAUCAAACUCAGUGCCUUGGGGGGCACCAUUGACAGCGACUGUUCUAGAUCAAUCGGCCGGCUAUGGAGGCUCUCCGAUCUAGGAACAAGUCCAAUCGGCCACCCGGCCGACGGUUCCACAGUAUCAACCAGCCACGUCAGAAAUCGGCAGGGGGGCAGACGCUGCUGAGGUACUCCGAAGUGCGGCGCCGAUGAUACUAUACGAUGAGGUGGCCGGUUCGCCGCGCCAUCAAUUGUUAAACACCCAGGCGGUUACGUUACCACAGAAUCCACUGCACGCUUCGAUUCAUCACCCGGUCAUCCCACCACCGAUCCACCAACAUGUGCCAAUUUCCCAGCCAGUAAUUCAUUAGCAGCAAGUGGACUGGACGGCAAGGAUAGAGGAGAUAAUUCAAGAUCAAUUUGGGUUGAAGCCGAAGGUACAAACCUACACAUACAAAACGCCGUACCCACUUGCUUACGAUCUACUGCCGUUUCCCCAUCGGUACAAAGUCCCCAACUUCACCAAAUUUUUAGGACUGGACGACACCUCAACUGUGGAGCACGUAAACAGAUUCAUCAUCCAGUGCGGAGAAGCCGCCACACAAGAUGCUCUGCGGGUACGUUUGUUCUCAUCAUCCCUGUCCGGGUCGGCUUUCCAGUGGUUCACUACACUGCCACCCAAUUCCAUCGUCACUUGGGCCGAUCUGGAAAAGCAAUUCCACAAGUACUUCUACGCGGGAGUCCACAAGAUGAAACUCUCAUAUCUGACCAGCCUCAGGCAGAGGAGCGACGAGCCAGUAACCAAUUAUGUGCAGAGGUUUAGAGAGAUCAGAAACAAAUGGUACACCCUAGUCCUGACUGACGCACAGUUGGCCGAUAUCGCCUUCCAAGGUCUCCCGCCACAUAUCAAAGAUAAGUACGCUUCCUAGGAGUUUGAGAGUCUGAGUCAUAUCGUUCACCGUUUGGCCGGUCAAGAAGUACGCCCCUUUGAUCAGCGGAGAAAUUUCCAAAAGAAGGUAACAUACCUGGAGGGAUCUAAAUCUGAGGAGGAAGCGGAAAUCGGCCUAGCAGAGUGGGUUAAAGGAAAGAAGCCGAUAUCGUGUCCGUUCAGGAAAAAGGAGCCAGAGGCGUUCGGGUUUGACAUGUCUAAGGCUGACAAGAUUUUCGACCUACUUCUCCAAGAGGGGCAAAUCAAACUCUCACCUUAUCAUACGAUCCCAUCGGCUGAGCAGCUAAAAAAGAUGAAGUAUUGCAAAUGGCAUAAUGCCACGUCCCACGACACAAAUGAGUGCAAGAUCUUCCGUCUGCAGAUACAGUCGGCCAUUGAGCAGGGCAGACUCAAAUUUGAGGUCCCGACGAAGCCACUAAAGCCGAUGAAGAUCGAUCAACAUCCCUUUCCCACUAACAUGGUUGACACGGGAAGGAACGCACUUCAAACCAAAGUGCUGAUGUCAGAAUCGGCCAAGAAAAGCAGAGCUGUCGAUCCCAAAAAUCAGGCCACGGCUGAAGAUAUCAAGGGUAAGAAACGGGUUGACGACGAGGGCGAAGGAUCGGAAAGGCCGCGUAGACCUAUCACCUCCCAAUUCUUACUGAACAAAUAUCAAUGGCAGCAGGAAAGCUCGAGAUAUCGCAAAGAAAUAGUGAGACAACACGAAGAUCAUUGGCGAUGCCCGUUCUUCAUCCACUGUUGGGAAACUAACCUCAGGUUGCCAUCGGCCGAUAAUUGCCCAGAAUGUAGCGGUCCAUAUCGCGACAGUUGCCCGUUCAAAAGGUCUCGCUCUAGGGACAGAGGAUCAGAGCUAAUCAGCAGAAACUGACACGAGCAAGAGGAUCGGCGCCUUUUAGUGCGUGAUCGGCUGGAGGGCAGAGUUGAUCGAUAUGAUCGGCCAAGGGACAGACGCGAGCAAUAUGAUAGGCCGGGGGGUAGACCUGACCAGCACGACCGACCGGGGGCAGAGUCAGCGCACACGAUCGGCUAGAGGAGAUGGCCGAUGCUCGGGUGUCAGAUGAAAAUCCCCUAGGAUGGGAACCGGACUGGGAACGUGCCAAACUGCCGGCCAAAUUGGUGAACCCCAGGUGGUGCCCUGAUGGAUUGAUCAAAUCCCAAAAAUGAAGGAUCCAACGCCUGCGCCAAUGGGAACAACAGGAAGAAGAGCAGAGGCAGAUGGUGGAUAAGAGGGAUGACAGGUCUCGAGUCUGGCGCCCCAAAAGAAACAACAAUGAGGAAGAUGGCAACCAAGAAACGGCAGCUGAUGUCAGCAUGGUGUUCAUCUUGCCGAUGGAGUUCAUGGCUCCCGCCGAUCGGCACGACACGACGAAGAUGGAGGAGCAGAUGGCGCAAUUGGCUUUGGAGCCAAUGACAGCCACUUUUGAGAAAUCAGAAGAUACAUCUCAAGGCUCUGUUCCUCAAAGGACACGUCGAUGGACGACCUGUCACCAGGUUAUUGGUAGAUGGGGGCGCUGCAGUCAACAUCAUGCCAUAGGCCAUGUUCCGAAAACUGGGCAAAAGUGACGAAGAUCUGACCAAGACGGACAUGAUGCUCAAGGACUUCGAAGGCAACGUGUCCCCCGCCUGCGGAGCACUCUGCAUCAACCUCACCAUCGGCAGUAAGACCCUUCCCACUACUUUCUUUAUUAUUAACAGCAAAGGGUCCUACAAUAUGUUGCUCGGGCACGAUUGGAUACACACGAAUUGCUGCGUCCCAUCUACAAUGCAUCAAUGCCUCGUACAAUAGGUCGGCGACAACAUCGAGGUAGUCACCGCCGAUUCUGCCUACAGUGUUGCUGCGGUCGAUACGCAGCAAUGGAGUUGCGAACACGUCAAGUGCAUAUCCGGAAGAACUUGGGACACCGACUUCUUUAAAGUGUCCGAUUUUGGCCUACAGCCGAUCCGAGCAGUCAGCUCUAAAGAUUCAGAUUAGAUGGAUCAGUUCGUCCAAGAAGAUGGGAAGCUGGGGCACUAGUUUACGUCGGCCGAUUCAUUAGAGAUGAUAGAUUUAGGUAAUGGUACCAAACCAAGUCCGACAUACAUUAGUGCUAACUUGGAUCCCGAAUAUAAGUGUAAAUUGACAAAUUUAUUAAAAGAGUUUAAAGAUUGUUUUGCUUGGGAAUACCAUGAGAUGCCUGGUCUAGACCGGUCCAUUGUUGAACACUGGUUGCCUAUAAAACCAGGAUAACGGCCGUAUCAGCAGCCAGCACGACGAUGCAAUCCUAAGAUCCUACCUGAUAUAAAGGCCGAGAUUACAAAACUGAUUGAAGCAAAAUUUAUUCGGUAGUGCCGUUACGCCGAGUGGAUUUCUAAUGUUGUGCCCAUAUACAAGAAAAAUGGAAAUCUGCGCGUAUGCAUUAACUUUAGAAACCUUAAUCAGGCUACGUCGAUGGAUGGGUAUCCAAUGCCGACAGCUGAUGUGUUGAUAGAUGCUGCCGUAGGACAUAAAGUCAUCAGUUUCAUGGACGGUAAUGCUGGGUACAAUCAAAUAUUAAUGGCUGAAGAAGAUAUUUCGAAAACGGUUUUCAGGUGUUUGGGCCACCUCGGUUAAUUCGAGUAGGUAGUAAUGACCUUUGGGUUAAAGAACGCCGGCGCUACAUAUCAGCGGGCUAUGAAUUACAUCUUCCACAAGCUCAUUGGCGUCCUGGUGGAAAUUUACAUUGACGAUGUUGUAGUCAAAUCAAAAGGGCAUCAAGAGCAUCUGGCCGAUCUACGAGAAGUGUUGGAAUGCAUGAGGAAGCACGGGUUGAAAAUGAACCCGAACAAGUGCGCGUUCGGCGUAUCGGCCAGGCAAUUUCUAGAAUUCAUGGUCCAUGAACGUGGGAUAGAAGUCAACCGGAAAAUCAUAGCGGCCAUCAAUAAGGUCGUGGCCCCACAGAAUAAAACUGAGUUGUAGUCCCUAAUCGGUAAGGUCAACUUUAUCAGAAGAUUCAUAUCCAACAUGUCCGGGCGUAUACAAGCCUUCACACCGUUAUUAAAAUUGAAGCCCGACCAGGAAUUCGUAUGGGGAGAAGAGCAACGAAAGGCGUGGGAUGACAUCAAGCAAUAUCUGAUUUCGCAACCUGUAUUAGUCCCGCCACAAGCUGACCGUUCAGACUAUACUUAUCGGCCGAUGAGCGGGCUAUUGGAUCAGCGCUGGUAGAGGAGUUCGAUGGAAAGGAACGGGUAAUAUACUAUGUUAGCAGAAGACUUUUGGACGCUGAGACAAGAUACUCCCCAGUAGAUCGGCUGUGCCUAUGUCUAUGUUUCUCAUGUACCAAGCUCAGGCACUACCUGUUAACGACAGAGUGCAUAGUCGUAUGUAAGGAUGACGUGGUAAAGUACAUGAUGUCAUUGCUGAUUCUGAAAGAACGAAUCGAAAAGUGGAUCCUAGCUCUGUCAGAGUUUGACCUAAGGUACGAAUCGGCCAAAGCUGUCAAGGGUCAAGUCAUGGCCGAUUUCGUGGCUCAACAUUGCAGACCAGAAAUCGCUGUCGUUGAACCGGUUCCAUGGACCCUAUACUUCGAUGAUUCUUCCUGUGGGUCCGGGUCAGGAAUUGGCAUCGUCCUCAUAGCCCCUCGGGGGGCAAGUUAUGAUUUCUCUCUGCCGAUAGAAGCAUCCGCCACCAAUAAUUAGGCAGAAUACCGAGCCGUCCUAAAGGGCAUUCAAUUAUUGAGAGAGAUCAAAGCUAACACCGUGGAGAUUUUUGGGGAUUCCAUGCUCAUCGUAGACCAAUUAACGGGAAGAUCUAAAUGCAAAGAUGAUGUCAUGAGAAUUUACUACGAGGAUUGCCUCCAACUUUUGAAGGAAUUCAAGUCCGCGAUUAUUGAGCAUAUUCCCAUAAAUUAUAAUGAAGAGGCCAAUAGGCUUGCCCAACACGCGUCUGGGUAUUGGCCGAUUCAAGGCACCAUGACUUUGGAACUCGCGGCCGACGAUUGGCGAAAGGAAAUCGCCGAUUACUUAAAGGACCCGUCCAAGAAAGUGGAUCGGCGAGUACGUUUUCAGGCCACAAAGUAUGUACUACUCGAAGAUGAUUUGUUUUACCGAAUGAUUGAUGGAGUUCCACUCAAAUGCCUGGGGACGAAAGAGGCAAAGAUCCCAAUGGGAGAAAUCCAUGAAGGCGUGUGCAGAGCUCACCAAUCGGCUCAUUAAAUGAAGUGGAUGAUCAGGAAUAACCGAUAUUAUUGGCUGACGAUACUCGAAGACUACUUUAAAUAUUAUAAAGGGUGUCAGGACUACCCGUGCAACGUGCGCCAGCAUCGGCUAUGAAUCCGAUAAUCAAACCAUGGCCGUUCAGGGGUUGAGGGAUAGACCUCAUCAGGAAGAUUUAUCCUCCAUCAAGCAAGGAACAUAAAUUCAUAAUAGUAGCCACUGACUACUUUACCAAAUGGGUGGAGGCAAUCCCAUUGAAGGCCGUGACAUCGGCUGCUAUGGUCGAUUUCGUAAGAGACCACAUUGUGUAUCAUUUCGGCAUCCCUCAAACCAUCACAACUGACCAAGGGACGAUGUUCACUUCAGGAGAGUUCGAGGAGUUCACUGCCAAUAUGGGAAUCAAAUUACUGAAUUCUUCUUCAUAUUAUGCUCAAGCCAACGGUCAAGCCGAAUCAUCCAACAAGGGGAUAAUUAAGUUGAUCAAAAGGAAGAUCGAGGAACAACCUAAAAAGUGGCACUUGUGUUUGACCGAGGCUUUAUGGGCUUACAGGAUGGCCUGCCACGGGGCCACUAAGAUAUCUCCUUAUCAAUUGGUGUACGGUCACGAGGCAGUGUUGCCUUGGGAAUUAACGACGAGGUCAAGACACACAUCGCUUCAAGAUCAGUUGACGGCAGAUAACUAUUCCUUACUCAUGAAAGGAGAGCUCGAUGAUUUGGCAGGUCAGUGAUUGAGGGCCCGAAUCAGCAUUGAGGAGAAUAAAAAGAGAGUGUCCAGGUGGUACGACAAGAAAGUCAAAGUCAAGCAAUUCUCCCAAGGAGACUUGGUUUGGAAGUUGGUGCUGCCGAUUGGGUCUAAAGAUCCCAAAUUCGGUAAAUGGUCGCCCACUUGGGAAGGACCGUAUAAAAUCGGUCGAUGCACUCCGGGAAACGCAUACAUAUUGGAGACGAUCGAAGGAUAGGAGUUCACAAGGGCCUUGAACGAGAGGUACUUAAAAAGGUACUAUCCUAGUAUAUGGGUCGGUGCAUAACUAGUUACGAAGUAUAUCAAAAUGGCACGGCCAGCUCCUACUAGAUCUUAUAGCCGGUGCAAAGAUGACAUCGCCUUGAGAACAAAACAUUCGUUCGAGUUGGCCGAUUGAUUAUUCGGUACGAACGAUGGGGUACAUGGCCGACGCGGUACAAGUCACCCUUAGAACAAAAGUACCAACACAUCUGUUAACCAUGUUUUUUCUUAAGCUCCCUCUCUACCCGACCUAAUUCUAUCAAGAGGCGGAUGCUCCUUUCCUCUAGAUCCUUCAUCGCGGCCUCAGCCUCAACUUGGCGUGGAAGAGGGUGGCUCCGAUCUAGCGAUGGUUGAGAUGUUCCCACUGUGGCGUCUUCUAGGGCGACUGGGCGAGGGAGUGGAUGACUCCUUUCGAUUGGCGGCCGCCUGGAGCAGUUGGCGUCAAUGUGAUCCCAGAUCCUCUAGACUUCAGCAGGGACGUGAUCCCUAAGUUCUUCGCGAUGGGCUCGGAUCAAGUCUUUGUCCUCCUGCGACAACGGUUCAUCGGAGUGCAUGAUCUCAAUCGCCCCAGUUCAAGGCUAAGGCAUCUCGGCUGAAAAAAUUGAUAACCACUCGAUGUUAGACUGGUCAAAAUGUCAGACCGGGGAAUGGAGGGCAUAGGAAGAUCUCGCACCUGGUUAACGGAGAAGGAGGAAAAGGAGGAGGAUGAAGAAGACAUCCUGGCGAAUAGUCUGGUGGUAUGAACUGCUAGAGGAGAAGAAGAUGAGCAAGGCGGAUGCCCUUGGAAACCGUUCGGGGUCCCGUACUUAUAGAAAGAAAAGGGGCGAGAGUUUGGUAAGACGCGUCCCAUCAGAAGAAAAAAGGGUAAUAAAUGAAAGGCCGCCAUGAAGGACAGGUCAAGGCUGGAUUCGCACGUCAAACGGUCAAGAGACAUUAAUGUUUUUACAGAGCAGCCAACACUUUUACAGUUCAUCCAAGGAGGGCAUUCAUGGCCGCAAUCGCUCGUUGCCUAACUUGAUCGGCCGAAUCUAAAACUCGCUGGUCAUCAUCGGUCGAUCCCGGGACUUCUGGCAGAUGGCGAUGGAGUCUGAUUGCUUCGUGGGCCAGGCUUUGUCUCUCUUGCUUCAGUUCGGCGAUGACAGAGGGGAGAUCUUGGAGUCUCUUCUCUUCGAUGGCUAUGUCCUUCAUCACCUGCUCCAUCUCCUUGGUGAGCUCUGCCUUUGGACGCUUGAGGCAAUCUAUAGCACCAACAAUACUCGGGCGGGAAUUUUCAAAGAAGUUGAUCCGGUGAUGUACCUCUUGGGCUCGGUGCUUGUAAGAGUCUUCCUCCUCACGAGCUUUAGCUAGCUUGGCGCGAUUCGACAUGUAGCGCAAAGCCCUGAACACCGGGAUCCGCAUUGAUUCAAUAUAUGCGGCUGGCGCCAGGGCUUCUUCCGCCUCCUCUGGGACUCGGCCGCUGACAUCACUGAAGAGCUGCCGAAUCGGCGAGGCAUCCUCCACCAAUCGGCUGAUGUCUUCUUGGAGGAGGAUCCGUAUGCUCUCAAGUUUGGCACGGAUGUCAUCAGGGAUUGAGCUCAGGGUGACCUGACGUGAAGCAACCUCCUCAUCAUCAGAAAGCGCGACCGCGAAAGAGAAGAGGCUGUUAUUGGGAGUAUCUUGUUCUUGCGAAUAAUGAGCAUCGGUUAGCCGAUGGUAAUAAGGAAAUCGGAUGAUUUGGGUGAUGAGUCUCUUACCUCUUUGAAGCGGAUUUCAUCUGCUUGCAUCGGCGGGAGUACUGCCCUUGAUUCGGGAACUGGUGCGGCUGGCUCAUCAGAGGAGGAGGAUUCGAUGAUUAUUGGUAUUUUGCUCGGACCGGCCUCCUGAAAAGGUACGAGGAGCAAGUUCUUAUGAGUAUAAUACAAAUGGUUAGAUCUGAUGAGAUGUGGUGAUUGUCGUACCUCCGUAGUCUCCCUGGCUGAUGGCCGUUGAGAAGUGGGAGGAAUUACUGGUGCUCCGAUUUCUGCUUGGGGCGUCGUUGAUUGCUGCGGGGGCACCGGGGCGACUUGUGCAGCCUAAUAUAAGGAAGAAGUCAGUAUCGGGAGAAUAUUCGGGAGAUGUGAACAUGAGGUUACCUGAAUGGCUUCUAGUAGCAGGGAUGCAGCGGCCGCUCCAGGUUCUGUAGCAGCUUGAGGAUCAACUUCCUCGAUGACCAAGAGAAUCGGCCGAUGCCGCCGCAGACUGAUCGGCCGAUUCCGUGCGGGCGUGCACUCGGUGGCUUGUCCUAAAGUUUUCUUCGGCGUCUGCCUCAAUCGGCCGGUGGUGAUGUCAUCAAUGGAUGGAGCGUGGUGGCCGAUGAGUGGGAAUUCUGUAUACGGAUAGCGAUUCUCUAUCGGCCUACCACUCUGGCUGCGCCUUGGAGGGAGUUGACUCUCGGACUAUAAAAGAAAUAAGAGUUAGUAGUAUAAAAAGAAAAGCGGCAUCGAAAUCGGCGGAGGGAAGAACGGUACCUCUGCAUUUGGGUCAAUGUUUUCAAGAUCCAGGGAGUUGCAGUAUAUUGCGGGAGACGUGCAAAAAAGAUGUUUCCAUUCUGCCCACCAUAGCUUGAACUGUUGAACAGCAAAGGGUGCCACUAUCCAAUUGGUCAGAUCGAUGGUGCCGAAGUCAGGCACUCGGUCGCACAGUCGACUAUAAUCAAGACCUUUGGUGAGCUCAUCCCGGAAUUUGGCAUGACCGGCGAAGAAAACAUAAAUCGGCAGUGGACCUAGGCCGAAUUGCCAUGCCGCGACGGAUGGAUUGUAAAACUCGUAAGUAGGGUCAUCCUUCCCCGAGAAAAAGUUCACCGGUAAGAUCCCUGGCUUGAUCAAGACUUCCGUGAGAUCAUUCUCAAAAGUGUUGGUCGUCGAAUCAUAACAGAAGGGGAGCUCAAAAAGCAGCUCUGCCCUUUUAUACGGGUACCAGAUGGUGGUUUUCUUCACUGUAGCCGUUGUAAAAACAUCUGAAAUAUUCGACUACUUCGGUGGUAGUAAGCUGGCAACUAGGGAAGACUGAUGCUGCCUCGCCGAAAGAAGUGCAUCAGCAUCGUACGGUGGGAUUUUCUUCUGACUCAAUGUUGGGGAACGUAAUGUACUCCACCCGAUGUGAUAUUUUGCUCAUAUAUAAAUUGAGCCAGAGAUUGAUGAACCACCAGGGGCCACCUGGGCUUCCAAUCGGCUCUCCCUUGGAUAAUUUGACGCUGAUUUGGUGCAACAUGUGAUAGGCCGAUCCUAGUAGAUGCUUCCCGAGGGGGAUGGAGGCUCCUCUUGAUAAAGCUUCAGCCAAGGCUUAUGUGUUGGAAGUCGAACCGACUGCCCGGCUACAAAAAAGGUGUUUUUCCAGCCACAUCAUUAAAAAGGCUGCGUAUUCUCUCUUUGAAAUGGUCCCCGUCUUCAUGUUGUUUUUGAUGUACCCCUUCCACCUGCUGAUUCCUUUUGUCUCCAGCCGAUGGGUCAGCUUGACCAGAUAAUGGAAGGAGGUGUCCGGAGAAGAAAUGUCAAGGCCGGUCAACAUCACAACAUCAGCCAGAGUGGAGGUCAUGGGCCCGUGGACAAAAAGGAACGCAUUGAGGGCGUCAGACCAGAAAUAGGAGGCUGCCAUCACCAAGGGCUCGUUUCUUUCCAUCUGAGACAGGGAAAGAUUGAUACACUGGCCGAUUUUUCGCUCGUCCCAUUGAACUCUCUUGGAGUUGGCUAUCCUUUAGUACCACUCUUUUGAACCUGGGGUUUCAUUCGGCCAAGAUCUAAAAGUCCCCGACCACUGAUCCAACUCCAUUGGUGAUUGUUUAAAUGGAAUUGUGUGAGUUUCUAAAUUUAUUAGAUCGGUUGGGUCUGGAUUUCCCAUGGGACCGAGACAGAUAAGGCCGGGGGCUUCAAAAAUACGAAUGGUUAUUUGGUGUCUGACCGCCUAAAAAAGGAAAAAGCGGAAGAACUAAGAACGGAUCUAAAAAAUGCAUGGACGGUAAAAGUAAAAAGGAAAAGUUCCGGGUAAGUACCUCUGGGAUGAAAUUCAUUGUCGCCGGCGGGGCUGCUGGUGGAGCUGCCGCUUCUGAUGAAGCCGCCGGUGGGGUUUUCGUCGCCGAUGGAGUAGCUGUCGCCGUUGUUGGAGCUGUUGGCGGGACCUCCAUUGCUGGUGGGAUUGCUGACGGUGCCGCCUUUGGGAAGAUGAAGCAGAAUGCAGAUGAAAGGGGAAUCGCCUGAAGAUUCGGUUGGAAGCCAAGAGGGCGCCGGGAGAAGAUGGAAACUAGAAGUGCGGGACGUGCAAGUAUUUAAAGAUGGUCCGAGGAGGGGUAAAGGCAGGAUUUUUACCACGCCGUCUAUACGAAUUCCGGGGGAGUGAUUGUCUCAGGCGCCCGUUUCGAAAAGAUUGCAAUCAUCAGGUAGGAGACCGCGAAACGGAAGGAUAUUUUUAAUGUGUUUGUUUCGGAGGAGAAGUUAAAAAGGAAUUUCGAAGUAAAAGUUAUGUUUUACUCCGAAACUGGAGGGCAUGUGUUGACGCCAGAUUUUUGACACGUAUGGAAUCGACAUCAAGGAAGAAAAGGACUUGUCGAUGCGGUAGGUUGAGAGGUCGCGAUUGGGAAUCGACCGAUUGGUGCUACAGUUGGGAAUCGGCCGAUUGGCAUCACAGUGAUUUGGCAGACAGAGUUGGUGGAGAUCGGCCAAUUGGAAGGCUGGGGCAAUUGGGCCAAUAUGGGCUUAAAGUGGAUCAGAGAAAGAAGAUAGAGAAAGAUUGACCCGCAGGAUUAUAAUAACCAACUCUGAUACGAGUUGUGUUUGUAAAUAUUCAUUUUCGUUUAAAAUUAGAGAUAGAUCCUAGUCGGUUAAGAAAUUGAUUGUAACAAGCUAUAAAUAGCCAUCCUCAGAGAUUUGUAGAAACAACAUCAAUCAAUACAAACAAAUCUACUUUUUCAUCGUGCUUUACUUUCAAGCCGGCGACUUCGCCAAUACUGUAAGUUCCGGCCGAGUUCGUACGGGUUGGCAGAGCUGCAUCGGCAUGAUCUCUAGCCGAUUCUAUAAGUUCCGCUUAUCGAGUAAUAUCUAAGCUUUAACUUCAGGUGCAUCGUUGUCGUUUCGUUUAGAUUUAGUCACCAGUUAUCGAUAUUUACUAGAAUUAUAGGUUUCAUCUGUUGUUCUAGUUUUAUCACCAGUUAUCCAGCUUGAGAUUUGAGUUAUCAGCUUUGUUAUUGUUACUUCUUAUUCAUUAUCAUCACAUAGCCUAUUAGAUAUAUUUCAAGUGUCGCCUUCGUAGCUUUGUCUAGUUUACUCCAGUAAUUCUCUUCACAAUUGCUACACGAUCGUCGGCUGUAUCAUAGCUGAUUAUCUUUUUAUAGCAAAUCAACCGAUUCGCUGAUACGCUUUCUCGAGAUGGGAAGCUUAGCCGAUCGGAACCCCUGGAAUUUGACACGUUUUCUUCCUUGCCAAUCAACGGGUCAGAUUGACUGGCACGCCGCGCGAACCGCACCAGGGCGAUCACCCGAACAGGAGCUAAGCAGAUUCUCCCGGGUUGUGUGUCCGACGCUGAGGGUCAAUCGGCUGACUUUUAGCGCCAACACAAGGCCACGACCACAGUCACCUCCUUACUCCUGCAUCGUCCUUCCUGCGGUGAGCUCGGGGCUGUAGGUUUGAGAUGGGCGGCAGCAGUCCUCGAUGGUAGCGUCCGUGGCCAAGUGACGACGCCAGCAGCACGGAAAUGUCUGCGCCGAACCCAACCGUCGAUAGGGGAGAGCUCUGGAGAGGGCUGCUUCUCCCCUCCAUCAAGGGGAGAGGAGGUGAGUUUUUGGUAAUUGCUGAAAAUUUUUUGUUAUUGGAGAUCUGAUUGGUAGUCUGCUGGAGCUCUCUCUUAUCUCCAAAAUCUUCUAAAUGGUAGGUUUUUGGUAUUGGGGAUGAAUAUGAGCAAUUUGCUGGAGAUGCUCUAAAAGAAAGGGAAAAUGAGGACAACAUUAGUAAAAAAGAAAGGGAAAAUGCGAACAUCAUUUUGGCCCUGUCUUAAGAGAAAGGAGCAAUGAAUACUGACACAAUCUGCCAAUUGCUGAACUUCCAACUGAGAUGAUGCUCUGUUGGGCAUCUCGGCCUAUCAUGACUAUGUAUCUCACUCAAAGGAAAAAAAAAACCCUUAAAAGUCUGAAAUGUUCGUUUCCUCAAAGUGGAAUUUAAGGCACAGAAAUGUAGCAGAAAAACAAAACAGAAGUACACUAUGAAUAUUGCCAUCUGAAUUUAUAAUGUAGCAGGGGCAGGUCAGGCCAGUUGAGUUCAGAUUCGUCACAUGUUUUAUCUUAUCUCUUUUCUCUGGAAACUGAAUGCUGUCUUGGAGCACUUUGUGCAAGUGUUAAUCUAUGUCUAUAUCUAUAUCUAUAUACCUUGAUAUUAAAGAGCUGUUGUUUCUUUCAACCGUCGUGGUCAUUUUGCAAAAAGGUUCCUCAACUUUUUCGUAAUCAACCCGCGUAGGUCAGUUGCUGUCUCUUUCCAUUAGAUGUUAAUUGUAACGGCCUAAGCUUAUUACUGGUGAUGUCCUAUGCGGAAUCAUGAUUUCUCUAGGUGGAUUUUCUACUUGCCUUGUUAGUUGGUAACUGGCAUCAAAGUUUAUGAUUAGCUUGUUAGUUAGGAGAGAUAGAAACUGCAACUUCAGCAGGUCCAAAAUUUCCUUUGAUGCGUUUUGUAAAUUGUUCUUGUUGGCUAGCUAUGCUACGGCCUCAGACGAUUUGGUUUUAGAUUUUAGUAGAGCGCUAGAUUUAGAUUUUAGUAGAACACUAGAUGCAGAUUUUAGUGGAACAAUACAGUACUGAAGGUUAUCAGGUACUUGUGAGCAGAAAAGCAUGCCCCAGCCAUUGAAGUUUUAACUGUUUUUAUGCUUUCCUGUGUAUUUACAAUGCGAAUGGUUGAUGCUGCAGAAUUGUCUAAAUUUCUACAAAUUAGUCUUUUGUUUGGAAAAAAAUAUUUGUACUUGAACCAUGUUUACUGACGCAAGGUAGCAGAUUCAGGUACUUAGGUUGAGGUUGCAUUGCUGUUACUUAGGCUCCGUUUGGUUCCCUUGCUUAUUUUUAGCACAUGUCACAUUGAAUGUUUAGAUACUAAUUAGGAGUAUUAAACGUAGACUAUUUACAAAACUCAUUACACAGAUGGAGGCUAAACGGCGAGACAAAUCUAUUAAGCCUAAUUAAUCCAUCAUUAGCAAAUGUUUACUGUAGCAACACAUUGUCAAAUCAUGAACUAAUUAGGCUUAAUAGAUUCAUCUCGUCGUUUAGCCUCCACUUAUGUAAUGAGUUUUGUAAAUAAUCUAUAUUUAAUACUCUUAAUUAAUAUCUAAAUAUUCGAUGUGAUGGGUGUUAAAAAUAAGCAAAGGAAACCAAACGGGAUUUUAGUGGGUAUUGACCUGGGCUAUUUGCAUCGGAUGUCUUUCAAACACCCACUUGAUGUACUACACAAAUAUUUCCUAAAAGAUGCUAUUAAUGGCCUUAAACAACAAAACUACAGCACAAUUAGCCCACGGUCCUACACGGGCACAUCUCCACCCGGUGGUUGAGGGCUACCUCUUGCUCUACCAAAUCUAGAUCAUGGUUGGUUUUGCCUUUCAGUGCUUCGUGAUCUCCCCCCACGGUCCCCAAAUUUACUAAAUUCUAGCGGCCUAGCCUAGACAGCAGGCACUGGGAGGAAGAAAGGAAGGGGAGCAGGGGCACCCGAGCCAUCCAUGCGUUCAUGUACGGAGAUUAUUGAAAGAUUACAGUUCAUGCCUAAUUAAGGGGAUUUAUCUGCGAUGGACUCACCAAAUAUACAUAAGCUACAUUUUCAGAGAACGUUUACCUUUAUGUAGUUAGUAAUUUGAUGUGUCCUACACCUAAAGCAUUCAUUCAUUAACUUCAAAUUAAAUUGACCCACCGAACUGAUCUGAACAGAAAGUAUUCCAGCUAAUUAGGAUGGGUGGAGAUUAUUUUCUUCUUUGGGUCCAAUUUUUAAAUAUCAAAUAUGGAAAACUCAGUCGAAUCAAAUAUUCUGAGCUUGAGGCUUUCCUUGAUUUACUUUGUUGAAAUUGAUCGGUAAUUUUUUUUCUAUGUAGACUAAGUUGGCCGGUUGGAUGUGGUGGGCUGGUUUGGGCUGCAUUAGGCAGUUAGGCUGGUAUACGUGUAUCUUGGUAUAUUGUCCUAGAGAGUUACUUACCGGUUAUGACGAACUUCGUUGUGCAAUGCUUGGUGAUUUAACAUUUUCACAUUAUAGCUUCAUUUAGUUAUAUUUUUAUUCAACAUCAAGUUAUCUAAACUUCAAACAUCAUGAGAUCUUUUAUUUUAGUAUAUCUCUCUUGGGUGCUCUAAAUCUUCCUACAAAAUGAGAAACUCUAAGAAAAUCAUAAUCAUAAAAUUCCAGUAGUUGGUGGAUGGCUGGACGCCAUCAAGUAGCAGAACACCACCGUCUCAUGCGGCUCUUCACCAUCAUACAGACCGCUAUCCGCGUAGACUUUGGCUAAAGCAUGGGUGGUGGUGUGGAAGGGACAACAUCAGUAUAGACGCUAAGCGACCAUAGAGAAUAAUAAUCUGAGAACGUGUAAAGACCCGUAGCAACGGGUGGUGGCGUGGAAGUGACAACAUCAAUAUAGACGCUAAGCGACCGUACAUGAAACAAGAAUAAUAAUCUGAGAGAAUAAAAACCUGAGAACGUGUAAAGAUCCGUAGCAACGCAUCGGCAUUUCUACUGGUAAUGAUAGAGAGCAGUACUCCAAACUUGUUACCGCUUUCGCUGGAAUCAGAUUCAGAUUUGCUUAUAGAGAGAUUUGCUUUUUCUCCUGAAUAUCCUCAUGACGAUACUCCUCACAAUUCAAAACUGGAUCUCAGAAAAAAAAGAGCCGAGACAACAUGCAAAUCUACAAAAAUGGGACCAAAAGAAAACUGCACAAACACCCAGCUUCAAUUAGUUUGAGCGAGCUGGACUCUGUCCAUUUGCCCCUUCGUUCUGACGGUCGGAGUGGCCGGAGCUGUCUCCUCCUUUACUUCUCAAGAAGCACGAUACAGCCACAUGGACCACGAAAUAGGCCAGCACGGCGAUGACGAGCGCGGAGACGUAUCCGGCGGUCUUCCACGACCGGCUGGAGCCGGCGGCGUAAGCGAUCAGGAGGCCGAGCAGGUCCAGCACGAUCGUCGUGUUCAUCACCCCGAGCCACCAGCUCCACCACUUCUUGUUCAGCGACGGAGGCAGCAGGAGGACGAUGACCACGACGGACGCAACGAAGGAGGUGGAGUUGCUGUAGAAGAAGGCCAGGUACCGGUGCCUCCGGUUGUCGUGCAUCACCGGGUCGCCCGCAGCGUGCCCGGCGCCGUCAUCCUGCCAGACCCCGCCAGGCGGUGCCAGGCCGGCCUGGUAGGUGAUGCUCGCCACCAGGAUUCCCAGCAGCAUGAGAUACUUGCGCUUGGCGUUCAGCUUCUUUUGUAGUACCUCAUCUUCUGUCUUCGGGGUCUCCUUGGUAGACGGCUUCUCUGCAUCAUUCUCUGGUUUCAGGUUCUUCUCCAAGUCUGCAUCUGUUUCCAGGGAGGCACUGGGUUUCUCUGCUCCGUUGUCCCGUUCCUUGGAUGCCUGCUCUGCUUUCCUGUCUUUUUUCUUUUUAGCUUUGUCCCUCUGAUCCCUUUUCUCAUGGAUGACCAAGAACACAACAGCCACUAUGACCACAAAGAGGACGAACGCCGCCAAUGCGAAGAUGUAGAUGGAUGUCUUGAGAUGCUGCGUGCUGCCGGCGGCGUAUGCGCCCAUGAUACUCAUCAUGCCCGCCGCCGUGCAAACAGACAAAGCGUUGGUCCGGAUGGCGGGCCGGUAAAGGUUGGGGUUUACGAGGACGAUAAUGAGCGCGAUGGACAGCAUGAAGCUCACCGAGUUGCAGUAGAAGAAUGCCGUGUAACGGCGCGGGUAGUUGUUGAGCAGCACGGGGUCGCCGGCGAGGUGCCCGGUUGCUUGAUCGUCCUUGAGCAGGAAGCCGCUCGGCGGGGUCAGGCCGGCUUGGUAGGUGAUGGUGGCCGCCAAGAUCGCGAAGAGGAGCAGCCGCUUGCGCCUCUUCUCCAACUGCUUAGCCUUUUCCUCCUCCUCGUUCUCCGGUGAAGCUUGAUCCUGCCCUCUUGUGCUGCCGUCCUUGCGGUCCACCAAUACAAGAUGGAUCACCACGUAGACGAGGACCGCGCCGGCCAAGGCCAUGGCGUGGAUUGAGGUGUUGACGUCCCGGCAGCUCCCGGCGGCGUAUGCGCCGAUGAGGCCCAGUAGGUCCAGUAUCAUGGCAGCCUCCAGGGCGUUGUGGUGGUGCAGUGUCUUCAUCCGGACGAGGACGAUGGCUACCAGGGAGGCCACGAAGGCGACAGAGUUGCAGUAGUAGAAGGCCUUGUACCGCUUGGGGUUUGUGGUCAGCAGGAUUGGGUCGCCGGCCAUGUAGCGGCCGCCGGCAUCGGCGCGCUGCCAGAGGCCGCCCGGUGGGUUCAGGCCUGCUUGGUAGGUGAUGGCCGCUGCGAGAGUGGCGAGCAGCAGAACAAGAGAGCGAGCCCUCUCCAGCACUUGAUGUACUUGCUGCUUGGCACUAACAUCACAGAGAAAAAAAAUCCGUCUAAAAUUACUGAGAAAACAAAAUCCAUCUCAAAUUAACUGCAAGGACGAAGAAGGAUAUAUGCUAUAUAAUACCUGCCAUUCGAAUUGCCAGUGUUUGGCUGUCGUUGAGUGCUCUGCUCCAAACAAGAUUGUUCUGUGCCACACAGACAUCCUGACACUUUAUCACGGAUGCGUUUUAGUUGUUUCCACAAGCAGCUGUUCGUUAUGGCAUCUUUGCAAAACUUAACAAUGGCCGCUUGAACGAGAAUGAAACCAAUGACGGCACCAACCAGAGAGUUGACAUAGAUGGUAGUGUCAAUCUGCCGGCAGCUGCCGGCGGAGUACGCCCCGACGAGGCCGAUGAGCGUGACGGCGAUGAAGACGUAGAGCUCGACCGACCGAAAAUUCUUGCUGAAGGCAAGCUUCUUGUCCAGGAGAAUGAUGAUGAUGAGCAGGGACGCGACGAAGGCGGUGGUGUUGAAGACGAAGAAGGCCUUGAGGCGCGCGUCGUGGCGUCCGCCCUUGAGAAUGGCCCGGCCUGGGCGGUGGCCGCCGCCGUCGUUGUCCCAGAAUCCUCCCGGCGCGCUGAGGCCGGCGACGUACGUGACGCUGACGGCGAACGUGGCCAGCAGCAUCAGCACCUUGCGGAGCCGCAGCAGCGCGCUCUUGUCCGCCCUCUCCGCCUCCGAUUCGCCGGCAUGCUCCGGCGACUCAUCCUCCCCCUUGUCCAUCUUCUUCUCGGGCGCGCCGUCUUUCCCCUUGUCCGCCGGCGCCGUCAACGAGGCCAGCAGCAUCAGCACCUUGUGGACCUUCGCAACCGCCCUCCUGUCCAUCCUCUGCUCGUCCGACGCCGGAAAUGAGGCCAGCAACGUGUGGACGGCGAGGUAGGCGACGACGCUGGCGAGCAGGACCAAGGAGUAGAUGGCCGUGAGCCCGUCCCGGAACGUGCCGGCGGCGUAGGCGACCAUGAGGCUGAGCAGGUCUAGGACCAUGACGAGCCGGAGUAUGGCGAGCACCGGCGCCAGGCUGAUCCCGCCCCGGUCGUGCAGGAUGGACAGGAUGAGGACGAGGACGAUGACGACGAGCGAGGAGGCAAAAGCGGUGG
rnacentral:lncRNA from 1 species